GCCUAUUGUCUUCCGUUUUAACCCCAAAAAAUGUGGGGACUAGGACUGGGAGAAUAAAACAUUAAGAUAAGGAGUGAAACACUUUCAUUUAGAUGAUAGGCUACAUGACAUAGCUUUGAUUACAUACGAAACUUAAAUUAAGAAACCAUGCAAGGAAACUAUAUAAGGCAAUUCAAGAGCAAUCAUAUUCCAACACAGCCACAAAUCCUACAUCCUACUAGAUCUCCGCAUUAGCAAGCCAAGCAAGAUCAAUUUUUGAAAACCAGUGGCAUGCCUCGGUUUGUCCAGGAGAGGCUUUAAGAAUCUUGAAGGCCACAUGAUCCGCUGAGAACGAUGAUGUAUCCAUGUGACAUAUUGCAAGGAUUUUAUUAACAGGAGCUCUUGUUUCGGGUUCCACCAAAUCAACGGCAUAAAGAUGAGUUGAGGAGAUCAAAUGGCAAAAGUAGGCUGCAAAUGGGAAGAAAACUUCAUGACAUGAGACAACUUUUUCAGCAUCAAAUUGCUUUAUGUUUCCAAUUAUUAGCUCUUUUCCUGACCCUUUUGUACUUUUGGAAGUUAAUGCAACCAACUGUUUUACACCUAAAACUUUCUUUGAGAAUUCUAUCAUGUCUUCUAGUGAUUUUGGGCAGCCCUUAAUCUCCCCUUUUAGAGCUGGUGAACUACAGUACAGAAGGCUAGUUUCAAUGGCUUCUUUUGUUGCAGGAGAAGUAAAAGACUCAGGAAACAUUUUCUGGAGAUCAUUAGAGCUAGUGGAUAUCUUUGAUGCAAUUUGAGAAGGAAGAAAAGAGCGACGAGGAAUUUGAUUAUUCAAAUUUGGGAGGUGAACUCUAUUCCCUGGUUCCAGGAUUGACAGCCUAAAGAAAGAGUUGGGGUCAGCCUCAUCGGCAUGAAAUGUGCGGCCGCCGUAUCCGCUGUUGUAUCCAUCAUCAAGUUUAUGAAACUUUCCAGGCAAAACUGAACAAGCCAAAUUAGCCAUGGAGCAAAAUUUGGCAUGAUCAGAAGAGAGUGAUUGUUUGGAUACUAAAGAAGCAAAAUAAUCAGAAUCACGCUUAGACAGCGGUGAUAAUUUUGACAAAACUGAUUCAGGCAUAUUAUUGAGUACAUUUUUAGACCAAAAGUUGAGCUGAUUGGAGGCAGCAGAUGUGGAAGCAAACGAUGCAAUUGUCACAGGAGUUGAAUCAAGAGCUAGGAAAAGGAAGGUAAAGAUCAAGGAAGAUGUAAAGGAAAAUUUAGCCAUGUUUUCUUAGCUGAGAAUAGCUCGAGGGAAAAGGAUUCAGCUAGCAUAAUAUUUAUACUCGAAGAAAAUAAUAUAUUCCCAAUAAUAGAGAGUCUACAACAAUGAGAUAUACUAGUAUUGAAUUUGGACCACCUUUUGUCAUAUUUAAGAAAGGACAUUAGAUCACAUGCCAUGUUGAAAAAAGGACGAAAACCUAUGGGACAUUAGUUAUUAUAUCAAUGGCAAGUUGAAGUCGUUUUGUCUCUCUCAAACAAAACUAAUGAGGAAAUUUGAGUUUAUUGUGUAGUAAGCUUUAUUUGUGAUAUAGCCUUUUAAUUGAGUAUUUUUCCUAGAGGCAUGGUGUUUGGCAUGUUAGUAUCGAUCGAUCCGUGUUCCUAUUUGUCUUGAUUGACUCCUGUGACUUUCUUGUUAUAUGCUCAGUUUUGUCCUUAACAAGAUGUAAUUGAUGAUCAAAAUUGGUCUCCAAAGAUUAAAAUCAAUAAUGAAGCAAUUGCGAAAAAGUGGAAAACAUGAAAUAUUGUUGAUUUGAUUAUAUCUCGUAUAACAUACUCUUCAAGGUAAUUAGUACGGAAAUUCUAUUACUUUCAGAGUGCAAAAUACACUAUCACAAAUGUAUCUCAAGGGUUUCUUCACUGCCAUUUUAUCAAAUUUGACCAAAUGGAAAAUGAGAAAAAAGGCUGCUGUUUGUGAGUCCUGUAAAAUAUAUGUAUGACUAAGUUUUAAUCGAUAUCGGUUGAAACUGCAAUAUUGCAUGAAAGUAAGCAUGUGAAUCGAUUUGAACCCAAAUUUUCAGACUUAAGCACAACCAAACCCAGGUGUUUUGAAAAUUAUGUACAUGGGAUGAGUUUGGUUUUAUGUAAUCCAAAAUCGAUUAAUUAAUGGGUCCAAUGUAAUUACAUUUUGUAAGUGAAAUUCCAACCAUAUAUUACCUUGGAGGUCGGAUGUCAUUGAAAUUUUUUUUUCUGAAGGAAAUAAAAAUAGAAUUAGUCUAUGUAACUUUAUGAUUUUGGUUCUUAAUUUGCGCAUGUUGUUGGAUAAUAAUACGUUGUCUUUGUAUUCCAACUUUUUUCUUGUUUUUAACCUAGUAUCGUUUAGUUGUUAAGUUUAUGAUUUUUAUGUGCAUAUUGUAGGAGGAAAAUGGAAGUGCUAUUACUUGGUUCGCGGCCUAUUCAGAGAGGCAUUAAAAGAUGAAAUUAAGUUGGAUGUGAGUGUUUUUCAAAAAUUAUAUAUUUUAGAAAUUCUUCCACUCUUGAAUAUCUCAAAAUAUUUGCUAAAAAUAUUUUAAAAUAUACUCUAAAAACUCUAUUACAGCAAAAUUUUUCAAAAAUAACCCUAAAAACAGCUAAUCCAAACGGAGUUUAUAUGUUUAACUGGAAACUGGUGGACCACUAGAUUAUGUUCCACGAAUCUAGUGAUUGAAACGGAAUGGUUAAAAUUUAGAUUUUGGAGGUUUACAAAGUAUAGGGGUAAUUUCGAGAUCUUUGAUGAUAAAUUUGAGGAAAAAUCAAUCAAAACAAUAAAAAAGCAUAAAAUAGGGGAAACAAUGGACGGGGCAGGAACGGUUGCAGGUGCAACCAUUCCAGACAAUUUUGAUCAUUUUUAAUAGCGCGUAACUUUAAUUACAUACGAAGUAACUUUUUUUGCAUAACAUGUAACUUUAGUACAAAAUUUUAUGGAUCCACACACGUUGUGAAAAUCGAUGUACAUCUAGUGAUUUGAACCAUAUAUAUAUUUUUUUGUCAAAAUUUGACCGUCGACAGUUCAGAUUUAGAAUGAUCGCUCGUACCCCUCACCGGAAACAAUAAACACUGAGCAAAGUGUCAGUAAGUUUCAACUUUACAGACGUCUAUGAUGCUAGUCCUACUCAUUACAGAGAUACUAAUGGAUAACUACAGGAUACCAAUGCCGGGUAGAAUUUGGGUUUAGAUUUUCCUUUCCAAACCCAUUAGCAUUUGAGAAUUUAAUAGGUUUGACUUUUGAUCUAGUUGUUACGUCCACUAGCAUCUGAGUUUAGAUCAAGUUCAUUUCAAGCCACUCAAUCGAGCGACAAGCCGAGACCACAAUAACUCCAAUGAAACGAUGUUUAACUUUGGUAUAAGAAACUAAUGAUUUUCUAAUAACUCUAAAGACAUCACAUCAGUCACGUGAGCAAGUACUCUGUAAUCAAUAAUGGAGAUGGUAAUUAACUGUCAAUUUUAUUUUGUAUGACGUGCACGGAAUAUACAUAUCAAUUUAAUUCAUUCAUAAUCAAAUUUUACAUUUAUAAACUUCUAAAUACCCGACACGCGAUUUAUCGCAAGUAUACUAAUCGUGAGCGAGUAUAGGGUAUUAAGAAUCGAUCCCACAAGAAAGAUUGCAAUUACCGACACUACUAAAGUUUCUAUAUUAUUUAAACUAUCAAUGAAUUAUAAUAAGUAAAACCUGCUGAACUUAUACAAGAAAAUAACAAAUGGAAGCUCCUUGGGUUGUGGUAUCCCUAACUAUUCAUGCAAGUGUGACUUUUGGAUCAUUGAGUACUACUAUCUAGGCUAGCUAUGGUGUAAUUUCCUUAUGCAUUUGAAUUCUACUUUCGUAGUGAAUCAAUUAUACUCAUAACUAAUCCAUACAUAUUCUCAUGGUUAUGAAAUUAGUUACAAGUUCAUUGCUUCAAUGAAAUUACAUGAAAUUAAUCACCAAAACCAUAUAAGUGCACCUCUACUCUCGUGAGUGUACUAUCUAUGUUUAACACCUCUUGAACCAGUGUUGAAUCUAAUUUUUAUUGCAGAAACAAUACCUUAGAUAAUCAAGAUUAAUGGUACCAGAUUAAUCAUGAUUUAAAGAGUUAAAGUGUUAAAUAACGUGCUCAAAUACUAGCAACCAAAUAGCCAAAUAAUAAAUACUAACAAUCAUUGGAAGUUCAACCAAACCCAAGGCAUAAACUUUAAAGACACAUCAUAAACACAAAAUCCAGAACUUGUAUAUUAACUAAACUUAGAAUCAAGUACAAAAGAUAAAGAGUUGGAAAGAAAAGUAACCCCUGUCACAUGAGCUCUUCCCUUGCCUUCUUCAUCUCCAUCUUCAUCUUUGCCUAACUAAUAAACAAGUAGGAUGAACUAUACUACUCUAUACUCAACUACUAAACUAAUUGAACUAAGAAAAACUAGUGAGAGCUACAUUUUUGUGGAGUUUCUCUAGCCUCCCAAAGUUAUGAAAAUGUUGUUCAAGACUUAUAUUUAUAGAGGAAUUUCUUGUAAUGGACAAGUGUUUAAUCAUGUAUUGAACCCAUAAACAAGCUAAAAUGGAGUUGUAAAGCUUCUUUUGCAGCUGUCUUGGGCUGUUUCCACCGAUAAUCUUGCAGGAAAGGUUGGUCAAAAAGCUUGUGUGAACAGAACACAAGUUGGUAAGCCGAAAGUAGUGAUCCGAGGGCUAGAUCCGAGCUUGGAUCGCUCAAAUUACCCCUCGGAUCGCAUUUUUCUUCGUUUUUUUACCUUCACUGUUCAUUGGGAUCCGAGGCCUGCUACAGUGGAUCCGAGCUCGGAUCCUCUGGUCUCGGAUCCACUUGUCCAGAAGAUUAGAUGAGGACUCGGAUCAUAUUGGAUCCGGGUUCGGAUCGCUUGCUUUGUUUUUGAUCCAUUUCAACUGAUAUUUUCUCGAUGUUAGAGGCUGAAAUAGUUCUUAUGUAAAACAUGAAAGUUGUAGUUCUUUGAGUUAAAUUUCCAAUGCAUCAAGAAUCAUCUAGUUUGGAGCUCUGUGGACUGAUAAAUGACCAAAUUACCCUUGAUUGGUCAGAAACUUGUUUCACCUUCGACCAUAGAAAAUGUACUUCAGUAUUUCGACUUUUUGACUAUGAAAACCAACGAACUGGACUUCAAUGUUUUCGUACCAAAUGUAGAUAUAUCUCUUGGCUUCAAAAUGAUAUAAGAAUCACUUCAAUCCGAUCAUUGUCGCUCAAGAUAUUGCCAAAAUACCACAAGGUGUCAAAGCUGUGAAACUCCUUUUCUUUAGAACUUGAUUGCAUUUCAUCUCUUGUACUUCAUAUUCUCUUUUUAUCACUUAAAACCAUCAUCAAUCAUCCAAUUCUCUUCUCAAUUUAUGUCAUUUGAUGAUUGAAUCAUUAAACCUACAAAAAUAUGAAGUUUUCACCACAAAAAAUCAUAGGAAUGCAAUUUUUAACACUUAAACCCCUAAAUGCAUAUUUUCACUAGAAUCUUAGUUAAUUAGCUAUAAAGUUGUUAAAACACACCAAAACUAAAUAAUAAAACACACUUAAAACACUCAAAAUAUGCACUUAUCAAACUCCCCCACACUUGAAUUAUUGCUUGUCCUCAAGCAAUCAACACAUCUCCGACAACAAUGAUUCAAGAGGUGAAACACUAUAUGCACUUUUUCAAAUUAAAUUCCGCAUAACUUGGUAAACAAUCAUCAUGCACUUUUUCAAAUUAAAUUCCGAGUACAUUCCCAAAAAGUGUGACUUUUUAAACUAACUUCCCAAAGGGUGGUGAUUUUUUAGUAUCUUCCCAAAGGAUGAAAAACGCAUCCAGGAAAUGCGUUUUUAUAAAUAAAAUCGCAAUUGUCAAAUGCGUUAUUUCAAUUUUCAUCAAUUUAUUUUAAUAUAAAAAAAUUGGUUAAAUAACGCAUUAUUAGAAUGCCUGAUUUUAAAAAGUCUCAUAGGAUGAAUGCGUUUUUGGUCCUUAAAACCCAUUUCUGAAAUACGUUUAUUAAUAAAAAAACGCAUUUGCUAAAUGAGUUGUUUAGCAUAUCUAAGAAGCCUGUUCUACUCCCCGGUACUUCAUAAGGGGUCUAAAAACUAAUUUCCCCUCAAUCCCUCUCUUUUUCUACCCUAACUUCUUCAGGCGCCAAACAAAACGCACCACCCAUUCAAUUUUUUCUUACAUCUUAUCCCACAUUCGCAGCCAACGUAAGAGCAAGGGUGGUGAUUGGGAGACUGCUGAGCUAAUUAGGCAUAUUAUCAGGUAAUACUUAAAAUCCCAAAUUUAGGGUUUAUGUAAUGGAUGCAUUUAAUUAUUUUAAAGAGCAAAAAGCAAACCUGAGAUGAUUCUUUGGGGUUUAUUGACAGAGGAAGAUACCCUACAAAGGGCGAGAGUAUUAGACAAAGAGAUUCUGGAAUUUUCUCAAAUUCUACAGAUCAUCUACUCUCAGGUUUCUUUCUUUCUUUCUUUUUCCCUCUCAAGUAAGUGCUGAAAUUUUUUUUUUCCCUCAAACUUAAAGUAAGUUUAUUUUUUUGCAGAUUCAAAGGAUAAAUUGUUGCCAGAGUAUUCAUUCUCUUCAAAGUGAGUGCUGAAUUUCUUUUUCUUUUUUUUUCAUACACUAUUUUUGGUUGAAAUAUAAAUGGCUUCCGUGUGUUUAUGACAUUUCUUCUACUAGUAUACUUUUAUAUGUUGAGCUUCCAAGGUUGGAAUUUUUGCUUCCUGUUGUUCUUGAAACCAAUAAGAAGGGUGAAGCAAUCAAAAUAGUAUAGAGCAAUAUGCAUCCCGUACAUUUAUAGAAAAAGACAAAGUACGUGCCAUCAACUAAUGCAUCAUGAAUUAAACUUCUAAAAUCCGGAUCUAUUACUACUUGAAUUCAUAAAUUUUUUACAUCACCCAGUAAUGCAUCACUUAGAUUCAAAAAUGUAUUGAUCCAUAAUCUCUUGCACAAUAAUGAAUUAUAGAAUACAAAGGAAUUAAGCAAUCCAGCAAACCCCAGCAGACAAAAAGUAAAAGAUUUGGGAAAAGAUAUCCCCAACAGACCAUAAUAUGAGAUGAUUAUGUCAAGAUGCUAAAUUAGACUCCACACCUUGUACACUUUGCUGGAGAUUACUUCAAAACUGAAGCAGGAGAUAUAUUUUUCACCUUGUUUUCGAAUUUUCUUUUUUUUUUUUACAUGUCAGUGUAGUUAGCAUUCAGUUAAUUUAUUUGAAGAUAUCUAACUUUCUCUCAGUUUACUUGUAAGAAUGUACUUAAUGUCAAUUUAACUGGUCUGAACCAUGAUUUUGUUAGAAGAGGAGCAGGGGAUUUUGUUAAUCAGUCCAACAACUUGCCUUCUGAGCCACCCACUGCAUGUGUUGUGUGCGUUCUUGUGUGCUUUUUUUAAAUUCUCAAGACUUAGAUACAUGCAAGAGUUUAGAUACAAAACGUAGCAGCAUAUUACAUUCAACACUUUUGAUACAUGUAUGUCUACUCUCUUUCAGUUAUUGUUAGGUCGUUCUUGAAAUAUUUUCUUAUUCUUUACUGGUUAUUGGCGAAUAUGAAUGUUGGCACUAUAGAUAUUAAUCUAAAUUAAUGUGUGGUCAUGUCAAAAUGAAAAGAAAUAAGAGACUACUAUAGACUUUUAUUUUUGAAAGAUUCUUUCACAGUAUAGAACGUAAUACCUGUGGACAGUUUAGAAGUUUAGGAGUUACCUACAUUUACAAGAUAUGACUGGUUUUAAAAUAUACUUUUUAUUUAUAGUAUUUUUCAACAUUCGAGAUGAAUUGACUGUAGUUUACAUUGCAUUUGAAGGCUUGUUAGCAUAUGUUUUAAUGGAUCUUCAACAUCCAUUGAAACUUGCUUUAUAUUGGGAUGGUCAUAUCCAAUAUUAUCCUGAUUUGGGAUUUAUAGGCCCAAUUGGCAAGAUAGUUACAAUCAACCACAGGAUAAGAUUUGGAGACUUACUAAGUAAUAUACACUCAUAUAUUGGAGUGGAUACAAUAACUAUAGAUUUGAAGCUCAUCUGCAAAUAUCCUGAUCAUGGACCGUGGGGUUUCAAAUUUUGCCCAUUACUAAUAAUGAACGAAGAGGGAAUGGAUUUGAUAUUUUCUUUAGCAGCUGAGUACCCAAAUACUAUGGUUCAUCUAUACAUUGUACGAGAAUCAGUUGUCAAUUGUCAGGAGGGCAAUAACAUCUUCACCAGUAAGGAAAUGGCUCCAUAUGUAAAUUUGCUGACACAAGAUGUUGAAUCUCCGAUAUUACCUGCACCUACAACUUCAUGCACUCAAUCUUUUCUUAAAGAUAAGCAUGGUGCACAAUGGUUGCCAUCUUCAAAUAAUGAUAUCAUUUUUCGUGCAAUGAGUAGUAUGUCACCUUCAUUGAAACCCAUCCAAUCAUCAUUACCUACUCCUUUAGUGUCACGGAAUGCACUCGAAUAUACAGAACAUAAUGAAACUGCGAGUGCUAACCAACAAAGACAGGUGCAUGUACUAGAAGAUGAUGUUGGCUGUUCUAGUUUAUUUCAAUUGGAUCAUAAUAGAGAAGAAAUUGGAACUAUGAGAACCAUUUUAGCAGCUGAAGAACCUAUUGUUGGGGCUGAAAUUGGAAAUGCACUUGGGAUAACUGAUGUGAUUCAUAACUUAGUCCAGAAUGAAGCAUCUUUGCCGUCUAGAGAUGAUGCUUUCAUUGAUGCUGAACAAGGGCAGUCUGAUGAAGACAGUGAUUGCAAUGUCGAGGUUGAAAAUGAACAAUGCACUUUUGGGGAGGAUAAUGGUCAUACUAGUAAUAAUGUUACUUUUAGUCCUGAAUUACCUGCUUACAAUCCACCCGGAAUGCCUUUUUAUUUAGAUAUUGGAGAUCUUGACAAAUUUGUUGUCACUGGUAGGGGAUCUCCUACAAGGAUAGACUUUUGGAGUGAAAAUAGUGUUGGUAUUCGCAAGCAUAUGCGAUUCAGUGACAAAGAGCAAUUGAUGAUGGCAGUCCGACUUUGGUCUAUGGAGCAAUGCCGCGAGUUUCAAGUUCAAGAGAGUCGAAGUACAGCAUGGAAAGUAAAAUGUUUAAAAUCUGAUGAAGGCUGCAAAUGGCAACUUAGAGCUUGUUUGAAAGCUACACAUAAAACUUGGGAAGUUACUAAGUUGAUUCCAGACCAUACUUGUACUUCAACGGCAUCAACAAAUGAUCAUAGGCAUCUUCAAUCGAGGAUCAUUGCUCGCAGAAUUGUGCAUUUUAUUAAAGAAAAUGCACUUGCUAGUGUCAAGCAAGUUCAAACUCAUGUUAAAAAAACUUUGCAUUAUGAUGUGUCAUACAAGAAGGCAUGGAUUGCUCGAUGUAAAGCUAUUGAAAUGGUCUUUGGUGAUUGGCCAACCUCAUUCACAAAACUACCUAGGUUCAUGGCAGCUAUGGUAUAUUAUAAUCCUGGUACUAUUGUUGUUUGGGAACACCACCCGUGCAGUUCAGAAAUUUUGAAGACAUUUGGCUAUAUGUUCUGGGCUUUCAAGCCAGCAAUUGAUGGUUUUUUGUCAUGCCGAUCUGUAAUUAGUGUGGAUGGAACAUUUCUUCACACUCCAUACAAGGCUAAGUUGCUACUUGCAGUCGGACAAGAUGCAAACAAUCAAAUUUUUCCUUUGGCAUAUGCUUAUGUGGAUGAAGAGACCAAUGAAAGCUGGAAUUGGUUCUUGCGUCUUCUUCGUCAACAUGUUCUUAAAGAAAGACAAGUUUGCUUGAUUUCUGAUCGUCAUAAAGGAAUAUUAAAUGCAAUUAGAUUGCAGAGGCUUUGGCAACCGCCAUAUGCAGUUCAUCGACUUUGCUUGCGACAUGUUAGGAGUAACUUUAACACAAAGUUUCAUAACACGCAUCUAAAGAAAUUGUGUUGGGAUGCUGGUUCUACCCCUCAAAAGCGCAAGUUCACCAAGAUAAUGGCAGAAAUUGAGAGGAUUGAUGCAAAAGCUGCUAAAUAUCUAAGAGAAAUAGGGAAAGAAGAGCUAUGGACCUUAGCUUAUGAUGGGGGGUACCGACAUGGAAUGUUGACAACUAAUAUUUCUGAGAGUUUCAACAAUGCAAUCAAAGGUGUUCGUAAUCUGCCUAUUAGAGCUGCCGUUGAACUAGUAUUCACUCGAAUAGUUAAGAUGUUUCAAGAUAAGAAGGAGGAUGCUCUACAUUGUCAACAUCCACUUCCAAAAAGGCCAUGGAAGAUAUAUCGAGAGGCUGAAAUUAAAGGCAGAAAACAUAGUGCUGUGCAAUUCUCUUUAAGUGAUGGCAUUUUCAAUAUAUUGACACACAUAGAUGAAUCUGGAAAAGGAGGAAACACACAAACGGUAUGUAUGAAAGAAAGAUCGUGCACGUGUGGUAAAUGGAUGAUCACUCGCAUCCCAUGCUCCCAUGCUAUGCUUGCAUGUCGUAUGAUGAGCAUUAAUCCUAUUACACUUGUGGGCCAGGAGUACCACAAGAACUUGUAUUUAAAGACGUGUAGUGGGCAAUUUCAUCCUAUACAACAUGAGGAUUAUUGGCCUGGUCAACCAUUUUCAUUAGUAGGAGAUAUGACUCGUAUGCGUCCACCACAUCAAGGACGCACAUCUACAGCACGUAUUCACAAUGAGAUGGAUGAGCGAGAAGAUGAUGCUCCUAGAUGUCGAACCUGCCACCUUCCGGGUCAUAAUAGGAAAAAUUGUCCAAGGUUGUCUUCUAAUCAGUCAAGGCUAUCUUAUAAUCAAUCAUAGUUCUACAGAGUCAUAAUUGGAUUUUGGUAUUCUUUCAUUAGAGGGUCUAACAUUGACUUCUAAUCAAUCAUUGAUUUGUAUGUUUGAAAUUAAAUCCUUCAAGUGUUAUUUUCUAAUAAUAUUAUCUUUUUUUUUUGGAUUUUAGGACAUAUGGAUAAUGAACAAUUAGUUGCAUUUGUUCCUGGUCCUAUUAUUGGAGAUGUAUUGACGCGCCAACCCCACCAUCGAUCCACAGAUAUUUGGAUAGGUGCUGGACACUAUAGGCCAUUACAAGUUCGGAGACAUGACGGUGAAUUUUGGAGAGGAAUUCCAUUCGAUCCUAGGGUGCAAAGGUAUAUUGAUGAAGCUGGCUUUGGUGGUGUUGUGCGCACAGGUCAAAUACAACUCGACCACGCACUUGUCACAGCUUUGGUUGAGCGUUGGCGAACUGAAACUCACUCAUUUCAUCUUCCUAUUGGUGAAGCUACCGUCACUUUACAAGAUAUAGGGAUAUUAUGGGGGCUUCCUAUUGACGGACAGCCUGUUAUAGGUGUGGACACACAUCGAAAAUCAGAGGAUUGGUUGCCGAUUUGUGAGGACUUGUUAGGAUUUCGACCUAAAACAGAUGAUAUUAAGGGAGGGAAACUAUUAUUGGGUUGUUUAGAUGCUCCCUUAGCUGUCAGACUUCCUAGUGAUGCAUCAGAUGAUGAUAUUAGAUGUCAUGCUAGGAUGCGUAUUUUACAGCUUAUUGGUGGUCACCUGUUUUCAGAUAAAUCUGGCAACAUGGUCAGCCUAAUGUAUUUGUCAUUUCUAAGAGAUUUUACUGUUACUCGAACAUAUAGUUGGGGGAGUGCAGUUCUUGCUUUUUUAUAUCGUGGACUAUGUAGAGCUACUCUUUGUACCUCACAAGAGAUUGCUGGACCAUUGGUUCUUUUACAGGUAUUUUCACUAAAACUCUUUGAAUUUUUUUUUUGGUUUCUAACAAUUAUGACCUAUUCUUGUUAAAUAUCCUAAUUUUUGUUUUAGCUUUGGACAUGGGAACGAUUUCCUACCUUAUGUCCAGAUAGGCCAGUGCCUAAAAUGGAGUUGCCAGCUGAGAGUCCUUAUGGUGCAAGGUUAGUUUGUAUCUGCCUAUUAGUGUUAGGAUAUAUUAGGUAUAUAAUUUAGAUACAUUACCGUAACAAUGACGGUGUAUUGUUGAUUAUUCUGUAGGUGGAAUGUCGAUUUUAACCUUUCUAGAGUAGCAAUGCAUGUAUUAGUUGUAUAUCGAGAUCAACUAGAUAGCUUGAGAGAUGAUCAUGUAAGUAUUUAUUUCAUGCAUAUUUCAUGUAUCAUGGUAAAUUGCAAGUUACAACCAAAUUUUUUUAGUUUAUUUUGUAAUUUUCCAUUUUGUUAUUCAUAGUUUGUAUGGCAACCAUAUCCUCAACACAUUUUAGAGACAUUGCCUCAGUGUUGUUUGGCUAGUUCUGAAUUGUGGCGUAGUCGAACUGCACUUAUUUGUUGGGAUAUAGUAGAGCUACACCUACCAGAUAGGUGUAUGCGACAAUUUGGAUUUGUUCAGCAUAUUCCGGCACCAUGUGACACGGAUUGGAGUUUGCAUCAAGUGGAUCGUCGAGGUAGACGAAAUACAGAUUGGACCCUUAAACACUACCGCCACAUCCAAAUGUGGAUGGAUCGAGCUUCAAGUAUACAAGAAGGUGAACUCGAGGAGGUUCCUGGUGAGGCUAGCUUAGAGUAUAUGACUUGGUAUAAGCAGCGUACAAGAUUGCUUAUUGGCAACCCAUCAUUGAGACCACUAUUACCAGCUGGUUAUCAGGGUAUUGCACCAGCUAAUGAGAUGAUGGUAACCAUUAUUUAGAUAUUUUUAAUUGACUACUUUGUUUAAAGUUUUGUAUUGGCAGCAUUAGAAUUUAUUUUGAUAACAUUUCAGGUAGAUACAUUGCAUCGUGUCUAUUAUAGAUCACUUGAAGCAUUACCACAUGCUGAGGCCAUCUCUGUUCCUGCUCUCACUGAUAUUCGGGAUAUGUGCCAAUCAACUAUGCGUGCCAUUGGAUGUGAGAUGAGAUUGAAACUCCUACCAUUGAAUCCAAUAAUGCCGCUCUCAAUGGAUGAAGAGUUGCAACAUGUAGUUCCACGGGCACGUGUUCGAAGAGCCACACAAGAAGGUUCACAAAGAAUCCAUAGAGGGGGACGAAGGCGAAAACACAUCCAAACUGAUCAAAACAGUGUACAAAAUCAGAUUUUAAGUCAGGAUGAGUUUGUAGGAGAUCAUAUGUUGAAUCAAGAGACUAGAGACGUGGGAAAUGAGGAAACAGCUAAUGAGUUCAAUCAGACAUGUGAUCGGACUUCUGAAAUCAAUCUCGAUCAAGGUCAAGGGGAUGAACAUACAGAAGCUGAUACAACACAUGCACAAGCUGGUGAACAUGAUCUGACGCAUGUGCAAAGUGAUAAGCAUGAUCAGACACAUCUGGAGUUUGAUUUGCAACAUCAAACACAAGAACAUGUUGAUCGAAAUAAGCGUGACACUUGUAAAGGUCGUGGUAAAAAUCAGCAUCUACCCUUGCGGCCACCAUCUAAAAGAGUCAGAAGGCAAAAGUUGUGUUACUCUGGAGGCAUUCUCAAAUGAUUUAUUGUACUUGUCUUGUUAUAAGAAUUCUUAUUGUAUAAGAGAAUUUGGAUUGAAAACCAAGUAAAUUUAGUAUAUGAAAUUAGAUGUGAUAUUAUAUCAUCUUAUGACAUAUUUGAAUAUGCAAGUGUUUGCUUAACAGGUGAUAUAAAUUAAGCACUGCCCUCCCUUAGAAGGAAAUUGGAGCUCAUUGCUAACAAAAGAUUGUGAAAAUUUACCUUUAUACCCUAAUUAUUUGGAGAAACCUAAUGGCCAAAUUUUGCAAAAGAAACUUGUUUCUUGUCAACAAAUUAAGUAACUGAUUAAACUAAUUAAAUUACCUACGAGUGUUACUUUCGCGCAAUUAAUUUACGUUAAAUAUAAAACCUACAAGUUUUUCAUAAAGAACUGGUAUGUCAUGGGCAAUUUAAUUUUGUUUUAACUUUCAAAUAUUUAAUUUAUGUUAAAUACAAAACAUACUAGUUUUCCUUUCAUAAAAAUAUUAGUAUAACACUUUUUAAAUUUUACUUACAAACAUUUAUAUAUUUAACAUAAAUUAUAUGAUUCAGAGUAAAAUGCCUGCCCCCAUAGCUAGUACUUUAUUCAACUAAUCGAAGAAACCCAUAAAGAGUUGGUAAAAAGUGGGUAAUUUCUUUUUUUUACUUUCACGUAUUUAAUUUAUAUUAAAUACAAAACCUACUAGUUUUCCUUUCGUAAUAAUAUUAUUAUAAUACUUUUUGAAUUUUACUACCAACAUUUGAGAUACAAAAUUAGUGUAUACAUAUGUAAAAUCCAAAGUUCAAAACCUUUAAGCCUUUUGCAAACCUGAAAUGAAAUCUCUACCAACUAAAUUAAUAACAACUAUGAAAUAACAAUUUUUUUGGAUCUUGACUUCCAUUAGUGAGCUAAAUUAAUAAUAACUUCGAUAAAAUAAUAAGAUAAUAUUUAAAACAAAAACCUUACAUAAUCGAAGUCCAGAAUGAAGAAAUGAAAAAAAGUGGUACAUAUUGUAAACAAACAACGCAUUCAUCUAAUGCGUUUUAUUAUAAAAUAACGCAUUUCCGAAAUGCGUUUUAUGGUGAGAUCAAAAAACGCAUUCUAAUAAUGCGUUAUUUGACCAAUUUUUUCAUAUUAAAAUAAAUUGAUGAAAAAUAAAAUAACGCAUUUGACAAUUGCAUUUUUAUUUAUAAAAACGCAUUCCCUGGAUGCGUUUUUCAUCCUUUGGGAAGAUACUAAAAAAACACCACCCUUUGGGAAGUUAGUUUAAAAAGUCACACUUUUUGGGAAUUUACUCAUUAAAUUCCUCAUAACUUGGUAAACAAUCAUCAUGCACUUGUUCAAUUUACACUCAAUACUUAUAAUAUCAAGUAAAGGAAAGAUAAUUAUGCCCUAAAUUCAACAAGUUAAACUUAAUCUUUCACCCUAACCUAAUUUCACAAAUAAGCAAGUCAUAUAGUCAAUUUAUACCUUUCCUCCUCCCAAAAUCAUCUCUUUUCUCAAAAUGUUUAGCUAAGACGGAUUUACGGCCGGAUAUCUUACUUAAAUAGUGAAAACGUCUUUUGACGCGAAGAUCGACACUUUUAGGUGAAGAACUCCGAUUACUCAACAUUUCAUUUCUUUAAAUUGCUAUGCAUACUCUUAAUUCAAGUACCCCUUACGCAAAUGUCGACAUUUGUAAAUACCGAACCCGGUUACUGGGUAUGUGAAUCAUUGGAAUAGAACAAAAAUUACUCUUAUUCUUUUUUUUUUGUUUUUCUUUUUCAAAAGUAAAAGACAAUAAAUAGAUAUUCCCUCUUAAUAAAUAUGCAAGAAUAAUCAAAGAAAAAGUAUAGCUUUUAUUGACUAUAUCAAUCACUUACUUACAAAAUUAAGUAAAGAGGAGAAAUCAUAUUAAACAUGUAAAAUUAUAGACAUAAUUCUCCUCACUUUACUAGAUAUAUUUUCUAAAAUGCAAAAAUUCUAAUUGCAUAAUAAUCAUUUCCAAGUCAAAUGAGAAUUAAAUCUUCCAAAAUAUAUAUAAAGUUUCCAAAAGUGGAAUAAUUAGACAUUUAAAGUUGGAACAAUUUGGCCCGCCCUUUUUAAAUAAAAGUGCAAAAAUUUGAAGAAUUUUUUGGCCAUAGUGAAAUAUUGGAAAAGAUUUUAGAAAAAUUUGGACAGAGUUUACCCUUAUAAAUGGAUGAAACUCCCUGCCAACAAACCCAAUUUCAAGAAAAUUAUCCACAUGGCAAGUAUUUCAAACACAAUUCCAACAUUUUUAAGCAUUUAAAUCCACAAAAUAUCAUCACGUGGUAUUAGAAUGCAAGUUCAAACAUUUCCCUCCCCCACACUUAAACUUCACAUUGUCCUCAAUGUGAGAAAGAAAAAAUAACAAAAGUAAGAGAAAGUAGUACUCCCCUAAUAAACUUGUGCUAUCCAAAUCCAUGGCCAAGCAAUGAACUUCCAACCUUAUUUGCAAAGAAAGGAGGGUUUAAUUAAUGCACCACUUCAAAUGGCAAACUCAAGAAAAAAAAAACUAAAACUUCCAAGAAGUAAGCAUGCUAAUCAAGGGAAAAGGGACAAGGAUCAAGCAUGUGGAACCAUACAAUGUUCACGGGAUAAAAACAUGAAAUGAGCUAAUCUUUGCUAAUCAAGUAUAUGCAUUAGUAUCCAAAACAAAAUAAAGCUAAUUUCACAAAUAAGCUCAUCAUCAUGAACAAAAUAAGCUCCAUUUUUACAUUUUGUCAUCAAUGAUCAAGUCCCCUCAAGUACAAAAUGAAGGAGGAAGAAAGGGAAGAAUAAGGAAAAGUGAUCUGAGCAUUUGUUUUUGAAAAGAUCCGAGGUUGGAUCAUAAUGAGUGAGCUUGGAUCAAAAAACUCAAAUUUUUCUCUGAUUGCAAAAGUAGAUCCGAGGCCUCAUAUCCAUUGAUUCUGCACUUAUUGCAGAAGUUUCUGCAAUUUUCAGUUUGACCCCAAUUUGAAACACACUUUCCAAUUCGUGCUCUACAAUGAAAUUUUUAACAAUUCAACACUUCACGCACAUGAAAAGUGACUUAAACAUGAAUCUCAAAACCUCAAAACAAAUUAAAAAUAUGUAGAAUACAAUUUGAGGGUUGAGAUUCUUAGAUCAAAUAGUCCCCUUGACACUUCCAAUGCACGUGAUGGUGCUCAAAUGGCUCAAAAGAGUGCAAAUAGGUUAUGAACACAUUUAAACACUUGAAUGCACUUCAACUUCAUGCAAAAGACUGACUUAACCUCAUAUCAUGAAAUUAAGCAUUGUAAACUAAAAAAUUAAGGUUAAACUUCCCUUUUUUACAUCGGUCUCCACUCCUUAUAAACUUUUUUGCAUUUGAAAUAAUUUGCAUGAACCCUUGCCAUUGUCACCUAUAAAACACACAAAAACACUAGUUAAACAACUAAAAACUACUAAAAACAAGAAAUCGUUGGGUUGCCUGUGACGCCUCCACUUCUCCCAAUGGCGAACCCAAGGGUAUCGGCGGGACACCUGCCUAACUCUCACCAGGAUUUGGUACUAAUUAAAUUUACACUCAAUAAUAACCAAUCGAUACUAAAAUCGGAAAGAUAAAGGAAGGUCAAUUUCUCCAUAAACGUUCAAGUCUUAUAUCAUAAUCUACCCAGUUACUUUACAUUCCCAAAAUACACAGAUUCCAAAAUCAAAUUCUAAACAAAUACAUCCAUAAUUCUAAUCAAGUGAAGCCAAGAAAACAUGCAAGACAAGUAAUUCAAUAAUAAUAGCACUUACACAAUAGUGAAAACUAUAACAUUCAAGAAAUUUCACAAUUUAUAAUAAACACCCUUAAAUAGGAUGCAGAAGCUCUCCGGAGCUAAUGAUUUCUUACUUUGCCCAAAUUCAAUUUUAAUACCUUCUCGUGACGACACCCCAUCCUCCGGGUAGGUAAUUGAAUUCGUAGCACUUCACAUAUUCCAUGUAUGUUUUUGAGACGAUUCGAGAGGUACCUCCCACCCAAAUCGGUGUGGUACUUACUAUCGUUCAGAGGUCGAUGAGAUAUCGCUACAAUCGACUUAGAGUGUUUUAGGGUUCUGAGACGAUUCGAGAGGUACCUCCCACCCGGAUCGGUGUGGUACUUACUAUCGUUCAGAGGUCUAGGGUACUGAGACGACUCGAGAGGUACCUCCCACCCGAAUCGGUGUGGUACUUACUAUCAUUCAGUUUAUAGUUCUGAGACGAUUCGAGAGGUACCUCCCACCCAAAUCGGUGUGGUACUUGCUAUCGUUCAGAGGUCGAUGAGACAUCGCUCCAAUCGACUUAUACAGCCAUAGCAAUUUUUUCAAGUCAAAUCAGGUCAAGCAAGUCAGGUUAGGUCAAGACAAAUCAGGUUAAGUAAGUCACGUUAGGUCAAGCACGAGUCAUUUAUUUCAAAUGAGAACGAGUGCGAUAAAGUACACACUCGGCUCGGCAAGUUUACGUAUCAUGUAUAACACUUGUACAUCUAAUAUCUCAAUCACAUAAGUAUUUAACACAUACUUGACACUCAUCUAGUCAAAACAAGUGAGUAAGCGCCCAAACAAGUGUUUAGACGUCCGCUUCGAGUCCCUCUUGAAGGUCCCCUUGAGCGCCUGAGCAAAGAACCAUAAAUUAUUAUACACUAUCACUUAGAACUCCUACUUAUCAAAGAAAGUUGUACUAGUGUACAAUCUAAGGAGAAUUCAUGAAUUGAACCUUAAUUAUUUAUAAUCGAGACUCGGAAGUGGGUUUCAAAAACACAAGAGAAAUCUGAUUUUUGCCUUUGAAAUCAAGUGUAAAACGGUCUAGCAAUAUCGGAGGAAAAUGGAGAGUUUGAAACCCUCAAUUUCCUUUAAGUUCGGAAAUUUCAGAUUCGGUAAGCAAACUUUAAAAAAUCAGAUCUCUCUUUCUAUGAGUCCAAAAUUGGAAAACUUAGUACCGUUGGAAACUAUUUCCAAAGUACUAAAAGUUUCUAGAAGUCACUUUUCCAUGAUUCCAAACGGAAGGUAUUCAAAAUUUGUCUCAAAGUUGCUGUUUUGGCUUGCAAGAUAGUUUCGGGGUUGGUUUUCGGCAAAGUUUGGAAAUUCAGCAAAAUUCACACAAUGUGAACCAGUCUCUGAAAUUUGGAACUCAAUUAGAAUCGCAAACAAAGUUUAAAACAUAAUAAGCAGAACAAGAAUCGGAGUUUUGAACACCAAGAUAUAGUAGCUCAAAGUUGCUAAAAAAUCGAAACUUUUAGGCAAUUUCCAGGUUCAAAUCACAAACUUUGGGACUUUGGUUAAACAUUGAAACGGACUCGGAAUGGCACCGAAUUUGGCAAUAUUAUACUACCAUAUAAGGGCUAUUUCUUUGUCAAAUUUCAUGGAAAAAUACGUAUGGGAAGUUAGUUAACAAAGUCGCGAAAGUUUCUAAAUUUUCAAGGCAAAGCUGCCUUGUGCUACCAUUUCCCUUUUCUAAAUCAUUUGGCUAAUGAAAUAUUUUCAAACAUGGUUCAUUUGUGUAGACAAUGUCUAAGUAACAUUCAAGAUACAUUUUCUUAGGUGAUUAACAACAAGAAUCUCGAAAUAACAAGUCCCAAGUCAAGAUUGGCCAUUUGGCUAAGAGAAAAGGAAAAGUUUUCCAGAUUCGAAGAGCAAUUUCGGGACAUCAUUUGCAUAUCAAAAUGGUCUUAGAAUAUCACCAAAUUUUGAAAAAUUAUACCUCCAUAUGAGGACUAUUCCUCUAUCAAAUUUUAUUUGAAAAUUCACACGGAAAGGUAGUUAACUAAACCAUCAAAAUUCAAGAAAUUUCCCAAGGCAAAACUGUCUUCUAGCUCUUCUUUCCUUUUUAAACAUUUUGUCCAAUGCAACCAACCCAAAUCUGGUUUAUUUGUGAAAUAAAGUCUAAGGAACAUCUAAUAUAAAGUUUGGUAGAUGUUGGACAUCAAAUUUUCCAAAACAACAAGUUCCAAAUCAAGUUAGGCCAUUUAACUAGCUAAAAGAGGAUUUUCAAGCAUAAAUCCAGGUCUGUAAUUUGGCCAUAUCUCACUCAAUUCAACUUAAAAUUGAGCAUAGUUGAUGGAGUUGAAAACUUCAUUCAUAAGGUUACAAUUUCUCAGAAGAAAGCAUUUUUAAAAUCUGUCCACAACUAGCUCAUCUUUGAGCAUCAAUUUGCAGCUCAAGACGUGGACUCCAGUGAACCAGCGAAACAGGACAAUCAUGUUCAAAUGAGUGGUGCGGUUCACUCAGGUAGAUUCUGGACAUGCCUUUUAUACUAUUGAAAAUCUGGGAAUGUCUAGUUUCUAGUGAUAUAAACGGUACUCGAUUUCGACAUCGGAGUAAAAAGUUAUGGCCGUUUGAAAAACACUGCCAGGGCAGUGAUGGGAAAAUUUCCAGAUUUGCCGAACUUCUGAAAUCACAACGUUUGGCCAACCAAAUCACGUUAUUUUUUGAUGAAACUUUUUACACAACCCACACAACAUAUAUACAUCAUAAAUAAGACAUUUGAUCCACUGAAAAGUGCUCAAAAGCACACGAAAAUGAUAGGGGCAGUUUCGGAAUAUUUUUGCUCAUCACCUCCUUUGAGUUUCCUUUCACCAAUACAACUUAUUUCCACUAAUUUAAGUACUAAACCAACAUUAAUAACAUCAAAACUCAUGAAAUUAGUCCUCAAGUCAUUGUGGGAAUUCAUAGACCCUACACAACAAAAUCCAACAUAAAUAAAGCUACCCACAUGAAUAUAUGAGCUUAUAUGUGCAAUAUAUCUUCCAUGAACUAAGAUUUCAGAGGUUGAUCGUUCAUUACCUCUUUGGUUGAUGAACUCAGAAUUUUGGCCACUAAAAAGCUCCAAGAAACCGUGGAAAUGAAGGCUCUUCUUCUAGCUUAAGAUGAUCACCAAGUGCUUAGCAAAGUGUGGUUAAAGUUUGAGGUGAUUUGGUGGAGGAUUAGUGAAGAUUUGAAGAAGAAAUUGAGGAAGAAACUUGGUUCUUUUCUCUCUUGAGGUGCACGGCCAGUUUAGGAGCAAAAGAGAGUAUUUUGGCUCUAAUGAAGCUUCCAAGAGAAACUACAAUAUGUGGCUCACAAUGGCCCAAAAGUCAACCCUCUUCCCGCGCGCGUACUCGCGUGUUUCUUGCUCGAUUCCUCUCGAGUUUAUUUCACUAGUGCACUAAACCUCUGAUACACUUGCAUACAUAUUAUUAUUAUUCAAUCUUAAUAGUCUAAAAAUAAUGGUCUUAAGUCCCUCAAUUAAUUGCGCGUGUAAAAACACGUACUCUCGAUUUAAGCGCGAUAAAGUGAAAUCUCCAAGAAAUUCUUAUAACGAUAGUAUAUCUAACUAUCACUUGAGCACUUAACAUAAAAAUACCUAUUUCAAGACUAAUGUAUAAGUUUCCAAUUUUUCAAAUUCAUUGUACUCUCAAAUCUGCUAUAGUCUCCAAACACGUUUCACCAUUCUCACUUAACGAUUUUUCAAAAAAAUAACUUUUGGAAUCAAGUCAUUUUUAAAAUACACGUGAGCCAUAAUUCCAUGUAUUUGAGCAAUAAAAGGUUGAAAUAAAAUAUUCAGAGAAAACAUGGGAGUAAAUAAUUAAUUAAGCCAAAAAAAUAAAAUAAAACAAGAAAAUUUGGGUCCUCACAUUGCCUCCCAACAAGCGCUUCUUUAUAGUCAUUAGCUUGACUAUAUCAUCUCAUUUUCCAAGGAGGCUUUGAUAACGAAUAAUCCACCAUUAUAGGUCAUGAUGGAUCAUUAAAAGGUGACUCGAUCACAUGAGUCACGUGUUCUAAUAAUAUGAGAGAUGGAAGUAGCUUACCUAAUUGAAGUGAAUCGUAGAUAUUACCUUGAACAUGCACCGCUUGAGUACUCACCAAAGAAACAUCUACAUAGUCUUUUUGGGCUAUAAUACCUUUAGAACCUAUACAAUCAACACAUUCCUCAAGAGGGGUGAAAAAUGAGUCAUUAAGGCUCACCUUUUGAGGUUCAAUGUUAACUCCAAAGGUACUAUCUUCUAAAAUGGAUAUUUCCUCAUUGAAACACAAAUUAGAUUCAUCAUUUUGAUCAAAAUUUAAUCCAUUGUCACAUACAACAUUCCCACCAUUCAUAAUAGGGUCAUUUUGCAUAUCAUUAGAGGAAAUAACUUCACAUAAUGCAUAUAAUUUGUCGUGUAUUCUAUCAAAGUGAGAAGUUAAUUCAUCUAACAUUUCCUUAACCCUCUCAAAACGGUUAGAGGUUGCAUUUGCUAGCUUUUCUAUGACUAAAUCAAAUUAAUUAGAAGAAUUUUCUACAGCUAGUUCCCAAGAUGCAUUAAAAUCAUUAGUUAAUGGUUCACUUUCUAAUUCCCAAGAUAGAGGUGCAUUAGCUAACUUCUCUAUUGCCAUUUUCCAAGAUGGUUUUGAUUCAUAGUAGACAUAUUCGGAUUGGUAAUCAUAUAAACAAGAAGAAGCACUAUUAGUACAUUGAUUAUCCCAACCAUAAGCACAAGAAUUGCUCCAAUUAGCACUAUAUUGAUCAAAACAAGGAUUGUAAUGCUCUAAUUCAUCAUAAUAAUCCACUUUUUGUACUUGCAUACAUGGAUUAGUAGCAUGAUAACCUCCACACAAGUCACAAAUCACAUGAUAAGAGUUAAAAGCAUUAGCAUUCCUCCUUUGCUCAAUUUCAUGCAAAAUUGUGUCUAUUUGAACUUAUAACAUGAGAACAUCAAAUUUUGCCUUUAAGCACUUCAAACCAUCGUCAAAAGGCAUACCUUCAAUAAUUUCUUGGUUACCUCUGUUGAAGGAGCUUUGCACUUGGUAACCAUCCAUUGCCAAUCUUCCACUUCUCAAGCAUUGUCCUCCAAAUUGGCCUACCAUUCUUAUCACCUAAAAUUGCUUUUAAACAACUUAAGAGCAAGAUUAGUAAGAAAAAUAGGUUAUAAAACACAUACACACACAAAACACUAAAAUAACAAAAAGUAACAUUCAUACUAUAACUAAUAAAAUGUCUAAACUAAUAAAGUUGCUCUUCACACCGAUAUUGCCAAAUCUUCCCCGGCAACGGCACUAAAAACUUGAUGUGCGCGGGGUAUAAAUAUCAAUUUAGCUCAUUCACAAUCAAGUUUUACAUUUAUAAACUCCUAAAUACUCCACAUGUGAUUUAUCGCAAGUAUACGAAUCGUGAGCGAGUAUAGGGUAUUAAGGGUCGAUCCCACAAGGAAGAUUAUAAUUACCGGCACUACUAAAACUUCUCUAUUAUUUAAACUAUCAAUAAAUUAUAAUAAGUAAAACCUACUAAACUUAUACAAGAAAAUAACAAAUGAAAACUCCUUGGGUUGUGGUAUCCCUAACUACUCAUGCAAGUGUGACUUUUGGAUAAUUGAGUACUACUAUCUAAGCUAGCUACGGUGUAAUUUUCUAUGCAUUUGAAUCCUACUUUCGUAGUGAAUCAAUUAUACUCAUAACUAAUCCAUACUUAUUCUCAUGGUUAUGAAAUUAGCUACAAGUUCAUUGUUUCAAUAAAAUUACAUGACAUUAAUCACCAAAACCACAUAGGUGCACCUUUACUCUCGUGAGUGUACUACCUAUGUUUAGCACCUCUUGAACCAAUGUUGAAUCUCAAUUUUCAUUACAGAAACAAUACCUUAGAUAAUCAAGAUUAAUUGUACCAGAUUAAUCACGAUUUAAAGAGUUAAAGUGCUAAAUAACUUGCUCAAAUACUAGCAAUCAAAUAGCCAAAUAAUAAACACUAACAGUCAUAGGAAGUUCAACCAAACCCAAGGCAUAAACUUUAAAGACACAUCAUAAACACAAAAUCCAGAACUUGUAUAUUAACUAAACUUAGAAUCAAGUACAAAAGAUAAAGAGUUGGAAAGAAAAAUAACCCUUGUCACAUGAGUUCUUCCCUUGCCUUCUUCAUCUCCAUCUUCAUCUUUGCCUAGCUAAUAAACAAGUAGGAUGAACUAUACUACUCUAUACUCAACUACUAAACUAAUUGAACUAAGAAAAACUAGUGAGAGUUACAUUUUUGUGGAGUUUCUCUAGCCUUCCAAAGUUAUGAAAAUGUUCUUCAAGGCUUAUAUUUAUAGAGGAAUUUCUUGUAAUGGGCAAGUGUUUAAUCAUGUACUGAGCCCAUAAACAAGCUAAAAUGGAGUUGUAAAGUUUCUUUUGCAGCUGUCUUGGGCAAAAUGGAGUUGUAAAGCUUUUUUUGCAGUUGUCUUGGGUUGUUUCCACCGAUAAUCUUGCAGGAAAGGUAGGUCAAAAACUUGUGUGAAUAGAAUACAAGUUGGUAAGCCGAAAGUAGUGAUCCGAGGGCUAGAUCCGAGCUUGGAUUGCUCACAUUACCCCUCGGAUCGCAUUUUUCUUCAUUUUUUACCUUCACUGUUCAUUGGGAUCCGAGGCCUGCUACAGUGGAUCUGAGCUCAGAUCCUCUAGUCUCGAAUCCACUUGUCUAGAAGAUCAGACGAGGGCUCGGAUCAUAUUGGAUCCGGGUUCGGAUCGUUUGCUCUGUUUUUGAUCCAUUUCAAUUGAUAUUUUUUCAAUGUUAGAGCUGAACUAGCUCUUAUAUAAAACAUGAAAGUUGUAGCUCUUUGAGUUACCUUUCCAAUGCAUCAAGAAUUACCUAAUUUGAAGCUCCGUGGACUGAUAAAUGACCAAAUUACCCUUGAUUGGUCAGAAACUUGUUUCACCUUCGACCAUAGAAAAUGUACUUCAGUAUUUCGACCUUUUGACUAUGAAAACCAACGAACAGGACUUCAAUGUCUUCAGACCAACUGUAGAUCAAUCUCUUGGCUUCAAAUGGUAUAAGAAUCACCUCAAUCCGAUCAUUAUCGCUCAAGAUAUUGCCAAAAUACCACAAGGUGCCAAAGCUAUGAAACUCCUUUUCUUUAGAAUUUGAUUGCAUUUCAUCUCUUGUACUUUAUAUUCUCUUUUUAUCUCUUAAAACCAUCAUCAAUCAUCCAAUUUUCUUCUCAAUUUAUGUCAUUUGAUGAUUGAAUCAUUAAACCUAAAAAAACAUGAAGUUUUCACCAUAAAAAUCCAUAGAAAUGCAAUUUUUAAUACUUAAACCCCUAAAUGCAUAUUUUCACUAGAAUCUUAGUUAAUUAGCCAUAAAAGUUGUUAAAAUACACCAAAACUAAAUAAUAAAGCACACUUAAAACACUCAAAAUAUACACUUAUCAUUGUACUUAAAACACAAAUGUGGAGACACUAAGACUCCGUUUGGAUUGCAUUUUUCAUAAUUUUUUAUGAAAAAAUUACUGUAGCGAUUUGAUGUAUGUAAGGGAAAAAGAUACUCCCUCCAUCCCAAAAACUUUAUCGUGCUUUGGGAGUUGAACUUUUUAUGUACAGUACUAAGUUUCAGCCUUGUUUUCCAAUUUUGCCACUUCAAAAUCACUAUUAGAAACAAGAAUGUGUGGUCAUUAGUGGUCAAGUAGACAGAAAUGACAUGUGUGGCCCAAAGCUAUCUACAAGAAAUAUAAUCUGCCAACGAGAGUGAUAUUUACACAUCACUUCAAAUCUUGUGUGUAUCUCACGAAUGUCUUGCAACUUUUGUUAAUAGUAAAUGAAAAUCAACGGACCCACUAAUAAAAGUAAAGAAUGAGGAAAUCUUGAAGGGCAAAAAUUGAAACAAGAGAAAUUUUGUUUUCCAUUUUGGGUAUGUGGCAUAUAUUUUGGGACAAACAAAAAAGAAAAGUAUGACACUUUCAAUGGGACGGAGGGAGUAACAGGGAAAUGUGAUCACAGAAAAUGACACAAUUUUCUGGCAAAAAAUGACAAUCCAAACAGGAAUUCCCAAAAAAAAUGUGUUCUAAUGCUUUCAUUUUAAACGUUCUCUUAAUUUAAAACGAACUUUUGGCUAAAGUCCUUGAAUUUUAAAGUGAUUUCAAAAUCAUAAUAUAUUUACAACUUCAUCUAUAAUUUUUUUUUUAUAUUUGAAUCAAUUGUAAAGCCUAAUUCUAUUUGAAAGACUGUCCUGAUAGUUGCAAGAAUGGAUUGGACGAUGAAUGUAAGGAUUGCCCCAAAAAAAUUGCCAAAAAAAAGGCAUCAAAUGAAGAAAAAGGAUUGCAUACAAGUAUUCUAAUUUAGUAAUGAUGAAAAACGGAGAAAUUGACAUAAUUUACCAAAUCAAUACAGUAAACAUAAGCUAGGCUGCAGCUACUAAUUUUAUCAAAAAGAUUCUGAAGUGCUGAUCAAUAGCUCCAAUAACUCUAGCUGCAAAAGAUUUUUCAGAAGAUAGCACAAUAACAAGUGUUUAUUUUACAUAAUAGUUUGUAUAAAUUUUAGUUCAUUUGUAAUUAAUUUUUAGCUCCUAAGAUAAUAGGAGUGACUAUUUUGACAAUAUUUGAUGUGUUUGAUUAACUUUGAGAAGACUUCUUAAUUCGUGCCUUUUACUUGUUAAAAUUUGUCAUUUUUGGUAGGGAUGAAUGAUCAUAAACAAUACGGAACUGUUUACAAAAAAUCAUCAUCGGGUUGGAUGAGAGUAUACGGGGUCAGAUAGUAAAUUUUGAGUCAAAUACCAAAUUGGAUAUCCUUUAAAAAGUUUUGCAAGAGAAAGACGUUGAAUUUAAGAAGUGAAACUAGAUAAUCGCGCCAGAUACUCAUUAAAGCAUUUUUCGAUGAAAAGUAUUUAGCAGUAUACAACACCGGAUAAUGAAACACAUUUCGAAUACUACGUCAUAUAUUUGAACGGGAAAUUUUUGCAAGUUGCGCAACUUACACAACUUGCAACCAUUUUUUUAUCUUUCUUUCUUGCAGCAUCCAUGACGUUUUGGCAGCCACUUUUUGAACCCAACACAUCAACUUUUGUCAACUUUAUGUCACUCCAUUGUAAGCUUUUGACUCUUCAAGACCAAACCAAGUUUCUUAUGGAAGAUUCAAGGGGACUUGAAGAUUAUAAAUAGAGGGAGGUUUGUUGAGUUUUUGAGCUUUAGUUUUCUAGUUAGUUUUAGAAAGGGAGAGAGUUUUGGGCAAAAGAGAGAAACAAAAGGGGUUGUGUCUUGCCACAACACUUAUAACUUUCUUCUUCAUUUCUAUUAGUUUAUAGGACUAGUUUCAGACUUGUGUUGUGCAUUCACUUGUGUAUUGGCUCAACAACAAGGUUGAUGGAGAUGAAGGCGGAGACGCUCAAGAAGCUCUAGUGACAAGGGUUUUUCUUCCCUCCACCUCUUUAACUUUGUAUUGGAUUUUAAGUUUUAUUAAUGCAAAUUUUGGAUAUUAUGUUUGUGAUGUUGUUUUAAAAUUUAUGCUUUGGAUAUUGGUUGAGCUAUCUAUGAUUUCUAUGUAUUGAUUUCUUGAUUAUUUUGGUAUUAUCUUGAUUAAGUUAUUUAGCGCUUUUGAUAUCAAAAUUAUGAUUAAUUGGUUAUUAAUUGUAAUAAUUUCAAGGUGUUAGAUUUACAAUGAAAAUUAAAAUUUGACACUAGUUCAUAGAAAUGUUAAAUUUAGGGAAUACACUCACAAAAAUAGAGGUGCACCUUUGUGAAUUGCUUUGUAAUAAUUUCAUAAAAGUAAAUGAAUUUAUAGUUGAUUUCAUACCCAUGAAGUGGGUAUGGAUUAGUUAUAGAUAUAGUUGGUACACCAGUGAAAAUGGGUAUCGCGUACAUAAGGAAAUUAGCCAUGAUUUAGCCAAGAGUUUAGUACUAAUUGAGACGGAAAGUUGCACUAGCAUGAGUAGAUAGAGAUUUCAUUAUUCGAAAAGUUUUCAUUUGUAUUUUUUUGCCCAUUAGUAGUUUAGAUUUGUUUAUUUUCAUUUGUUGAUAGUCUAAAUAAUAGAGAAAUUUUAGUGUCGGUAGUUGUCCGUCUUUCCUGUAGAUUUGACCCUAAUUACCCUAUACUCACUCACGACCCGUAUACUUGCGAAUAAUCACGUAUGUGGCAGUUUAGAAAAUUAUAAAUUCAAAACUUGACUGUAAAUUGAACUUUAUUGUUAUAUGCAUACGCCGCACAUAUCAAUUUUUGGCACUGUUAUUGGAAUAGAUUUGUGGCAAUAUUGGUGUGAAAAGUAACUCUAUUAGUUUAAAUAUUUUUAUUUGAUUUCUUGUGCUAUUUUUGUCCUUUUUUUUUGUUUUCAUUUGUGUGUUGAUGUGUUUCUUUGUGUGUAUUUUGUUUUGUGUGUUUUGUUUUUGUUUUUGUCUAAUGUGUUACUAGCAUCUAUCUUUUUUUGUCUAAUCUUGCUUUUGAGGUGUUUAAAAACAUUUUUAGAAAAUGAGAAGGAUAGAUUCUUUUGAAGGACAAUGCUUGAGACGAUGAAGAGAGAAAAUGAAUCUUCUGUACUUUUAAGGCUAUAACAAUAGAGAAAUUCAUGAUAAUCAUGCAAGUAUGUCCCUUGAUGAUAGCAUGUUGAGAUUAAAUGCUAAUUUAGACGCCUAAAAAAACUACUAAGAAUGCACACUAUCUCCUUUUUGGUGGUCAUAGAGCCAAUGGCAGAUGUUUCUCAACUUGACGACUUUAGAUUAAAGUUAGGCUUUCACCUAGCCAUUAGUAACAUAAGCAACAAGAUCUGGGUGCUAUGGCAUUCAGAUUUUGCGGUUAACGUCUUGAUCAACUUGGAGCAAUUCCUCCAUGUUGCGACCACGCACAUAUCAUGGAGGAGUGAGGUUUGUUGUUCUUUGUUCACGCUAAGUGCACACUAAUGUAAAGGCGUAGUCUUUGGGCUAAUUUAUUGGCGAUCUCGGGGAGCCUGGGGCCCAAGCUGUGGAUGGUGGGGGGAUUUUAACAUGAUAGCGGAUGAAGGUGAAUACUUGGGGCGAGCACCGCAGAAUAUUACGACACUGAAUGAUUUUGCUGACUGCAUUUCGAGAUGCGGGGUGAAGACAAUGGUAGCUAGUGGGAGCCAGUACACGUGGACGGGCAUUCAGCAGGGCCGCCGAGUAUGGAAGUGCCUCGAUAGGAUUUUGAUGAACGUUGCUUGGCAGCAGCAAUUUACGGCAUUAGGAUUGCAACAUUUGAACUGGACAUCCUUGGAUCACUACCCGUUGCUGCUGGGCUUGGUGGCAGAUGGGCGAGUAGGAUCGUGGCCUUUUAAGUUCCAACACAUGUGGGUCAAGCACCCAGCAUUCCUGGAUGUGGUGGAGCAAAGCUGGAUACAGCCCCUUGAAGGCUACGGGAUGUUCCUCUUGGCACAGAAGUUGAAACGACUGAGGAAAGCUUUGAAUGAAUGGAACCGGUCCACCUUUGGGGACAUCUUUGCCAACAUAGCGAGAGCUGAAGACGAAGUUCGACAUGCGGAACUAAGGCUUGAGGAGGUGGAGAAUGAGGAAACAAGGAUGCACUGGAGCCACGCUCAAGCCAAAUUACUAAAGUGCCUGGCAGAUGAAGAAACCAUUUGGAAGCAGAAGGCCAAGGUCAAAUGGCUGAAGGAUGGGGAUGCAAACACCCGGUUCUUCCACUCUAAGUUGCUUGAUAAGCUGGCGAAGCUCUCCAUUCGACGGAUAAAAAGCUCGGAGGGUAGUUACAUUGAGGACGACCAGGACAUUGGGGCGGAGGCCGUGUCCUAUUUCAAGCGCCUAAUGUCCUCAACGCCGACCUCGCCUGAGCAGGCCAUGGGAACUUUGCUGCAAAACAUCCCAUCCAUUGUGACACAGCGGCAAAAUGACCACCUUUUGUGAGAACCCACCUUGGAGGAAGUGAAAACCGCGGUCUUCCAACUUGAUGGACACAGCGCACCAGGAGUCGACGGGUUUACUGGGGUUUUCUUCAUGCACUAUUAGAACCUUGUUGGUGGGCAUAUAUUCCAGGCGACUCGGAAGUUUAUGUGUAGGGUGCCAAUCCCGAAGAGUUUUGCUAGCAUGCUACUGGUCCUGAUCCCAAAAAGAGACUCGUCGCAGACCUUUGCCGAUUUCCAGCCCAUCAGUUUAUGCACGUUUAUCAAUAAGGUUUUUACCAAGAUCCUAUGCAAUCGGCUAAAGGUGGUCCUACCCUCUAUUAUCUCCCUGGAACAGUCAGCUUUUAUACAGGGCAAAGAGAUAUCAGACAACAUACUGUUGGCACAAGAAUUGGUGAGUACAAUAAACAAGCGGGUUCGCGGCCAUAACACCAUUUUCAAACUAGACAUCAUGAAAGCCUUUGACCGAGUUUCCUGGGACUUCUUAUCUCGACUUCUCCUCAAGUUUGGCUUCCAUCCACGGUUUGUCCACAUGGUGAUGAACAACUUAGCCUCCUCGUGGUUCUCAAUUCUAAUUAACGGACAAUAGCAUGGUUUGUUCCAGCCAUCCAGAGGAUUGAAGCAGGGUGACCCCUUCUCUCCUUUUUUGUUUAUCUUGGUAUCAGAGGCCCUCAACCGGGGAUUGAUUAAGUUGGACUCGGGCGCCGUCCACAGCUACGCACAGUCAAGGGGUACCUCACCAGUGUCUCACCUAGCAUUCGCCGACGACAUAAUAAUAUUCACUACAGGAGACCGAAGAUCGGUGAAAGCUCUUAUGUAUUUCUUGGACGUGUAUCAGGAUGGCUUGAGCCAAAUGAUAAACAGGGACAAAAGUUUUUAUGUGACCUCCUCCAGGUGCCCCUCCUCCAGGGAAUGCCUCAUAUCUAGGUUGACCGGCAUGCGACGCCAAACUCUACCCCUCAUGUAUUUGGGAUGCCGACUUUUCACGGGACAAAGGACAAAGGAGCACUUCUACCAUUUGAUACUCCGAAUGCAAUCUAAGAUGGCGGGCUGGAAGCAGAAACUAUUAUCCACCGGGGCCGCUUAACCCUCAUACGGCACGCCUUAGCUGCCAUACCUCUAUACACCUUCGCGAUUCUGGACCCUCUACAAGGUAUCAUGAGACAACUGGAGCAGGUUAUGUCUUGUUUUUUCUGGGGGAGAGGUGGAGGGACGAGACAAAUGCCAUUGGCGAGCUUGGAGCAGCAUAUGUUGCCCUACGGAGCAGAAUGGGCUGGGGAUCGAGACACUUGAGGAUGUAUCGCGAGCCUUCGUGUGCAAGCUAUGGUGGAAACUCCGGACCGGAUCUCUCCUCUGGGCCCGCUUUAUGAUUGCCAAAUACGCACCAGGAACCUGUCACAUCACUGAGGCUCCACUGAGACCCUCGAGUUCGCGAAUAUGGAGGAGACUGGUCGCCUGUUGAGACUUCAUGGAGGGCAACAUACAAUUACUUCUCCGAGAGGGUGACGCAUCUUUCUGGUUUGACAACUGGUUAGGGACGGGGCCCAUAGCCGAAGGGAAGGGACACAUCUCGUUGCCCAACGUCAGAAUUCGUGAUCUUUAUGAUGGGAUAGCGUGGCAUCUAACCCAGGUACGCGAGGCGCUGAUAGAAGAGGAGCAAACUCGAAUCCUUGGGUCACAAACUCAACUCUCCGAGGGGUGGGACAAGUGGGUCUGGACACCUUCCACGGAUGGUGGUUUCAGGGUUCAGUUGGCUCUAAAAAUGCUUCAAACACCGGCCAACAAUUUGAUCUCGUGGAAGUUAAUUUGGGGUUGGCGUAUUCCCCUCAAGAUCUCGAUCUUUAUGCGGAGGCUCCUGAACGGCUGGCUUCCUUUUUCGUAUAAACUACAGCAAUUUGGUCUUCAUUUGCCUUCCAAAUGUUCCUUUUGCCUAAAUUCGGAGACCCUACAACACUGCUUUGUCCUCUGCUGCACCGCUCAAUAGGUUUGGGAUCAUUUUGAGCACACCUUACGACUCAGGAGUGUGGCGGACUCCCUUAUGGAGAAGUUGCAAGGGUGGUGGAUCCACGCUUCGGGGGACUCAUCGAGGGCAGUUUUGUCCCAUCUCCUACCAAUCCUGAUUUGUUGGGAACUCUGGAAGGUCAGGAAUCAGGCGGUCUUCGAUAGUGUAACUGUACGGCCGAGCCAUAUCUGCCGCCAGGUUGUCUGCCUUCUCAACGGUAUUAGAGAGACCCACCCCUUUGCCUUACCAACUUCGGAGGGCGAUGCCUGGAGCCGAUUGGGAUUACCCCCAUCCACUAGACGGCCACCACCGCAAAAAUGGAUUUCCUUGGUUUGGUCCUUGCCCUUAUACCCCUACAACAAAUUGAAUGUUGAUGGUUCGUCCCUUGAAAACCCUGGGCACUCGGGUGGAGGUGGCAUAGUCAGAGAUCAUCAUGGCCAGGUACAGGGUGCAUUCUCCACCUACUACGGCCACUGCACGAAUAUGGAAGCGGAAACUAGAUGCAUCCUGGAGGGACUUCAUUAUUGCCUCUCCCUUGGCCUAGUCAGAGUGAUUGUACAUAUGGACUCGAAACAGCUUCUCAAGAUGGUGCUGAGGGCUGCCUCUACACCUUGGAAACUAGACACUUAUGUUCGCCGGAUACACCAUUUAUUGGCCCACGUAGACUUUAUACUAGAGCACAGCUACAGGGAGACCAACUCAGCGACAGAUGCACUUGCUAAGCGGGCAGUAACUACACAACAGUCGGAGACCUAUGGGGCCGCCACCCUGCCAAAGCAAGUUAGAGGGCUUACCAAGUUAGAUGCAUGCCAGUACCCUUAUUUUCGUCGGGUGCUCCUGAGUUAGCCGCCUCCUAUCACUCAGGCUAGGAUAAGAAUUGAGGCCCCACUAGUGUUCCUCCAGAAAAUAACGUGUAAAUGCCUCUCAUGUACUUCUUAUCCCUUUCAUCAAUAAAACCAAGUUUUUUUAAAAAAAAUGCUAAAUUAGACAAUUUGAUGCAUUUGAUUGAACAAUAUAGGAAUGUUAAUUUUUCGAAUUCUAAUUAUAUAGUUUGUGUUUUGUAUGGAGGUUAUCAUGUUGAUUAUCAAUGUAUAUAAGCACACAUGUAGAUUACUUUGAUGGAUUUGAAUAUGGCACUUCUUAUGUUGAUUAUCAUGGCCCUAAUUGGGGUAACAUGCAUAAUUAUGGUUGGUAUGAUCAUUGUACUUCUAGUGAUAAUUUAAAUUUUUAUGAUUUCUAACCUCAACCUGUUGAAUAUGAUUUCAAACCAUCAUGGGAGUUAGCUAUAGAAAGGCUAAUAAGCAACUCCGAUCAAGUCAUAGAAAAAGUAGCCUUUGGAUCUAAACCACUUUGGGAGCGAGUUAUAGAAAAAUUUGCUAAUAAAGUGGAUUUAGAUAUAGAAAAACUAACUAAUGUGAUAUUCGAUUGUUUUGUUAAGAUUGAGAAUAGAAUAGAAGAAUUGAAUUUACACUUUGAUAGAAUACAUGAUCAAUUACAUGAAUUGUAUGAAGUUAUUUCAUCUAAUCCUAUGUAUUUUGCUUCUAGAGAUAAUGAUGCGGGUAUUGGAUGUGGAAGUGACUUGUGUUUAGAAGAUGAUUAUGAUAUUAAUUCAAUCCCUUGUAAUAAUAUUUUUGGAACUAAUCUUGAAACUCAAGAAGUAAUUUUGAAUAAUGCAUUUGUUACCCUUUUGAGGAAUAUUUAGUGCCUACAGGUUCCGAAGACAUGAUUGAACAAGUAAUUCCUGCAACAUUUCUUUUGAGAAGUUCUCAAGUGGUGCGCAUUUAAAAUGAUAUCUAUCAAACACUUGAAAUCGAUAAACCCCUUCCUGCUCUCUUAUCUUUUGGAUAUGUGGUUCAUUCAUUCGAGUCACCCUUUGUUGAUCCACCAUGACCUAAGUUGGUAGAUUACUUUUUGUCAAAACCUCCUUGACAAUGAGGCAAAAAGUCAAACUAAUGACUAUAAACAAGUGCUUGUUAGGAGACAACCCAACGAUUUGUCAAAUUUCUUGUAUUUAUUUUUAUUUUGUAGGUUUGAAAAAUAAAAGUAGAAUGAGCACAUUUAAUAGAAAUUUGGAAAUCAACGACACCCAACCACAACAAAUCACCUACUAUGCUAGGGGAGUAUUUCUUUUUUUUUUUUCAUUUACCUUUUUCACAUUGAGAACAAUGUGUAAUUUAAGUGUAGGAGUAAGGUUGGUUGAAAUUGAAUGCAUCCUUGGUAUUCAUGUGAAAAUUGAUAUAUUUGUUAAAAAUUUUGAUGUUGGUGAUAUUGGUAUGUUUGAAAUAUUGAAUUUGGGAUUGUUGGUAUAGAGAAUGGCCCAAAUAUAAGGAAAAAUUUUGUCAAAAUUUUUUCUAAAAACCUUAAUACCAAUAGUGUCGUUAGUUGUGUUGUGCCAGUUGAUAUGAGAUUAUGUGUAAGGUGCUUUGAAAUUGUUGUUAUGUAGGUCAAGAAUUCUGAUUUUUAGCGAACUUAAUGUCUUAUAAAGUGAACUUUAUCAUAUUGAGACUUCAUUAAAUUCAUGAAAUAUAUUGUUCUUGAUUUGUUUAUUUAAGUUGUGUGAUUAAUAUGAUUGAUAAAUGCGAAACUUUUCUUGUAAUUUUUCUCUUAUUUCUAGUUUUUACAAGGAUUAAGUAAUGUGUUUUUGCUUUCAUAGAAGAAGAAAAGAAAGUUAUAUGAUUAUUGAUCACAUAAGUAUUUACUCCAAUUAUUCGAAGCACUUAAUAAUCAAGGGUUGGCCUUUACAAAUGUCGACGUUCACAUAAAACGAUAUUAAAAUUAAGAGUAUGUAAAGCAAUAAUCUCAUGUGAUCAAGUAACCAGGGGAAUGCAUCUACCAGUUUUUGUCUUCGCAUCAAAAGACAAGUUCACUACUCAAGUAAAGUUUGAUAAGAAAGAAAAAGAAAAAAAAAGUAUGUGAUCAAAGUGUGAAAGUUGUUCUAAUUUCUUGUCCUUGUUUGUAUAAGUUCUAAGGGGUGAUUGCAAGUUUAGUUCUUACAUUUGUUAAUUAUACUAGUUGCAUGACAAACAUAAUUAGAUUAGAGAUGAUACAUGGUAUUGGACUUAAUUAAAUAUUGGUAUGAAAAGUUCUCUUUUACUUGGUUCUGUUCAGCAUCUCAACCGGGCCACCUCUGAUCAUACGCCCUUAUUGGUGAAUCUGCGCUCUGCUGAUGCUAGUGUUCCGAAGCCCUUUAAAUUCCAGAAUUUCUGGGUUUCUAGCUCCUGUUUUAAAUCGACGGUGCAGAACAAUUGGGAACUUCCCACACAGGGAUAUGGUAUGUAUCGGCUAGCUUUCAAGCUAAAGCGACUAAAGGCAUGUUUACGCCACUGGAGCAAGCAGCAUUUUGGAAACAUCUUCCAGGCUGUCCGACAGAACGAGUUUGAGGUUCAGCAAAAAGAAAUAUUGUUUGACGCUGCCCCGACGGAUGAGGCGAGGGCUGAUCUUCAUCGGGCAAAAGCCAGCCUGUUGCAAUGUCUCCGGGUUGAAGAGGACUACUGGCGUCAAAAGGCGCGCCUGCGUUGGUUGAAGGAUGGGGAUUCCAAUACACGAUAUUUUCAUGCAUCAGUUAGAGAGAAACGAUCAAAGCUGGCCAUUCACCGCAUUAAGGAUGAGGGGGGGACUUGGCUUGAGGAUGACGACCGGAUUGGCCAGGCAGCGGUGUGUUUUUUCCAGUGCCUUCUUACAGCUAAGGAGGUCAGCAAUGUUGAUGAUUUUCUCAUACACAUUUCGAACCUAGUGUCUGCAGAUCAAAAUGGAGUCUUAUUAAGGGAGGUUACAAUGGAGGAGGUAAAGGGGGUAGUCUUCGAGCUUGAUGGGGAUAGUGCCCCGGGUGCGGAUGGAUUCACUGGCACCUUUUUUCGCCAUUGCUGGGAUAUAGUGGCCCUUGACGUCUUAGCAGCGACCAGGGAUUUUUUGGCUGGGACUCCGAUCCCAAAAGGAAUUGCCAGCACUUUGAUUGUAUUAAUCCCGAAGAAUCCGAACCCAGCUACGUUUGCAGAUUUCUGACCCAUUAGCCUGUGCACCUUUAUGAACAAAAUUUUUACGAAGGUCCUUGCCAAUUGGUUGGAGGCUAUUCUCCCAGGCAUUAUAUCUCUGGAGCAAUCCGCGUUUUGCCCUGGCCGUGAUAUUGCUGAAAAUGUUCUCCUGGCACAAGAAAUGAUUGCCUCUGUUAACAAGAAGGCCCGCAGACACAACUGCAUAUUCAAAUUGGACAUGAUGAAGGCUUUUGAUAGGGUGUCAUGGUGGUUUCUACGGCAGCUCCUCUGCAAGUUUGGUUUUGACUAUCGUUUCAUUUUCCUUAUUUUGAAUAACCUCUCCCACAGCUGGUUUUCUGUGUUGGUAAAUGGCAGGGCUAGGGGCUUUUUCCAGGCAUCCCGUGGGAUUAAGCAAGGUGAUCCUUUGUCCCCUCUCCUUUUUAUUCUGGCAUCCGAGGCCCUUACUAGGGGUCUGAAUGCACAAGUAGCUGGUGGCAGUGUGGCUCCCUAUGCAACACCGCGUGGAUGCGUUCGGGUCACACAUUUGGCUUUUGCGGAUGACGUCAUCAUUUUUGCUCGGGGAGAUAGGAGGUCGGUAGGGAAUUUGGUUCAUUUCUUAAAUCUAUAUCAAACUGCAACAGGCCAGCAGAUUAAUAACCACAAGAGCUUAUUCAUAGCAUUGCGUCGGUGUGGUUCUGGCCAAAUUCGACGAAUUCAGCAGAUGACCGGUUUCAGGCAUGGGGCCCUGCCUCUCCAGUAUCUGGGAUGCAAUUUAUAUGCUGGACGUCGGAAAAAAGUGUACUUCCAGUUUUUAAUAGAUAAAUUCAUUACUAAACUUGCAGGCUGGCAGAAAAAACUUCUCUCCCAGGGGGGACGGCUCAUACUCAUUAAGCAUGUGCUUUCUGCCAUACCUACGCACGUGUUAGCCGUUAUGGACCCACCAUCCGGGGUGCUCAAGGAUCUGGAGCGAAUAAUGGCGAAUUUUUUCUGGGGUCAGACGGAGCUGGGCCCUAAACAUCACUGGCGUUCCUGGGAAAACCUAUGCUUUCCAGUGGAGGAAGAUGACCUUGGCAUACAAUCCUUUAAAGACAUAUAGGGGGCGCUCAGCUGCAAACUGUGGUGGCGUUUCAGCCAUUCGACCUCCUUGUGGGCUCUCUUCAUGAGGUCUCGUUAUAGUGAAGAUCGUGGGGCAGCCAGCGGGACAUCCAGAGUCUGGCGACGAAUGCUGGCCGUUUCUGAUACGGUGGCACAGGUCACCCGAAUUAUAGACUUGGAAGGCAGGGGUCGACCAGCUUGGACUCUAACAUCCUCUGGUGAUUUCACUAUUUCUUCAGCAUGGGAGGCUUUGUGGUCUAAAUGGGUUUGCCUUGGUUCUAGGAAAAGUGUAUGGAGUGGUCGAGUUCCUUGCAAAAUCGCUGUUUUUAUGUGGAAGCUACUCAAUAAGUACCUCCCUUUCCCUAAUGCCCUCUAGAGGUUUGGCCUCCACCUCCCCUCUAAGUGCCCGUUCUGCUUGAAUGGAGAGUCUCAAGAUCACAUUUUCUCCGGCUGCUUUCUAGCAUCUGAGGUAUGGAGUUUCUUUGCCAGGGCAAUAUGGGUUCCCAAUGCACCUUCGACGGACAUUCUCUGCCGGCUACAGCAAUGGUGGCUUUGUCACCCUCCAAGCUCUGCACGGGGAAAGCUGUGCAGGGUGUUGCCGUCGCUAAUCUGUUGGGGACUUUGGAAGGCUAGGAACAUGGCGGUUUAUGAGGGGGUUAUUUUAACAUCAUCUCAGGUUUGCUGGAAUAUUCAAUCGUUGCUGCAUCACGUGUCCCAGGUCUGGCCUUUGGUUCAAGUGACGCGGGAUGACGGGGAACUGGUCCACUCGGGCUUGUUACUUCGACUAACACCACGUGAGCAGAUGCUCCCGCGCUGGGUCAUUUGGAAGAAACCACCGGACGGGUAUGUCAAACUGAAUGUUGAUGGCUCAUCUCUAGGGAAUCCAGGCUCCUCUGGUGCUGGAGGGGUGCUGCGUGACUCGGGGGGUAAUGUCCUACGCGGUUUCUCAUCCUUUUUGGGAUCAAGGACAAAUAUGGAAGCGGAAGCCUUGGCAUUACUAGAGGGUAUGCUACUCUCCACAGAUUUCCAUUUUCUACAGGUUGAAAUGGACUCUCAGGUGCUGCUGGCUAUGGUGAAUGGCAAUGGAAGAAUUCCUUGGACGCUAUGGAAGACUAUCUCACGCAUCCAAACCUUAGCGCUGGGCCGCCAGGUCACCUUCACUCAUGUUUAUCGAGAGGCAAACGGGGUUGCCGACGCGUUUGCAAAUCUAGCAAGUUCCACAGGUGUCUGUCAAAGUUUUGGUGCGUCAACACUUCCGGACCAUAUACAGGGGCUAGCCCGCCUAGAUAGGAUGCGAGUGCCUUAUGUACGUUUGGAUUAGCUUUCCCGGUAAGCGUUCAGACUAACUGCUGUAUGCGGUGUGCCCAUUGAAUAAAUUCUGGAGUGGCGCCCCCCUCGUGUGCGAGGUUAGCCGAAAAAAAAAUGGAGUGCUAGAAUUGGAAUUCAACAAACACAGUGAUAAUCUCUCUCUUACCUUUACACAUAAAUCUCUAUUGUAUGCUUUUCCACUCUUUGGAAUCAUUAGUUUUGAAUUAUUUUUAUGCAUUGUUUGAGGACAAGUAAUAAUUCAAGUAUGGGAGUAUGACAAGUGUUUAUUUUACCUAAUAGUUUGUGUAUAUUUUAGUUCAUUUGCAAUUAAUUUUGAGUUCCUAAGGCAAUAGGAGUGACUAUUUUGACAAUAUUUGAUGACCUUAGUAACUUUGAGAAUACUUGUGAAUUUGUCCCUAUUACUUGUUAAAGUUUGUUAUUUUUUGUAGGGAUGAAUGAGCGAGAACAAUACGGAACUGUUUACAAAAAAUUAUCACCGGAUUGGAUGAGAGUAAACAAGGUCAGAUAGUGAAUUUUGAGUCAGAUACCAAAUUGGAUGCUCGUUAGAAGGUUUUGCAAGAGAAAGGGUGUUAAACAAUAUAUGACGUCAGAAUGAAGAAGUGAAGCCAGAUAAUUGUGCCAGAUCUCGUCAGAGGAUUUUUCGAUGAAGAGUAUUUAGUAGUAUAUGGCACCGGAUAGUAAAACUCGUUUCGGAUACCGCAUCGAUAUUUGAGUGGGAAACUUUUACAAGUUGCGCAACUUGCACAACUUGCAGCCAUUUGUUUUAUCCUUUUUGAUUGCAGCAUCCAUGACAUUUUAGCAGCUACUUUUUUGGUCCAACACAUUAACUUUUUUCAACUUUAUGUCACUCCAUUGUAAGCUUUUAACUCUUCAAGACUAAACCAAGUUUCUUGUGAAAGAUUUAAGGGGACUUGAAGAUUAUAAAUAGAGAGAGCUUUGUUGAGCUUUUGUACCUUAGUUUUCUAGUUAGAUUUAGAGAGGAAGAGAGUUUUGGAGCAAAAGAGAGAAACAAAAGGGUUUCUUUUCAUUUCUAUUAGUGUAUAGGACUAGUUUAGAAAUUGUGUUGUGCAUCCACUCUUGUAUUGACUCAACAAGGAGACCAAUGGAGAUGAAGAUAAAGAGGUCUAAGAAACUCUAGUGACAAGGGUUUUUCUUCUCUCCACCUCUUUAUCUUUGUAUUGGAAUCUAAGUUUUAUUAAUGCAAGUUUUGGAUAUUAUGUUUGUGAUGUUGUUUUAAAGUUUAUGCUUUAGGUAUUUGGUUAAACUAUCUAUGAUUUCUAUGUGUUGAUUUCUUAAUUAUUUUGGGCUGUUAUCUUGAUUAAGUUAUUUAGCACUUUUGAUCUCAAAAUCAUGAUUAAUUGGUUAUUAAUUGUGAUAAUCUCAAGGUGUUAGAUUUACAAUAAAAAUUAAAAUUUGACACUAGUUCAUAAAAGUGUUAAACCUAUGGAGUACACUCACGAAAGUAAAAGUACACCUCUAUGGCUUGUUUUGUAGUAAUUUCAUAAAAGUAAAUGAAUUUAUAGUUGAUUUCAUAACCACAAAGGUAGGUAUGGAUUAGCUAUAGAUAUGGUUGGUACAGCGAAGUGGGUAUCACGUACAUAAGGAAAUUACACCAUGACUUAGCCAAGAUUUUAGUACUAAUUUAGUCGAAAAGUUGCACUAGUAUGAGUAGAUAGGGUUUUCAUUACCCAGAGAGCUUCCAUUGAUAUUUUUCUGCCCAUUAGUACCUUAGAUUUGUUUAUUUUAAUUUGUUGAUAGUCUAAAUAAUAGAGAAACUUUAGUAAUGCUGAUAGUUGCUCGUCUUCCUUGUGGGUUCGACCCUAAUUACCCUAUACGUGCUCAUGACUCGUGUACUUACAGAAAAUUGCAUCUAGGGUAGUUUUAAAAAUUAUAAAUUCAAAGUUUGACUGUGAAUUGAGUUUUAUUGUUGUACGCAUACCCUGCGCACGUUACACAAGAUAACUUUGUAGCUCUUCUGGAGAUUUGUGCUCUUGACUCUUCAAUUAACUUAUUUCAACUUGUGCAUGAAGAAAACAUUCAAAGACAGUGGUCAUGAUUCUUUUAUGACCAAACAUAGUACUCGGGUAACCUUUUUUUUUUGUGACAGAACAUCCCUAACUAUAUCUACAAGAUGUUGUGAGUCCAUAAAUACAUGCCACUGUAAUGCUCUAUAGCAAACAUCAAUCUAUAUAAUUUUUUUCAUCUUUGUGUAUCAUUAAGCAUCGUAUCAAGAGCUAUCUUUGCCUAGUGAAUUUUGUUUCAACCCUAAUUGAAUUUUGUUUCAAUAUCUAGUUUCAAUUUUCCAUACUAUUAUUUUCUCCUAGAAGGUAAAAUCUUGUUUUUUAUUGAGAGAGGGAAAGGGGUGGGUCACUCAUCAAUGCUAAACACAUUUGUUUGGAUAGUAGAUUAUUUGGGAUAAUUUUUUUUAAAAAAAAUACUAUAGUAUUUUUUUGAUAUGAUGUAUGUAAGAUAAAAUGGUGAUUAAAAAAAUGUGUUGGCAAGUAAAUAAAAGAAGGCAAAUAAUCCACUAUCCAAACAUACUCUUCGGGCAAGAGAAUGGGGGCACUAUAUAAUAUUAGACAAGAUUUUAGAGAGGACAAUAGAAGGACUCACAAAAAAAUUGUAAAAUUUCAUAGGAAUUGAAAGGGGUUUUUUUUGUUGGGGGUAGGGGGGUUGGAGAGAGUGCCUCUGCUGCCUUUGCCAGUUGCUGUACCCUAAGUUUUAAUUACAACAACAAUUUGACCUUACAUUAGCCAUGUUGAGAAAAUUCACAGCACCAUUAGUCAGCAUGUCAACUUUUACUGUGUUUUUAAAUUUUUACUUUUUGGGUAUAUUACUUCCCCAAAAUUGGUUAUAAUCAAUUGUCACAAAUUUUUAAAAUGUACAAUAACCAUACAAAAAUUUUUGUUUGAUAUUUGGCAUACCACGUUGCUUGAUCUUUAUAAGAUUCUUAUUUUUUUUUCGAGUAAGCAUUAAUUAGAGCACACAUGGGUAAGCAAAAACAUCUAAUUGUGGAAUGUCACUUCUUUUUAUUUUUUUUAAUUUAGCUUUUAUAAAGAAUUUGGGUCAAUAAACUCGCUCACAAAUAAUUUAUUUGUCAAUGAAUGAGCCUAUCAAACUUAUGGUUAACAAUUCAAUAAAGUAUGUUACAUUAGUAGUUGUUCAACCUCAUGAGCACGGGGUAUAUUUACAACAAUAAAGUUCAAUUUACAGUCAAGUUCUAAAUUUAUAAUUUUUUAAAUUACUCCAUACGCUACUUUGUAUAACUAUAUGUAUCAUGAGCGAGUAUAGAAUAUUAAAAGUCGAACUCAUAGGAAUGACAAUCAACUACCAGCACUACCAAAGUUUUUCUAUUAUUUAUUUUAUCAACGAAUAAAGAAAAAUAAAUUAAGCUACUACCAAGUAGAAAAAUACAAAUAAAAAUUUUUAGGGUAAUGGAAUCUCUAUUUACUCAUAGUAAUGCAACUUUCUGACUAAAUGAGUAUCAAAAUCUCAUUAAACUAUGGCUUAAUUUCCUAAUAUUUAUGAUACCCAUUUUCACUGGUGUAUCAACUAUGCCUAUAAGUAAUCCAUAAUUAUUUUUAUGGCUAUGAAAUCAACUACAAGUUCAUUUACAUCUAUGUAAUUAUUGGAAUAAGGCCAUAAAAGUCACAAAAGUGCAUCUCUACUUUCGAAAGUAUACAACCUACAUUCAAUACUUCCAUAAAUCAGUGUCAAAUUUCAAUUUUUAUUGCAAAUCUAAUACCUUAAGAUGAUCACAACCAAUGACCAUUAAUCAUGAUUAUAAGAACAAAAGUGCUAAAUAAUUCAAUCAAGAUAAUAGCGUCAAUUAACUAAGUAAUUAACAUAUAACAUUCGUGGAUAGCUCAUCCAAAAGCCAAGGUUUUAACAAAACAUGAUAUCCAAACCUUGCCUUAACCAAACUUAGAAUCCAAUACAAAGAUAAAGAGGUAGAAAGAAGAAAACUCUUGUCAUUAGAGCCUCUUGAGUCUCUUCUAUUUUAUCCUCCUUAUCCUACUUGUUGAGGCAACACAAGAACGGAUGAAUACAAAUUUGAUUACUAGACACUAUCCUAUACAAAACAAGUAAAAAUGAAGAUAACUAUAUUUGUUGACGCAAGACACAACCCUUUUUGUUGUUCUUCUUCUUCAAAGCUCUCUACACUCUCCAAAACUAACUAAAACUAAGUCUAGUGAAAACUAGAAGAACUAACCACUAUAUAUUCUAAGUCUUAUUUCUAGGAGUCAAGAGGUCCAAUAUCUCCUAAGGUUUUCGUCUAAUUUUGUUGGUAUUUCUCAUUAUUUUUGAGAUGGUAGCCAAGUUGCUGAUUGCCUGUCAAAUGUGGGUUGUGAUGAAGGUUUGGAUAGAACAUAUCUUCAGAUGUCAGGUCUAGACAAAGUAGGCCUGCCAUCAAUUAGAAAAUGUAAGUGCAAAUAAUGUAAAGGGAAUAGUAUUUCGUAUUUCUCUUUAGCAUGUUCAUUGUUCCCAUGCAUUAUUUGGAGGUAAGGUCUAGGUCCCCCUCUAUCUUUUUUCUUAUUUGAAUAGUUAAUAAAAAGGUACUUGUCAGGUCAAAAAAAGAAGCUCCUAGAGCCCUUCAAUGCUGCAGCAAGUCGUCCCUAAUGUCUCAUCAAAGAUGGAGAAAGAACAAGAAAGUCACGCAAGUUGGUAAGUUGUAGCCACCAAGAAACCCUCUAGGGAUUCUAUAGAAACCAUGUAUGGAUUAUUAGAAACCCUACAUGGAUUGUGAUGCUCUGCUUUCACUCUUUGAAGUGAAAUUUUUGCCUACAAUUUGCGGUUAGGCUGAGAAAUGAUCAAAAUAUCCUUGACUAAUUAAAACCCUGCUUCGGACUUUAGACUUUGUUAGCAGAAAUGCACUUUUGAUAUUUAGCUUUUUUGACCUUGAAAACAUAUGAAUUGGAUUUCAAUGUCCCAUAAGAAAUGUAUUGCUAUGUCUUACCUUCAAAAAAAAAUUCAAGAAUGAAUUCAAUCCAAUGCUUGUAGUUCAAAUUAUAGUCAAAAUACUUGAAGGUGUCAGAGCAGCCAACCUUUACUUCUUGCCACUUGUUUGCAUUUCAUGCUUUUGAAUAUUUUGCACUUCAUGUUCACUUGAAAUCACUUCAAACCAUCAAGAAUUGUGUAAAUAUAUUCUCACUUCACUUUUGAUGAUUGAAUCAUUAAAACCUACAAAACAUGAAGUUUUUACCACUUGAUAGAAAUGCAAUAUUUCUCACUAAACCACCAAAUGUAAUUUCUAACUAAAAAUCUCUUUAUUUACCUACUAAAAUGACCAAAAACACACCAUAACAUACAUGCACAAUCACAUAAAAAUACGCAAAACAAGCACUUAUCACAACUACCCUAAUCAACCACUAGUAGCUCAAUCCGAGUGAUUGUAGAAAGCAAAAUGACAAUGGCAUUUAGCUUCUAAUGCAAAUAAUAUACAACUUGUUGAGCAAUUAUACAUCCAUUCAUGUCUUAUUAUAUGGUGAUUUCAUAUUGUUGUCGCUGAUAAAUAAAAAUAUAGCCUCUCUCCUCUAUUUUGAGGCUUAGCACUUGAUUGAUUCUAGUUAUAGGUUUAUAUUUCCUUUUUCUUUUAGGCAAUGGAUAUUCGUUUUGUGUUAGAUUACCAACCUUGCAACUUGAGAUUCUUUUAUCUUUCUCUUAAUUUAAAAAGAAAAAUGACUAACUUGAGAUUGUUUUGUCAUAAUUAUGUUUCUUAUAUGCAGAGUUUAAGGUUGUUAUAAUUUGCAUUAUAUGCUUCUUUUUCUCACUAUAAUUGUUAGCCUCUUAACAAUUUAUGGGCAUUAUGGUAAAUGCAUAUUGUGAUGAUUACAAAUUAAUAUCGAUGAUGCUCUUACAUCACUGUAUGUAUUAAUUUAAAUCUGGUCAUUCAUACUGGUUUGUCUUUAAAAGAUGUACUAGCAGUGCCCUCAAACAAUAUAAAAAAAAACCCUUUUAAAAGAACAAACCUAUAUAAGUAUUUUUCCUGGUGAGAAAAUUGAGAUAAACUACAUAAUUUACCAGAUGAGUAUAAUAAAUGUAGCUUGGCAGUUUGCUACUUUGAAGAUUCUACUGCAAAAGAUUAUGUAUUGGGAAGAUGACAUGAGAUAAUUUUGUAGCUGCUCAAGAGAUUUGUCUUUGGGUGUCUUUGCUUUUAAAAAUUAUGGAGGCCGAACUAGCUCUUGUGUGAAAAUGAAAGUUGUAGCCCCUUGAGUUAGCUUUUCAAUGCUUUAAGAAUCAUCCAAUGUGAAGCUCUGUGGACUGAGAUAUGAUCGAAAUACCAUUGACUGGUCAAUCCCUUGUUUCAGCUCUCGACCAUACAAAUAAGCUUCUGUGUUUCGACUUUUUGACCAAGAAAACAACUAAAUUGGAAUACGAUGUCUUCAUACUGAAUGCAGAUCUAUUUCUUAGCUUAAAAAUAGUAUAAAGAUUACCUCGAUCCGAUCCUUGUAACUCACGAUAUUGCCGAAAUACGAAGAUGUGUCAAAACUGUCUUCAGUUGCAUUUUUUCAUUUGAAUGUUUUGCACUCCAUGUCUUCUUUUAACAUUUCAAAUCAUCAUCAAUCAUCCAAUUCUCUUUUCAAUUCACAUCGCUUUUGAUGAUUGAAUCAUUAAACUUUCAAAAAUAUGAAGUUUUUACCAUUAAAAUCCAUAGAAAUCCAAUGUUUGCCAUUUAGACAACAAAAUGUACAUUUUUAUCAAUACCUUAGUUAAUUAAUUAUAAAACUAGUUAAAACACACCAAAACUAACUAAUAAAACACACCAAAAACACAUAAAAUAUAUACUUGUCAAAUACCCCCACACUUGAACCAUUGCUUGUCCUCAAGCAAUAAGAAAUACAAAUCAACAAUGAUUCAAAAUGUUGAAAAUAAACAUAUGUGCACCAAUCAACUUCAUUUUCUCAAGAACAAGGUAAAUAACUAUUAUGCAAUCAUUUAAUUAAAUUCAAGUACUCAUAAUAUCAAGUAAAGAAGGGUCAAUUAUACCAUGAUUUUAACUAGUUCAACUCAAUUUCUUAUCCUUACCCAAUUUCACAUCAAGUAACUCAUAUGGUCAAUAGAAUGCUUCCUAAACUCAUGAUCAUUUUCUUAUUCAACUUAGAGAGGGAUUCAUUCAUAUAAUAUAGCUAAAUAUAUACUUAAGUUGUGAAAGUACCUUUUUACGUGAAAAUCGACAUUUGUAGAUGAAGAUCGCUGGUUAUUCAACACUUCACAUACUCAAGUUGCAUUACAUACUCUUAACUCAAGUGCCGUUUUACACGAAAGUCGACAUUUGUAGAUGAAAACUCCUAGUUACUAAGUACGAGAAUCAUUGGAGUAGAACAACUCUUAUUCUCUUUUUUUCUUCUUUUUUUUUAUUUUUUCUUAUUUUUUCAAAAUUUUUUCUUUUUUUUGAAGUAAAGAUAAUAAUUGUUCCUCAAAAGUAUAAUCAUGAGAAGAGUAUUGCAAUUAUUGACCAUAUUUAUCACUUAACUUAUAAAAUCAAAUAAAGAGAAGAAAUUUCAUCCAAUUAGUAAAAUGUAGGCAUAAUUUUCAUCACUUUACAAGAUAUAUUUUCCUAUAAAUGCAUAAAUUAUAAUCACAUAAUAGUAAUUUCCACGUUAAAUGAGAAAAGAAGUUUUCAAGCCACAUAUAUUUAUCUUAAAAGUAGAAAGAAUUUGAGUUACUAAUGGUAUGGAACUUAUUGCCCCUUGGAUAAAAUUGAAAAAUUUUGAAACUUUUUGGGCAAAUUUACAAAGUUGGAUAAGAUUUGGGAAAAAAUUUGGCAGAGUUUUCCCUUAAAACUGGACUAAACUCCCUGCCAAUAAUCCCAAGAUUGACAACAUUCAAGUGCAAGAAAUAUUUCCAAGGCAAGUCCAAAUCAUUUCAAACCAAAAUUCAGUCACAUACAAUGCCAAUAAGUUCAAGGUUUCGCUCCCCCACACUUAACAUGUACAUUGUCCUCAAUGUGUAGAAAGGAAAAUCAAGAUAAAGAAAGUAAUACUCCCUCAUUGUUGCGAUUGAAGUGUCAAAGCAUGAAGUUCACGAGCUAUUGUCCACUUAUCUCCACAACUUCAUGAGUUCCAUUGGAUAACCAUUAGUAAUUAAACCUAAGAUUGGAAAAUGAGAAAUAAAGGUGAUAACAAAGGCAUUAAUAAACAUAUAAUGGCGAUCCGUAACUGCAUGCCUUUAUCUUGGUGAUGUACCUAUAGAAAAUUGACAAGAAAUUACUCAAGGUACAAGGAAAUAUAUGAGGAAAAGAAGAACAAGAGAAUGAGCAAGGAACUUGCAUUUUCCUUUAAAAAGAUACCUAAAAAUGCGACAACAGAAAACGUGAGCUUGAAGUCGCGUUUUGCAUGUCCUCGUGUUUUCAGCUUUAAGUUCGCAGAAAACAAUACGCUAUUUCAAUGAAUACGCGACUUUGAAUAGUGUAUUGAAGUCACGUUUUUAGUGCAAAAGUUGCAUAAUGCAAUACGCAGUUGAAGAAAAUGUGACUUGAAGUCGCGUAUUAUGGUCGCGUUUUCAAAUUUCUGCAAUUUUUUUUGCAGAAAUUUCUAACUUUUCAAAAAUUUGACUUGUACCCCAAAUGUUCAAAAUGCAUCCUAGAUCAUUCUUUUGUCUAACUAAGCAAUGCACACAUAUGUAAAAUGAUCAAAACAUGUAUUUUAAUACUCUUUAACAAAUUAAAAACAACUUUUACUCAAAUCGAGGGGUUGAGUUCCUUGAUCAAACUUCGUCUUUUUCACCUCAUUUGGUCACUUUUGCUCCUAUUUCCCAAACCUACAAAAGAAAAAUAACAAAACAACUCAAACACAUAAUUUAAACAUAAAAUCAGUAUGAAUAACAAAAACAUUGGGUUGCCUUCCAACAAGCGCUUCUUUGUAGUCAUUGGCUUGACUAUUUCAUCGCACUUUCCAAGAAGGCUUUGUUCAAGAAUAAUCCACCAUUAGAGGACGUGGUGGAUCAUUAAAAGGUGGCUUAAUAGCAAAAGCCACAUGUUCUAAUGAUAUGAGAUGUGGAAGUGGCUUACCAAUCUCAAGUGAGUCAUAGAUAUUACUGUGAAUGUGCGUCACUUGAAUACUCACGAAAGGAGAUACCGCAUAGCUUUCUUGGGUUAUAAUACCUUUAAAACCUAUACUAUCAACACAUUCCUCAAGAGGGGUGGAAAAUGAGUCAUUAAGACUCACCUCUUGAGGUUCAAAAUUAGCUCCAAAGGUACUAUCUUGUGUAAUGGAUAUUUCUUCAUUGAAACUCAAAUUGAAUUCAUCAUUUUGAUCAAACUAUAAUCCAUUUUCACAUACUACCAUUCAUGUUAGGAUCAUUUUGCAUAUCAUUAGAAGAAAUGACUUCACACAAAACAUGUAAUUGUUCUUGUAUUCUACCAAUAUGACAAGUUAAUUCAUCUAAUCUUUCUUCAACCCUAUCAAAACGGUCGGAGGUUGCAUUAGCUAGUUUUUCUAUAGUUAAUUCCCAAGAUGGCUUAGAUUCAUAUUGGACACAUUCAGGUGGAUAAUCAUAAAAACAUGGAGAAUCACUAUAAGUGUAUUGAUUAUCCCAACCACAAGCAUAACAAUUCCCCCGAUAGGACCAUAUUGAUUGAAACAAGGAUUGUAAUGCCCUGAUUCAUCAUAAUAAUCCAUAUUUUGUACUUGUCUACAUGUAUGAGUAGCAUGAUAACCUCCAUACAAGUCACAAAUCAUAUGAUAAGAAUUAAAAGCAUUAACAUUCCUCUUUUGCUCAAGCAUAUUCAUAAUGGUGUCCAUUUGAAUUUUUAACUUUAUAAUAUCAAGUUUAAACUUUAAACACCUUAAACCAUCUUCAAAAGACAUACCUUCGGUGAUUUCUUAGUUACCUUUAUUCAAGGAGUUUUACACGUGAUAACCAUCUAUUGCUGAUCUUUCACUUCUCAAGCAUUGUUCGCCCAUGUUUUCUACUCUCCUUGAAUUUUUAAACAUGUUUUCAAAAUAACUCAAAAACAAGUUUAGUUAAAAAGAAUAGAUGACUCGAAACAUACAAAAAAUAUAAACAAAGACUCAAAAGGACACUUAAUACAAUAAUUAAGACACUAGACACAACAAAAACAAGAAAAAUAAGAAAAAAUGUCUAAAUUAAUAAAGUUGUUCUUAGUACCAAUAUUGACAAAUCUUUCCCGCCAACGGCGCAAAAAACUUGAUGGUUUUUUGCUAUAAGUACAAGUUUAAUUUCGAAUUACACCCGUUUUACUUCAAGCAUACAGGUCAAACUAGUAGUUUUAGGGUAUAUAUAGGAUCGAUUCCAUAGAGAGCGCUAUGCAAGUACUAAGUGUGAGGACCCGAAAAUUUUCUUAUUUAUCGAAUAUUAUAAGUUUACUUAAAUAUUUAUUUACUCAUUUUCUCCGAAUUAUUUAUUUUGACUAUUUAAAAUCCAUUUAUAUGGAACAACGCCUCUUUUAUAUUUUUAAAGCAUUUUGUUGGAAAAAAAUUCACUUUUCGAAAAUUCGUUUAGUUCGGAACAACGAAUGCACGUCUUUCGAGGCUAUACUUGAAUUGGGAGUGUAUUAAUAUUAGAGAGUUAAGAAUGAUCAAUGGUAGAUUAAGAAAGGUUCAUUGAGGAAUUAAUACUCGGCUCAUGUAAAGACUCACAAAAAUUUACCUAUUUUAAACUCCAAAUUCUAGCUCAUUUAAUUAUUUAUUUGGCUAAUUGCCCCAAAUAUUAUUUUCUAACCUUUUUAGACCUAAUUAAAGGGAUCUAUGGCUUAGUUAUAUUUUUAAAGUGAUUCGUUUCAAAAUUUAAUUUCUGAAAACUCGUUAAGUGAAACUAGUGAAUACGCGAUUGGAGUAAAUAAUUGAAUCGAAGAUACAAUAAGUUUGGAAAAAUUGGAGACAUGUACAUUAGUCCUAAAUUAGGUAUUUUAUGUUUAAGUGCUCAAAUAUUAGUUAGUAAUAUUAUCGUUAUAAGAAUUUCUUAGAGAUUUCGCGUUAUCGCGCUUAAAUUGGAAAUACGCGUUUUUACGCGCGCGAUUAAUUGAAGGACCUUAGACGUUUACUUUGGGACUACUAAAAGUGAAUAAUGAUGAUCUGAAUGUAAGUGCAUUAUAGGUUUAGUGCACUAGUGUAACAAAUUUAAGAGGAAUCGAGCACAAAACAUGCGUGUACGCGCACUAUUGGAGAGUCGACUAUUGUACACUUGAAACCCACAAUUGCUAAGCUUCUCGCGAAAGCCUCACCAUUAGAAAACACUCUCCAUUUCUCACCUCAACACAACCAAACAGCAAGGGAAAGAAGAAGACCAAAAAGCUUCUUCAUCUUUUCACUCCAUCUUGCACCAAACUACUUCAAAUCUCCACCAAAUUACCCCAAAUGUUAACUACACUUUGCUAAACACUUGGAGAGCAACUCAAGCUAGAAAAAGAGCCUCAACUCCAUGGUUUUCUUGAGCUUAUUUGGGUCGAAAAUUUCUGUUUGAGUCAUCCAAAGAGGUAAUGAACAAUCAACCUCUUAAUUCUUGAUUUAUGGAAGUUAGAUUACACUCAUGAGCUCUUGGAUUCUCAUGGGUAGCUUUAAAUUGUUGUAAAAUUGGUGAGUGGGCUCUAUGAACUUCCACUUUGAUGGAAAGACUGAUUUGAUGAUUGAUGAUGAAAUUAAUGGUGGUUUAGUGCUUAUAUUAGUGGAUUAAUGUUGAAUUUCUGGUAGAAAAUCAAAGGAGGUGCUUGGAGCAAAAGUGACCAUUUUACCCCUGCCUAAUCCGACCACUUUUGUGCAACAUUUUGAGGUUCUAAUGACUUGAUUAUAUUGUUUACAUGUUAUAUUGGUUGUGUAAAAAUUUUCAUUAAAAAAUAGCUUGAUUUGGUCACCCAAAUGUUGGAUUUACGAAAGCUUAGAAAUCUGGAAACUAAUCCCUUAUUCACCCAGGCAGUGUUUUUGUUUUGACUAUAUCUUUUUACUCCGAUGUCAGAAUUGAGUACCGUUUGUGGCAAUGGAAAAUAAAUAUUCCCAGAUUUCUAUUGGUAUAAAAUACAUGUUCUGGUUCCAAUUGAGCAAGCCAAACCAUUCGUUUGAAAUCCAUUGUCCUGUUUCGUUGCUUCCUGGAAGGCAGCACAUGAGUUGCAACUUGAUGCUCAUGAAUGAGCUAUUUAUGGACAGAUUUUGAAAAUAGUUUAUUCUGAGAAAAUAUAGCUUUAUGAGUCUAUUUUCUAAAUCUAAUAACCACGCUCAAUUCUGAAUUGAAUUGAGUGAUUUAUGAUCGAAAUUCAAAACUGACUUUGUGAACAAAAACAGCAUUUUGGACAGAUUUGAAACUAACUACGGUUUGGGACUUGUUAUCCAAAGCUUCUUAUUGUAAAUCAUCUAUCAAAUGUACCUUGAACAUAUUUUGGACAUUUUCUACUGGAAUGAACCAUGUUGGAGAUGUUCCUUGACCAAAUGUUUGGAAACGGCAAAACGAAAGUUCAAAGGCAGCUUAGCCUUAGAAUUUCUUGUGAUUUCAACGAUUUUGUUAACCCACUUUCUGUGCUUAUUUCUCCAUGAAAUUUGGUAGAGGAACAACCCUUAUAUGGUAGUAUUAUACUACUAAUUUUGGUGUUAUUCCGAGGCCGUUUCAUUUCUCAACUAAACUUCCAAAGUUCGUGACUUGAUUUUGAAAAAUCCUUGUUUAACAAGGAAAUUUGGGUAACUUUGAGCUACCAUAUCUUGGUGCUCGAAACUUCAAUUCUCAUUCCGCUUGUUUUGUUUUAAACCUGAAUUACAACUCUAAUAGAGUUCCAAAUUUCAAAGGCUAGUUCAAAUUGAGUGAAUUUUUGCCGAAUUUUCAAAUUUGGCCAAAAACCAACCCCGAAAGCUAUCUUCAUGUUCAAAAUAGCAACUUUGAGCCAAUUUUUGAAUACUUUCCGUCUGGAAUCAUGAGAAAGUGUAUUCUAUGAACUUUUAGUAACUUGGAAGAGAUUUUCAACGGUACCGAGUUUUCCAAUUUUUGACUUGUAAAGUAUGAGAUACGACUUUUCUAAUGUAUCGUAUCAAAACUGAAAUUUUCCGAAUUCCAAGGAAAUGGAGUUUUCAAGUACUGCUUAUUCCUUCGAUAUUACCUGAACGUUUUAUACUUGAUUUCCGAAAUGAAAACUAAAUUUCUCUUGUACUUUAAAACCCCACUUGAGAGCCUUGAUUUAGGAUAAAUAAGCCUCGUUUCACGAGAUUUUCUAAGAUUGUACUAUGGUACGAUCUUUUUUAAUAGUAGGGAUUUGUAAAUGAUAGUCUAUUGUUAAUUGCUUAGGCACACAAGAAGACCUUCAAGAGGAUCCCACAGUGAACACCUAAAGCUCCGAGGGAGAUUUCUUCCUCAUUUCUUAUAUUGGUGAGUGUCAAGUGUAUGAAUACUUGAUACAUGCUUAAUUGUUAUAAUUGUUUGGAGAUUUUGAAAAUAGAUGCGAGUGUGUACUUUACCGCACUCGUUCUUAUUUGAAAAAAAUGACUCAUGGUUCAAAUGUACCAAAUGAAUUAUGAAUGACUUAAUUGAAUGAAAUGAGAUGAUUGAAUGAUUGAAUGAAAUUAAAUGGUAUCCUAUGGCUGCAUACGUCGUUGGAGUGAAUCUCCUUGACUCUCAAAUGUAAAUGGGGGACGCCCAAACUCAUAGGCCGACCUUGGACUCAAGCUGACAUGGGCUUGGUCGGAAACCUUGGUGAGCCAUGAGAUAAAUAAACUCGACGUAAUGAGAGGUCUUGCUUGGCAUACUCGUAGAGUAUCGCCUUACAAAUGUCUUGUGGGCCCGGGAGGUGCACGGUGGACGGAGGGAAGUAAGUGGUGAUCUACGGAAUAGAAAUACCGACCCGGUUGACGGAGUGUCAUCGCGGGAAGGUAUACGAAUGACAUUGGCAAAGCAAGUGGAAAUUAACUCCUGAGAGCUCUAAUAUCUUUGAAUUGUUUCUGUUUACUUUUUCCGUUCGAAUUGUUAUUUAUUGCAAUAUUGUUGCUUUACUUGUUAAAUUGGGUUUGUUGCUUGAACAAUGUUCUUGCAUAUGUGUUCUUGGCCUCACGAGCGUUUUGCUCACCCUGUAGAUUUGUUUUCCUUAACAGGGUUGGACAUGGAAUGAACUUGGAGAAACCCCUUUGGAUGCACUUCUGGCUUAGAGUUUCUAAUGUAAUUUGGGUUAGACUUCUUAUUGGUUGUACUUUUGGGAUUCUAACAUAUAUUUUGGGUGUUGAUGUAACUUUUGAAAAUUUAGUAUAAGGGUUGAAUAAAUGUUUUAUAUAUUGUUAAGUUUGGAAGUUUUCCGCACUUUCUUAUUUAUCCAGUGUUGCUAACUAGUUUUACAUUAAACUUGAAUGGAAAUUGCUUGAGUCCUGGUGAGAGUUGGGCAGGUGUCCCGCGGAUACCCUCUGGUUCGCCUUGGAGAGAAGUGGGGGCGUCACACUAAGUCCUUAUUUACUCUAUUAUUUAGACUAAUUAUCAAUUUAAGCAAGAAAAACUAUGAUUACUACUACCUACAAAUCUUAACUAGAUAUUUGCAAGCUAACAACUGAAAAAAAUUCACUAAAAACUUGAAUUUAGGGAUGUAGAUUCCACUUAUGGCAUAAACAACACAAAUGAAUAGAUUUACCUCUUGUUACAACUCUUGUUUAACUAGGGAUUCAUUUCCAAUAUUACCAAAUCUCAUUCUCAUGAUAAAAUGGCCUAGAUAUAGUCUAGUUUUUCCUAUUCUCAUGAUGAAUAACUAGCUCUACUCUUGUUUCUUUCAUGAAAUGCAAGUUUAAUUCACUUAAAUGUAUUUCUAUUCUCUUGAGUCUACUACUCAAACUCUACUCAUGUUAUUCCAUCAUUACUACCAAUUUUCAUUGAAUAAUAACAACUAAGAGCUUGCUAUUGGUGAUCAAGUAACAAUAAGUGAUAAGUAUGCACAAAUAAACAAGUUAAUACAAGAUGCAACAAGUGUAAUUCAUAUUCACUUCAUGUCAAGUAGCCAUAAGUUUCAUCUACUCCCUAGAUCUAGAAAAUUAGCUACUCAUAUAAGAUAUAACAAGAAAAACCAUAGUUUCAAUGCAUGAACAUAUCAUGAAUCACAAGUAAAAGAUAGAUAAAGAAGCUUAGCCAAGUUAAUGAAAAAGCUCCCAAUGAUCUUCAAUUUUUUCAACAAAAUGGUGUAUAAUGAAGUCUCCAAUUGUUCUCACAAAAAAUGGUAGCUAAAAAGAACAAGACAAGACUUUUUUCUAAGUUCUAAUACUAAAAACUGAUAAGGGCUACUUCUAAUAUGUUCUAUUCUCUUCUUCUAAUGAUUCUAAUAUCUAAUUGUUAAGAGAGUAAAAAAGGUAGGCUUUGGACAAGACAUAAAACUCCUUUCCUCUUUCUUUUUGCAUCAAAAGCAUGUGCAGCUGAAAUUCUCUCUCCAACUAUAGCUGAAAAGUAGUGUGAAAACAAGGCAAGUGGCUGAGCAAGUUGCUGAAAAUAAGCUACAAUACGCGACUUAAGAAUACGUGGGUUGAGAAUACGUGACUACAACCCACGUAUUCUCAAGUCGCGUAUUCACUUCUAUGAAUUUGGCCUCGUUUAAAUGGAUAUUUUCUCUAUAAUGGGGGCCAAACUAUCUCUCUUGCAAAACAAUAAAAUUGUAGCCCCUUGAGUUAAUUUUCCAAUGCUUUAAGAAUCAUCCAAUUUGGAACUCGGUGGACUGAGAUAUGAUAGAAAUACCAUCGACUGGUUAAUCCCUUGUUUCAGCUCUCGACCAUACAAAUAAGAUUUUGUGUUUUAACUUUUUGACUAGAAAAACAACUAAAUUGAACUUCAAUGUCUUCAUACUGAAUGCAUAUCUAUCUCUUAGCUUCAAAAUGGUAUAAAGAUCACCUCUAUCUGAUCCUUGUAACUCAAAAUAGUACCGAAAUACGAAGAUGUGUCAAAACUAUUUUCACUUGCAUUUCUUCAUUUGAAUGUUUUGCACUCCAUGUCUUCUUUUAACACUUCAAAUCAUCACCAAUCAACCAAUUCUCUUCUGAAUUCACACCUCUUUUAUGAUUGAAUCAUUAGACCUACAAAAACAUGAAAUUUUUACCAUUAAAAUCCAUAUAAAUGCAAUAUUUGCCAUUUAGACCACAAAAUGUACAUUUUUACCAAAUUCCUAGUUAAUUAGUUAUAAAACUAGUUAAAACACACCAAAACUGACUAAUAAAACAUACUAAAAACACGUAAAAUAUAUACUUGUCACAUAUAUUGAAAAAUGAUCCUCUAUAUAUCAUAAAAAAGCUAUAUAAGACCAACAAUAAACAUAAAAAAGCUAAACAAAUACCUCACGAAAAUUGCCUAUUAUUCAAAGAAUUCAAGAAAUGUUAUUUUCUUAAUUCCUUAUAUUGCAUCAAUUUCAAUCAAAAUAAGCAAAUUAACAUGCUUACGGAAGUUAAAUGAGCAUAACUAAGCAUCUAAACAACAACAAAAUUCACCAAGAAAUUCGUCCAAAAAAUCCAGAAUUCAACAAUGGUGAAAUUUAAAUGAGCCAAAUAAAGUCAAGAAACUUACUUGGGCUUUGAAGAGUGAUGAAAUGCAAAGCAAAUGAUGCAUAAAGCCCCAAAAAUUUAGCUCAAAAAGACCCUAUAUUGAAAGAAAUGAAGUUCUAAGAACCCUAAGAGUCUAGAGUUAGAUCUUCAAAAGUUGUUGUUGUUGAUGAUGUAAGAUAUUUGGGUGUUACUCACAAGAUGUUUAGGAGUGAUUUGGUGGUGAUUUUUAGGAGUUUAAAUGGUGCAAAAUGAAGAUUUGAUGAAGUGGGUACGUGUGUUGGUGAGUUGUGUGAGAAAGAAGGAGAAGGAAAUGAGAAUGAAGCUCUUGUGUCCUUUCUUAAAGCUGCAAUUUGCAAAGAAACCCUUGCAUUGUUCAUGAGAAACCCUCAAGGGUUUCUUUUAGCGAUUAUGGUCAGAGGCCCCAAUUCUGUCCAAUCUUUCAACGCUCUGUAAAUUUUCAUCAAUCCAACAUUCCUCUCUUAUCAAAUAGCAUGAAUUCAACCCUUAAACUACACAUACACUUUAUCCACUACAAUUUACGCUCCAAAUACACAUAUACAUGCAUUAUAACCUAGAAUCCACAUCAAAUGAACAACAUACAUGUAAGACCUAAAAUACAAAGUAUAAGGAUGAAAACUCCCUUUAUGUCUUGUCCAAGAGAAAAAGUGCGAUUUUGAUCAUGUUCAAGACUUUUUUGAUGUUGUGACCUACAAAAUACAUAAAGACAUAUAUUAAACUUAAGAAACAUGAGAAACAUCCUAAACACUAAAAAAAACACUAAAUCAUUAGGUUGUCUCCCAACAAGCACUUUGGUUAAAGUUGUUAAUUUCGACUUUAUUCCCUCCUUAUCAAGGAGGCAUAUCAAAGAGUAGUCCACCAACCUAGGUCGUGGUGGAUCUACAAAGGGUGGCUCCACCUCAUGAGUCUUAUAUCUAUAUGAUUUGAGAGUCAAAAUUGGCUUACUAAUCUCAACUGCUGUAUAGAUAUUGCCUUGCAUUUGCAACACUUGAGAACUUAUCAAUGGAUCCUCUGCAUGGUUUUCUUGGGUAUAAUAUCCUUAAAACCUACACUUUCAACACACUCCUCAAGAGGAGUUAAAUUUGAGACCUUAAUGCUUGCCUCUUAAGGUUCAAAAUCAGUUCCAACGAUAUGAUCAUGUAAAAUGGACAUUUUCUCAUUGAAACACAAAUUAGGUUCAUCAUUUUCAUCAAAAUACAAUUCACUUUCACAUAGAACAUUCCCACCAUUCAUAACAGGGUCAACUUUCAUAUCACUGUUUGAAAUAACUUCACAUAAACCAUGCAAUUGGUCAUGUAUUCUUUUAAAAUGUGAAACUAAUUCUUCUAUUCUUUCCUCCACCCUAUCAAAAUGAUUGGAAAUUGCAUUAGCUAGCUUUUCUAUAUUUAAAUUCACUUGAUUAGCAAAUUUUUCUAUAGCAAGCCUCUAUUCAUUAUUUUCUCCUCUAUGGCUAAUUCCCAAGAUAAAGAUGCAUUAGCUAAACUUUGAAUAGCUCAUUUCAAGAUGACUUGGACUCGUCUUAGAUAUAUUAGGGUUGGUAAUCAUAAAAAUAUGGAUAAUCAUUAUGAGUACCUUGAUUAUCCCAACCAUAGUCAGAAGAAUUAUAACAAUUAGGGCCAUAUUGAUCAAAAUAGGAAUUAUAAUGCCCCAAUUCAUCACAUUGAUCUAUAUGUUGUGCUUGUACGCAUUGAUAAUUUGCAUGACAGCGUCUACACAGGUCACAAAUCACAUGAUUGGAAUUCAAAGUACCAACACUCCUAUAUUGCUCAAUCAAAUAUAUCAAAUUGUCUAAUUUAGCACUUAGCAUGAUAUAAUCAAGUUUAGCAUUUAAAUUUCUCAAGCCAUCAUUAAAAGACAUACUUGCGGCUCUUUCUUGAUUACCACCACUAUACAUUGUAUAUUGAGAAAACUGUAAAUUAUAGUUUCAAUUUCCUUCUCUCUAACAUUGUCCUCCAAGUUUACCUAUCCUCUUCAUUUUCUAAAAAUCUGUUCAAGUACCUCAAAAAUAAAAUUAGGCAAGAAAGAUAGAUGCUACAACACACAAAACAAUAUCACAAAUAAAAAAAUUAAAAUACUAAAAGUAACAAGACAAUAUACAACUAACAAAAAUGAACACACAAACAACUCAACAAACAUGCACAAAAAGUAAAAUGUCUAAACUAAUAAAGUUUCUCUUUAUUUUGAUAUUGCCAAACAUCUUCCCCGGCAUCAGUGUAAAAAACUUGAUGAAUAUGGAGUAUGCAUAUAAAAAUUAAAUUCAAUCAAUAGUCUGUGUUUUAUAUUUAUAAUUUUUCUAAAUGCUCCACAUACGAUUUUUUUUAAGUAUAUGAAUUAUGAGCGAGUAGAUGGUAUUAAGGGUCGAACCCACAGGAAAGACAGAUAACUACCAACACUACUAAAGUUUCUGUAUUAUUUAGAUUAUCAACAAAUUAAAACAAUUAAACCUAAACUAUAAAUGGAUAGACAAAUGCAAAUGAAAAUUCCCCAAGUAAUGGAAUCGUAUCUAUUCGUGCUAGUGCAGCUCCCUAACUAAAUAAGGACAAAAACCUCGGCUAAGUUAUGACGUAAUUACAUAAUAUUUGUGAUACCCGCUUUCACUGAUAUACCAAAUAUACCUAUCAUUAAUCUAUAUCCACUUUCGUGGUUAUAAAAUCAACUACAAACUCAUUUACUUCAAUGAAAUCCAUGGAACAAAAUCACAAAGGUGUAUCUCAACUUUCGUGAGUGUACUCCCUAGGUUAAAUACUUCUAUGAACUAGUGUCAAAUUUCAAUUCUCAUUACAAAUCAAACACCUUGAGAUGAUCAUAAUCAAUGGCCAGUUGAUCAUAAUUAUAAGAACAAAAGUGCUAAAUAAUUCAAACAAGAUAAUAGCAUCGAUUUGCCAAGAAAUCAACACAUAGCAUUCAUAAAUUGUUCAACCAAAUACCCAAGGCAUAAACUUAAAAUAACAUCACUAACAUAAGAUCCAAAUAUUGUAUUAACAAACUUAGAAUUCAAUACAAAAAUAAAAAGGUGGAGAGAAGAGAACCCUUAUCACUAGAGAUUCUGGAGCCUUUCUUUCUUCAUCUCUCUUAGCCUCAUUGUUGAGCCAAACAAGAAUGGAUAAUCACAACUAGAUUACACAACACUAUUCUACACUAAAACAAGAGAAAAUAAAGAGAGUUAUAUUUGUUGAGCGGUUGUGCCUUGCCUCAAUGGGGAAGACACAACCUUUUAGUUGUUCUUCUUUUCUUCCAAAUUCUCUCUCUUCUCUCAAGUUAACUAGAACUAAAAACUUUCUAAAUGUCUCACACACGAUUUUUUUGCAAGUAUAUGGAUCGUGAGUGAGUAUAGGGUAUUAAAAAUCGAACCCACAUGAAAAAUGGACAACUACCAGCACUACUAAAGUUUUCUAUUAUUAGACUAUCAACAAAUUGAAACAAUUAAACCUAAACUACAAAUGGAUAGACAAAUGCAAAUGAAAUCUCCCCAGGUAAUGGAAUUCCUAUCUAUUCAUGCUAGUGCAACUCCCUGACUAAAUUAGUACCAAAAUAAGUUAUGAUGUAAUUUCCUAAUAUUUUUGAUAUCUGCUUUCGUCGGUGUACCAAAUAUACUUAUAAUUAAUCCAUACCAAUUUCAUGAUUAUAAAAUCAACUACAAGCUCAUUUAUUUUAAUGAAAUUACAUGAAACAAAGCUACAAAAAUUAAAAAAAAAUGUGUACUUCUACUUUCGUGAGUUACUCCUUAGGUUUAACACUUCUAUGAACUAGUGUUAAAUUUCAAUUCUCAUUGCAAAUCUAACACCUUGAGAUUAUCAUAAUUAAUGACCAGUUCAUCAUGAUUAUAAGAACAAAUGUAAUAAAUAACUCAAACAAGAUAAUGGCAUCAAUUGGCCAAGAAAUCAACACAUAGCAUUCUUAGAUAGUUCAAUCAAAUACCCAAAGCAUAAACUUAAUAUAAUAUCACUAGCAUAAGAUCCCAAUCUUGCAUUAACAAAUCUAGAGUUCAAUACGAAGAUAAAGAACUAGAGAGAAGAGAAACCUUGUCACUAAAGCUUCUCGAGCCUCUCUUUCUUCAUCUCCCUUGGCUUUCUUGUUGAGUCAAUACAAGAAUGGAUAACCACAACUAGAUUACACUAUAGUAUCCUACAUUAAAACAAGAGAGAAUACAGAGAGUUACAUUUGUUUAGGUCUUGUGUCCUGCCUCAAAGUGUAAGACACGACCCUUUGGUUGUUCUUCUUUUUCAAACUCUCUCUUCUUUCAAGCUAACUAGAGUUAAAAACUCCAAAAACUAGAAGAACUAGGUACUAUAUUUUCUUGGUCUUGCAUUCUUGGAGUCCAAAAGUCAAAAGGAGAAGCUCCUAGAACUCCUCAAUACAACUGCAUUUCGUCCUUUUAUGUCGCAUCAAGAAUAGAAAAGAAACAAAAAGCCAAGCAAGUUGGCAACUUGCGGCUGUCACCAAUCCCUCAAGGGUUUCUUGAGAAAAUUAGGGGAAUUGUGAAGAAUUCCUCGAGGGAUUAACAAAUUAUAUAAAGCAUGUGAUUCUCUAUUUUUCUUAUCAAAAUUAACAUUCUAUCCAUAAUCCCUUGAAAAAUCCACUGAGUAACCCUCUAGGGUUUUAUCUUAUCUUUUUUUUCACUUUUUUUUUAACUUUCCAUUCUUCAUUCUUGUAAAUAUUGUUGUGACUUAUCAUGCUUCUAAUCCUUACUUUGUUUGUUCACCAUUUCACUUCCAUUUGAGUUUGAUCAUUUUCCCUACAAAAACUGCGAGUAAAAUAACAAAAUCACAACUAGUUUAUCUAUCAACUCAAGGUCCAAGUUAGAGAACAAAGUGACAGAUUUACAGCAUUUAACUUUACAAAAUUGACCCCAAAACAAUUUGAAACAUCUUAAAAGAGAUCACAAAAUUAGCCCUUAUCAGCGUGUUUGACACUGUUUUUAUGGUGUUAUUUGCCCUCACUACACAUGUUAUUUGUUAUAGGAUUAUGACAAAUUACCUUUAGGAUACAACAAGAUUUUGUAUAAAUUUGAUAGCAAAUGUCAAGAUUUCUCUUACAAAAAAGGAUUAAUGUUCUAGUUAGUUUAUGUGUUAGAUACUUGCCAUUUUUGUUGUGAAAAGCCAACUCAAGAGUCCCAAGCUAUUCAGCCACUAUUUCAUGUGUUUAUGGACAUUUAUGGAUAUUAAAAGGCACCAUUAUGCCUAUUCAGUGGAUAAAAAAUGCCAAAAAUGUUUCAAAAAUUUUUGGCUUCCAACAGACCCUUAAGUUUCUAGAUUCUUUGUCUAACAAGCUGCAUUUCUAUUUCAAUCACAAACUAUUCCAAUGUGAAUGAAAUAAACAAAUUAGCACAUAAAAUAUCAUGCAUAAAGAAAAGUAUUGUUAGAUUUAAACUUUUCUUUUAGUGUAAGCACAUCACCAAAUCUAGCCAAAUCAAGGUUGAAUAUAACAUUAAACCAUGAUUUGAAAAUUAGACUAGAUAUACUACAUAUAUGGUAUUAUAAACAUUGAUCAAUUCACAAAGAAUUUUAGCACUAUUACUAGCCAUGUGCUCCAUCCUAGAUUCUUGAUCAUAAGCAAAAACAAACCCAACUUUUCCUAGAAACUGCACCACUCCUAUUAUCAUAUAGGCAAAGACACUUUCAAGUUUUAUAGGACCAAGCCAUAAGAAAGAAUUAAACUUCACUAAGAGCAUAAUUUCAACAUAUACUCAACCUCUUAUAAUAAUAUGCAUUAGUGGGGUGAGAAUGUACACAAUAGUACUUAGUGCUCACAAUUACUUUGCAACCUGUUAUUGCCCCUUAAACCUUUUCAUCUAGUGGUGGUGCUAGAAUCAAGGUAGGUUUCCUAUUAGAAAUGAUUUUAGAUUAAGGUUUUCAAUCCCAUAACCAAUGACAUUAAAUUCACCAAGUCCCUUGACAAGGGUUUCGUCAAUGGAUAUCCUUGAUUGUUGUAGUUUUCAUAUAUAACAUACACAACAUCAUUCUUUUAAUAUUUGCUAAGAUACUCGUAUCUUAGACUUAACAUGUUUAGAUUUACCAUUACACCUUAUUUGAGACUCUAGAUAUAGUAGUUACAAAUUGCAAAAUAAAUAGACCGAAUGUGUAGGGCGUGGCCACAAACCCUAAACCACUUUGCCUUUUUACACAUGUAGUAGCUAAGGUUUUGAUUUCAACAAUUAGCAUCUUAUGAUCACAAUAUACUCUUGAUUGAAUUUAGAACAAAUGCAACUACCAGCAUUCAUAGCACCUAAAUUUGCUUUAGAGUAACAUAGAUACAUAUUUCUCAUACUAUUGUUUAAGUGAUUGCCUUAGAUAUACAUACACAAAUAUUGAUUAAUUAUCAUCAAGGUAAUAAAAUUUCUAUUACCACAUUUGAAUGCAUAUUACACACUACUUUUUUUAGACUAAGUUUUGACAUAGAAUAUCAUGACCUGUAUUCACAUGUCGCAAGAAAAAGGAGACUCGAUCAAAUGAAUAGAAUUUUCACACUUAUUAAUAAUCAUGUUAAACAUGAAAUAUAGCCUUAUUUAACAAAUACACUAUUCUUGGACAACAUUAAUUUUCCUUGUCAUUUGAAUAAGUAUUUCCUUUUCCUUGGACCUUCCAACAAACCUGUCGUUGUUUUUCUUCUUCUUUACAUAGUUCAUCAUAGGAUUCAAGCAUCUUUUUUUAUUGAAAAAUGUUUUAGAACAUGAUCCACCAUGAAUGUAGUAGUAGUGUAGAGUGAUUUUCUUUGAUAAUCAUUUUAACUAGGUAAUUUUAGUAGUUACCCGUAUUAUGAAAUAACAUAGAAAUCUCCAUUCCAUGAUUUUCAACUUACUUGUAGAUCAUACUUUGCCAAGAAGAGAAGAACUAUCAUAAAGAUAAAUUUUAAAUAAUAUUUAACAAGAAAUUUGUCCACACCUUAUUUGAAUUUUCUUAUACUCCAAUGCAGUUCGAACUUCUCUUGAUGGCGAUGCAGUAAUUCGUGAAGUCCUCUACAUAGCAUUUUGUCCAUUUUGCAUUUCUUUCACCCCCUGCUAUCGACAUCUUGUGGAAGAGAAAUUGGUUACAAUGCCGCUCUCGAAUAACACAAAUAACACCUUAAGAUUGUUGUUGCAAUUGAUACACAGCACACAAAAGUGCAAAAUUUUGUAUUACACAAAUUUUACUAAGAAAAUAGGGAUGAAGAAGAUGCUGAUCUGGAAUAGUGUUUGACACUAUCCUUAAGGUGUUAUUUAUACUCCCACUGUACAUAUUGUUUGCUAUAGGAUUAUGGCAAAUUACCUCAUGAAUACAGCAAGAUUUUGCAGAAAUUUGAUAGCAAAUGUCAAGAUUUCUCUUACAAAAAAAAAGGAUCAAGAUUCUAGUUAGUUUAUGUGUUAGAAACUUAUCAUUUUUAUAGUGAAAAGACAAUCCAAGGGUCACAAGCUAUUCAGCAGCUGUUUCAUAUGUUUAUGGAAAUUUAUAGACAUUGAAAGGUACCAUUAAACCCAUUCAAUGGAUAGAUGAUAAGUAUGCAUUUUGAGUAAUUAAGUAUGUUUUAUUAUUUAGUUUUGGUGUGUUUUAAUAAUUUUUAUAGCUAAUUAGUUAGAUUUUAAGUGAAGUUGACAUGUUGCUUCCUUAGUGUGAAAAAUUGUAUUUUUAUGGACUAAAACAGUGAAAACUUCAUGUUUUUGUAGGUUUCAAUGAUUCAAUUAUCAAAUGGAGUGAAUUGAGAAGAUAAUUGAAUGAUUAUGGAUGAUUUGAAGUGAUUUAAAGAGGAUAUGAAGUGCAAAGAUGAAAUGCAAUUAAGUACAAAAGAAAAAAAUAUUUGACAGCUUCGAUACCUAUUGGUAUUUUGGCUAUAUCUCAAGUUACAAGUAUUAGAUUGAGGUGAUUCUUGAGUCAUUCUGAAGCUAACUCACAGCUCUACAUUUCUAGUCAAAAUGUCGAAAUACAAGCGGCCAUAUUUGUUGCCAAAAGCUGAAAUAGAGUUUUGACCAUUUAGGGUAUUUUGGUCAUUUAUUAGUCUACAGAGCUUCAAAUCUGGUGAUUCUUGAAUCAUUGGAAAGCUAACUUAAAGGGCUACAACUUUCAUGUUUUGCACAAGAGUUAGUUCAGCUGGCAUCAUCAAGAACAUAGCAGUGAAAGUUGAUCCAAAAACAGACUAACGUUGAAGACUGAUAAGAAAUGAGAAAACCUAAAAAGAGGCAAAACGGGGGCCUAAUAUGCAACCUUAUUCCCACAUUUUCAUGCCCACAUAUUCUUCAAACGAACCUACAACUUGCACCUCAACUUGUUUUGUAUCCAUACAGCUUUUACAGCUAUUCUCCAACUCUGAAAUUCGGCUGAUUUUGCCCAAGGAAACUUAGAAGAGUGUAAAGAAAGAUUUAUGUCACUUCAAUGGAGACUUUUUGACUCUUUUAACAUCUUUAUAUUGCAAGGAUUAUAAGAGUCUUAAGAAAGUAGUCUAGGAGGAGUGGAGAGCAAGCAUUUAGUCAUUUCUUUUUCUCCCAUCAGGAGAGAAAGUCUUGCAAGGGGAAACUUGGAGAAUUUUUUCAUUAUACAACUCAUUUUGGUGAAGAAAUUGAAGAUAUUGGGAGCUUUUUCAUCUAGUUGGCUAAGUUUUUCAUAUCUUGUGAUUCAAUAUGAGUUCAUACAAUGAAUCUAUGAACUUAUUUAACUUAUUUCUUAUCAUGAGCUAAACUUUUAGAUCUGGCAAGUAGAUGAAAACUUAUGGUACCAUAACAUGAGUUGAAUGUGAUUUAUUCUUGUUACCUCUUGUAUUAAAUUGUCCAUUUAUGCAUACUUAUAACUUGUUGUUGCUUGAUCACCAAUAACAAGAUUUUAGUUAUUGUUACUCAAUGAAAAUUGGUAAUAAUGAUGGAACAAGAUAAAUGGAACUUAAGGAGUAGACUCACAAGAGUAGAGGUGCAUUGAAUGGAUUUUUUUACCAUUUCAUGGAGUUAAAUGACUAGAUUUAGUUCUUUACUAUGAGAACAAAAAAGACUAAACUAGUUUAAACCACUAUAUUUGGUGAUAUUGGAUAUGAAUCUCUAGCUAAACAAGAGUAGUAACAAGAGACUAAUUUCAUUCACUUGUAUUUUUGGACCAUAAGUGGACUCUACACCCUAGAACUUAACAUUUAGUGAAUUUUCUCUAAUUAUUUCUCUCUACAAGUUUGCUAGUUAAAGAGUAGUAAGUUAUUUGGUUGCCUUUUCUUACUCUUUAUUUGAUAAUAGUCUAAAUAAUAAAGUGAGCAAAGGAUUUAGUACUUGCAUAUUAGUUUCUCAUGGGAUCGACCCAAAUAUGCCCUAAAUUACUAAGUUGACUGUAUACUAGUAGGCUUGUAGCCAAACGAGUAUAUUUGGAAUUAAACUUGUACACAUAGCAAAAACCCGUCAAUAGAAAAUACCAAAAUGUCUCAAAACUUUUGGCUUCCAACAAACACUUAAGUUUCUAGAUUCCUUGUUUUAACAAUCCUCAUUUCUAUUUCAAUCACAAAUUAUUCCGCCAAUUGGUCUGCUUUUGCAUGCACGAAUGAUUCUGCACCUUAAUUUGGUUUGUAGCUUCUUAAUUUAGUUGUAAUUUUUAUGGCAUCUUAGUUAUUGUAGAUACGGAGAGCUAGAAUAUAAAUAAUUGGCAGUCAACUAUGGUUAACAUUUGCACAAAAAUUACUUGACUGAAUGCCUUCAUACUUUUCAUAAUAUGAUUUUAAAAAUUCUACCGAAUUGUUUAGAACUUAAUAUUAAAGAUCACUUAGAAAAAUUGGGCAAUGCAAGGUGCAGUUGUUAGAAUUUAAUUAAGUAGCACAGAAAUUAUUAGAUUGCAUAAGAAUCGAACAAGCCAAUAAUUUAUUUAAAACCUUGAAGCACUACAACAAAAAAGGGAUUUGGCAAGGAACAAAAGUUCUCGCCAAAAGUUUUGACUUUCUCGCCAAUUAAUUUCAGCGAGGAAAAUGCUUCCUCGCCAAGUUUCUCGCUAGAUGCUCAUCGCUAAAAGUUAUUAGCGUGAAUGUUGCUGCCUUUCUCACUAAUGGAACAAAUCAAUAGCAAGGGCAGAGACCUCCUCGCUAAUUGCUCGAAUGCUAUGGCGAGAAAAACUUUCCUCUCCACUAAAGUCAAAAACUCCCCACAAAAACAUGUGGUUCCUUGCAAAUAGUCAAGCUGUUUUGUGAGGAAAAUAGUGCAUCCUCACCAAUAAUAUAGAAUUGGCAAGGAGCUUUUUGACAAAUCUGCAACCCCCCAUACCAGUAAAACAUUUUUGGCCAGGAAAGUUUCCUCUCUAACAAGCGAUAGUUGAUUCUUGCCUAACUAUUCGGUGGGAAAAUGUUCCCCUCCAAUGCUGUUGUGAACAUUUCUUAAUCCCAUUUUAAUAUGCUAAUCUUAAUUCCCUGAGCCAAUUAUGGAGUGGUUUUGUUAGAAAAUUUAGCUGCAAAUAGCUUAAAUUUGGCUUCUCAUGUCUGUUGUACAUUUUCUAGCUUCUUAUAAGUAUCAAAUUGUUUGGAAAAUUUUUUUUUUUUUAUGAACAUCACCAACGUAGAUGCUCAUCAAAUUUAAACUCAUAAGCCUUGGUAUUUGAUAGUUUUUUGGAAUAUCACCUGGUGCCAACAACUCCCUUUUGCUAAACAUUCGGUAAAGAACAUACAAAAGCUUUGGUUAGCUAAAAAUAAUUGCAAGCAGAGUAAUACAUCAACAUCCAACUUUUUCAAUAUCUUGAGCCAUACAAUAGGAAGUGCUUGAAACCAAUUGACAAUCCAAAAUUGUCAACUAUCAAUGAGAAUCUAUCCAAAAGAAACAAAAUAUUAAUAUCUAAAAGCAGGUUUUACAAUAAGUGCACAAAAAGCACCUAACCCCAAAUGACCCAUGUUGGAAUAGAGUUUAGUUCAAAUGCAGAAAUUCCUGGUAGAAUGGAACUGCAACUUCAACUUCACUAAAUUGCAAGCUGGUAUUGUGAUUGCAUGAAUCCUGAAAUCAACCCCAAGUCCUCUUGCCUCCAACACUUAGUUUGUAUACAGAGGCUGACUUGUUCUUUACACUUGUAGGUAAGUUCAAAAGAAGGCAUUCAAUAGAACUAACUUGAUGUGGCUCCAUAUCAGCAUUGCCCCUCUUUAAAUCUCACUUGAUGAAGCUGCACAAAAAGGGAAGAUUAGAUUAGAUGGAGAAAUUUUACUGAUUGCAUAUGAAAACAGGGGCUUAAACCAACUAGGAAAAGCAGAGAAGUUAACCUCAACCAACUAGGAACUAACUUGUUAGUAUGUACACAGAGGCUGACCUGUUCUUUACACUUGUAGGUAAGUUCAAAAGAAGACAUUCAAUAGAACUAACUUGAUGUGGCUCCAUAUCAGCACUACCCCUCUUUAAAUCUCACUUGAUGAAGCUACACAAAAAGGGAAGAUUAGAUUAGAUGGAGAAAUUUUACUGAUUGCAUAUGAAAACAGGGGCUUAAACCAACUAGGAAAAGCAGAGAAGUUAACCUCAACCAACCAGAAAACAAGAUGAAAAUCAGAGGUUGUUAGCUUAAACCACCACCAAUCGAAAAAUACAAUCUUUGAUAUUAAGCACAAACCCACAUAAUUUACCUUCACAGAGUCAAGAGAAUGGUUGGAACUCAAUUUUCCUAAAAUUGUGAGGAAAAUAAUGUAAUCUUAGAAAUCUAACACAAAUAAUGGUAAUAAGAAUGCACAAGAAGGAUAUGAAGAUUCACAAAAUGGCACCAAAAUAUAGAUCUAACAGUAUUUGAUGCAAAUGGAUGAAGUAUUGAAGUUGCUCUGAGGUUUUCUUACAGCAAUAAAACCUAAGCUCCUUCACAUUUUGCAAUUCUUAGGAGAUAGACAGGAGGUGGGCCUUCAUUUUUUAGCAAUUCCUCAGAGGUCUCCUUCACGUUUAGCAAUUCCCGCAUCUGUUCUUCUAUUUUUGGACUAAAAACCACCAAUCUUGGCCUUUGAGAGAAGAACAUAUGCGUGCUUGAUCAAUUGAGAGAGAUAAGCGAGGACCGGCCUUUCUAUGUAUAUGUAUAAUAGUAUUAUCCCUCAGCUGUAAUGAGCCUUCAAAUGUUGCCGGAAGGAUGUUGCGGGAAAAAAAAAAUUCUUGGAGGGAAUAAAGCGCGCGCGUCCUAAAUUCUGAAACAUUAUUGAUGUUUUAAGUGUUGUAGUUAAAAGCUUCUAAGAGUUGGAGUAUAUUAUAUAGAAUGAAUAUUGAGUGUUAGAAGUAUAUAAAAAUUGUAAGAGAUCGUGUAUGAGAAAAUGAAACUAAUGAAAAUAUUCUCAAUAUAUAGCUAAUCAAAUUAAUUAAGUUUGAUAGAUUUGCAUUUAAUUUUCAAAUAGAGGUUUGUUGUAUGAUAUGUAAUUGCCAUUUCUUGAAAUUAUUCCUUACUCUUAUAUUUUUGCUAAACUUCGAAGAACUUAACUACGCAUAAAAUAGCAUGAGAGGAAUGCCUUCAAGUGUGCUAGUCAAUAAAUAUUUAUAUUAUAUUUGUGCUAAUACAUGUCCAUAUGCAUAAUUCAAAAAAUCUUAUGUAUUUCAUAUAUGAGUAUUUUUUUUCAAGUAACUGUAUAAAACACUUAUAAGCGUUAAUAAUUAGAUGAUUUAAUUUAAUUGUUCUAAAGUUUUAAAUACGAGGAUAAAGAAUAAAAUUGGUAUGGAUGUACUAUAAUCUAUGAAUUAUAGUAAAUUACUUGUAAUUCCAGUUCGUCAACUUUUAAAUCUAUUUGUAUUGUGACUUUGAACUAUGUGUUAUUUUGCUAAACUCAUAUUUCUAUGAUAAACUUUUGAUCAUAAUUUAUAAAAAAGAAUUUCAUGUAACAAGCGAUUUAUAUUGCCUAUCCAUUUUUUCGAAUUGUUAUAAAAGUAUGUAAUUCUUUUAUUAAGAAAAAAAAGUCUUGUGUAAUAGGCUUAACCUCUCCUCAAUUACAAAAUUGAUUGAAAUAAUGUGCUUUAGAAGUUUCAUUGAGUAUUAAUAAUUGUAAACCACUCCAUUUUUAUUAUUCUAAUGCCAACAUAACAAAUGUGACUUUGAACUCUAUGUGUUAUUUUGCUAAACUCAUAUUUCUAUGAUGAAAUUUUAAUCGUAGUUUAUAAAAAGAAUUUCAUGUAACAAGUGCUUCACGAUACCUAUCCAUUUAUUCUUGAAUUGUUACAAAAGUAUGUAAUGCAUUUAUUAAGAAAAAAAUCUAGUGUAAUAGGUUUAAUCUCUCAUCAAUUACAAAAUUGAUCGAAAUAAUGUACUUUGGAAGUUUCAUUGAGUAUUAAUAGUUGUAAACUGUUCCAUUUUUAUUAUUCUAAUACAAACAUAACAAAUGUGACUUUAAACUAUAUGUGUUAUUUUGCUAAACUCAUAUUUCUAUGAUGAAAUUUUAAUCGUAGUUUAUAAAAAGGAAUUUCGUGUAACAAGUGCUUCACAAUACCUAUCCAUUUAUUAUUGAAUUGUUACAAAAGUAUGUAAUCCAUUUAUUAAGAAAAAGGUCAAGUGUAAUGGGUUUAAUCUCUAGUCAAAUACAAAAUUGAUUGAAAUAAUGUACUUUAGAAGUUUCAUUGAGUAUUAAUAAUUGUAAACCGCUCCAUUUUUAUUAUUCUAAUACCAACAUAACAAAUGUGACUUUAAACUAUAUGUGUUAUUUUUCUAAAGUCAUAUUUUAUGAGAAAUUUUAAUCAUACUUUAUAAAAAGAAUUUCGUGUAACAAGCGCUUCACAGUGCCUAUCAACUUGAAUUGUUACGAAAGUAUGUAAUUUAUUUAUUAAGAAAAAAGUCUUGUGUAAUAGUCUUAAUCUCUCCUUAAUUACAAAAUUGAUUGAAAUAAAGUACUUCAGAAGUUUCAUGAGUAUUAAUCAUUGUAAACAACUCCAUUUUUAUUGUUUUGAGACCAAAAUAAUAAAUGUGACUUUGAACUAUAUUCCAAUUUUGUCAAAUACCAAUGCAUAUAUAGAUUAAUUAAUUUUUCAAUAUUAUUUGUGAUAUCAUUUCCCCUUGUUUCCAUGUUAAGUGACAAGAUUCUAAAGUACUCCCUCAAUCUUAAUAUUAGAGUCAUUUUUUGGGAAUCCAAAUUUAUAUGGAGAUAUGGUAAUCAUUAUAUUUAGAUGAGGUGGCAUUGAUGAAUUACAUAUAUAUCCUUUGAAUUCAAAAUAUUGUUUUAAUAGAAGUGUAUCGAAAUUUAAAAAAAAAAUUUUCAAAUGGCAAAAUUGAAAAGUAUGUAUUUAAUUUGAAAUAGCGACUAUUAUUUUGGAACAUCAAUAAAGUAAAAAUAUGAUAACAACUACGGACAAAGGAAGUACAUAACAACCGUUUCAUGAAAUUUGAAGUUCUUUGACAGAGUUGUGAAAGCUAAUGCCCCCUGUGUAACACUUUUUCCAUGCCUGCAUUGUUUGGCUGGUAGAUAUAAAAUUCAAAACCCAUAAAUACGCUUGAUUUAAAGUAUUUGGUCUUUAUGAAUCUCCAAGUUCCAAAAAUCUUGGGCAAUUGUAUUACAUAUUGCUAGACUUUCCCACUUUCAUUACACGGAUUAAUAAAAAACAAUAAAAUGCAAAAUUGAAACUUAAAAAAGCAAUAAGCAUAAACUAGGAUGGAAAAAGGGACGUGUGACAUUUAAUCAUAAUUCAGCACCUAUGCAUGACCAAAAGUUGAAGUCAUUACUUCAAAAAUACAUGAACAGCAAUUGUGCCUUUCCAAAAUAACUAGAGUUUAUAACCACCGUUUAAAACAAACUUGAGCUUCCAAAAGGUCUUGUCAACUAUUGCAUCCCAAACAAGCCAUCUAAACAUUUUAAACACUUUCACGGUGCCUUCCAGAUUGCAACCUAUUUUCGCAAUGUUAACCUGCACCAGAAAAAUCACACAUUAACAAGCUAAAUUCAAGCAAACAAUUAACUGCAAGCAUUUUUAGAAUUGAAUUACAGGACUUUUGUCAAGAAGACAAAUUGCCACAUAGAGCAAGGAAAACACAUACCAUUACACCUUUUAAACAAAAAUAAGCCUAGCUUCAAAAUAUUUUAUCAUCUACCACAUCCAAGACAAGCCAAACUACAAAAACAAUUCAAGCUCAAGUGGCUCCUUCUAGAUUGCACAACCUACUUUCAUCCAAAAUCUCCAAAAUAAACCUGCAAAACAAAAACAUAAUAUAAGAGAUUUUCCAAACAUAAUGAAAUUUUUUACUAAAACCAUUGUGCCUCAACUGCAUUUCUCAGCACUAAAACUUCCAAUGUAUUUGGCUACCCAUAUAUUGCUUUCCAAAAUCACAUAUAGCUUGCAUCACAUCCAUUCAUCUUUUUGUCAUAGUGUAUUACCAGAAAUAAUAGAGGACUGACUCUAUGCAUUCCUAUUAAUUGAGAUUUGUACUAACAUCAUCACACAGAAGCACAAAUUGGUGACAUCACCAAUAAAUUGUUUGAAAGAAUGAUGAUACAACGAUGGAAAGUCAUUAUUAUUGCUGAAAGAUGUCAUGCAUGCUCAUGCACUUGUCCACCUACCAAGCUGCAUGCAUACAUGUAGGAGUUUUUUUUUUUUUUUUGGGGGUGGGGGGCGAGGGGUGUUUGGAUUGUGAGAAGAGAAGCUACAUCUGCAACUAGUCAUGGAAACGGCCGACAGAAACACAAGCUGUAAAAACUGGAGAGUUCCAAAGAAGUUGUUGGAAACACGGCUAGAAACAGAGGAAAAACAGAGCAGCGAUAUCACUUCAAGAAAGAAGUGCUAUUAUGGCACCAUACCAAUUCCUCACCCAGCUCAGUGGUGAAACAGCUAAAGAAAUGUUCUAAUUAAGUCGAGAGAGAGAGAAAAAAAAAAGAAGUCAUGUUUUUCACACAAGAUAAUGCUAAUUAAAAUGCCACAACUGAUUCAUUGAAAGGACUAGCAGCAUUUGUCCAUUGCUCUAACACUGAAGACGUUGAAGCUGUUGGCUCCCCCAUUUGAUCAAUUACACUCCCUAUCUUUUAAAGAGUGAACAUGGAAUCAUGGCCAAGAAAACUCAGCAAGAUUGCUCUGGGAUUAACUUGGCAUCAAUCUAUUGCUAUAAAAUUCAAGACCCUCAUGGACAUUGAUUAUUGUAAGAAAGCCUUUUACGUUCCCCUUCUGUCGCUUCCCCAACCAACCGCCCAUUCAGAGGAGAAAGAGCGGAAGCAGUGGUGGCGCCGGAGGCAAGAAAAAUGGCGGACAAGGUGGUGACUAUUCGUACUAGGAAGUUCAUGACCAAUCGUCUUCUUUCCAGAAAACAAUUCGUCAUUGAUGUUCUGCAUCCUCGAAGGCCUAAUGUUUCCAAGGCUAAGUUGAAGGAAAAAUUGGCUAGGAUGUAUGAUGUCAAGGACCCAAAUGCCAUCUUUGUUUUCAAGUCCAGGACGCAUUUUGGAGGUGGCAAAUCAACCAGGUUUGGAUAGAUGUAUGGUUCUGUAGAGAAUGCUAAGAAAUCCUGAGAGUUCUAGGCCUUGUCAAAUUUUUAUAGAGAAAAACAAAAAUGUUUUUGCAGCAGAGUUAUUUUCUCAUUUGUUACUUUGAAUUGUGUCUUUGUUCCUUUGAAACUAAGCCUUGAGAUUAAUGUCGUUGUGUAAAGUACUGAUAGUCAAAUUCGUCAUGCCUUCUGCAUCUAAGUUUAGCCAACUUGAAGGACCACAAACAUACACAGAUUGACAAAAGAUCUUAUAAUCAACAAGGUAUGCACCAGAACAAAUGCAAUUUCAAUCCAAACACUGGUUGGCAAUGAAUUACUGGGUGAAUGUAAUCAGCUGGAAAAUCAUUUUCAUGUUCCGAUUAGUGCUAUUCAAUACUCAUUUUAGUAGUGCGCUAUUCUAAAUCUUGAAGAUAUCAUUGGAUGUUAUUAGUAAAACAAAACUACUAUUACUCAAAAUGACAUCUCUGAGGACUGAAAUUUUUUAUUUCUAUGCUUUCAGUAGUUGAAGAAUAAUGGCCUUUACUAACGAUAAGGCCAAACCUAUAAAUUGUCCAAAAGGACAAUAGCUAAUGAUACGAAAGUAUUGUUAUCUUCUAUGAUAUAGCAGACCAUAAUUUAACCACUUAUUCAAAAAAAGCAUACCAUGUUAAAGACACAACUCCUAUACAAGUUAAGAAGGAUUAGGGAUAUAAAAUCAUACAAGCAAAAAAAGGUUACAAAGGUAAUGAACAUGGUUCUACCAUAAAGAAGCACAAAACAAGAAUCCUGACUUGUUGAACAUGCCAAAUGUGUUAAAAGAAGUGAAUAACUCAAAUAUUAUAAACAUGAACACGGAGGAUGAUAGGUAGCAAAGAAAACUCAAUCAGAUUCUUAUGGGAUUCACAUGGUAGCAAUCGAUUAUUAAAUUCAAGAGGACCACAUAGACACAAUUAGUAACCGCAAUAAAAAUAACAAGUAAAGUUUUACAUAUCUAGCCUUGAUCUUAAAAUAGAAGAAGAAAAAGCGCACCUGAUUACAAAUUGUUAGAGAGAGAAUUCAGAGAAAUUAAAAGGGAAAGAGAAUGAAAUCAACGAACUUGGUGGCAUUUAUCUUCCCGCAUCUGCACUUUACUCUUCUGUUUCUUCUUUUUCUUUUCCUUUUUCAAAGGCCUCUUAACUCUUAAAACUACAACGUUUGGUUGUAUUUUUAUUUUAGCAAGAAUAGAACCACUUCUUGCUAUUGGUCAAAUACAGAUCAGCGAGAACCUGUCCUCACCAAGUGCGGUACAUCAGCGUGGGACUGCAUGAAUUCUCACGAGUACCAAAAAGCCUUGGCGCCACUAUGACUACAAUUUGGAGGGAAGCUUCCCGCCUUUCUUUUUGGCAAGGAUGUUAAGCGAGGAAAGUCAUAGUGCUAGCAAAAGUCAAGCUGUCUCCAACAUUUGGUGAGGAUAUGCUUUGUUCCUCGUCAUCCACACAUUAAUAGCGUUGACUUGUCUGCUCCUCGUAAAAAAUUUUGUAGCUAAUUCCCUUCUUUGUUGUAGUGAAGGUAAGGUACUUGCUUUACACAAUAACUUAUUUAAGAAAAAUUUGAUAAACACAUAAAAUGCCUUUAUGGAAAUGAAAAAGUUUUGCUUACAAUUUUUUUUUUUUUGAGGCGUGGGUAGAUUUAUGCUUGGUCACUUGUAAACAUGACUAGGAAAUUGUUCAAAUAGAUAUGUAGAACGAAAACUUGCUAAUCUUCUUAGGCAACAGAAGAUAUAUCCUAGCAAAUUGCUAAAGACCAAUAGUUGGUUUAAAUUGAGCUUAGGAUUGGAUAUUCGUGUAAUAUCAACAUCUUGAAAAUUUACAGAAAGAAAAAACUUGAAAAUUUUUUUUAAAAUAAAAAGAAUGAAAAGUAUACAUUUUAUUUCUGUUCAUAUAUCUGACUUUAUGAGUGAAUGUGCUCAUUUCGUAUGUUAAUGUACAAUUGGGUGCUUCACAUAUUUAUGACUUUUUGUGUGAUAAAUUGUAUGCAAUAAUUGGUUAGGUAGUGUAAUUGGUGAAAAGAAUAAAAGCAACACAUAAUUUCUUUUUGGUAUGGAAUCCAUUAGAAUUGGUUUUCAUACUUCAUAGGAACUAAAGGGGAAUUAUUAGAAGAAAAUAGGAUGUUACUUCAGCAUAAUAUGCUUAGCUAGCCAUUUAUAGAAGUAUAUUUUGCAGUGGAGAAAAAGGAAUAAAUAUGGCUCUUUAACUUUCAUAAUUUCUUUGAACUUUAGGAUUAAAUUAGUGGAGGAAAAGAUGUCAAUAUGACUCUUUAGUUUAAUCAUAGCUUAAUUUCUUUGAACAUUAUGAUUAAAUUACUUAAAUUAUUGACAGGUGUCGAGUCUAUGCAAUAGUAAAUACUUGCUCAAAUAAAAUACAAAUUUUGUAUAUAGCAGUAAGCAGGGUCGACUCCACAAGGAUUGGGAAAAAUUCAUUUUUUUUAGAGCACAGAGUAAGGGGGAUUUUUAUAAAGAUGAGAAUAAAUAAAUAACUCAAAUAGAAAAGACUAAGUGACAAUUUAUUAAAAUUGGAGUAAUAAUAAAUAAAUUCUAACCAAGAAAUAACUUUGGAGACGGUUCACUCAAUUGAUCAUCGAAACAAUGAUAAUUUCAUUUACUCACUGAUAAACAAGUUAUAACUGCUAAACAAGCGAUGACAAUCAACUUCUCUUUAUUGUAUUGGUAGUUAAGGUAUGGUCAUUAACCAUUAUCCUAAUCAAGAAAAAACCCUAGGUACGAGUUUAGAGUUCAGUUUUCCAAUUAGCUUAAAAAUUAGAGAAGUCAUACUCUAAUCAAAUAACACGCUACUAGUGUUAUUUUAAAUUAGCUUAUAUGUCCGCUUAACACAAAUCCAAUCAUACCAGUUACUACUAGUUUAAAGUAAUUAAACAAUUACUUUUUUAAUUAUUCUAAUUGAUUUUAGGUUAUUAGAUUGAAUUAAAUAUUGGACGCCCUUCAUAUUCAAAUAAUAUAACAGUCAUAAGAAAUUAAAGUAGAGGAUAUAUGACUACUAGUGAAUAAAAGAAAUAAAAACAAUUAAUUCGAGCUCACAAUUUUAGAUAAACUAAAUCCUCUAUUGCUUCUUAACUAGAAAGAGAAUUUAGCGCUUAUCGUUGAAAAUAAUCCAAGUAAUUUUAUUGACAAAAGUUGCAUGAACAUCGAUGAUAGAAAAGCUAAAGAAAAGAGAAAGACCAAGAGAAAAGCUCUUCGUUCGGUUCUUUUCUUCGUACCUCAAACUCCGCGUCUCUCAGACCGGGAACAAAGUUACAAAAAUCACGAAAGUCAAGAGUCCCUCACCCUUACGUUUCUUUCCUUUUCCUAAAGUAGUAGUAGCACUACUACUACUAAUUCCACUUUCCUACGGAAGAAAUAUUUUCCUAAUUAAACAAAGGGUAAGCUCCUUAUCUCUUAAUUCAAAACACAAAGCCAAUUGCCUUGGAAAAAGGAAACUUAGGACUUCAAUUUGAGUUGGAAAAUCGCCACACGCGCCAAAUCCCGAUCUCUUCGGAAUUGAGGCUAGACUUGGGUGUAGUCACACGGAACAGGUCAGGAAUCUUCAUUAAAUCACAUUUUACUCCUUUUCUUGCCAUAUUUCUGAAAUUAGCACCAGUUACCAAACAUGAGUAAAAUCCAUUCAAUAAUGCAAUAUAUAGCCGAAAUUAAGGGAAAAAAUCAUAAAUUUAAUAACAAAAUUGCAACCUAUCAAUUAUAGGGCAAAAGGAGUAUGACUUUGAUUUGGUACUCUAAGGUUGGGUUUAGAAUGUUUUUAGACAUGCCAAGGAAUCACCAUUGCCUGGAAUACAAUCUAUAGAUGAUCCCUUUAGUAAUCAAAUUCAGUGAUGAAGAAUUAAUUGAUAUUCUUAAAAAGAACUAUUUUUUAGUGUAUAUGGGAGGUUUCAAACCCGGAACUUUCCAGUUACACCCCUCCCUCCUUAUUAUCCAAUUCAUUCCUCUCUCCCCAACCCCCCUCCCUCCCCCCUACAAAAGAGCUAUUAGACUCUUUUGUUAAAGAAUAAGAGACUAACCAAACAUAUUAGUUAGUAUGGUAAUGAAGAGUUUUUUUCUUUUUUUCCUUAAGUAGAAGAAUGUUUCUUUUAGUUUUCUUCUAAUUUACUUGUCUUUUGCUUUUCUAAGAUUCCCAUAAAGUAUAAAUCAAUUAGGUUUUGUAAAAAUCUUACAAGACUAUUUUAUAUGUUAUAUUCAAUGAGAAGAAUGAUAGAAAUACAACACUCAAACUAGUUAAAUAUUUUCAUUAAUCUCAAGAGAAUUAUUAUUAGAUCAAGUAACACCAAAGGUGAUAUUUACAACACUCAAUGCACGUGCUCAUACUAGUUAAUGCAAGUCUAUAAGUGAGUACAUUCAUUUUGCUUAUGGUAGUGAUAUGUCAUGUCUCGUCAAUCUUGCAUAUUUUGAAACUUAUUAAUUGAUUAUCAAACAAUUAGCAGAAACUUGUGGAUGAUUUCUUAUUCAAAAAGCUAGUGGGCUGAUUUCUUUAGGUUCCUGAAUGUCUAGAAAAGAUAAAUAAUGUACUUGACUUGACCGUCUAAGGUGGAAUUUGAUUCCUUAAAAGGAAAAAAAAUUCAAUUUCUAUGCAGUAAAAAAUACUACUGUAUGAGUUUAUUUGUUUGGUGAGUGUAGAAUAAUUAUUUGUUCUAGUUAUGGUGGUUACUUAAUUUAGAUAUGUUUUACGAUGAUGUUGAAUAUUAAUUUUUGCAUGAUCCAUGUAAUAAUUUCUAUGGAAUACAUUAAUCAUGCACCAUAAAUAAAUCAUUUGGGUAGAUGUCGUAGUUGAUAGAACAAGCAUGAUGAAGAAAGCAUUAGGACCCACCACCAUUAAUUACUAGUUCACCAAUUGGGCUGGCAUUGGAAGAGAAUUGCACUCUUUUGGUAUUUGGUAACUUUUUUUUGCUCUCUUCUCGCAAGUAGAGAGACUUAUAAAAGGCGUUUACCCAAAAAAAAAAAAAGAAUUUGAUAAAGGAAAAAUGAAGCAAAAAAGGAUAAAGAAAAUAUGGUGCAGAAGAGAAAUGGUGUAAAAGAUUUCACUAAAUUAAAACAUUGCAUAAAGCAAAACAAAGGAUGUCCUUUUCCUUUAUCAAUCUAUCCAUUUGUUUUUCUUUUUUGUGGUGGCAAGUUCAUUGUAUUUUUAUUACCUCAGUUUAAUUGGUCUAUGCUAAAAAAUCUGAAGCAUUAAUGAAAUUAUUGGGCCAUUUCAAUAAUGCGCUCUAGGUGGGGUUGAAAGGAUUUACAACGAUAGUUUGGCUCUUACGCCAAUAGACAAAAAUGUAACCAAAAUACAACAGAAAAGAAAAUGAAUUGAAAUUGACAUGCUGGAAGUGCAUUUGAACUUUCACCUUUUGGCUCCAGGUCGAUGCAUGCAACAGUAAUGAAGCAAAAAAGGAUAAAGAAAAUAUGGUGCAGAAAAGAAAUGGUGUAAAAGAUUUCACUAAAUUAAAACAUUGCAUAAUGCAAAACAAAGGAUGUCCUUUUCCUUUGUCAAUCUAUCCAUUUGUUUUUCUUUUUUGUGGUGGCAAGUUCAUUGUAUUUUUAUUACCUCAGUUUGAUUGGUCUAUGCUAAAAAAUCUGAAGCAUUAAUGAAAUUAUUGGGCCAUUUCAAUAAUGCGCUCUAGGUGGGGUUGAAAGGAUUUACAACGAUAGUUUGGCUCUUACGCCAACAGAGAAAAAUGUAACCAAAAUACAACAGAAAAGAAAAUGAAUUGAAAUUGACAUGCUGGAAGUGCAUUUGAACUUUCACCUUUUGGCUCCAGGUCGAUGCAUGCAACAGUAAUGAAGCAAAAAAGGAUAAAGAAAAUAUGGCGCAGAAAAGAAAUGGUGUAAAAGAUUUCACUAAAUUAAAACAUUGCAUAAUGCAAAACAAAGGAUGUCCUUUUCCUUUGUCAAUCUAUCCAUUUGUUGUUCUUUUUUGUGGUGGCAAGUUCAUUGUAUUUUUAUUACCUCAGUUUGAUUGGUCUAUGCUCAAAAAUCUGAAGCUUUAAUGAAAUAAUUGGGCCAUUUCAAUAAUGCGCUCUAGGUGGGGUUAAAAGGAUUUACAACGGUAGUUCGGCUCUUACGCCAAUAGACAAAAAUGUAACCAAAAUACAACAGAAAAGAAAAUGAAUUGAAAUUGACAUGCUGGAAGUGCAUUUGAACUUUCACCUUUUGCCUCCAGGUCGAUGCAUGUAACAGUAAUGAAGCAAAAAAAUUAAAGGAUAAAGAAAAUAUGGUGCAGAAAAGAAAUGGUGUAAAAGAUUUCACUAAAUUAAAACAUUGCAUAAUGCAAAACAAAGGACGUCCUUUCCCUUUAUCAAUCUAUCCAUUUGUUUUUCUUUUUUGUAGUGGCAUGUUCAUCGUAUUUUUAUUACCUCAGUUUGAUUGGUCUACGCUCAAAAAUCUGAAGCAAUAAUGAACUUGUUGGGCCAUUUCAAUAAUGCACUCUAGGUGGGGUUAAAAGGAUUUGCAACGAUAGUUUGGCUCUUACGCCAAUAGACAAAAAAGUAACCAAAAUACAACAGAAAAGAAAAUGAAUUGAAAUUGACAUGCUGGAAGUGCAUUUGAACUUUCACCCUUUGCCUCCAGGUCGAUGCAUGUAACAGUAAUGAAGCAAAAAUGGAUAAAGAAAAUAUGGUGCAGAAAAGAAAUGGUGUAAAAGAUUUCACUAAAUUAAAACAUGGCAUAAUGCAAAACAAAGGAUGUCCUUUUCCUUUAUCAAUCGAUCCAUUUGUUUUUCUUUUUUGUGGUGGCAAGUUCAUCGUAUUUUUAUUACCUCUGUUUGAUUGGUCUACGCUCAAAAAUCUGAAGCAAUAAUGAACUUAUUGGGCAUUUCAAUGAUGCGCUCUAGGUGGGGUUAAAAGGAUUUACAACGAUAGUUUGGCUCUUACGCCAAUAGAGAAAAAUGUAACCAAAAUACAACAGAAAAGAAAAUGAAUUGAAACUGACAUGCUGGAAGUGCAUUUGAACUUUCACCUUUUGGCUCCAGGUCGAUGCAUGUAACAGUAAUGAGUGAGUACUGUUAAGUGGCAAGGAGAAAACAUCGGUUUUUCGGUCACGUGGCAAGGAGUUUGAGACCCGUUAAGUAAAAUCUUGGGUUUGAAUCUCAUAAAUACAGAAAACAACGAUGGAAGAAUCAUCCCUAAAAGAGGUUCAACAGUGCCUAAUUUAAGAUUAGUCGGGAUCUGAUGCGGUCACCGAGCAAUGUGAAGUAUACACCCAAAAAAAAUAAAUAAAAGAUGAGUGAAUAUUGUUUAAUGGUUUAUGGUGUUUUCUUACUCAUGCUGUCAUACCUAUGUUCUAGCGUGGUUAAAAUACAAAACUCAGACUCACUUCAAUAGUUGGUGGAUGCAAUAGAAAUUUUUUGCAGUCAUCCUCGGUAGAUCCAUCUUAUUAGAUGCAAACUUUGUCCCUAACUUUUGUUGAGCAGAGAUUUACAAAGAGAGGAAAGGGUUGAGCAGACCUUCUGAUAAAUUUUUUUUUAUUGGCUAUACAAUAUUAUUAAUUGGGUAAAAAACAAAAAAACCCCAUGUGAUAAGCCUAAUACACAGAAAAGUCUCCUAUGAUUUCAAAAUAUACAACACGACACCUCAUGCUUUGAACUAAAUUGUAAAGGUGACGGAAUCCGUUAAACUUAACGGAAAUGAUUUAUUGGAACCUAAAAAAGAAAUUUUAUACCUAAUUUUUAUCAAAUAUACCUAUUCUACCCCUUAACCCUCAAUUCUCUAUAUUUAGAGAAUAAAAUAAAUGAUUUUUUUGAACUGUCUUUUGCUUAAUUAUAUCAGGGCAUUUUGGUCAUUUUGUCCAUUUCCGUUAAGUUUAACGGAUUCCGUCACCUUUACAAUUUAAUUCAAAGCAUGAGGGGUCGUGUUGUAUAUUUUGAAACCAUGUGGGGCUUUUCUGUGUAUUAGGUUUAUCACAGGGGGUUUUUUUAUUUUGUACCCUUAUUAAUUUUGUGGGAGUUUCGACUGAUAGGCUUUUGUCUAAGCGCGACAAAGAAGUAAAAAAGUCGCUUAUAAAUUGGAACUAUGAUGCAGGACAUGCAAUUCCGGUGCAAAACAAAAUUGUUAGCGAAACAAUUUUAAAUGCAAAGCAAAAUUGUUAGUGAAACAAUUUUAAAUACUAAAAUUACAUUUUUCUAAAAAAUUUUGACAUUAACAUAUGUACAUGUACACUGUAGGUUGGUCAGGCUAUGCUGCGUCGAAUCGUCUCUUGGAAAUCUAAGUUUCUUUCCUUGGGGGGGGGACUUACUUUGGUUAGGCAUGUUUUGAUGUCCAUUCCAGUACAUUUGCUGGCAGCGACUGUGAUACCAAUUUCGGUGUUCAAAAUGGUGGAAAGGGUAUGUACAAAUUUUCUCUAGGGUGAAUCGGAGGCAGGGUUGAAAUACUAUUGGAUUGGAUGGUCUCAGUUGUGUUACCCGCUUGGCGAGGGAGGAGUGGGGAUAAGACGUUUAAGUGAUGUAUAUGCGGCAUUCUCUUACAAACUGUGGUGGCAGUUUAGGACGGGCUCAUUGCUUUGGGCAAGUUUUCUACGGGCUAAAUACUGUAGAGAUCUUCACCCAUGUCAGAUUGAGCUGAGUCGGCAGGCCUCGAGGACAUGGUGGUGGAUGUUCAGUGUUAGUCGGCAAGUGGAGUUGUCUAUGGUCUGGCUGAUCGAGGAGGGAACUUGUCAUUUUUGGUAUGAUAACUGGUUGGGAACUGGCGUAUUGUUUCUUAAAACCACAGUGCAUCCAACCCUCUUUUUCAAAGAUUUCAUUACAAAUGAGAAGUGGGAUGCAAGUUUGCUCUCCCGGGUUAUUACUCUUGACCUUCUCCCUUCGAUUUUACAUCAUCCGGUUCCCCAGCAUGGGCGGGCGGAUGAGGUCGUUUGGAGUUUGUCUUCAUCAGGCAAAUUCUCUCUAUCAUCAGCGUUUGAGGAGAUACGGCAAGGCCGAAGCUCCUCAUUUGUUCUCUCUCACAUCUGGCAUUGUCGCAUUCCGACAAAGGUGUCCUUCUUCAUGCUGCGCUUGUUGCUCGGAUGACUACCAAUCCCAAAUGUCUUCGGUAAGAUGGGAUUUUAUAUGCCUUCCAAAUGUUUUUGUUGUCAUAAUGGAGCAAAUGAGACAUUGGAGCAUCUCUUCUUGAAGGGACACAUCGCGAUGGAGGUAUGGACCUAUUUUACUGGCCUAAGUGGGCUCCUGACUGUCGUGUCAACUUUGCGAGCUCGGGUAGUGGCUUGGUGGAUGGUGGGUCCGAGAGCUGAGAAAAGGCGCAUACUCUUCAGGAUUUUGCCUUGUUAUAUUUGUUGGCACAUAUGGAAGGCAAGGAACCAAGCAGUAUUUGAGGGGAUUCGGAUGUGCGCGAUCACUAUCCGACAAGCCAUUAUGUCAGACGUUGCGGCAGAACUGGAAAUUCAUUUUAAUCAUAGGCUGGGAAGGGUCACGUUUCCCCAGUUGUAUGAUUGGUCUGGUCAACAAGCGAGCGGCGUCAACUAGGAAAUUGUACGGUGGCAAGCAAAGAAAUAGGGAGGUUUAACGCUAAAUACGGACGGGUGUUCCAAAGGCAACCCAGGUUGGAGUGGUGGAGGAGGGAUAUUAAGGGAUUCUUCGGGCAGCCCGGUAUUCGCUUACUCAGCAUUUUUUGAGAGAAGAUCCAGUUUGCACGCGGAAGCUCUGGCAAUGCUAACGGGGCUGCAGCUAUGUGUAGAGAAGGGUUUCAGCAGUGUUGACAUCCAAUCGGAUUCUCAGGUAUUGGUGGGGAUUGUACAACGCCGCUUUCGAUGCCCGUGGCAGAUUCGUCGAGAAAUAGAGCAAUCUGGCAAAGGGUGGGAGAUGUGACGCAAAUUUCUCACUGUUUCCGAGAGGCUAAUCGUGUGGUGGACAUUCUGGCUAACGAGGGUGUUUAUCAUCAACAACGUGCCUGUACUGUCUAUGAGCAUAUCCACAGUUAUCCAAAACUAGCUAGGGGGAAUCCCGCCUGGAUAGGCUAGGCAUGUCAGCUGUUAGGAGGACAUCAAGGGGAGGGGGGAGAUUGACCGCUGAUAUUCAAGGAUCAUCCUUCAGAUUGACUGGAAGAGCUGAAGUUGAAAAGUGAAGAUUUAAUCUUAGUUUCAGAUCUUAAAUGCUUAAAAUUUUCACUAUGAUGUAAAUUUGUUGUUGAAUUGUGGGUUGCUGGCAGGGAGUUUUCGUCCCUUUAUAAGGGGAAACUCUACCAAAAUUUUUAUAAAAUAAAUAAUAAUAAUAAUAAUAAUAAUAAUAAAGCCUGUUGGUACUUUAAAAAAAAUGUACAUGUACACUGUUCAUCUGCAUGUUUAACCCGCUAUAGUUUUAAAAAUUCUGCUAUGCGUCAAUCUCUACUGAUUUUGGCCUGGGAUCGUUUCCUAGAAGAAAGCCAAGCUCAGGAAUUGCAUAUCAUAUUUGGUCUGUGGAAUGUAGGCUCAAUGGAUUCAAGUGUAACAGGGACUACAUUCAAUUUGGUAAUGAUAGUGAGUUUUGAUGUCUCCUAAAUCUUGCAUGUUUUGAGACUUAUUAAAUGAUUAUCAAACAAUUAACAGAAACUUAUGGAUGAUUUCUUAUGCAAAAAGCCAGUGGCAUGAUUUCUUUAGGUUCGUGAACGUCUACAAAAGAUAAAUAAGGUACCUAAGUUGGUCCUCUAAGGUGCAAUUCGAUUCCUUAAAAGAAAAAAAAUUCAAUUUCUAUGCAGUGGAAAUACUACUCCAUGAGGUUAUUUGUUUGGUGAGAGUAGAUGAAUAAUUUCUUGUCCUAGUUAAGGUGGUUACUUAAUUUAGAUGUGUUUUAAGAUGACAUUGAAUGUAAAUUUCUAUGUGAUCUAUGUAAUAAUUUCUGCGGAAUACAUUUGUCAUGUACCAUAGAUAAAUCAUUCAGAUAGUAUACUAUAGUUAGGGGUGGCAAUUUUCGACACGACCUGAAAACACGAUACGAAUCUAACACGAAAUUAAUGGGUUUGGGUUGAGGUUUCGGGAAUUCGGGUCACAAUCGGGUUGAACCCGAAAAGAAAACAGGUCGAUUUUCGGGUCAAUCCGUGGUGACCUGAUAUGACCCGAUAUGACCCGUUUACGAAUUAAAAAUAAUUUAAUAAACAUAAAAAUAAUUUUAUCUAACUAAACUAAAUUAUUCUUUUUUUCAAAGGCAUUAAUUACUUAAUUCUAAAUGAAUUUAUUUAAUUUGUGUGAAGUUGAAAUUAUUAUAUUUGGACAAAUAAUAUAUUAUAUUAUUUUUUACUUUUAUACUGUUUUAAUUUAUUUUAUAUUUUGUUUGGGAUAAAACACUUUUACGGUGUUUAAUUUAUUUUAGAUUUGGUUUGGAAUUAUUUACUUAAAUUUUUAUUACUUGAUUAUGUAAUUAGUUUUGUGAGAAAUUGAUUUUAUUAGAAAUUACAAUGAUAAAUUAAUAAAUUAAAAUUAAGUUUCUGGUCAUUUCGGAUCGACCCGCCAACCCGUCAACCUGAAAUUUUCGGGUUCGGGUCAGCAUACCUGACCGUCAUGGAUUGACGGGUCGAGUUCGGGUCAACAGAUUUUCUGAUGGGUCGGGUCAGAACCCGACCCGCCAACCUGAUUUGGACCCGAAUUACCACCCCUAACUAUGGUCGAUAGAACAAGCAUGGUCAAGAAAGCGUUAAGCCCCGCUACCAUUACCCAGUUCACUAAUUGGGCUGGAAUUCCAAUUCUCAGCAUCUCACCCUGAAAAAUAACGGCCUAAGUUCACUAAUUGGGCUGGCCUUGGAAAAGAAUUGCACUCAUUUGUUAUUUGGUAACGGUUUCUGCUCUCUUUUCACGACUAGAGAGACUAAUAAAAGAGCAUUUGCGAAAAAAAAAAGGAUUUGAUAAAGGAAAAAUGAGGCAAUAAAAAAAGAUAAAGAAAAAAUGUGCAGAAAAGAAAAAGAUGGAAAAGAUUUGACUAAAGUUAAACAUUGCAUAAUGCAGAACAAAGGAUGUCCUUUUCGUUUAUCAAUCUAUUAAUUUGUUUUUCUUUAUUGAGGUGGCAAGUUCAUUGCAUUCUUAUUACCUCAGUUUGAUUGGUCUAUGUAUAAAUAUCUGAAGCAAUAAUGAACUUAUUGGGCCAUUUCAAUAAUGCAUUCUGGUGGGAUUAAAAGGAUUUGCAACGACAGUCCUUUGAUUCUUACGGGAAUAGAUAAAAAUGUGACCAAAAGACAACAGAAAAGAAAAUGAAUUGAAAUUGACAUGCGGGAAGUACAUCUGAACUUUCACCUCUAGGCUCCAGAUAGAAUGAUAGAUGCAUGUAACAGUAAUGAGUGAAUAUUGUUAAGUGGCAUGGAGAAAACAACGGUUAUUAAGUCAAGUGGCAAGGAGUUUGACACCCAUUAAACGAGAUCUCGGGUUUCAAUCUCAUAAAUGGAGAAAACAACGUUGGGAGAAUCAGCCUCAAAAGGGGUUUGACAGCGCCAGAUUCUGGUUUAGUUAGGGAUCAAUGUGGUUACCGAAGACUGAGAUGUUUACACAAAAAAAAAAAAGAAAAGAAAAGAUGAGUGAAUAUUGUUAAAUGCUUUGUGGCAGUGGGCUCAAUGUUUUCUGACUCAUGCUGUCAUACAUAUAUGUUCUAGCGUGGUUAAAAUUACAAGAUUCUGACUCCCCUGAAUAGUUGGUGGACGCAUUAGAAAUUUUAUUGCAGUCAUCCAUGAUAGAUGCAUCUUAUUAGAUGCAUUUUUUUUUUUUUUUUUUUUUAGGCUAAUGUGGCUAACUCUUAACUUUGUCCACAAUUUUUAUUGAGCAAAGAUUUAGAAAGAGAGAAGAGUUAUGCACACCUUCCCAUAAAUUUUUUAUUAGCUAUAUAGUAUAUUUAAAUUUGUGGGAGUUUCGACUGAUUGGCUUUGUUUGAGCACAAGAAGGAAAUAAACUAGUCACUUAUAAAUUGGAACUACGAUCCAGGGCAUGCAUUUCCAGUGCAUAACAAAAUGCUUAGCGCAACAAUUUAAAUACUAAAAUUAAAUGUUUCGAAACUAAACUAAAAAAUGUUGAUAUUAAUAUAUGUAUACAUGCACUGUUCAUCUGUAUGUUUAAUCCACUUGACGUGAAGUUUUAAUUAAGUCAAACUUCCGCUAUUACAAGUGCACAAGUACAUGAGUAUAGGGAAUAUUCAAAUGUCGAUCCCACAAGAAAGUUGCUAUUUAAGUUUCUUUAUUAUUUAGACAAUGACAAUGAAAAGUAAUUAACUUUAUACUAAUUACAUGUAAAAAAACAGAAGUAAAAGUAACAAUAAAAGGCUUCUAGCUAGAAUUGGUUUUCUCUCCACCGUGACUAGAUGAAUGAUCCGGUUAUCUUGUUGCAAUCCCUUGGCUAAACUAUGGCAGAUUUCUAAGAUAUUUGAAACAUGCUUUUGCCAGUGAAUUAACUAUAUCUAUAAUUACUCCAUACCUAAUUUCGUGAUUAUAAAAUUAGUUUAUCUAAAAAACUACUCGACAGAAAGUCACAAAGAUGCUCUUCUACUUUUGUGGGUAAACUGCCUUGGCUUCAUACUUUUACCAAUUAGCAUUGAACAUUAACUUUUGGUUAAUCAUCCAACAUCUUAAAUGGUUCACAAUUAGCGGCCAAAUGAUUGUAAACGUUAAAACUAAAAGCAUGAAUAGCUUGCUCAAAAGAUAAACAAAACAAUCAAGUUCAAAUUGACCAACAAAGAAGAGAUUAAACCUCACUUAGGCAUGACACUUAGAAUAACCUAAUGAAAAUCAAAGAAAAUACCAAACAUGUAUUAAAAUUAAGGGUAAAAUACAAGGAACCCUUGUGAUUUCGCGAAAAGACACCUUACUCCCCUAUCGUUUAGAAAUCUCCACAUAAACACCCUAAACUUCAUAAUUAAAGUAGAAAUUGACUUGUAACCGGGUGUGCGACCUAGUGACGAUCGGUACGCGAGGUUCCUUUUCAAAGACCUUGAGUUUCAUUCCCAAGCUACCCUUCAGUCCAAGAAGUAUUGGCAGAAGCUAGGUUAUCAGUGGGUUUGUUGAAACAUGAAAAUCACAUGAUUAAACUGCCCUCCCAUAAUUAUUCCCUUUUCCCCCGCUCCCUCUCCAGCUACUGGCUGCCUCCCAUGCAUGAUGGAACAGCACAUACACCAAUUAACCCUCAAUAAAUAUCGAUUAGCUUCCAAGCCAAUGGAUACACUAGCUAUCUAGCUACAUGCGUCUCUAACAAAUUAUCUCUUCCAUAAAACAAUUCAAGCUCCGACCAUUUCUUUUAUAUAUAUAUUGAUAAUCAUUAUUAUCAAUUUUUUCCACUUUCCCAAGUCCAUCCACUGCAUCUUCGUCCAUCCAGACAUCUGCGUUUUGGUCCAUGCAUGUUCAAGAACUUCUGCAACAAAGCGCUCGGCAGCUACAGCCCACAACACAUGAGGUAAAGCUGCAGCUGAGUGCUGACAGGAAAGAGGCCAACCGUUGUUGGAUUGUGGUGGCAUUUGUUGUUGAACUCAGGGCCACGAGCCUGGCAACUUGAUCUCCCCCCCCCCCCCUUCUCUCCUCGCUUCGAAAAAAAAAAUUAAGAGAAUGCGGGCUAGGAAAUCAUCAGUACUUUCUAGGAAAGCCAUCCUUUUGCUAUGUGUUGCCUGCCCCCUGGUAGGAUCACUUGUUUUCAGUAGCCGGGGCACAAAGUCGUCCACUACCACCGCCCUGAUCACUACUACUAGUCGCCCUGCCCCGAAAACUCAAAGUAUCGGACGUCGUGCCAUUUCAAGCAUCCCCACUCAUCAUCAUGUGGAAAAGCUCAGCACCCAGCAGCUGGUUACAAAUGGAUGUGAUCAUCAGAGACAGGUAAUUAAACUUCGCGCCAUAUAGUAGGCGAGGUUCAUUUUAAUCCUUGGAUGAUGGCUUCGUCGUCAAAUAGGAAGCCACAGUCCAAGAAGAGCUUUGCGGCGGUGGCUAUGGAGUCGACAUUGCCGAAAAAACAGGAGACUAAGGAAGCAAUAAAGUCGGAACCUAAUCAAAAUGAAAAUAUUCAGAAGAGUUCAUUGGGAGAUGCUGAUCCCAAAAUUCUGGGGAGGGAUAAAGGGUAUAGUGCUUUUGUUUUUGGUGCUGAUAAAGGGAGGAAACAGAUUUCUGGAUCUCGAUUUACCCCUUUGGAAUCGGAUAGUGGUGAUAUGGUUACAGAUACCCUCAAAAAAAGAUCUAUCUGGGAGGGUAUUCGAUUAUAAAUGAGGGUACUUUGGGUAUUCGAUCUACUGCUGGUAACUCAGCUGGUUCAGAAGGUAAUUUCCACUUUAGUUAUGAAGUUUAGGGUGUUUAUGUGGAGGUUUCUAAACAAUAGGGGAUAAGGUGUCUUUUCACGAAAUCACAAGGAGGUUCCUUGUAUUUUACCCUAAAAUUAAACAUGAAAUCCAAUAAAAGAAAGAAAGUGAUAAGAGAGAAGUCACCCAUAUCAUAUGAGUUCUAACUCUUCAUCUUUACUCCUCAAAUCUUGAUCAAAUCUAAUUUCAAAUAUAAGAAUGGAUCUAAACUAUCUAUCUUAAUCUAAUAUAAAUUAAAGAUCUAGGAAGUUUUAGUAUUAGAUUUACAUUUUUUUCGUUCUCUCCUUUUUUCAGCUACUAAAAUUGUCCACGAAGGUCCCUUUUUAAAGAGAGGAAGAAAGGAAGCAAUAAUUGAGAAAGUAGCCAAGUUGCAGCCACCCAAAAUCCAUGGACAAAUUGCUUGCUUUGUUUUUUUUUCUCUGAGGAGAAGUUAUUGCCUUGAAUCUGCAAAUAAAAUUUGUUCAUGCGCCAUCAAAAUCCAUCAGCGAAUUCAUCUAACUCUGAUUAGGAUCCUAUUUUGCUUUUGUCACUGACUUGAAAUAUAUACAAAUAUCUCAAUGAAGGAUUUUGAAUCAACUCUUGUCUAAAACACAAAAGUUAUAGUUAAUUGAGUUAGUGAUAUGACCUGCGUUCGACACACUAUGCAACCCAUAACACAACAAGCCACGGGAUCUAGAAUUGGAUGGUAUCAAGGGUUCGCCAGUGAAAACCUAGCUCGAUCUUGGACAGCACAAGAACGAAUUAAGGUUGGGUAGAACGAUGUCAUAAUCAAGUGUGUUUCUUGAUUGAUAAGUUGAUAAUCACUUUAAGUCAACUUUAAGAUAUUCAAAGAAGCUUUUGCAAGUCAAGAGAAUUGUUUCACACAAGAAACAUUUGCUAGAAAUUUCAUAGUCUACCAUUGCAAGCUUGAAUUUGGCUAUUUAAAGCCAUUAACAAAAUCAAAUGGACCUAAACUUACACUAGUUAGUCCAUUCAUGAUAGGUCACAAUUUUGUUAUUUAUUUUAUAAUUAAUUUUCCCUAUUACCUUACCAAAUAUAGAUUAAUUGUCAAAUUUUACUCAUUUGUGGCAUUUGUGCUUAUUACAGGGAGUAGAACGUAAAUACCAUAAAAAAGUGCCAAUUUGAAAGUUAUCAGAAGAAGAGUUUUAGCAGCAGUCAACACGGUGGAGGAUAAUGCAACUUUAUUCCAGGGGCAAAUAUGGCAUCCAAGGACACUUUGGGAAAAGGGAGAACUUUUCUGCUUUUGGUAGUUUCCGAAGAGAGAGGAGAUCAAGGUAGACUAGGAGUCUUCCCUUUUUCCUCCUCUGGACAGCUGCAUAGUAAAGGGAAUAGGGAUUAGAUAGUAGAAGAUAGCAGACAACUGGAACUAUUUUUAGUUUCCUCUUUGACUUUUCCUUUUUCAUCUUCUUGUGGUUUUCUUCUUUCGGAUGUCAAGACCAAGAAAAAGAAUGAAUCACUCUCUGUAGCUUCGCUUUUCUUCCUUAUUCCAACGAAUUGAAUCUUCUCAAUCAAAGACAAUGUCUGUGACUAUUAUUUCUGACUUCUCGCGUGGGUUUUUCUCAUCAAGAAUGAACUAAAUCCCUUUUUCUAGUCAAGGAACGACGGAGGCUUUGGUGCAUCUAAAAAUUAUGAGAUCGAAUUAAUUUUAUCUGUUUCUCUUAUUUAUUGGUAUUUGCAUAUUCUCCGAUUGCAGUACUUAUGAUUGUUCAAUUAAUUGAUUAUCUUGGAUCCGAAUAGUGAAUUGAUUUAGUAAUCUAUUGUCAAUUGGGGCAUUAAAUCCGUAAUUGUUUAAUUGCCCUAAAAUAGUGACAACUGGUAUGAUUGGGUUUGUGUCAGGGGAAUACGCAGGCUAAUCUAAAAUAACCCUGGUAGUGCGUUAUUUGGUUAGAAUAGGACUCCUUUAAUAUAUAAGGCAAUUGGGGAAUUAAAUCUUGCGGGCGUACCUAGAAUUAUUUCUCAAUUAGAGCAGUGAUUAACGGGCGUACCUUAAUCACCGACGCAGUAAGGAGGGGUUGAUUGUCAUCUCUUGUUUGGCAGUUAUAACCUAUUUAUUAGUAAAUAAUUGGAAUUGUCUUUGCAUCGAUGAUCAAUUAGGUGAACUAUUGCUGAAGUUAUUUCUUGGCUAGACCUUUAGUUAUUAUUAAUAUGAUUUUAAUAAAUUGUCAUUUAAUUUUUAGUGAGCUAUUUAUUUUUAGUUGAACUGCUUUAAUUGUCAUAUUUUAUACAAAAACACCCCCCGUGUUACUUUGGAUUUCAAAAGAGAUAAAUAUCUCCAGUCCCUGAGGAGACGACCUUACUUGCCCUUUAUACAAAUCAAUAUUCCUUAUGAAUAAGCAAUCCCAAUCUGGUAUAUCGGAUUAAGCAAACUCUUUGGAAACAGGGUGAAUCAAGUAACCCAUUGCACACCUAGAGUCCCUACUCCAGUACUUAGAAUCGGGUUUUGAUUACUUUAAUUGGCAACUAGGUUUAUUUUUAUUAUUGCACAGGCAUCGACAACCUGUCAAUUCAUUAGAUUGGACGCACUUAAACUAGCAACCAAUGACUUAACUAACUGACAGCCCAACUAAACAUAAGAUGGCGAAAUUGUUAAGACUAAAUAAAUGGUCCAAAUUACUCAAAAACUAGUAACCCUAACAAAGCUAAAUGGAUCCAAUUCAACAUCAGGCUAGUCUGAUUUUAUUCAAGAAACAAACUAUGCAAAAGAAUAAAAUAAAAGACUAAAGAAAGCUAUAUGACUAGAAGACUUGUAUUGAGUUAGACGCAGGUAUUCCUAACAUGAGUAAAAUCUUCUGCCCAAAAACUUCACUCACUCCAACAUGAACCUAUGAACCACCUUCUCCACGAGCUAGGGUUUGCUAGGCGAAUCCAUCGUUAACAUCUUCAAUGUAGAUUAAAAUCUUGGUAGGUUGAUGUUCGUUAUUUAACUUGACAGGUUCAAUGUACUUUAAGCUCCUUGCUUAUGAACCACACGAACCAAUGCUUGGAUGGAUUCUUUGAACUUUUUAGCACGAGGUCAUGUAACCGGAUGAAUGGGAACCUUUACUAGAUCAAAAUUCAAAAAUUGAACAUCAUGGAUAGCUUGAGCUCCCGCAACAGUUACAUUUCCAAUCAUCAAGAAUCAAGUUGUUUAGUGGUGUAGGUACUAAGUUAUGCCCAAAAUGUCCUUAAUUGGUCAGAAGAUAAAAUUUGUUAGUUUUGAGGAUCCUUUUUAUUUCUUCAUUGCACUUCAUUCAUUCAUACCAAUUGCACUUCAUGUAUCCUCACAAAACUGCUUCAAGUCAUCAAGAAUCAUCCAAAUAACUUUUCAAUUCAUUCCAAUUGAUGCCUGAAUCAUUAAAACCUACAAAAUCUGAAGUUUUCAUUGCUUAGCUCCAUAGAAAUACAAUUUUCCUCACCUUAACCACAAAAUGUAAAAUCCAACUAAACAUCUAGUCAUUUGAUUCAAACUUGAAUGAAAAACAUUAAAAACAUAGACAAGAAACCAUAGAAAAACAUGCAAAAUAAGCACUCAUCGCCAAAUUUUUAAUAAUUCUGCUAUAUUUCAAUCUCUACCAAACAAAUUCAAAGAGAGAUAUUUUGGCAUAAGAUUGUUUCCUAGAUGAAGGUCAUCCUUUGCAUAUAUUUUUUGGUCUAUGGUGUGAGGAUCCAAAAAUUAUUAUAUAUUUUUUUUAUUUUUGAAAAAAAGUUAAUUUAUAAUUUCUUUUAUUUUACCUUACUUGCCUAUUUACUAGCCUUAAUUUUAUAGUGAUUUUAAAGGUUAAGUCAAGAUUUUUCUCUUUUUCCUUUUAUAAUUUGGUGUAUGUUAAGUUUCAUAGAGUAUUAUGGUAGUUUGACCGACUAGUGAGAUGUGCGCACUAUAUUUGGUGGACAAGGAGUGUUGUGCAAGAGAAAUUAUGUGAUUAGAAGUGUUAAGAAUUAAUUGAAGAAGUAUAAUAUAUGAUUAGAAAUACAAGAGAGACAAAGAGAUAGGAAUGGAACCAUGUAGUGCCAAGUGUCAACACUUGAAGCUUCCAUUGACCAAGACUUUUCUCUAGUCUUUAUCUUGCAUUUUAAAAAAAAUUUCCUUCAUUUUUGGCCGAAAAUAAGAGAGGGAAAUAGGAGAAAAACUUCCAAAGUUCAUCUUGAUUUGUGAAAAAAAUCCAAAGAUCAACCCUAAUCCACUCUGAUCAACCUUGAGGUAAGGUUGAAAGGAAGCUUUUGGUGGAGUUUUGGAGGAAGAAAACUCAUGUGUUGCUUGUUAUCUUGGGGUUUUGUGGUAAAAUUUCUAGAAAACAUCUCAUUUUACUUGUUUCUUGAGAUUUAUACAAGAUAUGUCAUGAUUGAAGUUAAAGGAAGCAUGUCUAUGGUGAUUUCAUGGUUUUGCUAGGGUUUGGUGAAGUUGUCAAUUUCCAGCUUUAAUGUUCAAUUUUCAGCUUUGAAAUGAAUUUCCAGCUUUCAUUAGAGAUGUGCUAGCUUUGAUAUGAAAUUUUAAACUUUGAUAUGUGAUUUUUAGUCUUGUUAUGCAAAUUUCCAACUUUGAGAGGCAAAAUUCCAGCCUCGAUGUAGUUACUUCAAGUUUUAUAUAUAUAUAUAUGGAAUUGUGAUGGAUUGCUUUGCCAAGAAUCUAUGCCAUAUGCCUCGUGACGUGUUAACCAUUAUCUAGUGUGUAUUUGUCAUGGAAAUAGGGUUGAAAAUUGGAGGUUUAAAUAGAGAAAUUUGGGGCAAGUUGCUGGAAAAUGUUGGUUGGUUGGUAGAUUGAGUGAGGGAGAGCUUGAGUUUCCAUUUUGUGGUUAUUUUGACAUAUUCUUCCUCAAUACAUUUGUUAAAAUCUUGCUCUUCAUAUGGAUGUUGAAUUUGAGACAAGGGAGUGAGAUUGUGUUAAAAAAAGUUUCAUUUUCUCAAGUUGUUAGAAAUUUGGAAAUUUUCACAGGAAGCUAUGUACAGUUUUGGGAAAUUGGCUAUAACUUUGUAUAGAAAUGUCAGAAUUGAGUUCCGUUUGUUACAUUUUAAACUAGACUAAUAGAGCUUCCAGCAGUAUAAAAUUCAUGAUUUUGUUCAAUUUCUAUAAAUACCAGCAAAUCUGCAAACUUUCUUAAAAAUCAUUACUGUUCUGUCUCUGCACUUGUGAUAGCAGUGAGUUUGAACUGAAAUUUGACUAAUCUAUGAGUAGAAUUUCAUGAAGAUGUCUUCUAAGGCCUAUUAUUGAUUCAAAUCCAUUUUCUAAUGGUUAAGUUUUGUGAUUUUUCAACAUGCGGAACUCAAGUUAUGCCUUUUCAAAAAAUGUCACCAAAGCUGAGAAUUUUAUCAAAUGGAAUGAGUGGGACUUGGGAAAACUUUAGAAAACUUUUCUGGGUUUUAAACCUAACUGUUUUUGGUUAAAUCCUAUAUAUUUUAAUUUAAAAUACUUAGUGAUGUGUUAACCUUAGCAUGCAUGAAAUAUUUUACUUAAUUUGAACUUGAUUUAAACAAGAAACCAUGGCCCCUUUGGUCUUCUAAUAUUAGGGUUAAACCUAUAGUUUCUGUGGUUACUAAGUGAAGUUUCAAAUCUCAUAUUUUCUCAUCAUCUUAGCUUUAAGUAGCUAGACUCUUGACGGAUUACAUGACCAUAGGAUUUGAGCCUAUCUAAGAGGACGAACUAGGGUUGAAGUGAAACGAUUGUAAUCAAGUGGUGAGUGAUCCUUGCAUAUUUGUGCAAUAAGUGACUAUGUUGAAUAUUUGUGAAUGAGUGUUUGAGUAUUAAAUGCUUUUCAAUUAUUGUUAAAUGAAUUUUCAAUGGGCGAGUGUGUACUUUAUCAUACUCGACCUAAGUGAAUGUGAACUUUCAAUGAUCAAAUGAUUGAAUAUUACUUGUGCAUGAAUAUAAGCCAUGUAUACUUUAUUGCAUUGGUUAAAUUGGGCCCUUGCCCUUCAUUGCUAGCCCAUUUGAGUCAGAAGUGGACUUGGUCGGGUAAGUUGGUGAUCCUGUGUCACUAUUUUGGUAUACUCAAGUAUGACUACGAAAUCAUGUGGAGUAUUGGCCAGUGAAUGAAAUGUAAUGAAUGAAAUGACUAACUGAAUGAAAUAAUCACUGUUGGAGUUUUAUUUUCAAAUGUUUUCAAAUGUCGGAGGUAUAAGGAAGAAAUGGAAGGAAACUGAAUGGCUGAAUGAAUGAAUGACUCCAAGUGAGUAUAGAUCCUUUUAUUGAAUGUGCUACUGUUACUUGAAUGCUCUAAAUGUUCUCCUUGAUUGGUUGUUGUUAAAUGUGCUUGAGUACUAUUUGUUUAGGAACUUCACUGGACUUUUAGCUCAUUCUUUUAGUUUGUUUUCCUUACAGGAGUGGAAGUCAGGAGCAAAUAAGCUUGAACUAGUAUGUAUAACCUCUUGUACUUGUAUUUUUAAUAGAUAGAAUGUAUUUUAGAUAUUUGAUGUUGUAUCUUAUAUUUCACUUUUGGUUUGUAAUUAAACUUGAAUUAUUGGUUGACUUGUAGAACUCCAGUGCUCAUAUGGAGGUUUCAACAGUUGGUUUGAGAAUUGAUUGUAGUAAAUAUAGUGAAUCCUGAUGAGAGUUAGGCAAGCAGUCCGCCAAACCCUUGGGUAUGCUCUAAGGAAAUGCGGGGUCAUCACAAGUAGUAUUAGAGCUCUUAAUGAAUCUUUAUUAUUAAGGAAAAUUAGAUAUGUAUGUCGGAUAGAAAUCUUAAAUAUGGUUGAUUUCUUCUUGGGACUGGCUAACUUGAGUGGUGAAUUAUCCUAUUUUCGGAUUCUUGUACCCGAAUACCAAAGAGUUGAUACUUUUAUGAUGAGAGUCGAUAUCACGAGUGAAUUUAAAGUAAUUGUGGAUGGCAAAGGUCAAGGCACAGAUGAUGCUAAUAGUUUGGAUCUGAAAUAUAUUGAAGAUAUUAGUGAGAUUUAGGACACUUAUUAUUUAGUGUACAUAACUGGUUGUAUUUCUUCGAGUUUUGAUUAGGUGUAGUGUUUGCGCGAUUCCUUGGGUUUAAUGUCUAAUAGAGUAACUUUCUUAGUUGUUAAGUGAUGAUAGAAUCUGAUAUACGAGAUAUGAGAGUUCAAUGAUGAAGGGCCACUGAUGCAUUUAGGUCAUGCUUAUAUGAAUUGUUUUUGAAUCGAAAAGAGUCAUCUGCUUUUGCUUCUCCCCCUUCUUUCUUUCUUUUCUAUCACCAGGGCUGUAGACAAUUCCUUGUUCCUUCCUUCUGAAUUCUUCAUUCAUCACAGUUUCUUUUGUAAUAGCCAUGAUCAACACAUCAUUAGGAGUUGAAUUGCUGACGGAGACCACCAUGAUUUUCCAACUAUUAGGUAGUGAACUGAACAAUAAUAGAGCCUGCACCUUAUUAUCCAAGUUCAAAUUCAAUGUAGCUGCUUGGUUUAUCAAUACCUAAAAAAUUACUCAGGUGCUUAGUCAUAGCUUCCCCAUCUUUAUAUCUCUUCUGAGUAAUCUGUUUUAGACAAUUAGCCUUGUUAAAAUCAGUCUUUCGUUCAUACAUGCUCCCAAGCUUUUUCCACAAUACAUCAGUUUUGGUGUUAUUAGCAAAGUGUUGGAAGAUAUUCUGUCCAAUCCACUUUCUAAUAUUACCAAUAGUUUUUCUGUACAUAACUGUCCAUUUAUCAUCACUCAUGUCACUUGGUUUAGCCACAUCCCCCAAAAUAGGAUCAAACAAAUCUCUAUAGUACAAAUAGUCUUCCAUUCUAGACUUUCAGGUUGAAUAAUUAGUAGCAUUUAAUUUUAUCAUACAACCACUAUCCGAAUAAUCCAUUUUAACUAAUACAAAUGAGCAAUCCAACCUUACUCUGAUACCACUUUGUUGGAAAAGGUUUAUCGGUACAAGCACACAAUAUCAGAAUUAACUCAGAACAAAGUACUCUUUUUCCAAGUAUUAGUUAAAAUAGGAAUGAACCAAAUCACCAAACAAUGAUGUCAAUAAUAAUAAUAAAAUGCAGAAAAAUAUAUCUAUAGGACACUAAGAUUUUUUACAUGAAAAACUCAAAUCAGAAAAAAUUACGGAACCUAAUUCAGUCAAAAAAUCUCCACUAUCACAAUAAUGGAAAUACAUGGGUUUAUCUGGAAUAUCCAAAUGACAAUAAUAUCACCAAUAUCAACUAAGUUAAAUCGCUACAAAAUCACUCUAAAAAACUAUAACUGUUGAAGAAGUGGAUUUGGAAAGAUGUUACCCAAUGAAGAGAAAAUCCAAAAUCUGAACCAAAAGAUAUGUAGAGUUUGACGAGAGAAUGGCGUGAGUAAAAUUUCGUCCCAAUUGGGUUUCGAAUCACUCUCCAAUCAAGAUCUUGAAGUUAUUUCUCUCUCUAGUUCUUUCCCCAAUUUCUCUCUCUUCGUUCCUCACCAAGGCAAGGCAAAAAAAGUGGUGGUUGAACUUUUUCUUCUUUUCUUUGGAUAAUGAAUGAUGCAACUGGAGCUUUUCUCACAAGAGGAAAAAACUUUGCGUGGUUGCUGCUCUAAUUAAUCACUUGAAAAUCCUCAAGUCUAUUAAUAGGUUUGGUAACAUGUGUUUUGAGUUGGCCCACAAAUGGGUUGGCCCAAGCCCAACACAUUAUAGCUGUUAAAAAAUUAUAUCUAUAUUGCAUCAAAAAUUUCCGACAAAUUUCCAACUAGAAGCUGGAUUUAGUAUACUGAACAUGAAUACUUGAGAUAAAAAAUAAAGGAUAAAACAUGAAGAAUGAUUCCAAAGUGUUUAUGUGUAUGUUGCAAACAUCUUCUGCCGUAAAAUAUUUUGAUAGAUAAUCAUCCAUAAUACUGCAUCAGGUAGGCCUGUCAACGGUCCGGGUCUAGACCUGGACCCGACCUUGAUCCGUCAAUUUUUUACAGGUCUGGAUAGAGAUAUAAUUCCGUUACCCGGACCCGGAUCCGGAUCCAUUUUCUCAAACAAAAAAUGGGUCGGAUACGGAAUAUAGCAUUCCGGCCCGUAUCCUGAUAUAAAAAUAGAUUUAUUAUAUAUAUAAUAUAUGUAUGCCAAUAAUAUGCCCCAAAUUUACUUCUAUACCCCAAAGCCCAAACAACUAGAUAUCAUCCAAACCCUAAUACACUCUUUUUCUCUUUAGCCGCUGUACCUCUCCUCUCACUGUCAGUCUCUCUUUACUCUCUUCAAUAUUUAGUUUUUUACUUCUCUUUUGCUCUUCCACGGCUAAUGGCUCCAUCUCCACUGGACGAACUGACGAUUGACCAAGCCGAGGUGAUCCAUUGCUGAGCAAUCCAAGCCACACCUCCUGGAGAUCCAUUGCAACUUGGAGAUCUAUUGCUGACCAACUGACCAAGCCGCACCUCUUCAAUUGCAACUUGGAGAUCUAUUGUUAAGCUGCACCUCUCUGUCAUCAACGUAGCUUACUCAAAAGUUGUUCCAUAUCUUACACAUUCCCGAUAUACGCAAAUAAAAUGAUUAAAGAGGCUCUUUCAUCUUGUCUUGUGGGAUUAAGUUGAACCACUCCUUUUUCAUCUUGUUCUUUUAACCACUCCUUUUAAUCUUUCAUUUUGUUUUUAAUUCUUGUUAAAACAGGUUUCGUUUUUAAUUUUGUUGUAAAACAGGUUUUAGCCAUUUUUCGGGUAGACCCGGACCCGGACCCGAAUCCGAGUAGACCCGUUGGAUUCGAUUUUGGAACAUAAAGUAGAAGACACGUCGGGUAAACGGACCGAGUCCGGAAUCGGUAUACAAUAACGGGUCCGGGUCCGGAAUAAUGAAUUCUAGCCUGGAUUCGACCCGUUGACAGGCCUAGUAUCAGGCUAUACCGUAACCAUUUUAAGGGCUAAACUAAUAUAUUAAAAAACUUUCUUACCUCACUUGACUUUCUCUCAUUUUCGUCUCUACUUUUCGGCUGAUGACUGCCGUAGUCUGGAAGGGAUCUGAUAUAUAUCCCUCCUUUUCUUGCCAUUUCUUUCCUACCUAAAGUCCCAAAUGUCAAAAAAGAUUCCACUUUCCUGAGUAAUCCGUUCUUUCCUCACCAAAUUUGCCUUUCCAAAGGAGCUGGAAGCUAAUAAAGGAUGCAAGUGAAAAAAAAUGGAUAAAGACUAAAGAGUGAUAAGUAGUGCUUGUACAAGGUACGUACUUGAGCUAGGUAGAAAAGAAAUAAGAUACGCAACAAAAAAUACAAUCCCGAACACUGAGUUGACAAAAUUUAUCUUGCCAAAAAAAUAAAAAAAAAUGAAUGAAACUUUUAAGACAUUUUAGUAGUUGACUUGUAAGAAUGAGCAGGUACUUACCUCUCAGAGCAUCUUUACCAAUUAUGAUAGCUAAAAAUUUUGUGUGUGUUGACAAAGGAAACGCGAACACUUCACAUACAUAAACCACAUCAAAUAUCCCAAAAUAUCUUUCAUUACUCGAAUAGUACAAGUUUGAAAGAAGUAAACAUAUAAGGGAGUAAUAAUGGUAGUAGAUCAUUUUAUUUGACCACCCAGGGAAAAAUCAUUCAAGUUUGAAAGAAGAAAACAUGUGAGGAAGUAAUAAUGGUAGUAGAUCAUUUUAUUUGACCGCCCAAGGAAAAAUUUAAAUUACUAGGAGGGCUUAUUGGGAAAGCUGAUAUACAAAGGACCAAGGAAGAUGUCAUGCAGCAAUUGUUCACAAGUAAAAUUGCAGACGGCACAAAGAUUUGGUAAAAAAAUAUUAUUAGUACAUAAUUAUGGUUCACCAUCGCGGGUCACGAUCGUAUCACGGUUUCAAUUGUUCCACAUCCGUCGCGACAUAUCAAUUGAAUAUUGGAUGAUACGCAUAUUAUAGCACAUAAAAAUUUCUAAAAAAAUCUGAAAAAAUUACUAAAAUUAGAAAAUAAGAAAAAAUGCACAAUUUGAAAAAAUAUACGUGUUGUCUCCAAGUUGAGUCGAAUAUAUAUGUUGAUACCAUGCAUCACAGAUUCAAAUCGGCUAAAAUCGGCUAAUAUUGGCCGAGUUAGAAUGAGUCGCCAUAGAUAUAGUAAUAUCCGCGAUUUAGAGAUCGAUAUCAUAUCAGUCCCUCUGUUCCAGUUACAACUCAGCCAAUUCGUAUCAGAAUCAGUCGUUGUUGCUAACCAUGUACAUAAUAUUAUGAAGAAGCAGGAAAAAAAGAGGGAAAGAAAUACUAAUGGAUAGAGGAAGCAAUCUUAAUUGACAUAUCGUAUGGAGUAAUCCAGAGUAUCUAGCUUUAAUUUGGAAACUUACGGGAUUAAGAAUGUCAUAGAGAGAUUAGCCUCUAAUUCACUGAACAUCAAUUUCAAUGAGGGGAAUGUGGGAGAUCUUAGGACCACUCUGAAUUGGGGACUUUUGUCACUGCUGCUUCUUGGAUAGCAUUUUCCUUUCAAAGGGGACAGUUUCUAAUUAGUAGGUAUCUCGGUCUAGUGUGGCUUGUCAUUGAUCGAUGGGAUGGUAAAUUCUCUAGCUUCUAACAUUUGCUAAGAAAGAGUAUUUGAAAUGGAAAUAGCUUCCCAAACCAAUCGGGCAAUGAUUUUACUCCAAAACCAUUUAAUGUAAGAUCUUCUAGGACACAGAAGUGCUGAAGUUGAUCUGGUAGAAUUCCCAAUGAGGCCAUCCAUGCAGCUUUAAAAACCUAAGAGAGGGCAAAUUGUGAUGUGGUUGGAAAGCAUCGAAGAGUUCUAGAAAGGAAUGCAGCUCUGUAGUUUUUGAGAAUGCUCCGUUCUCUAAUCAUCACAAUCUUGCAAGAGAACAAAGCUGAGGAAAGUUAGUUAAUUUGUCAUAUUCAAAUACGUUCAAAAUAGAGAGAGAAUGUGUUUGGUUUAAAUCUACUAGAAAGGACAUGAAAUUGGGGCAUCUAAAUACACGCAUUGUAUCAAGAGCAGGACAGCAAGGGUUGAAGGAGAGAGGAAAUGAGGACACUGAAUCCAAAUCCAAAUUUGACACAAAUGUGCAGGAUGGACAAUUGGGUUUGAUCAUCACAGUUGUAACUAUCUUAAACACUAAGGGCGGUGAGGUAUUGCUGUCCCUUGGGGAUUGAAAUCGACUUCAGCAAGGGGCACCAGUUAAUACUUAAUUUCUCUAGUGACCCAAGCCCAACCAAUUCAUGUUGAGUAUUAUUGAUGUUGCUAUUAGUUUAUGAUUGGCUCAAGGUAGAUGGUUUUUGGCAGUUUUUGUUGCGGAAGCUCUACCAAAUUAAGGUAUAACGAGUAAAUUAUUGUACCUAGAAUUGCAAAAUGGUAAUUCCCAGAAAAUAUUUGGUGAGGCACACUGGCCUGCUUAAGUUCCAAUUUCCUAGACAGAAUCACCUAUAUAUGCAAUUAAUUGCACAAUAACUCACUACAAAUAUAGCUACUAAAUAGACAAUAAAAUAGAACACCAGAAUUUAACGAGAUUCGACUAAUUUGCCUACAUCUUCAGACACUACUAACAACUUAAUAUUUCACUAAAAGAAAUAUUAUAAAGAGAGAGAAAGAAGCAAGUUAUGAUGCUCUUGCGUGGUGUGUCCUAAUUGAGAAGGUAGAGAGCUUAUUUAUAGCUAUCAAAACCUUAUCCAAUUCAUAAAUCCACCGAUGUGGGAUUGUAAUUGUGCCAAAUAAUUCAACAAUUUUGGCUACUUCAAAGUCAAUAAUUGAGGCUUGGCUUUGAAUUCAACAAAUCUCCAUCGUGGCAUAAUUUCUAAUCCCACCAAAAAUGCAAAUCUUCUCCCUCAAAAUUCGAUGGUGUCUUCAAAUGCGUUGUCAAGCACCAAUCUUCAAGUUGUGCACUACAUUUAUCAAAUUCAAACAAUGUUGGAAUUUAAUAGUUGUCACAACCUUCGUAAGCAUUGUCGCGCCCCAUUUUUUAAUAAGAAAAAUAAAAGAUGAAGUUUAGAAAAAAUGGCUUUUGAUUCAAUUUUUGAUUGAAAAAUGAAUUUUUGAUUUAAAAAGAAAAUGAAAAACAUGGGUCUAAAUGGGACUUGAAAAUGCGACGAUUUGACCCAAAAUAUAGUUUAAAAAGGGUUUUUGAAUGAAAAAUGGAGUCGCCACUUGGUAUAGAGUUAAGGUGUACCAAGUCACCUAAAAAUGAAUUUUAAAGAAAAAAGUAGAAAACCCUUUUUAAACGACUCCAAGUCUACGAAAAUCAGAGAAAAAGAUUCGGGAGUCACAUUUGAAGAAAGGGAAGGCAAGGAUAAGAAUCCAAGGCACCAUUUCAACCUAACCAAGGCUAGUUGCGUGAUUUAGUCAAAGAUUUUCCUAUUUUAACGUAAAGAUUUAUCACAUUUGGAUGUACUAUAUGAAUGCAAACCCUAGACCUAAGAAGGUAUCGAGGGGUCGAAAUUUAUCUUCAAAACUCAAUUGGUACCAAUCACAUUAAUUAUGAUGCCUAAUGCGGACUCUUUGGAGAGGUCACGAAUAAUGCAAAAAAUAUGAGACUCUAAGAAAAGAAAAGGAAAAUAAAAUAAUUAUACAAAUAUACAUGACCUAAAGAAAUGCAUCAUGUCGGGUACGGGGGACUAAUAUUCGUGACUCAAUUUUCCAUUUAAUAGAGGGAAUACGAGCGUGCUAAGGUUAGAAAGCCAAACUCGUCCAUAUCCCAUAUCCAAAAGGUUACUCCCUAUCUAAUCAAGCAAAUGCACUACCCUAAUUCUAAUUCUUAAAUGGAAAUGCAAGUCUAAUGUCAUGUUUCAUACAAAGGGAUAAGGAAUAUACAUAUAAGGGAAAAUACGGGAUAAGGGCUAUACAUAUAAGGAAAGUGUCAUACAACAUGGUAAAAUCCUAAAAGUGAAAAAAACAUGCAUGAGAUGAAGUGAUUUUAUCACACAAUCAUGAUCUAACGCUCGAGGGGCUCCUAAGGGUCUAGCGUUGGACUAGCCUGUGUCUACAAUUUCCCACUAGUAUUGGACUAGUGAGAAAAGUCGGAACAAAGGGCCACAACUAGCAUUGGACUAGUGUGGAUUCAAGAAAUUGACCACAACUAGCAUUGGACUAGUGUGGUGAUGUCACACAUCGGUUACAAUCAAAUAAAUCAUGUAAGACCUAAUAAAAGUAUGUAAACACAUAAAUCACAUAUAGCACAUAACACAUAAGCAUGAUAUCUAGAUGCAAGACCCUAAGAAAGCGGUAACACAUAGCACAUAGACAUGCAAACACACAUAAGGCAAAUAAAGCAAAUAAAGCCCUAACUAUUACAUUUGAGGCGCCUUACUACAAUCUAAGGGGGGGAAAAGAUUUAGAAAGCAAUUAAAUCCCUAACUAUUACAUACUUUGGCAUUUAAAUGCCUUUCAAAUAAUUACAUUUGAACUCAAAUAAAUAUACAAAAAUUAAAACAAAUAAAGCGAAUAAAUAAAUAAGUAAAGUGAACACAUUCAAAAAGACAUGCAAUUGAGCACAUAAAGUCACAUAAGUACACAUAGGGUCAAAUAAAGAGAAAAUAAGAGAUAGAAUGUACCUCCCCUGAGUUAAGGCCCUAAUGGAAUGAAAUCGCUUAUUCACCCUCCAAAAUAAUAAACAAGUCAAGGUAUCACUUUAAAUAACAAAUAGUCACGUGAAAUGAAAAUAAACACGCAAUUGAAUCAAACAAAUCAUUGAAAUAAAUUAAACAAACCCCUAUUCAUCAAAUUGAAACAAACAAGGACCCAAUUGAAAGAAUUAAAGAAGUUUAAGGGGUCAAUUUAUUAUUAUAAUAAAUAUUAAAGGUCAAAAAAUGAGAUAAAUUAAAAUUAAGGACUUGAGGUGAAACCUACCUAAACAAACUGAAAUUGACAAAAACAAUAAAUGAAAAACCAUUUGUUUUAAUUAAGCUACGAAAUACUCAAAAUUUCACUAAAAAAACCAAAUUAAAAUCGUGGAUCUCUCAAAAACUCUUAAACCUCAAAUUUCACCUUAAGAUCCUCUAAAAAUCCAUCCAAAAAUUAUUUCAAAGUGUACCAAAGAAAAAUUGGAAUUUAACAGGACAAUAAUCGAUCAACUUUCAUAUUAUUUGGGUCACAGUAAAACAAAGGGAGACUCAAGGGGUUAGAAUGUAAUUUUUCUUUUGAUUUCAUGCAAGCUACGUAAAAAUUUUCUCUGCAACAAUUCUAUUCCUAACCGUGGCUUUCCUCCAAUUCAUCAUGCAGACAGAUCCAAUGAAUAUCCAGAUUUUAGGACAAAACGAGCAAAAAUUACAAAUCUCAAUCAUCAACUACCAAACAUUACAUUUUGUCGCAAGAUCAAAGCUGAGAAUCUGAGUUGCUCAACAGCAAAAGAGAUGAAAAAAACAAUGCAGCAAGGAACACAAGCCCUUGUAUGCAUCAGGAAAACAUUACAACCAUCAACAGUUCCAUGAUGCAAUUGAAUGGAAAAAUGCAGCAGAGAUGGAAAGCAAAAAACUUAGGAUAGACAUGCAUAACUGAAUCACAAAUCACAGACUUUAAUCAAACUAAAUGCUUCAGCAACAAAACCAGAAAAUUUUUGACAUCCGAACAAGCAAAGAACAUCUCAAAAUAGGAACGGAACAUGCCAUUUUCUUCAUUGGUUUCGUCUGCAGCUUUUCUGAUUUUUUUUUUACCGCAAGUUCUCUUUGUUAACAUGACAAACUUUGAGGUUUUGAUCUUAAACAACAAAAUCAUAAAAUUCAAUAACCAAACAAACCAAAAGAAAAACUUAGAAUGGAAACAUGCACUUCUGGAAAACUUUCUGCUAUCGCUGCCACGAGCAACAAAGCAUUAUUUUUUACCAAACAAACAUCAAGCUAUCGUCUAAUCUCCUUUCAAGCACAAUAUUAAGUAGCAAACCAGGUAACGAAACCCACCUGGUUUUCACGGAAAGUAAACAGCAGAAACAUACUCAAAACUCAAGAACAAUCGCAACAUUCAAACCAAAUUCACAGAGUCGUCGACUGAAUCCAAUAGGAACCACAUCCCCCACAAACAAUCCACACAACAACAUAAAAUUAAUGUCUCAAAUCUCCUACCCCAGAUAAAACUAUCUCUUGAAGGGCAACGUUAUGCUAAGCAAUAAUAAGGAUCAAGAAGGCACAGAUUUCAUGGAUUCUGCUUCGUUCAAGAGUUAGACUGAGCAAGAAAUGAAGUUAUGAUUACCUGAUGAUGAUUCUUAGACGAGGUUGAGGUCAAAGAGAGCGAGCAGAAGUUGAUUUCCAUGGAAUUUCUGAAAAACUUACCUGUUUCUUCCUUGCUUUUCUACCCGAAGCUUCCUCCCCCUGGUUUCUGGAUUUUUCCCGUUCAAAGCCCGUUCCUUUCCACUCUCAGCCUUGCCCAACUCCCUUGUUUCUUACUCUCUUCACGAUAUCUCUCCCUCACUCUGGUUUCUCUUUUUGCUUUCUGUCUUGUUUGUUUCUGUUUUCUUCUUCCUCAGCAGGCAACCCCUUUUCCUUCUACUCUCCCUCUGCCCUCUGUUUCUCAGCCGCCAACCUUCCUUUUUCUCUCCUCCAAAAACCCUAGUUAGCCCUGCAGAUUAUCCUCUCCUCUGCUUUUUCCUCUCGCUAAGUUUCUUCCUCUUCCCCCCACGAAGCUUCCCCAGCCUUUCCUCUAGCAUUUUUCUUUUUUCUCUCGCUGUUGUUUUUUAUCUAGCCCGCCGUCCGCUCUCUCCCUUUCAGAUUUUUCUUUCAGCCCGUCACCUCCAUUUCCCUCCUCUCUCAAGCCGUCUCAAAAACUCCCUCUCGGUUUCUCCCUUGGAGCUCUCUCUCUCGCUUAGUUUCCUCAGCCCCUGUUCACUCUAUUCUCUCAACCUAUCUCCGUCAUCAGACCCCCCUUAUCUCAUCCCUCCAGACCUUUUACUCUCAGCCGUCAUCCCCAAAAGUCUCUCUCUCCUCUCUUAGCUCCCUCCAAAAACCCCUCUUGGCUCCCUUUUUUCUUUCAGCUAAACUCCAGACCUUUUUGCUUAGCCGUCAGCCGAGUCCCUCUAAAACCUCAGCCGUCAUAUGUUAUCCCCCCCAACUCUGUGUUUUUUGUUCUAUUUAUACCAAACACAUACUCUCAAACAGGUGAGGAUGAGAGUGGAGGUUUGCUGGGCAUCCUAGGGCCCUCCGAUUGGUAUGUACCUCUGCCGCAUGCAUGGACUUUUUUUUUCUUUUUGAUUUUCACUUAAUUUAGAAAAUAAACAAUAAACAUUUCAUAAAAAUUAAAUCUAAAUGAAAUAUGGCAUAUUUUUUGAAGAAUUUUCUUUUUCCGACAAAUCUUAAUACUAAAAGUCUUAAAAUAGAAUUAAACAACUAAAUGCGCGAGAAUGAAUAUAGAAAUAAAAACAAAUAAUAAUAAUCUAGUAUGCUAAAAAAAUGCCUAAAAACAGAAAAAUCAUGAAAUUAAUAAAAUAAUAAAAAUAAAAAUAACUUAAAAAUUUGGUGUCUACAAGCAUAUCAGCAGGAUUCUUCUUGGUUUGAAUCUUUUGAAGUAGUAUCGUAUUAUCUUCCAAAAUCUUCCUCGCAAAAUGAUACCGUACGUCAAUAUGUUUCAUCAUUGAAUGAUAAACCUGGUUCUUUGCUAAAUGAAUAGCACUCUAACUAUCACAAUAAACUUUAAAAGGCUUCUGUCUGAUUCCCAAUUCAUCAAGCAACCCAUGAAACCAAAUUGCUUCCUUAACAGCCUCCAUAACUGCCAUAUACUCCGCCUCUAUAGUAGACAAAGCAACCGUUGACUGUAGGUAGACCUCCAACUGAUUGGUGCCUUAGCAAGUGUGAACACAUACCCAGUCAUUGAUCGACGUGUAUCUUGAUCACCUGCGUAGUCGGAAUCACAAUAUCCAACUGCGUCUUGACCAAUCUUCUCAUCCCGCUCAAAUACUAAUCCAACAUCUAUAGUGUUCAAAAUGUAUCGUAAAAUUCAUUUCACAGCCUACCAAUGCUCCUUACAAGGAUCAUGCAUGUACCUGCUCACAACUCCAACUGCUUGUGAAAUGUCGGGCAUUGUACACACCAUAGCAUACAUCAAGCUAUCCACCGCAUUUGUAUAUGGUACCUUUGCCAUAUAUUUUCGUUCUGCAUCAUUCUUUGGAGAUAAUGAUGCACUGAAUUUGAAAUGAGGAGCAAGUGGAGUACUAACAGGUUUAGUCUUUUCAUUCAUGCCAAACCUCUUUAAUACCUUACUUAGAUACUCUUUCUGAGUCAAAUAAAAUCUCCCCAAUCUUCUAUCUCUGCUUAUCUCCAUGCCGAAAAUCUUCUUGGAUUCGCCGAGAUCCUUCAUUUCAAACUCUCGACUCAAAUGAGAUUUUAAUUUUUCAAUCUCACCUUGAUCCUUGGAAGCUAUCAACAUAUCAUCAACAUAAAGAAGAAAAUAUAUGUAGGAUCCAUCUCGUAACUUGCGUAAAUAUACACAGUCAUCAUAUUUGCUUCUUGUAUAUUUCUGCCCCAUCAUAAAAUUGUCAAAUCACUUGUACCACUGCCUUAGAGACUGUUUCAAUCCAUACAACGAUUUGUUAAGCUUGCACACCAUCUUUUCUUUACCAGCAACUUUGAAUCCUUUUGGCUGAGUCAUGUAGAUUUCCUCUUCCAAGUCACCAUGUAAAAAUGCAGUUUUUACAUCAAAUUGGACAAGUUCCAGAUUCAAUUGUGCUACCAAAGCCAAUAAAAUUCUGAUGGAGGAAUGUUUCACGACUGGAGAAAACACUUCAUUGUAAUCAAUUCCCUCCUUCUGAGCGUAGUUUUUAGCCACCAGUCUUGCUUUGUAGCGAACACCAGACUUGUCAGGAAAUCCUUCAUUCUUUGCAUAUACCCACUUGCACCCAAUUGCCUUCUUUCCCUUUAACAAAUUGACAAGUUGCCAAGUCUGAUUCUUAUAAAUGGACUGCAUUUCUUCUUCCAUGGCUGUCCUCCAUUUUUCUUCCUCUGAACUUUGGACAGCUUCAAGAUAAGUGGUAGGAACUUCAUCUAUUGCAAUUGCAGAUGCAUUAGCCACCAUAUUAACAUACCGAGCAGGUACUUUAAUAUUCCUCUUUGGCUUAUUCAAUGCAAUUGAUUCAAGUUGCUGUGAAGACUUUCUAAUUGGAACAUCUUCUUCAAUUGAUUCUUCUUUUACCAUAGGAGUCCUUUCAUCUGCUCCUAUAUCCAGCGCUGGUCUGAUAAUGCUUCUUUCAAACUCCACCUGCUUAGGAAUGCUCUCCACCUGUUGGGGAGUACCAACAUUCUGCUGUACAUCUACCUUUGUUAACAUGGUAGAUUUAUCAAAUGUGACAUCCCUGCUAAAAACUAUCUUCUUCGUCUCGGGACACCAAAGGUGAUAACCUUUAAUGCCUAUCGUGGUCCCCAUAAAGAUCACCUUCUUCGCCCUUGGAUCCAACUUUGAUUCUUUAACAUGAUAAUAUGCAAUAGAACCAAACACAUGUAAGGAAUCAUAACUUGUAACAGGUUUUCCCGACCAUUUCUCUAAUAGCGUUUUGCCGCUAAUAGCAGUUGAUGGUAAGCGAUUAACGAGGUGAUUUGCAUAUGCUAAAAUCUCAGCGCAAAAUUGUCUGCUCAACCUAGCAUUGGACAACAUAUACCAAACUUUUUCUACCAAUGUUCGGUUCAUAUACUCUGCCACCCUGUUCUGCUGUGGUGUAUCUCUAACUGUGAAGUGCCAAACAAUGCCUUCAUUUUCACAGACCUCCAUGAAUGGAUCACUAGUGUAUUCACCUCUGUUGUCUGUUCGAAGGCGUUUGAUUUUUCUUUCUGUUUGAGUUUCCACCAUCUUUUUUUACUUGAUGAAAGUUCCCAAUACUUCACUUUUCGUCUUCAUAGUAUACACCCAUACUCUUCGAGAGAAGUCAUCGACAAAAGUAACAAAAUAAUUUUUGCCUCCCAGAGAAGUUGUUUUGGAAGGUCCCCACACAUCAGAGUGCCCAUAAUCCAAAAUACCCUUGGUAUCGUGAAUUGCAGUGCCAAAUUUUACCCUUGUAUGCUUCCCUUUGACACAAUGCUCGGAAAAAUCUAACUUGCAAACACUAGCUCCUUUCAAUAGUCCUUGAUUCAUCAGAAGAUUGAAGAAUUUUUCUCCGGCAUGCCCUAAGCGCAUAUGCAAUAAUCUGGUUACUUUCAAUUCUCGAUUAUCACUGGAAACCACUACCACUACUCCAACAACUGCAUUACCUUGAUAGUAAUACAAGUUAUUAUUUUUUCGAAUUCCUUUCACCAACACCAAUGCACCUGAAAUGAUUUUUAUCAGUCUAUUAUAUGCCGACACCUUGUAGCCCAUUGAUUCCAGUACUCCCACAGAAAUGAGGUUCGUUUUCAAUUCUAGCACAUAUCGAAUAUCAGUUAGAAUCCUAAUUGAUCCAUCCUGAUUUCUCAGCCGAAUUGAACCAAUCCCAUUUGUUGCUAAUGUGGUCUCAUCUACCGUGUAGACGACUCCUCCUUCUUGUUCUUUGAAAUCAAAGAACCAUUCUCUAUUGGACGUCAUAUGACGACUACAACCUGAGUCUAAUAGCCAUGUAGUAGAAUGACCAAUAGGCAUGACAGCUAAUGAAAAGUCUGAGUCUUGAUCAAUGCACUCAGCUACAUUUGAAUCUGCAACAGCUUUUUCUUUGUUAGAUCUACUCUUCACCUUUGGACAGUCCUUCUUCCAGCGCCCUUUCUCUCUGUAAAAAGCACACUCAUCUUUGCUUAGUCUAACUCUUGACUUGGAUCUACCUCUCGUCCCCUUUCUCUGGUUUUGUGAGCGUCAUCUAGUUACCAAAGCUUCUACUGCUCCAUCUCUGUUAUUUUGCUUGUCUUUUGUUCUGAGCUCGUAGCUGUACAGGGCAGAGCUAACUUCACUGAGGGACACCUCAGCUUUCCCAUGGAGUAGAGUUGUUUCGAGAUGCUCAAACUCCUCAGGAAAAGAUCCCAACAACAUGAGAGCCAAAUCUUCAUCUUCAAAUGUCAUAUCUAAAUUCAUCAGAUCAGUGAUUAACUGAUUGAAAUUAGUGAUGUGAUCACUUAGAGUUGAGCUGGGAACAUAAGUAAAGCGAAAUAAACGCUUCUUCAUAUUGAGCCUGUUCUGACAAUUUUUCUUCAAGAACUUCGCCUCCAAUUCAGUCCACAAUUUAUUUGCAGAAGUUUCUAUUGAGAACACAUAUUUCUGUUCCCUUGAAAGACACAAUCGAAUUGUACCACACGCUAAACGAUUUAGCGUCCUCCAUUUCUUUUCUUCAAUCUCUUCUGGUUUCUUUUCUUCGAUGGCAAUGUCUAGAUCUUGAUUAAAGAGCGCGUCUAGAAUCUCACUUUGCCACAUACCGAAAUGACCAGUACCAUCAAAUGUCUCCACAUUUAAUUUUGCAUUCAUCAUAGGAUUUCUUGCCAUAAUAGACGAUGACGAGCUUGUUGAUGCUUGCAUUAUAGAUGAAAAUCUAAUUUCGGCCAUCUCUACAAAUUAUAUUUAGUAGCUCCUAAAUGUAGAAUAACAAUAGGCCAAGAAAUCUUUUCUGAUGUGGAACAUCAGACUAUGCUGCAAUCACAGAGCAUACUAAGAAAUCUUGAGCUCUGAUACCAAUUGUUGCGGAAGCUCUACCAAAUCAAGGUAUAACGAGUAAAUUAUUAUACCUAAAAUUGUAAAAUGGUAAUUCUCAGGAAAUAUUUGGUGAGACACACUGGCCUGUUUAAGUACCAAUUUCCUAGACAGGAUCACCUAUAUAUGCAAUUAAUUGCACAAUAACUCACUACAAAUAUACCAACAAAUAUAGCUACUAAAUAGACAACAAAAUAGAACACCAGAAGUUAACGAGGUUCGGCUAAUUUGCCUACGUCCUCGGACACUACUGACAACUUAAUAUUUCACUAGAAGAAAUAUUACAAAGAGAGAUAAGGAUGCAAGUUAUGAUAGUCUUGCUUGGUGUGUCUUAAUUGAGAAGGUAGAGAGUUUAUUUAUAACUCUCAAAACCUUCUCCAAUUCAUAAACCCACCGAUGUGGGAUUGUAAUUGUGCCAAAUAAUUCAACAAUUUUGGCUAUUUCAAAGUCAAUAAUUGAGGCUUGGCUUUGAAUUCAACAGUUUUGAGCUUCUAAAGUUUGAAGGCCAGAGCUGAAUUCCAUGAACUCUAUCAAAUUAGGACAGCCAAAUACCUCGAUCGAUGCAAGAUUUGAAUUGUUUGGGAACAACCAUUCGGUAGCUUGGUGAGCCCACUCAUUCGAAAUAUGGAGAUGAGUGGGAGUGUUGACUUGACUGCAGAUGCUUACUAUGAUGAAAUAGCUAAAUUACAAUUGAAGAACAAGAACCUUUGAUUAAAGAACUACAAUGUACUGCUGGGUACUCUUUUUUUUUAGACAAAAGAAAGCGAUGAAGAUUAGGUAGACCUCCUUCUAUAUAUUUUGCUUAUGGUGUAAAUCAUUGCACACAAAUAUGAUGGAUCUAAAAAAUUAUGGUGUAAUAUAUCCAAAAUUGAAAUUUAGAAUGUAAAGUAGGAAUCAAAUCCAAGUUAUUGAGUGCAAAGUGAAACUAAUUCUUUUAUUGAAGUGCAAAUGCUACACUUGAUGCAUUGUUUUCACUCUAUGCACGCUCCUUAAUUUCUUUAAUUUUGCUUAUGCUAGUAGUGAUUGGACUCAAAAGAGACAUAUAUGAGAGUUUUAGGGUGCUUGUGUCUAAAAUUAAAAUUUUUAACUCAAAAUAAGAAUUGGAUACAAGUUAAGGGGUGUCAAAUGCAAUCAGCCCUUACAACUGUCCUAUGUACUCAAUGCAUAAAUAAAUAUAGUUUUACCAUAAUACUUAUAAUUAGGAAGAAGUAAUGCUAACUAGUCCCCACAGAAGUUUUCCAAUGCCUUCAUUUUAGACAUUUUUAAUUUAAAAUGAACUUUUGGUCAAAAUUCUUGCAUUUUAAAGAAAUCUCUGUUUAGAACUUUAUCUACAAAUUCAAGUUUUGUUUUCUAUUUGUUUAUUUUAAGCAACUGUUUGGUUGAUUCUAAUUGACAACUAUCCUGAUGGACACAAACGCAAGACUCGAUUGUUAUGAAACUUUAGGCAAUGUGAUACUAAUAAUCGUAAGAAAAUGAAAAACAAAUGCAGAAAAAUGAACAAAAAGGAUUUCAUGCAAGUAUAUUACUUUACGGAUUGUUAAUGUAAAUAACAUAUUUUGUUGUAUCAAUUAGUAUUUAUUAGCAUCAAUUAGUAUCACAAAUUUGAUAUUAUCUUGUAUUAUUAGCAUCAAUUAGGAUCACAAUUAGGAACUUAUCUUGUAUUAUAUUAGCCUAGAUUCACUCUAUGCCUAUAUAUAUAUGCACUAUAUUGUUGUACAAAUUAUGAAUUCAACAAACUUCUACUCUCCCAAAUAAUUCUUCCAACAUGAUAUCAAGAGUCUUUUGCUUAAAUUCUCCAUAAUUCUUUGUUUCUCAUUCCCAAAAAACAAAAAAUUCUCCCUUUGCUAUCGGUUGUUUCAAUUUGUCAAUUUCCAGUCGGUUUUUAAUCUUGCAUGCACAAUCUGUCAGUCUCCAUCAGUUGGCAAGCAUUUUCAUGUUUAGCUUCUUAAGUCAAUUUAGUUCUCAAGUCAAUAUAGUGCAUGUGAAUAUCUGGUCCACAAGCCAAUUUAAUCCCCAACUCAGCUGGUGGUUAUUGUCUUCCAAAAAUUGCAUCUCUAGUUCUCGUACACAAAUAUUCUUUGCUUUAGUUUGUGUAUCGCUUAGGCACACGCCUCAUGCUCUACUCUAGACACAGUCCACGUGUCACGGCCCCACCUCCCCCUAAGGCAAACCAAAGGGUUUGGCGAGUCGCCUGCCCGGCUCUCGCCGGGACUCAGUCGUUCCUUAAUCAAAUCCAGAAUAAAUCACAAGAAUAAAUAGGGCAGUAAUCCAAACUUAAAGCGGAACUUAUAUACAUUGCUAUCUCAAAAGGAAGUACAGUCAUCAAAUGUACAAAGGUUCUCACUUCACCAUACAACCAGCCCGUGCCAAACACUAGGGCGAGAACCAUUGCAAAAGAAACAAAAUACCUAGACUAGUCUAGUCUAUGCUCUCAUCCUACUCGCCGUCCCCUGUUAAGGAAAACAAAACUAAAGGGGUGAGCUAAAAGCUCAGUGAGGUUCCGAACAGAUAAUCAACAAUCAAUUCAAUACAUUAAACAUGGAGUAUUAAUAAUUCAAGAAACAUUUACAAUGGAAAGCAAUAGUUACAUUCAUUAAAAGGAUACAGGCUCACAUGGAGCUAUUCGUUCUUUCGUUCGUUCCCCUGACAUUUCCCCUUAUUCCUCCAAUUAUUUGAAAAUUUCCUUUUUGAGAAAUAAAACUCUCGUGCCUUUGUUCGUUCAUUCAUCCCUUUCCGGACAUUGACCGGACUCCACCCAUCCGGACGUUGACCGGACUCCACCCAUCCGGACGUAGCCGGACUACAAGGUAAUACUCGAGUAUACCAAAUUCACCCAGGGUCACCAUAUCGCCCGACCGAGUCCGCUUCUGCCUCGAGUCGAUCGGUAACGAAGGGCAGGGCCCAAUUCAGCCAAAAGGCUUACAUCAUGCGCAACUAAUGUUUCCAUCAUUAAAUCAUUGAAAAUUUCACGUUUCAUUAAGGUCGAGCGCGAUAAAGUACACGCUCGCCUAGAAAACUCGUUUUAGAAAUCCUUGAAAGCACUUAACACAUUAUCAAACAACAACAACAAGUCAUGAAGUCAGGGAGAAUAUAACAAACAAGGAACACUCACCUAGUUAUGCAAAAUAACGUGCAAAAUAUCCUUCCGGAUAUUACCCUUAGUCACCAAUGAAACCUAAGGUUGAACAAGAGAACAUAUUACAGUUUAUCGAGCAAAACAUUUAAGGGAAACAAAGAAACCCGACUAAUUAGGAGUAAAACGUGUAAAGAUGACUUUCAAGUAAGAAGAGGGUUGUUUGAACCCAAGGAUGAAAAAUCAUGUUUUAAAAUGGAAAGCCGGUCAUGGUAUUGGCCAAACAAAAGUAUUCAAGUUGAAAUAGGAACCUAGCCCUCGAGCUAAAAUUUGGGCAGCACGCCCUUUGUGUUUACCAAAUUUUUCAGCCAUUUAGGUUUCAUUAUUUUUCCUCAGCCAAUCCUAAAGUCAUAUAUAGCAUAAAUGCAAGUCAAUAGCCAUUCCAUAGGCUCAUAACAUCAUAAGAAUAAGAAUCAAAGUCGUAACAAGUGUGGAAAUACAAUCUAGCAAAAGACAGAUUUGACGUGUGGUUGCGGAAAUAACACAUCCUAGGCUACGCUUAUCGGAUUGAGGCACAACUUAUACCAUUUCGAAGGUAAGACAUAGGGCUACAAUGUUCAUGAAGAUCACUUAGUCCAGUUUCCAAUGCAACCUAGCCAAAUCCUCAAUUUACAGAACCAAAAUCUCACUCGUCGGCUAUUUAACCGUUCUGCACUGGAAUGGUCAUAUCUUAGGUUACCAAGGUCCAUUUAGGGUGUUCUUGUAGGCGUUGGAAAGCUUAAACAGAGUACUAAAACUUUCCUGUUUUGGAAAAAAGCUAAAUCAGCAUGGAUCCUAGUGAACAAACAUGAUAAACUGGAUGAACUGACGAAAACGGAACACUGGAAAUUUCCUAAAAUAGUGAGGGUAUUUUGGUCUUUUCACGGGCUACGUUACUCCGAUUGAGCUGAAAUUUUGUAGACACCUCUAGAAUGUCAUUCCCUACAACUUUCAUGUUUUAAUCCAAGGCCAAUUCGGCCUCUAACAUAGGGUAAUAAAAACGGGCAGAAUAGGAUGAAAAUUUCCAGAAAUCUGAAAUCUUUUGGUUUCAAUGAUAGUUUUCUUAAUUUCUUGCUACACUUGCUACCAAAACCCCCUAUAUAACCUUAUAUACAACAUAUACUAACUAUACAACAAGUUUAGGCAGAAAUUAAUCAAACUCUAACUUACAUAUUUCAUCCAAAAAUCACCACAACAACUUGCAUCACUUGUAAUCAAACCCAAAACAUGGACUAUUUAACAUCUUAAACAAGAAUAAAAGGAUCAAAGCCAUAGAUCAGAUUUUAUACCUCAAAAAGAAGGCUUGCAAGAGUGAUCCUCCACUAUUUCUUGAAGUUUUUGGUUCCCUUAGCUUCCCAAGCUUCCAAACUUACAAUCAAUCGGUUUAGAAUUCGAUUUUAGCACUUGGUUGGUGUAAAUCAAGAAGGAAUUUGUUUUCUCUUGCUCUCCCUUUCUCUCUCUCUUGCUUGGCCAAGACCAGAAAAAAUGUAGAAGAAAGAUGGCUGAAGUGAAGGAUAAAAAAGCAAGAAAAAAAAUUAAUUAAGGAGCCAUGAGGUGGUGACACUUGGCGCCACCAAAGCCAUGCAAAUUUUUCUCUCUCUCCCUUACAUUUUUUGCCACAAAUUUCGGUCAAAGGCAGCUAGAAAUGAAGGGAUAUUUUGCUCAAAUAUCAAUGAGCUCAUGUGGUAAGAAAGUGGUGGUCCAGUGGUGUGUUCAAUCGGUAGUGUGCGGUACACGUCGGUACACACCGUUUUUCUUUAAAACACCCGUACUAGGGUUUUUACUUCCUAUUCACUAACCUUAUAUCAUUACUCCUAAUCACAUAUUAUUUCUCACUUAAAAGUCACUUUUAAUCACCAAAUUUGAUCCUUGCUCCGUACCGAAAAAUCAUCCGGCGAAAAUCGCGAAAACCCUAAUUUGCUCCAAUUUUGAAAACGAAGAGUGAAACCCCACUUUUUAGGUUCAUUUGCACUUAUUGGAGAAUGAUUGGGUAGUAGGGCUAUAAUAAAGGAAUAAUUUCUAAAUAAAAAGGCAUUUUUGAGAAAAAUAUAAGAAAUUUGCGAGUCCUCACACCACGUCUGCUACUCCAAGAUUUGAGACUAACUUGCAAACUGCAUCUAUUGACAUCAUUAUCAUUUGAUCAGAUCUGGUUCACUUCAACCGGUUCAUCAGGUUCUUCUUUCUUUUUGAUCGGUUCAACUAUUUUUACUCCAAUCUUUUUAUAACUCGUACCAAUUUUCAAGCUUUUUGGACCUUCUGAAUUCAAUUUUGGCACCUGUUUUCUCUAUUUUUGCUUUUACAGUGCUAUACAUUAUUUGUCCACUCAUUUAAGUAUAUUUUUGGUUAUUUGUCAUCUCUAAUGGCUCAAGGUGACAUUUUUGAAUCUAUUGAUAUUAUUCUUGGUGGCACUAACUAUUCUCAUUGGACCCAAACAUUCCAAAAUUUUCUCCAUGGUCAUAAAAUUUGAAAAUAUAUCACUGAUGGCAUCACUCUCGCUGUUGCUAUUGAAAGAGAAUCUUCUGAAAAUUUAAUACUCAUUUCAAAAAAUGGGAUAGUGAUAAUCAUAAAAUUAUCACUUGGAUUACCAAUAGGGGUGGGCAAAAUUAUUCACAAACCCAAAAAUCCAACAUAUCCGAUUCGAUCCGAUCCCAAUAUGUAUUAUUUGAUUGGAUCAAAAGAGGGUCAAGUACCCGCUAAAAUGCGGGGUGGGUUAGGAUCAUACAAUUAAAAACUCGUAGGUACCUGACCCGCUCCACGUGGGUACCCUACCCGCUCCAUAUAUAUAUAUAUAUAUAUAUAUAUAUAUAUAUAUAUAUAUAUAUAUAUAUAUUUAUACACAUAUUAUAAAAUAAUAUUUUUAAAGCUACAUAAGUAAUUUCAAUAAACAAAUUGCAUUACAAAUAUGAUAGACUAUAGUUUAUUUACAAGAUUUAUUUAUAGAAGUCAUGAUCUUAUGUUUUAUAGAAAAGAAUUUAAUUAACGUGAAACAUAUAUUUAAAAAAAUGUGCUACUUAUUUCAAACUUUUAUUGAUUUUGAAUUUUUUGAAUUUUUUUUCUUUUUCUUGUAUUCUCUUUGCAUGUCUGUUUUUUAGUGGCAGACUUUUUUUGAGAUAAAAUCUUUAUUAAAUCUUAAAUGAUUGUGUAAAAUACAAAAAUAAAUUAGUAGAAAUUAUUUUUUAAAAAAUUAAAUGAUAAGUAGGGCGGGGUGGGUAUCCAUUGAUCCUGACCCGAUCUCAAUGGGUAUCCUAUAAUCGAAUAUCCGCUGAUAUGCGGUGCAGUUAAGGGUCAGAAAAUGACUAACCUGCAAGAUGCGGAUCGGGUCAACCAAAUAGUAGAUGGGACAGAUACCCAACUUGCGCCUACCCUUAAUUACCAAUACCUCUAUGCCUGCCAUUAAUCGCCGUUUAAGUGAUUCGAUAUUGCAAAGAGAUUUUGGGACUUCUUAGCUGAUCGUUACACUGCUACCGAUCUCUCUCGAUAGUACCAACUUUCCUUCGACUACAUGCUAUGAAAUAAUAGCCUGGUCAAUUUGUUUAGGAUUUCUACUUCGACAUGGCCUAUCUUUGGGAUGAGAUUGCUAAAUCGGAACUCUGAUGGAGCUACCUCAGUGAAGCAGAAAAAAUAUAUGCCUACUGUAAUUCUCAUCACCUUAUUCUAUUUCUCAUGCCUUACUUGAUGAGUUUGACUCCACUCGGACUACUAUUCUCAAUAGAAAGCCAUUGCCUUCCCUUGAUGCUACUCUUCAGAACUUGAUAUCUAAAGAGACUCGAAGGCAUAUAGCCUCUCCUGACUCAGCUGAUAUGGUUGCUAAGAGUGUAUUCUGUAUGUUUUAAAUGUGUUUUAUUAUUUAAUUUUGGUGUGUUUUAUUCAUUUUGAUAACUAAUUUACUAAGUUUCUAUUGAAUUAUGCAUUUUGUAGUUCAAAGAGUGAAAAAUUGCAUUUCUAUAUGUUUAAAUGGCGAAAACUUCAUGUUUUUGUAGGUUUUAAUGAUUCAAUCAUCAAAUGGAAUGAAUUAAGAAGAUAUUUGGAUGAUUGUUGAUGAUUCGAAGUGAUUUAAAGAGAACAUGAAGUGCAAAAUAUUUAAAAGAUGAAAUGCAAUCAAGUAUAAAAGAAGAAAUAUUUGAUAGCUUUGACACCUUUUUGGUAUUUUGGCUAUAUCUUGAGGUAAAAGUAUCAAAUUGGGGGUGAUUCUUGAGUCAUUUUGAAGCAAAGACAUAGAUCUACAAUUAUUAUGUAGUCAUUAAAAUCCAGUUCAUGGAUUUGCUUGGCCAAAAAUUCAAAAUACAGUCGGUCAUUUCUAUUAUCAAAAGCUGAAAUAGGGGAUUGACCAUUUAGGGGUCUUUUAGUUAUUUCUCAGACUACAAAGCUCCAAAUUAGAUGAUUUUUGAUGCAUUGGAAAAAUGACUUAAAGGACUACAACUUUUUGUUUUGUACAAGAGUUAGUUUAGCCUCUAUCAUCAAAAAAAUAUCAGUUGAAUUUGGUGCAAAAAAACAAUGUUGAAGACUGAUCAGAAAAGUUUAAACCUACAAAGGAGGCAAUAUGCGAGGUACAAUACGUGAUCUUAACCCACGUUUACAGCUGGAACCAAUUGUGCUUCAACUUGCAGCUCUUUCCUACUACUUUUGGACCAAAUUUCUAAAUGAAUUUCAAAUGGAAAGUGCAUGAAGCAUUUUGGAAAUUUGGAAAAACAACUUUUGGGAAACUCAAGACACAAUUUGGAACAUGAUUGCUUGGAUAUUUAAUUCUCUAUAAAUAGGGCCUUUGUUGAGCUUGUUUCAUAACUUUGAAAGGCUAGAGAUGCUACCAAAAAUGUAGUUUUCACGACUUUUUUUUAGUUCAUUAGUUUAGUAUAGAGUAAUAUAGUUUCCACCCACUCUUAUAGCAGCUAAACUUGGAUGAAGUUAAGGAUGAAGAUAGAGAGUUUGGAACUCAUGUGAUAAGGGUGACAUUUCUCCUCUCACUUUAUUUCUUGUAUUGAUUCUAAUGUUUGGUUAUAAUACAAGUUUGGAUCUUGUUUUCAUGUAUUUCAUGUUUUGUUAAAGUUUAUGACUAGAGUUAUGGAUAAAUUUUCUAUAUCUUGUUAGGAGGGUGACAUUUCUCCUUUCACUUUAUUUCUUGUAUUGAUUCUAAUGUUUGGUUAUAAUACAAGUUUGGAUCUUGUUUUCAUGUCUUUCAUGUUUUGCUAAAGUUUAUGACUAGAAUUAUGCAUGAAUUUUCUAUAUCUUAUUAGUGAUGUUUACUUGAUUAUUUGAUGAUAUCAUUUUGAGCAAGUUGUUUAUCACUUUUAUUUUUUUGUAAUCAUGAUUAACUAGCUAUUGAUUGUGAUAAUUUUAAGGUGUCAAGUUUGCAAUGAGAAUUGGAAUUGAAACUAGUUCAAAAAAGUGGUAAACUGAGAGAGUUCACUCACGAGAGUAGAGGUGUACCUUUAUGGCUUUAAUGGCUUGUUCCAUGUAAUUUCAUAGAAGAAAUGAAUUUAUAGUUAAUUUCAUAACCACAAGAGUAGGUAUGGCUUAGUUACAAGUAUAGUCGAUUCACUAUGAGAAUAAGUUUCGCAUACAUUAGAAAAUUACACUAUAACUAGUUAAGAUAAUAACAUUCAAUUAACUGGUAAUUUCACUUGUAAGAGUAGUGAGGAAUUCCAUAAUCUUAGGAGCUUUCUAUUAUAAUUUUUAUUACUUUUAUUUCAUGUUUGUUGUGUAGAUUUAACUUCUUGCACUUGUGAUAGUCUAAAUAAUAAAAGAGUUUGAAAACAAUCAGUAAUUGACAAUUUUCCCUGUGAGAUUGACACCUAAUAUCCCUAUACUCAAUAAACGAUCUGUAUACUUACAGAAAAUAAUGUUUUUAGGUUUUAUUAAAAUUUAGUGUAUGGUAGAACCUCGUCAAUGGUUCUUGCCACUCCUCAUUAGACUAAUUUGGCAUCUCGACCAGUUAUAUCUUCCGCUUCAAAAUCAAUUAUUGAGUAUAGGUAUUGUCACCAUUUAGGUCAUUCUAUUUUUGAGUGCCACAAACUUCAACAUAAAAAGGGAAGUCAAGGGCAAUGUACUUGGAACUCUUGUUCUCAUACUGCCGCUACUACUGAUAUAACGUACUCUUCAACUAAGUCUACUGUUACCACAUCUCCUGGACCUGUAUCUCUUACUACUCCUUUUGCUCUUUUUAAUAUUGAUUUGGAGGCUAUUGUUUCUCAAGUUCUUGCUUGCACUUCUCAACCUUCUACACGUGCUUUUUUUGCCACAGUAGGUAUCUCUUAAUAACUCAUUGAUUUUGGAGGUUGUAACUAUAUGACUUAUAACCCUGACAUUUUUUGCUUAAAAUCAUUACCUUCACAACCUAUUUCUAUUUCUACAGUUGAUGGUUCUAUUAUACCUAUUACACAUACUGACACCAUCUCAUCUAAUGACAUUUCUCUAUCUGAUAUCUAUUUUGUUCCUCAAUUGUCUCGCAAUCUUCUUUCUGUUGGCCAAUUUUAUGACCUUGAUCUUCACCUCUUCUUUUCUCAUGUUAGCUGUCUUAUUUAGGAUCCACGCAUGAAAAACAACUAUUGGGACCGGGCGUAAGAUUGGGCGACUGAUCGAAUUGACAUCUCUUCGUCUUCUACGUUAUCGUGCACUUGCUACUUGCACUAUGUCCAUAUGGCAUUUGAGAUUAGGUCAUCCCUCUUCUGUUAGAUUAAAAUCUUUAUUAUCUAAUCUUUAAUAUCUGAUAGUAGAUUAGGGAUUGUCAAGUCUGAAUCUUUUGAGUGUAUUCCAUGUCAAUUGGCAAAACAAUCUGCUUUAUUUUUUAAUAAGAGUGAUUCUUAUGCUUUAGCACCUAUUGGUUUGGUCAAUUCUAAUGUCUGAGGUCUAGCUCCAGUUCCCACUAUGGGGUUUCUCAUUAUUUUAUUAUUUUAUUGAUGAUUUUUCCUAAUAUACAUGGAUCUAUCUCUUAAAAUCCUGUUCUAAACUCCUCUUCAUUUUUCAUGAAUUAUAUACAGUUUGAUCUUUACUCAUUUCUGUAUCUUUACCAGAACCAUUUUGGAAAGAGGCUGCUCUUGUUGCUGUCUACACUAUCAAUCAGGUUCUAUCUCUUAUCCUUUACAAUAAAUCUCCACAUGAGGUAUUGUUUGGUACCAUUCCUGAUUACUCCCAUCUUAGAAUCUUUGGAUGUACUUGUUUUGUACUUCUUCACCUUCCUGAACAAUCCAAAUUACAACCUCAUGCUCAUUUUUGUUGUUUUCUUGGGUAUGACAUUGCUCAUAAAGGUUAUAGAUGUUAUGGUCCCAUUUCUUGUAGGUUGCGUAUUUCUCGUAAUGAAAUUUAUUGGGAAUAUAAAUUCUUCUCUGCUAUCCCUCAAACUACUUUAUUUCUCUUCCCUACCACUACACUUUGCUAAUCCUUUUGUUGACCUAUUUCUUGAGUGUCCCUCAAAUCCUGAGUGUGCCUCCAAUGAAUAUACUUCGCCAGUUCUAGAAAGUCCUCUACGCCUCCUGAUGGGUUGCCUUCUUUAGUGGACCCAUCAGCUGCUCCUCCUCCACAGUAUCUCUCUCGAGUAAGAACUCAGCCAUCCUAUCUUCAUGAUUACCAUUGUUUCUCUACUUUAGCUGCUUUCCAUGAGCCUGCUUCCUAUCACGAAGCUUUCUCUAAUCCAUUGUGGCAGAAAGUUGUACAAGAGGAGUUAGAUGCUUUGCUCAAAACUCGUACUUUGGACUUGGUUGAUUUGCCUCUUGGUAAAAUUGCUAUUAGUUUUAAGUGGGUUUACAAAAUUAAAACUCACUCUGAUGGAUCUGUUAAACGUUACAAAGCUCGUCUUGUUGCUAAAGGCUACAGUUAGGAGUGUGGUAUUGAUUAUGAGAAAAUUUUUGCUCUAGUUGCUUGUCUCGCAACUGCUCGUAUUCUUAUUAUUGUUGCUGCUAUUCAACAUUUGUCUCUCUUUCAAAUGGAUGUGAAGAAUGCAUUUCUUAAUGGUGAUCUUGUGAUAGUCCCAUUUUCCCCUAGGGCGUACCCCAAGAGUUAGUGGGUUGCCUGCCCAACUUUCGCCAGGACUACAGAGUCAAAUCACACAAACCCUACAUAACAUGCGAUAAAACCUCAAGAAAACCAACAAUCGGAGACUACUAAGUCGAAAACAUGAUUACCAAACCAUACGAUGAAAUGGAACUUCGAUUAAAUGCUUCAACGAAAACGAAAAUGAAAACAAAAACAAAAAAAAAAGGAACGAAACGCGGCCACGCCACAAUCCAGCCAAGAUUUGGCCGGAUAUCCGGUCGGAUUCCUGGCCGGAUUCGAGGCAAUGGCCAAUCCAAAUAUGUUCCAUUCUCCCCUGCCAAUCCGGUCAAGUAUCCAGCCAAGAACUGGUAGGAUAUACAGCCGGAUUCCUUUGCAAGAUUUCUGCCAGAAAUUUUCUUUCCUCAUUUCAAAUGCCGCGCUCGCCCGAUCUUUCCAACGGGUACAAAUAAAGUUCAUACAACCAUGCAGACAUGCAUUUCUCAACGAAUAUACAUAACUAUGCAUUUGCCAACAUAUAUACAUUGGUCUCUUCAAUGAAUUACUUGAAAUACAAGUCAAAAUGUCCGUAGUUAUGCAAAAUACAAUUAGGGUUUCGGUUACAAAGAAGCAUAAACAAAUAAAUGUCUAUCACUAGCUCAACUUUUUUCUCCCAAAAAUCACGGUUUCAAAACAUUGAAUCCUGUAAGGAAAAUAAAGAUAACGGAACGGGGUGAGCUUACGCUCAAUGAGGUACAAAAAAUACAAACAGUAAAGAACCAUGGCAUUUCAUGUUUAACCGGUCAAAUUUACACACCGAACAAAGAAAUGAACAAACACCUCAAAUAGAAAGGAUACAAGUGGCUCUCAAUAGCCGAAUUCCCGUUGCUUCACCAGAGCUUGAUCAAGUAGUAGUUGACACUCCGUCAACUUUCAGAUAAAGUAACCAUUCCAUUAGAACACCACUUUACACCAAAUUCUGCCCACCAAACAUACCCCUACCAGGCCCGUAAAACAAAUAAAAACAGAGGUGGUAAUACUUGAGUAUAUCGAAAAUCCAGAGUCUCCAAUACCCAAAGAUUCCCCAAAAACAGACUCCCAUGGAUUGUCAAUUUCCUCAACCAAGCCCUUGCUGGCUCGAUUCAGUUAACUAUCCAUGAGGUUGAGUUCAGAUUUCACAAGCAUAGAAAGGUCAUUGGAUACAAGCCUCCAAAUGACAUCAUAUCAGACACAGGUAAUAGAUUCAAGCUUAUACAAUAAACAGACACACAGGCUAGAGAAUGAGUAUAAUAAAGUACACUCUUGUCUCGUACAAAAUAAACAGAUAGUACUGUCAUUUAAGUCACAAAUUGCAAGUACAGAUAAACCAGUUAAGUAACAAAUCAUGGGAGUGGUACACUCACCAGUUCAGGCAAAGAUAACUUCAAAAGUUUUCACCCAAAGCAUGGCUUUGAUCACCGAGAAACACUAAAAUAACCAAGGUAAAACAAUUAUGGUUCCCACAUCCACAAACCCAAUAAAUAGAAUGCACAAAUGAGACUCGACUAGGAGUCGUACGCCUAUCCAAAUUAACUACGAUUGCAAGGAUACAAAAGUGUGAUUUUGGGGCGAAAAGGAAACAUGAGUACCUAGGGACUCUAACGACCCAAAAGCCCUUCACUUCUACCCAAAAUCAUCCCAACUCAAAGGAACCACAUGGACUCAAAAAUUGGACAGCACUUCCCCUCAAUUUCUAUAUUUUUCCAUCCUACAAUCAACAUCAACUCUCCUCUCAAUUCAACCACAAUUUCAACCACAAUACAUAAACUAUCAAAUACAUUUAAUUAGGGCCACAACACCCUUCAAAUAGAACCAAAUAAGAGCUUCAAAACCAACCACAAUCAAGCCAAAUUAGAAACCCAAAAUCUGAAAUUUCUUUAGGCAAAGUUAACUAGCACCUACACACUAAAUUUUUCACACAUCAAAGCUAGUAAAUCAUGGCCAACCCUUAAGCUUCACAUAUGAGCAGAGUUUUCACUAUAAAACUGAAAUUUAACAUAACACUAUUUCAAACCAUGAAAUUUCCUCAUAUAAUCACCAAAACAACAAUCUUAAGCCACUAAUUUACACAUAUAUAAAAGAAAAGGUAGUUUCUUGCCAAAGUACCUUAUAACCUCAAGAAAAAUGGUAGCUUAGCACUUCUUCCUCCAAAAUCACUCCACCAACACCUUUAAUCCUCCUUAGCAAGUAACAUUUAUGGAGUAAGUUGAGAUUUUAAUGGUUGGAACUCAAGAUUUGAGAAAGAAAUUGAAGAUGCAAGAUGAAGUUUUCUCUCUUUGUUCCUCUCAAAGGGUUCGGCCAAGAAGGGUAAGAAAGUGAGGAAAUUUGGGUCAAAAUCUGAUUUUAGGAAAGUGAAAUAACCUUAGUCAAAGUCCAACAUCCAAUGGCGUCGCAACAAAUGGCGUCUUAGGGUUUUGUUCUCAUCUUCUUGUCUUCCAAUGGUUAAUCUAUCUAAAUAAUCUCUAAUUAUCUCCUAGCACUUUGUAGAAUAAAAUCCCUUUAUACAAAACUUCAACUAAUCGUCAAAAAUUUAUCGCACUUACCGCAUUAGCGGGUCCCACGUCCAUAAUACACUCCAAACUUAACAUGAACUAACUUAUACCCGGAAAAUGAUUUAAAAACUACACUCACUUAUAAAAAUCUUUGAAAAUCUAAUAUAAUAAAGUAAAGUAAAGAAAAUGCAUGCAAAAAAAUAAAAUAAAAUAAUAUAAAAUAAAAAAAUUAUGCGGGUCCUCACAUAUCUUGUUGAUGAAGUUUAUAUGAAACCACCUCUUGGUUUCCCACAUCCUUCUCACAAAGUUUGUUGCCUUCGUUGGGCCCUGUAUGGACUUAAACAAGCUCCUCAAGCUUGGUUUGCCAGGUUUAGUUCAACACUUAUUAAAUUGGGUUUUGCAUCUAGUCCUCAUGAUUCUGCCCUUUUUCUGUGCCGCACCACAACUGGUACUAUCUUGUUAUCUCUCUAUAUUGAUGAUAUGGUUAUCACUAGUAAUGAUUUGGAAGGGAUUCAACAACUCAAGCAAUCUCUGAAUCGACAAUUUGAAAUGAAGGAUCUCGAAUUUCUUAAUUAUUUCAUGGGUCUUAAUCGAAAGUUUGAAACUUUUUUUGAAUCAAAGAUUCAAUCUUCUUUGAAGGUAUGAAAGCAAAAAAACUCGAAAGCUCUUCUUUGUUUGGGGCGAUAAUACCCAAAUCUCAAGUUGGCUUAGUCGUCUUUCUUAUGGGCCUCUUCAAUCCUCUCCUUUCCUAUUUCAUUUUUCAAUUUAUAUAUAAUGUUUAUUAUUUGUUUUUUUAUUGUAUUAAUAGGAAUUCUCUUGUUAAGAACCCUAUCAAUUGAUUUUAAAACCUCGGAUUCAUACUAGAAACGCGAUGAUUCAAUAAAAAAAAACUCUAACUUAAGUCAAAGAUUUCCUGAGUAAGAAUAAUUGAGGUAUCUUCAAAUAACCAUGGCUACUAUGUAUCCCAACCAAAAUAUGUUUCUAAUCUCUUUGGCCUCUACUGCUUUAAUAGACAGCAAAUUCACCUCUACUCUAGUUGAGGCAAAUACUUAUCUUACUCCAAUGGAUAGCACAUUAUCGGAUAAUUCUACGCAAUAUCAUUGCCUAGUUCAUAGUCUUAUCUAUCUAACUAUUACCCAACCUAAUAUUGCUUAUCUUGUUCAUAUUAUCAGUCAAAUCAUGGGUGCUCCUCAUUCUACUCACUAUGUUGCAAUUCUUCGAAUUUUUCACUAUGUCAAAGGCACCCUUUUUCAUGGACUUCAUUUUUCAGCCCAUUAGUCUCUUGAACUCUAUCCCUACUCUGAUGCUGAUUAGGUUGGCGAUCCUACUGAUCAUCAUUCCAUUUUUGGAUUUUGUUUCUUUUUAGGUGAUUCUUUAAUUUCCUAGCAUAGCAAGAAACAAUCAGUCACUGUUUGCUCUAGUUUUGAAGCUGAAUAUCGAGUUUUAGCUUAUACUUCUCAGGAGUUAGUUUGGCUUCAUUGGUUACUUAAAGACAUGGGUGUUACUCAUUCUUCUCCUAUUACCAUUCAUCGUGACAACCAAAAUGCUAUUGAGAUAGCACAUAGUGAUGUUUUUCAUGAGCGCACUAAAUAUAUCGAAAUUGAUUGUCAUUUGUGUGACAAUACCUUGUUCAUGGUAUUUUGAAUCUAUGCUCAGUUCGUUCAUUGGACCAAAUUGCUUAUCUCUACACAAAAGCACUAUCUCCUGGCCGAUUCCAUGAUGUUAUGUGCAAACUCUAGUAUCCUUGCAACCACCUUGAGUUUGAGGGGGAUGUUAAUGUAAAUAAAAUUUUUUGUUGUAUCAAUUAGUAUUUAUUAGCAUCAAUUAGGAUCACAAAUUAGGAUAUUAUCUUGUAUUAUUAGCAUCAAUUAGGAUCACAAUUAGGAUCAAUUAGGAUUACAAUUAGGAACUUUGUAGAAUAUUAGUUUAGAUUCACUCUGUAUGCAUAUAUAUAUAUAUAUAUAUAGACACUAUAUUGGUGUAGAAAUUAUGAAUUCAAUAAACUUUUUCUCUCCCAAAUAAUUCUUCCAACACUGAUGACGAAACUCAGAACAAUAUACAUAUUUUACCAGAUUAGUGUUUCAAAGAUAAAGCUAGGCGGCUAUUUCUUAUUUUAGUUAAAAGAUUUUCUAAAGUGGAGACCAAUUGAUCCAAUAAUUCUUGCUGCAGUCGAUUAUUAGGAAGAUGGCAUUAGACAAUUUCGUAGCUCUUCAAGAGGUUUUGUCUUUUGGCUCAAAUAAACUCAUUUCAACUUGUAGAUGAAGAAAAUAUUCAAAAGCAAUGGUCAAGAUUCCUCCAUGAUCAAACACAAUAUUCGAGUAUCCUAGACUCAUUUAACUUAACUAUUUGAGUUGGAAAGUAAAUAAUCAUAAGAAAGCACAUUUUAUAGCAUGCGGCUUUAAGGAUAAUUUCUCUUCGUUAGUUUAUUUUUUUCUCUAAUAUAGUUUUCCAACUUUAAUGUAUAUCUAAUUUGCGCAUGACAAGUAUUAUUAGAUUGUACAAUGGGUCUUGAUUUGGGAUUUUUACAUCCCUACUCCAUAACUAUAUCGAAGUUUGGUUGUAGAUAAAAAUCAUUCGAAUCCAUCCAUAACUGUAUCUCCAACUUGUUGAGUCAUCAAUCUACACAAUUUUCUGCGUCUUUGCAUACCAGUUGGCAUUGUAUCCAUAAGUUAGUUUCCAAUUUUAGUUUAAAUUUUGUCCACAAUAUGAUGUUUUUCCUCUAACGCACAGUCUUAUUUCUUAGUAUUUGAGUUUCGGUUGCUUCACUAUUCAUAUGGCUUACAAUGAUGUUUUCCAGCCUGUUCAUAUUUUCUUGGACUAAUUCUGCUUACACCCCCUAUCUUAUAAUAAUUCUAGUUUUGACCCUCUUAAUUUCAAUUUUGAUUACACCACAUGCUUUAGUUUCAAUCACACCUUGACCAUUACACUAAUUGUGAGGACCAUAAUUUUUUCUUAUUUUUAUUUUAUUUUACUGAUUUAUUUAAUUAUUUAUUCACCCGUUUACCCCAAAUAAUUUAUUUCAUCCAUUUUAAGUCCAUUUGUAUGCGAAAAUGUCCCUUUUAUAACUUUAAAACAUUUCGUUAGCAAAUUUAAUUUUUCUAUGGCUUGUUUAGCGAGAAAUAAUGAGUAUACGUUUUUCGAGGCAAUGUUCGGUCCGAGAGUACAAUAAUCUUGGAUAAUUAAGAAUGAUCAAUAGUAGACUAAGAAAAGUUAAUUGAGGGAUUAGAUGUGAAUGAAUUCAAAUUAAACUUUUACCGCGCGCGCGUCGAUAGUUUCCCGAAAGUCACACCGGUACGACUAAUUAGAGAUUUGAAAAUUUAAUAUUAGACUAAUAAAAGUGAAUAAUUAGAGUUAAAGGAAGUACCUUGGAGGAUUAGUGCAUGAAUGUAUCAAACUCGAGAGAAAACGGUGGUAUGAAACCUUCGCGCGACCACUAGUGAGAGUUGACUUUUUGUACACAACCUAAAGCUACUUUUUCUCAUUGUUUCUCCCCAAGUUUCAUCACUCAAAAACCCUCACUUUCUUCCUCCUCUCUCAGCCUAACCUCUAGCAAGAAAAAGGAAGAAGAAAACUCCAUUUGUUUAGCUUGAUUUCAUCCACAAAACUUCCAUUAACUCGCACAUAACUUGGAGUAACAUUCCAUCUUGGAGCAAGGAGCGAUCUUGGGGAGUUUUUAGUGGAAAAUCUAGGCUUCAUCUAGGGUUUCUUCUUGGGUUUUGAAGGUAUAAACAUCUCCCACCAAAACUCUUGCUUUCUUGUUUUAUUUCUUGGUUUUGAAGCUUGUAGCUUCCUUAUUGUUGUUGUUGCUUGGAUUUGGUUGGUUGAAGUGGGCUCUAUGAACUCCCACCUUGGUUAUAUGAGGGCUGCCAUGAUGUUUAUGUGUGUGUUAGUGUGUUUGUGAUAAGUUUUAAUGGAAGAAACUAGAAGAGGAAAAAGAAAGAGAGAAACCGUGAGGAAAGAGGUGCUGUCCGAAAUUUCUGGUCAUAUUGUUCUGUUUUAGUUUCAAAAAUUUUAUGCUUGGUUGACUGUGAAAUUGAUAGAUAUAGGUGGUAUAUUGUGUGUAGAAAGUGCCUACCAAAAAUCGUUUCAUUUGGUUGCGUAAAACUUGAGCUUUGGCAAGAAUCAAAUCUGGAAAAACGUAUAGCAGGGGUUCUCGGACAGUGUUUUUUGUUCGAACAUAACUUUUUGUACAAAAAUAAAAAUUGAGUACCAUUAGUGGCAUUCAAAACUAGACAUUCAUAGUUUUCGAACGGUAUAAAAAACUCCUACUGGUUCAUUUUGAGUGAACGGCAGUGAGUCGGCAAAGUUAGCUAUUCUGUUUUGAUUGUUCAUACGACUGAAACUAGAAGCUGCUUUUUGUGGCUUGAUUUUGUCCUACUUGUUAAAGGAUUUUCAAAAUGAUGUCUUGUGAUGAAUUGUGGUAUUUGGAACCUAGUUUCCAACGCCACCAACCAUUCUCAAUUUGAGUAUAUAUAGAUUUAGAUAUGGCUUGAUUUCGAAAACGCGACAAAGAUAGAAAACUGGAAGUUUUUCCUUUCUUGUUGGCCGAAUGGUCAAACUUGUCUUGGGAUGUUUUGUUUCAAAAAUCUUGAUGUCAAUUGCUUGUCAAUUGCUUAUUAAAUGUUAUAGGAUCUUGGUUUCAAAAUGGAUCGAAUUUGGGGCUGAUUUCAUUGGACAAAAACCUUUGGAAUGAAAGAAAGAGUGGCUUGGCAGAUUUGCUUUGAAAAUUUCACUAAUUUUAGUCAUUUUGUUAACUAUGCUCCCACGUGAUUUUUUGCCUAUAAUUUGAUAGAGACAUAGUUUCCAUAUGGAAGUUUAAGUGUACCAAAUUUGGUGUAAUUUCAAUACCAUUUCGAUACCCAAAUAGCACUCCAAAGAUGACUCUUCAAAUCUGGAAAUUUUUUAUCAGUGUACAAAAUUCAGCCAACUUUAAGCUACUAUAUCUUGCCGCUCAAAUAUCUGAAUUUUGUUCCAUUUGUUGUGUUUGAAAUAUUUUUUUGGAACUCUUGUAGUGUUACAAAUUUCAAGGGCUGAUUCACUUUCUGUGAAUUUUACCAAAUUUCCAAAGAUUACAAGAAAACCAAGACUGGUUCAAACCUGCUUCUUGGAACUGUAACUUUGAGCUGAAAUAUAAAUACUUUCUAUUUGAAAUCUUGAAAAAGUAUCUUCUAGGAACUUUUAGUACUUUGGAUCUAGUUUCCAAAGGUAUAAAGUUUACCAUUUUUGGACGUACGAAACUCAAGAUCUGAUUUUACUAAAUUUAUCGCGCAAAGCUAAAAAUUCUUGAUUUCUUAGGAAAUGAGUUUUUAAGAACUUUUCAUUUCCUUUUGAUAUUGAUAGUUCGUUUUGAAUCUGAUUUCAUGGAGGAUACGAGUUAUCCCUUGUGACUUUGAAUUCUCACUUUUGAAUCUUGGAUUUCACUAGAGUGAAGCUCUUUUAAGACAUUGUCUUAGUAUUACGCAAGUGUACAUUCUUCCUUGUUUGGCAAGGGGUUUGUAAGUAUUAGUAAGUGAUAGAUAAUUGUUUGAUUUUUUAUGGCUAUUACUAAAAUUUGGACAAAAUAUAUGACAUUAAUGCCAAGGUAGAUAGUGUUUCCUUACCCCUUCAUUUUUAGAAGAUUGAUAUAAAUACAUACAUACAAAGACACACAUACAUGUGUGUGUGUAUAUUUGUUGACAACUUUUCAUCCUAAGCCACCCAUUGAGCUUUCAAGUCUCCAUUUGUUUCUUAAUUUUUUAAAUUUAUUUAAUUGUUUAAAAUGUCAUUAGUGCUUUUUUUUGGAUUGAAUCCAAAAUUAUGCUUUUAUUAGUUAAGUUUAGUCCCUAAAAUUAGAUUCUUCCAAAUGUAGCAUAACAAGAAAUAGAAAACAUGAUUUGCAAUCUAAUUUCAACUGGGAAAAGAGUCCCAAUGGCCCUCCAACUCUUUUCCAGGUAAAGUUUUAGCCCUCUAACAAUUAAAGAUAAAUUUUUUGCUCUCGAUCUAAUAAAAUAGCAUAUUAGUGGCCCUUCUGUCAAAUCCAGUAGUUAACUAUGACGGGAAGCAUAAUCUCGUGAGACGCGCGACCAAAUAUGAAGGGCAUUGUAGUCUCUUUGCCAAGACAAAGUAAAAAUAGUUUCACCAACAAUUUUCCCUCCAACAAUUUCCACCCCUUUUGCUAUAAAACCCUAGUGCGAAAAAAAUCAGAUUACUCAAUACGGAUGGUGCAGCAAAAGUGGUAAUUGCCAGGGUGGGAGGGGUUGUAAAGGCAGAAAUGGAGUGGCGAAUACGGAGGAAAGAUGACUACUUUGAUCCGUACCUUGUUUACGGUAAUUGAAAUUGUUGUUUACUAACCCAUUUGGGUUUAAGAUUUGUUUAUAUGCAUGUGUAAUGGAACUUAUUUGUUUAUAUGUUUGGGUAAUGGUGAUGUUGGGAGGCUAAGUGGUCCAAUUUAUGGUCCUACUUUGUUUGUUGUAAAUUGACAAUGUCGGACAAAGGAAGUUGUUUUGAAAGUGAUGUCUUUUAAUGGCUAGGGUCUUUUUUUUUUUGGCUGAAUUUGACCAAUUCAAUAUUUCAUUUGUUAGCCUCUAUGUGUUUUUUGUUGACUGUUUUAUCCCAAUUGCCAUUGUAGAGACUGAUUCUGAAUGGUUUACUAUUCGGAUGCAUCAUGGGGUAGAAUUAUGUGGGAACAGUAUAUAUGGUAUGCUAAUGGAGAGGUGGACUAUGUAGAUGUUUGUGAUGCCAAAAGAAUGUCAACCAUUGAACUAAAUAAAAUGGUAGAGAAAAUGAGACAUCGUAAAGCUGCCAUAAUGUACUACUACCUUGAACCAAAUAAGGAUCUAACAAAUGGUUUAAGAGAGUUGUGCACAAAUGAUGACGUUAAAAAAUUUUGUGCUUGGACUUAUAAAUACAAGGUAAUGGAAGUCUAUUGUAACCAUCUAACAACUGAAGAAAUUAAUAGUUGCAAGUCUCCCAUAGUGAUCCAACCAGCAGAGAAGAAGAAGAGUGGUGUUUUGAUAGAAGAGUUGGAUAAGGAGGGUAGUGUAGUAGAGGAAUCUUUUUCUCACCUAGUUCCUAAGAGGAGGCUGUUCAUUAGAGAUUCAACUGGAGGACAGAGUGUGAGGACUCGCAAAAUUUACUUAUUUAAUCUCCUAUUUUUAACUUAUUUAAUUAUUUAUUAGGUCUUUUACUCCGAAUAUUAUUUUCUAAGCUCUUGAGACCUAAUUACAUGGAAAUAUAGUUUCAUUAUAUUUUUAAAGUGACUUGUUUCAAAAAUUAAUUUUCGAGAGCUCGUUUAGUGAAAAUAGAGAACACGUCUUUGGGAAUCUUGACCGAUUGAGAGUACAAUAAGUUUGGAAUAUUGGAGAUUUGUAUAAUAGACCUAAAUUAGGUAUUUUAAGGUUUAAAUACUCAAGUGAUAGUUAUUAGUACUAUCGUUAUAAGAAUUUCUCGGAAGUUUCGCGUUACUGCGCUUAAAUUGGAGAUACGCGUUUUCACACGCGCGAUUUAAAUUUAGGAACUUUAGACCCUUAUUUUGGGACAAUUAAGAGUGAAUAAUAUUUGUAUAAAUAUAAGUGCAUUAGAGGUUUAGUGCACUAGUGAAACAAAUGUAAGAGGAAUCGAGCACAAAACGCAGGAGAGUUGACUUUUGGAGCAUUUUGGGCCACACAUUCUUAAGCUUCUCAUGGGUGCAUCACACUAGAUCAAAACCCUUCAAUUCAUCAUCUAAAGUGCAGUGCAGCUCCUUCUUUUUUUGCUCCAAGAACAGCCGGCCAAGGAAACAAAAGAAACAACUCAAAACUCUUCAAAUUCCAUCUUCAUUUCUUCAACAAAACACCACCAAACUCCACCAAAAUUGAACCGCACCUAGCUAAUCACUUGGUGAUCAUCUUAAGCUAGAAAAGGGGCUUCAUUUCCACGGUUUUCUUGAGCUUCAAAGUAAUUAAAAAUUCUGAUUUUUUCAUCAAGAGAGGUAAUGAAUGAUCAACCUCUUAAUUCUUGAUUUAUGGAAGUUAGAUUACACUCAUGAGCUCUUGGAUUCUCAUGGGUAGCUUUAAUUUGUUGUAAAAUUGGUGAGUUGGAUCUAUGAACUCCCACUCUUGGAUGAUGGCUGAUGUGAUGAUUAAUGAUGGGUUUAAUGUUGGUUUAGUGCUCAAAAUGGUAGAUUAAUGGUGUAUAACUAGUAGAAACUUCGAGGAGUGCAUGAAGUAAAAAGUUUCGAUUUUACCCCUGCUUUGAUCGUACCCUUUUCUGCAGAAUUUUGAGGGUUUAAUGGCUUGUAUAUGAUGUUUAUAUAUUGUAUAGUUGUUGUAUAAAAUUUCAUUGAAAAAUAUUGAGGUUUGGUAGGUCAAAUGAAUUAUUUUCUUGAAGCUAGUGAACCUGGGAACUGUUCCCGUAAUGCUCAGAUAGCUUGCUUGUUUCGUUCAUAACUCUGUACUCCGGUAUCAAAAUUGAGUGUCGUCAGUGGCAUUUGAAACUAGACAUUCCCAGAUUUCCAUUGGUAUCAAAUAUAUGUUCUAGUUCUACUUGAGUGAGCCACACCAUUCGAUUGAAAAUCACUGUCCUGUUUCGGUUCUCUCCAGGAGACAGGACAGGACUUGUAUCUUGAUGCUCAAAAACGAGCUAUUUGUGGAUAGAAUUUGAAAAUGGUUUCUUCUGAUAAAAUUCAGCUUUAUGAAUGUGUUUUCCAACACCACCAACCAUGCUCAAUUCCAAGUUGAAUUGAGUGAGUGUUGCCAUAUUUCGAAACUGAUGCAGAGAGUAAAAAUCCUCUUUUGACUAGUUAAAUAGCCUAGCUUGAUUUGGGACUUGUUGUUUUGGAAACUUUGAUGUCCAACAUCUACCAAACUUUAUAUUAGAUGUUCCUUGGACUUUGUUUCACAAAUAAACCAGAUUUGGGUUGGUUGCUUUGGACAAAAUGUUUAAAAAGGAAAGAAGAGCUAGAAGACAGUUUUACCUUGGGGAAAUUUCUUGAACUUUGAUGGUUUAGUUAACUAUCUUCUCGUGUGAAUUUUCAAAUGAAAUUUGAUAGAAGAGUAAUCCUCAUAUGGAGGUUUAAUUGUGCAAAAUUUGGUAAUAUUCUAAAACCAUUUUGAUAUGCAAAUGAUGUCACAAAAUUCGCUCAUCGAAUCUGGAAAACUUGUCGUUUUCUCUUAGUCAAAUGGUCAAAUCUGAUUUGGGGAGUUUUAUUUCUAAAAUUUGGAUGUCAAUGGUCUUUAAAUUGCUCAGUGGAUGUUUAUGAACUCUUGGUUUCAAUAAUGGAGAGAUUUGGAACUGAUUUCAUGGUACAAAAAAUUUGUAAACAAAAGAAAAGUGAGAAGGUAGUUUAGCCUUGAAACUCUUCAUAAAUUUUGGUUGUUUUAAUGACUGCCUUAGCGUGAGAGUUUUUGUAUGAAACUUGGUAGAAAUGUUGUUCACACAUGGAAUAUUUAGUGUACCAAGUUUGAUGUAUUUCUAAUGCCAACUCGAUGACCAAAUGAUACUUCGAAUCUAGUCUUCAAACCUGGAAAAUAGCCCAACAGUCUUAACUUUUUCUGCAAAUUGGGGCUACUAUAUCUUGGUACUCAAAACUCCGAUUCUUGUUUUACUUAUUGUGUUUUAAACCUUGUUUGCAACUCUAAUUGAGUUUCAAAUUUCAAAGGUUAGUACAAAACAAGUGAAUUUUGCCGAAUUUCCAAAGUUGGCCAAAAACCAACUUAAAUCUGUCUUGGUAAUUCAAGUUACCAACUUUGAGCCAAAAUUUGAGUGCCUUUCACUUACAUUCGUGGAAAAGUGUUUUCUAAUAACUUUUAGUACUUUCAAAGAGGUUUUCAAUGGUACCAAGUUUUCCAAUUUUUGACAUGUAAAAUGUGAGAUAUGAUUUUUCAAAGUAUCAUAUCAAUCCUGAAAAUUUUUCGAAUUCCAAGGGAAGAGAGUUUUCAAAUACUCCUUAUUCCUUCGAUAUUACUUGAACAUUUUAUACUUGAUUUCCAAAUUGAAAACUCAAUUGCUCAUGUACUUUAAGAAACUCCCCUUGAACCUCGAUCUACGAGUAAUUGAGGUUCAUUUUCAUAAGAUUUCCUUAGAUUUCUCUAGCGUACAAUCUUCCUCGAUAAUUAGAGAUUCAUAGUGAUAUUGAGUGGUACUUGAUUAUUGUUUGCUCAGGCACUCGAGGGAAUCUCCAAGAGAAACUCGGAGCGGACACCUAAACGCUUGUUGAGAACCAUUCGCUUAUUUUGGAUUAGGUGAGUGUUCCAUAUAGGAAUACGUAUUUGAAUAAGUUUAGGACAUGUUUAUUUCAUGAUUAUUAAGUGUUAAGUACUAUGUGUUAAGUAUUUACCAUACUCAUGCCUAUUUAAGGAAUGUAUACUUGCAUUGUAUAUCUACAUGAAUUGGUUAAAUGAUUAACCAUAUCAAAUGACCAUAUGAACUCGAUACAUGCUUAACUUGCUAGAUUGUUUAUUUAGCCUACUUGGUUUUGAAAAAUGGGGUCGAGUGUGUACUUUAUCACACUCGUUCUCUUUUGAGAUGAAUAACUCAUACUUGGAAAUGCUCGAAUAACAUGACUUGGUAUGCUAAGUUUGCAUACGUCGUUAAAGUGAAUCUCCUCGACUCUCACAUGGUAAAAAUGGGAUAACGGCCAAUGAUGGCCUAUUCAUAUGACAAAUGCCUGUCAAUUAACCGUCACUACUCAACCGUUAACCGUCAACCGUUAACCGUUAACCGUUAACCGUUUACCAACCCACAUGACUUCCUGAUUACUUGACUAUUUGCUCACAUGAUUUCCAAUCUACAUGACUAUUCGAUAUCCGUGAAUUACAUGCUCCCAUGAAAUCAACUUGUAUUGCUUACGUGCUUACGUGCUAAGUAUCUACUUGAUUACUUAAUUAUCAUGAAUCACAUGUUAUAUGAAGCUGUCCAUCAUUGCUAGGCGAGUGUGUACUUUACCUCACUCGACCUACUCAAAUGAUGAAUUUUACCUUUCGUCGAAUUACUUGGUUACCUGUGCAUGUUGUAAGCUCUAAGCUGAACUUGGGCCCUGCCCUUGGUUACUGACCUACUCGAGCCAGGACUGGGUUCGGUCGGGUAGAUUGGAACCCUAGGCCACCGUUUCGGUAUACUCGAGUAUUACCACCGGAGGGAUAAGGUGAUGGCCAGUCAAACCGAGGCGAUCCGGAAGUCAUAAGGUGCAGAUGAUCGACAGAGUUUCACUAGAAUACUGUAUCCUACAGUAUAUGUUUACCUUGUAUCAUGAUAAUUGUUUCAUGCUAAGAUGCCAACAUGAAAUCCUGAGCUAUGCCUGUGAUAUGCUCCAUACCUGUUACCUGUCUAAUGUACUCAUAUCAUGAUACCUGUUUCAUGUUAAUGUUCCAUACCUGUAACAUGCUUAAUUACUCGCACUUGUAAUAAGCUCCAAUCACUCGUGAACUAUACAUGUCAAUGUCUUGAACCAUGAUAACUGUCUCAUGAUAAAUGUCUCAUACCAUGAUAAAUGUCUCAAAUUACCCGUACAAUGAUUAUCACCUCAUGAUAACAUGCCAUUGUGUAACCUUGAACCAUGCAUAUGAUAUGCCCAACUUACUUGAUUUAUUUGAACUGUUAGAGUGUCUUGGAACCUCGCUGGGCUGUGUAGCUCAUCACACGUUCCGGUUUUCUUUUACAGAGUUCGAGACCAAGGGUGCUCGUGAGUAGUACUAGAUUGUUUUCUUUUGAAAACUUUAAGUUAUAUUAUAACGGAUGGCUAUUGUACCCUUUUCCGUUGGGUUGUAUUUAAGCUUGAAAGCUACAUAAUUGUAAGUGUGAGAUAUUUUGGAGUACUUUAAUUAUGUAUUUGAAGUAUUAUUGAAGUAUUCUGAGCUUUAGAAUGAUGGAUUGUAGUGAGUCCUGGCGAGAGCUAUGCAGGCGUCCCGCUGAUAUCCUUUGGUUCGCCUUAGGGAGAAGUGGGGGCGUCACACAGAGUGGAGGUAGAAGAACAACCAAGAACCAGCACAUUGGUGAACAAAGUUGCGAUGCACAAGCAUCUAUUCAUGAGGAGCAACAUGUAGAUUCCUUAAGUGAGCAGCAACAUGAGCAACAGCAUGUAGGUUCUUCAACUGGAGGACAAAGUGGUGAUGCACAAGCAUGUCAUAGCCAGCAGCAUGUUGGAGAAACUGAUACACAACAAGAAGGAUUGAGCUGUCAACAACCUAUUGAAGAUGAAGGAAAUGAGCUGUCAACAGCCUAUUAAAGAAGAAUGGGAAAAGGAUCAGCCACUAAAAGAGGAACUCGGCCAUGAUAGACCAAACUUUUGACAAACUCUUUCUGUCUUAUGCUGUGUAAACUGAUGAUGACAAGUCAUAACCAUAUCAGAACAUGUUUUUGUGUCUAGUAGCUCUUCUCUAUUUUUUUCUUUCUAGCAGUUGCUUGUUGGUAACAUGCUGAUUUUGCUUUGUAUUAUAGCAGUUCCUUUUGAUGCUCAUUGUCAAGUGAUUAAUAUGAUACAACAUGGCUUUAUCUGCUCCUUCUUCGUACACCAUUAUUUUGCCUUCUAUCUAAGCACAAUACCAAAUCAAUUCAUUGAGUCGAACAAAUGAAAUACAUCACUUUUAUUUAAUAAAAAGAGAUAGCCAGAUAUUUCAUUGGAACAAGCACAAACACAGAUUUGAUUACUAGCUUUGCGGAUACAUCAUACAACUAUAAAUCAAAAAUUUACAUUAAAAGGAACAAUUUGGAUCAUCUUCUUCCCCUACAAACUUCAACUUGGUAAGGGCCAGGCUUUUGCAAGCACCUUGUAUUUGCCGAAAAUUGACAAGGCUUCCAUUUUUUUAGCCCCAACUCAUCAAAAUUAAAAAAAUCAAUAUCCAUGUUAAAAAAAGCAAUUUCACCAGCAACUUAUUAACCCAUUUCUUGCUGCGAAUGUAUUUCUCCAAUUCUUUAACUUUUCCUUCAAUUUUGUUACCUUUCUUUCAUUUCUUCUUGCUAUUUCUUCAUAUUCAUCUCUGUCCUUUUCAGUUGCAUUAAUCUUUCGAAGAAAGCCAGGUAUAAUUUCUGUAGCCCGUCGGCAUAUCACCUCAUCGAUCCAUGCCCAAUAUUCGCAGCAACCUUCUGCGCAUACAACAAACCUUCGCCCAAGAUUUUUUGAAGUCCACGAAAUAAUCACCCUAGUCUCUUUCUCACAUCUGCACACCGAUAGAGGAGAACUGUUCAUUCUUUGCAUUUUCAGCUCCAACUUUGAUUGGAUGGAGAUUUGUGUUGCUCUAACUUAAGGUAAGACAAGAAGUUACCUUUUUACUCUCUCUUUGCUUGGUAAACCAUCCUUUAGAGACUAUAAUGCCUUCAUAGUUAGUCGCACGUCUCACGAGAUGAUGCUUCCCGUCAUAAUUAACUACUGGAUUUGACAGAAGGGCCACUAAUAUGCUAUUUUAUUAGAUUGAGGGCCAAAAAUUUAUCUUUAAUUGUUGGAGGGCUAAAACUUUAUUUGGAAAAGAGUUGGAGGGCCAUUGGGACUCUUUUCCCAAUUUCAAUUUUAUUAACUUACCAAAAUAAAAUAUCAUCAUGUUUGAUAUUGGUUAAUUUUACCAAAAUUAGAAUGAGCAAUUAAAUGCUUGAACCUAACAAUAAGGAAAUCUUCCCCAAUUCCUUUAGUCUUUUUAUUAAACUUAACAAGAAAAUAAAUUCAUUUAGUGCCUAUAAAAAAAGUUAAGGAAAUAUCCUUGCAAUUUGUUGAUUAUAUUAAAAAUAAAUAUGAACAUAUUAAUGGUUUGAACAUCAAAUUAAGGAAAUUAUAAAUGAUAUGAUUUGAAACAAAAAUGAUAGUCUCAACUUUUUCUUUUUAUCACAAUUUUACAUAUUGUGACCUUUAUUUUAUUUUUUUUAUACUCAUGUUAGUCAAUUAUUUUUCUUUUUACUCUACUAUCCUUAGUUUGAAUAGAGAAGUUAGUUCCAUGCUCUUUGUUAGCAAGUUCAAAAGUAACUAUACAAUCCUAAUUAUUCUUAUGAUUGUUUAGUAUCUUUUUUCUUAAGUAUAUAUUCUUGGUAUGUUGUUUUUCUCUUUCUUACAUUUUUGGUAUAUUAGGUGCUCACAAUAAUAUUUUGAGAACCUAUUCAAUAUAAUACUCUUAUAAUGAGUGUAAGUUUUAAGAUGAUCAAAUUUUAUUGAUACAAAUUUAUUUAUGAUAUAAAUAACGAUGCAUUUGGAUGGUUAGGCAAUUUCAUAGUUUCUUUCAAGUCCAUGAGUAGGGAUUUUUUUUCCUUUGUUUUUACUCAAAAUAACUCAUUUUGAUAAAAAAAAAAAUGACACUAAAAUUGACUUCAUCUUAAACUUUCAGCUUUUCUUUUCCAAAUAACAUCUUUUGACAAAAAUAAUUUAACAAUUUUGAUUUAAAGUGUUAAUGCACGGGUCAAAAUUCUAGUGUAUAGAAAUUAUAUUAAAGAGAUGCAUUAAAAUUUUUGUUAAUAGUCAUUUAAUUUGUAUAAACAGCCAUUCAUUCCUAUAAAUUUUUAUUAAUUCUUAUGCUCUUUCCUUUGAAAAUGGAUGUAGUCCAAAGUAGUACGCAUGUGAUCAUGGUGUUGUAAGUACUCUCCAAAAUUACUAUUCUUAGUAUUUAAUACUUUCAACAGAAAUUCAAUUCAUCAAGUUUUAGUUUGCUUUUGAAUUUCCUUUUAGUCGUGAAACAAUCACAUAUGUAAUUACUCUUAUUGUGUACUACAUAUCCUUCACUUAUAUGUUGACUUACCACUAUUGAUUAGAGUAAAUAGAAUUCAAUUACGGGAUAAUAUUUGAUUACAACUAAAUAUUAAGUUGUUAAAAGUCAACCAUUUUUAAUGUGUUUAUUUUGAAUCCUUGUUUUACAAAUACUAUAUUCACUUUUGUACACUAGCAUUUUAAGUUAUUGAUGGCAGGUGGAAUUUUCAGUUGCUGGGUUUGUGGGUACCUCCAUUUAUUAUCAACGACAUCCGAAUGUUCUCUCUCCCUCAAAUUGAGAAUGGUGUGGAAGAUUUAAUGAUAUGGGCUCCUUCUCAAUUUGGAGUUUUCACGCUGAGCUCAGCUUUUAACCUGGUGCAAUCACAUAAGCAAAGGUCAUUUAUGUUCUCAAAAGUCUGGCACCCACGAAUUCCUUCCAAAGUGUUUGUUUUUCUUCUUCGCUUGUUGCGAAAUCGAUUUCCCAUGAACUCCACGUUAUGCAAACUUGGUAUUUCGGGCCCAUCAAAGUGUUUCUGUUGUGUCCAGGCUAAUGGUGAGACUUUGGAUCAUGUCUUUUGUAGUGGACAGGUAGCAGUUUCAGUUUGGAAUUUCUUUGGCUCUGCUUUAGGUGUGCUUAAUUUUGGUGGUUCGGUUCGGGCUUAUAUUGCAGGUUGGUGGUAUAGCGCACCAAGAAAUGGUUUCAUUGCAUUUGUUUAUUUUAUUAUACCUUCUCUGAUUUGUUGGAAUAUUUGGAAGUCCAUAAACUCGGCACGUUUUGAAGGGAAACUUCUUUCUCACGUCACUAUCUCUGAGUUUGUUUUUGACAAUGUGAAGGACCUCUUUAGGUUGCAAUUCCCUGGGUACCCAUUCACUUCCUCAACAUGGAUGGAGUUUUAUUAUUCGCUCUCUUAUAUUUAUAAGAAAGUCUCAUUUAUGAUUGUAAGGUGGUGUCGGCUAUUCUUGGGUGUAAUUAAACUUAAUACUGAUGGCUGGUCAAGGGGUAACGCAGGGAGGGUAGGUGGUCACUACUAGAAAAAUAGCUUUUGGUGACACUUGUAUUAUGACAUUUUUUCCUAAAUGUCAUAAUAGGGUGUUAACAUGACAGUCAGUAAGGAGUGUCAUUAAAAAGGUGCCAAAAAUAGAAAAAACUACACCGUAUCACCCUUAAUUUUGAAAAUUGGCUCUAUGUUUUAGCGCGUGAUUAUUUUCACCCAAAAUUCUAAUAUUUCCUCCCUUUUCUUACUUACCACAUCUCAUCACAUCUCUCCUCACCCGCUGCAUUCUCUCUCUUUUUGUACUGUGACCUUUCCCUCCCUCUCUUGUUUCUCUCAAUUUAGGGAUUGAGAGGGCAGAUUUAGCCAAUUUUCUUGCCAAUCUGCUAAUUUUUCAAGGAGGAAGCAACUAGGAUUCAUCCCACCGAUGGAGGUAUGAUGAUUAAGAUGUUUGUUUAGUUUAUUGAAUAUCAAUGAUUCAAUUUUUUGUUAACAUCAAGGUUGUUUUCUUUUUUAUUUCUUGUAUUUAAGAGAUAAUUUUAACUUUAGGUCUAAAUGGAUGCCGUCGAAAGAUAAUUGUUUUUUGGAUGCCAUCGAAAGAUUCCAAGUAAAUGUUAUAGCCUUCUUUAGCAUCAGUUUGGUAGCAUCUGUGACCCACCACAUGUUUGAUAAAUUGACUAAACGAGUUUUUCAUUGCUUGCCAAAUGGAUUUGCUCUCUAGUUUACUCAAUUCUUCCAAGCAGCAUGCCCUUUAGUUUUUUGCCAAGGCUCUGCCUUCUUUUUUUGAAAUUUAUUUUAUAAACUAAUCUUGAGUUGAAUAAAGAACUGAAAUACUACAACAUGGUUGAAUGUGUCUUUAUGUUUUCUCUUCGGAUCUUUAGUUUGAACAUGCAUUUUCUGUUUGAGAUAUUUAGUUGUUUUUGUCUAUAUAGAGCUGGUCACAUCAAACACAAGCUCAGGCGAUGUUGUAGCUCUUCUCGGCCACCUAGCUCCAAAAACAAGCCUAAACCCCCGGUGAUAAUCACUCAAGAGAGCGCAAACACGCUCCGAGCACAUAAAUUAGAGGUCAGCAGCGGCUGUGAUGUGUUUGAAUUAGUUGCAACAUAUGUUAGAAAAAGGCAAAGAGGUAUUUGCAUAUUGAGUAGUAGUGGCACGGUCAACAAUGUGAGCUUGAGGCAACCGGCUGCUGCCGGCUCAGUCAUGACGUUACAUGGCUGGUUCGAAAUUUUAUCAUUGUCGGGCUCCUUCCUUCCACCACCAGCUCCACCGGGUGCCACCAAUUUGACCAUAUAUUUGGCUGGUAGAUACAGUUAAGUUGUUGGAGGAAAUGUUGUGGGAGCUUUGAUUGUUUCUGGACCUGUGAUUGUUAUUACUCCUUCUUUCACUAACGUAGCAUAUGAAAGACUGUCUUUGGAUGAAGAUGAUCACUCACUUCAAGUGCAGCCACCUAUGGUGUCUCAGCCCUCCAUUGGUGGCGAUGGCAGUGGCACUAGUGCUGCUGUUGCUGGUGGCUCAAAUAAUAAAUUUUCUGAUCCAUCUUUAGGGCUUCCCUUAUUCUAAAUUAGUAUAUAAUUUGUAAACACUUUUGGUGUGGAUUGUUUGGAUGAUGCACUUUUGCACAAGUUUGGAUGAUUGUAUUGCUUCUUUUAUAUUAUUGUACUAGCUACGUUACAAUCCUUCAAAAUUUAGGAUUGGAGAUGCUUGUGUGGCAGGAUGAAAUGUGGUUUCUGCCGUCAUAUGAUAUGCAGCAAGAAGUUGGAACACUUUAAUUUGGAUGCUACACUGACAAGUAGAGAAUGUCAUAAAAGCCUGAUCUAGUUACUCUUCAAAAGUGUCAUAAUAUUUCUAUCUACUUAUACUAAAAAAGUGUCAUGAUAUGUUAUUGUACCCCAACAUUUCUUGUCAUUUGAAAGUGUCAUAAUAUGCAUAGAUAAUGACAUUUAAUAGUGUCAUAAUAAUGAUAAAUUGGGACACUUAAAACUGUCAUAAACCUAUCGUGACGCUAGAAUGGACGACGCUUCUAAUAGAGCGUCAUUAGAGCCUAAACGUCAUUACAUAGAUCUAUAAUGACGCUUUUGAAUGUCAUAAAAGGACACUUUUGUAGUAGUGGGUGGUGGGGUUUUGCAUGAUGAUAGAGGAAAUUUCCUGCUCGCUUUCUCCUCUUUUUUUGGGAAUGUAACUAGCUUUCAAGCUGAGGCGCUCGCUCUUCUCUUUGGGGUUAAGUUGUGUCUCUCUCCUGGUUAUGUUAACUUGCACAUUGAAAUGGAUUCAUUGGUUCUUGUUCACAUCCUAAAACAGGGAUCUAGCUGUCCAUGGAGUAUUUAUACAGAGGUUAAAUACCUUCUAAAGUUUUCGUCUAAUUUUGUUGCAAUUUCUCAUUGCUUUCGGGAAAGUAAUCAAGUUGCCGAUUCUUUAGCAAACAUGGGAUGCGAUCAAGGUUUCAAUGCAACAUAUCAUCAGCUUGUGGACCUCCCUAUGAAAGCUUGUGGGGCGUUUCACUUAGAUAGAAUAGGCCUGCCUUCAAUUAGGAAAUGCGUUCAGCGUGGAUGAAAAGCCUAGUUCGAAUUUCUGCAGUUGAGCUUUAUUUGGUUGGCCGUCACAUUCUGUUUUAACCAUGCAGUUGUUAUUAAAUUGUCUUCAAACUGUCGUAAAGUUACAUUGUAGUAACUUACUACCAUGUGGAUAAUUUUCUUGUAUUUGGGUUUGUUAGCAGGGAGUUUCGUCCAUUUAUAAGGGAAAACUCUGUCGAAAUUUUUCUAAUAAAAAAUUACCUUUAAAAAAAAUAAGUUAUCUUAUUAAAUUUUUUGUUAAAUAAAACAUAAAAAAUAUAAUGAAAUAUACAAAGCGCCCAUGUAAAUGAAUCGGGAACGAAACUAGUACUGUUAUAAAAUAAAAAUUGUUAGGGAGCAUGAGUGUAAGUGAGACCUAGUGUAACAUUGAAUGAUCACAUUAGAAUUUAGUAACAUGGCAAGCCUUUCAUGAAAGUGUUGCAACUACCAAAUUGGGAGAAGUGAAGACAAAAAUUAAUUAAAUUUCGAAUGAAGAAUUGGACGUACAGUUGCUAUAGUGUAGGAUUUGAGUAUCCUUUCCCUCCGAUUUUUUUCUCAAGCCUGGCGAAAACUCCUUGCCAAGCGCGUGGUUUGUGCUUCCAAGUCCAAAUGGUUUUGGACCGCAAACAAUUCAACCAUGGCCAGUCCAUGAUGGGUCGAUUUCUCGUUUGGACAGUCAGAGCAGACCUAAGGUAGGAAUGGUCAGUGCAUUCUCACCAUAAAGGGAUCCCGUUGGAAGAGUCCUUCUUGUUCUUUUGAUGAAUUGCUGAUGGUAAAUUAAAUUGAUAGCCCCUGAUUUUUUUUUUUGGGUUUUUCAAGGAAUUGUUAAAAAACAUACUCUAAUAUGGUAAAUUAAUCUAUUAUUUUUUUGGUUUUUAAGGAAUGGUUGGAAAUAUUUGCUAACCAUUUUGGUUUGCAAUCGAGUCGUUUUAUUACUAAUUCAAAGAAAAAGGGAAACCUACUUGAUUUCAUGUCUGCUUCACUCAUAAAAUCUGUGGUGCUUCAAGUUCAUUUCAAGCCACUCUCGAUCAAUGUGAGAAGCGCAAACCACAAUUGGAGAUAAAAGUGCAACAAGAAAUGAAAAGAUGUUUAACUUUUGGUAUAACAAAUUAAUGAUGUUUAACUUUUCGUAAUCAUUAAUGGAGAUGGCAUUCAACAAUUACAAUUUAACUAUCUGAAUUUUACUGUGGACUUGAAGCAUAAAUGUACGGAAUUUUAAUAUAAGCUUUAUAAUUAAGGAUGAAGUAACGCUAAAUAUUCCCCAAAAAAGGGUUUUCUAAUGAUUUUCUUUCAUUUUAAACAUUCUUUUAAUUUAAAAUGAACUUUUGGUCGAAAUUCUUGCAAUUUAAAGUAAUUUUUAAACAUUGUGAUCUCUGCUUACAACUUCAUCUAUGAAGGAAAUUUUUUUAAAAAAAAGGUGUAAAGCCCACUUCUUAUUUGAUAGAUGCAAGAAUGGGCUGGACAAUGAAUCUAAGUAUUGCCAAAAUAAAUGAAUAAAUAAAAAUCUGAAAAUGAAGAAAAAGGUUCCUCACAUGAAUUCUAAUUAACUAAUGAUGAAACUUGGAUAAAUUUACAUAAUUUACCAGAUUAGUAUAGUAAAGAUAAGCUAGGCUGCUGCCACCAAUUUUAUUGAAGAGAUUCUCUAAAGAGUAGAUCAAUUACUUUAACAACAUUGGGUGAAGAUUAUUAAGAAGAUGGCAAACCAGUGGGGCAUCUGGGGUGUUGGUCAUAGUUCGAACCUUACCAACAUCAUUUUCGCUAAGGAUCAGUUAUAGUAGAUAGGUACACCACAACAACAAUAGCAGGAGGAGUUCCCCCUUCCCCCACCAUCCCCUUCCCCAAGAUCCCUCCUUGUUGAUAAAAUAGAAUUCAAAUAACUUUUUAAAAAAAGGGUCAAGGUUCUUAGGAUUUCCAAAAAAAAAAAAAAAAAAAAACAGUGGUCAUGGUUCUUUUAUGCCCAAUUACGGAAUGUUGGAAAGCAAACAAUCAAAGGAAAGGACAUUUUACUCCACAAAGCUUAUGGGAUGGUUUCUCUUUUGUUUCUAACGUACUUUCUUGGACUAUAAAUAUAUAUCUAGUUUGUACAUUCUAAGUGUUAUAAGAUUGUAGAAUAGAUCUUCAACAGGGAUCUAUGUAUCUCUAAUCCAUAACUUCGAUUGUGGAUAAGUAUAGUACAAUUCAUCCAUAACUAUAUGUACAAGAUGUUGUGAGUCCAUAUAUGCAUGCCAUUCUAAUACUCUACAGAACACCUCAAUCUCAUAUAAUUUCCUUCAUCUUUGUGUACCAUUUAGCAUCGUAUCAAGAGCUACUAUAUUAGGCUAUUGAUUUCUUGUUUCAGCCUAACUGAAUUUUGUUUCACUAUCUAGUUUGAAUUGUCCACACUAUCAUUUUCCCCUGAAAGGCAAAAUCUUAUUUCUUACUAUUUGUGUUUCGGUUGCUUACUAUUCCUGUGCCUGAUUAUGACGUUUCGAGCCUACCCAUAUUAUCUUGGGCUAUUUCAACUUACACCCCCAACAUAUAUCAGUUCUAACUCCAUACUGUCAAUUCCAAUUUUGAUACAUUAACCACGUCGAGAAAAUUGAUGGUUGUAUGCACUUAAGUGCCAAGCACCAUUGGUCAGCAAAUCAAACUUUCACUUUGUGUCCUUAAAUUUUACUUUUUAGAUACAUUACAACCCAAAUUUGGUUGUAAUUGAUGAUCACACAUAUUUUAAAACGUGCAAUAGGCCUAAAAAAAAUUUUUGUUUGAUAUUUGGCACACCAUGUGGCCCUAAAAUUUAUAAGAUUUUUUCUAAUAGGCAUUAAUUGGUGCAAAUGUGGAAUGUGACAGGUUUUUCUUUACAGGUUUAAAUUUAGUGAUGAUAAAUUAUUAAGGGCAAUAAACUCAGUCAUAGAUAAUUUAUUUGCAAUUGAAUAAACCUAUCGAACUUAUGGUUGAUAGAUCAAUAAAUUAUGUUGCUUUAAUGGCUAUUCAACUACCAUAAUCAAUCACUGGUGGCAGAAUUCGAGUGAUUGUAAGAGGCAUAUUGACAAUGGUGUUUAGCUUAUAAUGCAGAUGAUAUUCAUGUUGUUGGCUAUUAUAUGUUCAUUCAUGUCUUGUUAUAUAUUCAAUUCAUUUUCUUAUGCCGAUAAAUAAAAAUACGGCCUUUCUCGUCUAUUUCGAGGCUUAGUACUUGAUUGAUUCUGGUUACAGUUUUUUUUUUUUUUUUUUUGCCUUUUUCUGUUAGGCAAUGGAUAUUAGUUAUGAAUUAAAUUAUCAGCCUAGCUAAUUUAGAUUGUUUUAUCUCCCUCAAUUCAGAAAAAAAAUGAAAAAGUUGUGUUUUUUUUCCCCAAAUAUCAGAUCAUUUUAUAAAUAGUCAACUAGGGGUAAAACCCCACAGUACAAAAUUUUUUUUUUAGCAAAGAACCAAAUUUAAUCUGCUAAGAGCUUCAAAACACCUAGCUACACCAGGACUAAAGCAGACCAAAAAAACUAAAACAAACACAAUUGACUACAAAACAGAGAAAAGAAACAAGAUAAGACCUAAGUAAAGAUCUUCCGAUCCAAGUCCCAGUUCCUGCUCAACUCCAUUACUAUCUCUUAACAAAUUAUCAGAAAAUUUGUCGACUAGAAUCCCAAUAGUCAGGUGUCGUUGCCAUUUCCCACUUUAACUUCAACAAAAAGGCCUAAAAACAUGCCUCAUUUGCAGAAUCUUCUCCAAGACCAGCUACUAUCAAGAGUAAAAAUUUGAGAUUGUUUUGUCAUUAUCAUAUGUACGGAAUUUAAGGAUUAUAUACUUUGUAUUCUAAGCUUCUUUGUUUCUUUAUUCUCACAAGUUAGCCACUUAACUAUUUAUGAGCAUAAUGAUUAAUGUAGAUGGUAAGGGAUGACAGCAUGUUAGUAUCGAUCAAUGCCCCUGGAUCACUGCAUGUAUGAAUUUGAAUCUUGUCGAUUACCUUGCUUUGUCCUUUAAAAGAUGUACAUGUUUUGAUGAGCGUCUUUACCCCGGCAAAGUGUCUAAAAUAAAGUAUCUAGUCAAACACUAUGAAAAUCUUUAUGCUGACUAGUGCCCAUGUGUGAUCAAUGCAACUUUGUGAUUGGAUAGCUCAUGCGAUAUUAGUACAUUUAGGAAUAAUGAAAUUCAGAAGAAGGGGGAAAAAAUAAUAAAAAUGCCAUAUAAGUAUUUUCAUGUUGACAAAACGAUAAUUAGAUAAUAACUUACCAGACGAGUAUUAUAAAAGUAAGCUUGGCAACUGCUACUUACUUUAGUAAAAAUUUUCUUAAAACCAUAGACCAAUCACUCUAAAGAUUCUCACGGUAAAAGAUUAUUGAGAGAUGACAUGAGAUAAUUUUGUAGCUCUUCAAGAGAUUUGUCUUUUGGCUCUUUGCUCUUAAAAUUAAUUUAUGUUCAACUUCUGCAUGAAGCAGGCAUUCAAAAACAAUGGUCAAGAUUCCUCCACAACUGUUGAACUUUUUAAUUAGUAUCACAUUCUACUAAUUAAUCUUAUUGCUGAUCUAAUCUUUUAUUUGUUAUAAUUUAGUCUAAACACUUCUAAAUAUUCCAUUGGUCCUCUCCCUUCCCCUCUAGCUCCUCCAAAAGGAAAAAAAUAGAGUUAUGUGAAACAAUCAAGAUCUUUGCAUUCUAACGAGAUUCAAACCCACACUCUAUAUUUUAUACCCAAACCCUCGUUAACAAGCAUACAGACCGGUACUCAUAGUAUUGAGGAAUUAAGAUCAAUUCUGCGAGGAUCACUAUCAACUACUAAAACUAUUCACUUACUCUAUUAUCUAAACCAAUACUCAAUCAAAUGACAACAGUGUAUAACAAUGCAAAAGUGAAUUAAUAAACUUCAAAAAACUCAACUAAAUACAAUCUUCUAGGGUGUAGAAUCUACUAAGGGUGCGUUUGGUUCCCUAUGGAAUUGGGGUUUAGAAUUGGAAUUGGGGCCCUAAUUCCAAUUCCAUUGUUUGGAUUCUGCUCCCCUCAAAGAAUUAGAAUUGAAUCUGAAUUGUAUAGGAGUCCAAUUCUAUGAAUUGAAUUCUUUACCAGAUCAAAAGAAUUCUAAUUCCAAUUCCACGAUUAGACGGAUCCAAACGCGGAUCUAAUAUGGAUCAAAAAUUAAAAUCGGGUCAAGGGUAUCGGCACCCCUCUCUUUCUAUCUAACUCUGUCGCGCCCCACUUUUUGAUCAUGUGGUGUGGAAGUAGUGUGUGUAGUGUGUGUGAACGUGUGUAGAAGUGAAAGCAAAGACCGUGGGAUUGUAAAAUGUGACGGUUUUGGUCAAGUAAAGUUAAAAAAGGGUUUUUGAAUGGAAAAUGGAGUCGCCACUUGGUAUAGAGUUAGGGUGUACCAAGUCACCCAAAAAUGAUUUUUGUUUUUGAAAGAAAAAAGUAAACAAACCCUUUUAAAGAACUUUUUAGGUCUACGUAACCAAAGAAAGGGAUCGGGAGUCACGUUUGGUAAGGGAGAAGGCAAAGGCAGAGCCUAAGGCACUCCCUUACCCUAGCCAAAACUAGUUGCGUGACUUAACCCCACGUUUCCUAAUUUUCUACCCAAGGUAUGUAUCGCAUGUUGGAUAUGACUAGAUGAAUGCGAAAUGAAAAGGAAAAUGCAAACCUAAAUCUAAAUGUCUCUUAUGAGAUUUUUGGUCCCAAUCACAUGGGUUUGUGAUGGCCAAUAGGAAGAAUCUCAUAGAGGUCAUAGGAAAAUGCAAAUGAAGACUCAAAUAUGUGCAAGUGUGAAAAUGUAUGAAGGAUGCGAAAUGUAAAAAAAAGGUAAGUGCAAGUGUGCAAAUGUGAUAAAAUAAAGGUGUUCGUGUGUAAAUGGAUGAAAAAUAGAAUAGUAGAUACAUAUAAGUGUAAUUUUGAGCGCCAUUUGUGAGGUGAGAAAUAAAUAAGUGAUAAAAAGAUGUUGAGAAAGUGUGGAUUGAGAAAAAUGAGAAAAUGUGGUUAAAAGGUGAAGAGGUGACAUAAAAAAGAAUGCAAGUGUAUGACCCUAAGGGAAUGCAUCAAGUCGGGCACGGGAAGGACUCCUAACUUUACGACUUUGAUUUUUCCUUUGAUUAGAAGGAAGAACUAGCGUGCUAAGGCUAUUGAGUAGCCACACUCGCUCGUUUCCCUUAUCGAAAGGGGACUCUCAAGCAAAUGUACUCUAUAACUAGCAUGAGGAUGCAAAAAGCCUAAAAUGAGGGGAAAAGGGUUAGAGGAGCAUGCCAAAUGAUAAAAACUAAGAAAAAUGCAUGAAAUGUAGUGAACAUGCAAGUAUGCACUAGUGAAAGGGGAAUCCCUAAGGGUCUAGCGUUGGACUAGCCCUUUCUAUGAAUUCCUAACGGAAUAAUGAGCCACAACUAGCAUUGGACUAGUGUGGUGACGUACAUUCAUCCAUCACAUUCAUCUACGACUAUAGAAAGCAAGUAGACAUGCCAGGCACUCGUAAACACAUAGCACAUAACACUUAGCAUGCUCGACUAGAUGCAAGAGCCUAAUAAAGCAAAUUAACACAUAGCAACAAAGGCAAACUACCAAACUAAUAAACCUAUUACAUUUGCUAGCUAGGCACACGUCUUCAAUAGGUCUUCAUCAAAUGCUCCUCCAAGCCCUAUCUAUUACAAUCCAAAAGGUGUACACAUACCCCAUAAAAAAAUAACUUAAUUAAAAGCAAAAGUAAAUGAAAUAAAUGAAAGAGAUUAAGGAAAAGCAAGGAAAACAAAGUAGACAUGCAAUUUUCACUUAGCACGUUGGAUCACUCAAGGGAGAGACAAAAAAGAUAAAAGAAAUUAUACCUUCCUUGGAAUGGUGUCCAAAUGAAAGAAAAAUGGUUUCAAAACAAUAAAAAGGUCAAGGUACCAAUUUAAUUUAAAACAAUUAAAGAAAAUAUGCAAAUACAAACUCUCUUGAUCAUAAAGCUCGUAAGAUCAUGAAUCAAGUGCAAUUCAAACAAAGCAUGGUAGCUAAUUGAAGUAAACAAGCAAUAAAGUUGUAAAAUUAAAACUACCAAGAACCAAAUUGAGGAGAUUAUUCAAUUGAUUGGGUCAUAGCAGCAUUAGUUAGAAGCCAAGGGGUCAAAGUGAAAUUUUCUUUUGUUUUCCAUGCAUGCAUGCACACGAAGCUUUCUUCCUUAUUUAGAUAAUGUUUCUGCAAUUCAGCACUUCACAAAUCCAGCUUUCAAACACAAUCAAAUCCAAGCAAAACUACCACACAAUCCUCUCACUUUUUGCAUCAUGAAACUUGUAGAUUUAAACACCAAAAGUCGGACAACAACAUGCACAUUUGGACAGCUCAAGCAAUCUUCAUAUAAAGCUUACGAAACAUUUCUGCAACAAUAAGAAGUUUUCGGCAGCCAGCCCAGCAACCGAAAGUGCACUUGCUGCAACUUUUGCAGCCGCAACUCAUCUUAAGUUCACGCAAAAACCUUUACAGCUUCAACCAAACAUACAAUCCCAUCAUUAAACACUUAGGCACCAGAUUUAACUAGCAAAGGGAUCCAAAAUUGGUGAGUGGCUGCGGAGAAGACAGCAAAAAAAAUGCAGCAGCUUCUAGUUUCUCAUGCAAUUCUAGCAUACCAAGGAAAUGAUUUAAUACAAUUCCCAAUUUGUCCAAGGCCAGAAAUGAGAGAAUAUGAGGCAAAAGAGAGGGGAAGGAACCCAACGGACACUCUCGGACACAAAACGCAGAAAGGUAACGUGAACUGGCUGCUCAAAUACGCAAAAUGCGAAACCAGAAAUUCCAACCCAUUUCCAAACCAACAAAAACCAUGUUAUCUGAGCCUUUCAUUGCUAAAACCCAUCAUUAAUAUCGCAAAGACACAAAAAGAAGCAGCAACCAAGGGAGCAUUAGGAAUCCGAACAUGACGAAAAUCAUAAAGCCGAUGGCUUUCUGCAGUUUUCUGGUUUUGUUCAUUCAAACACCACUACUGGGUUUAAUCGAUGAAGCAUGAAUCAAAGUUACAACAUGCCCACACAUUUUUCACUUUGAACCACAAAACUCUCAUGUUUAAAUACAAAAAUUAGAGGAAAAGAGCCUGCAAAAAUCUAAAAAAAUUCUACAACCUCCUUUCGGCAAAAUGAAGAUUAAUCAUCGACUAAAGGGAGGCUGGAAAUGAUUCCUAUACCCUGGGUUUCAUGAGCUAUAACAACACACGAUUCAAGCACAGGGAUAUAGAGCUGAAACAAGUUACCACACGGCCACACGGGUUUCUACAAAGAAACAGAGAUGAAACCACAAAGAAAGGAAACAAAACAUGCAUGCACAAGGAGGAAAUUCAUGCAAUGAACCCCAGAUCUUCACAAAAUGGUAUGAAAAUGACAGCAAGAAAGGCUAGAGUCACCUGCAAACGUCUGUGAAGUAAAUCAAACGGGAAAGCUCAGGAAAGUGACGUUGGUUUCUGGGAAAAACAACGCCCAGGCAGAUUUGUUGCAGUGGUAGCAGCACCUCCUUUUCCCUUUUCCUCUGCUGUUUUCUUCCUUUCAGAUCUCUCUCUACCGCCCCUUUACUUCCCUAGAUCUUCUCUGAAACCCUUAGCUUUCUUGUCCAGAACCCUAGCCGUCAGCUCCAGAUUCCCAAGACCCCAGCCGCUGCACCUUUCUCCUCUCUGGUUUCUUUCAUUCUUUAGCCUUUUGAAAGCAAAUCGAGGUCUGAAAGGGUCGAAAGAAAGGAUCUUUGCUCGGUUGAAAGCCUCCUCUCAGAGUUCUUUUCUCUCCUCAGCUCUCCUGUUACUCAAUCUCCCGCGAAGUUCAUCUUUUCCAGCCCGUCCCUUUUUCUCUCCUUUGUUUUCAGACCUCUCUUGAAGCUCUCCCAAUCUCUCGGCCCUCUCUCCCUCUAUCCUUGCUUCCAGCCGCCACUCGAUGCUCUCUCUGGUUUUUUCUUAGCCGUCAGUGUUCUCUCUCUUUUUUUCUUUCCGUUCCAGAUUUGCAGCUGUCAAUCUCUCCUUCCCUCCUCUUGCGUCUCUUUCUUUUUAUUCCGGCCCUCUACCUAGGCCUGUCAACGGGUCGGGUCUAGACCCGGAUCCGGACCGGAUCCGUGAAAUUAUUGCGGGUAUGGGUAGGGAUUUAAUUCCGUUUUCCGGAUCCGGAUCCGGAUCCGUUUUGUCAAACAAAAAAACGGGUCGGAUACGGAAUAUAGUAUUCCGACCCGUAUUAGACCCGGAUCCGGAUAUAAAUGAAUUAAUAAUUUUAAAUAUAUAUAUUUAUCAAUAUAAUUUGAUUAGAGUGAUGUAUUUUAAUAAAGUUAAUUUGAUUUCUUUUCUUAUUUGAUUUUUUCUUUGCAUUAGUUAAAAAUUAGUUUACAAAUAUAUUUUUUUUCAUUUUUAUUAGAAAUUAUAAAUUUUGCUAAAUUUGUUCGGGUAGACCCGGAUCCGGAUCCGGGACCCGCCGGACCCGCCGGAUCCGGAUCCGGAACAUAGAAUAAAAGACCCGUCGGGUAAACGGGACGGGUCGGGUCCGGGUCCGGCAUAGUAAUUCGGGUCCGGGUCCGGAAUAAUGAAUUCCGGCCUGGACCCGGCCCGUUGACAGCCCUACCUCUACCUUAAACCCUCAGUCCUUUCUUCUAUAUUUGCAGCCAAAGGGCUGCCCAAGCCUCUUUCUUGCAAUUUGCAAAAACACGCAGCUUGCAUGCCGCGACUCCUCUUUUUUUUAAAAAAAAAAAUUAAUUAAAACAAAAUUGAUAAUAAUAAAAAUAAAUAACAAAAAUAAUUUAAUUAACAUUGGAUAAAAAUAAAUAAACUAGAAGCAGCAAAGUGCAAUUUCCAUUUUCCCCUUUUUUUUCAUUUUCCAUUUUUCAUCGUUUUUCUUCUCUUUUUCUCUUUUUUCAAAGUAACCUAACAAAAAUAAAUAAAAUGCUAAAAGAUUGAAUUUAAAAGAAAUAAACAUAUUUUAUGAACAAUUUUCUUCUUUUUUUUUCAAAUUUUAUGUUAGAAACUUAAAAAUAAAAACUAAAACUAAAAAACUAAAAAAGUGAAUAAAACUUAACACGACAAAUAAAAACUAAGAAAUAAAUAGUAAAUUAUGCUAAAAAAUUUGGUGUCUACAAACUCACCAUUUUUCCUCAACCGCAGGUGCUCUGCUCUCCACCAUUGCUUCCACCUGCAACCCUUUCCCACCACCGUCUCCCCCCUGCCUUCCGUUUCUCUGGCCAUUCCCUCCAUCCUUCGCCUCUCUCGCCACUCGUCCACCCAUCACCUUGUCAAUCGCGAGACCUACUCCAUCCAAUUGUUGUCACUCCGUCUCCACACUUGCCACUCCUCCAUUGUUGCUGUAAUCACCUUUAUUCCCCUUUCUUUGGAAAGGGAAAGCGAGAACCACACGGGGUUAAGGCAUUGAAUGCUGCAUUUGUUUUGUCCCAGGUAGGUUUAUUUUUCAAUUUUCUAAUUAGUGAUGGUCGAUGAAUCUUAUUUGAAACUGGUGAAGAUUUGUUUUGGAGGUGAUUCCCGUUGUCUUCUUUGCUACUGUCCCUGUAUUGGUACAUGUGAACUAAGCCAUACGCUAGUUCUUACCGUGAUUACUGUUGAUGUGAAAUGAUACCGGGAUAUUUGUAGUUCUGCUGUGAACAACAGGGCAGUUCAGGAUCUCCGGGGCUCAAUCUCUGCAGGUCAUAUGCAACAAAUUUAUUUGACAAAAUUUUCAAAAUAUAUACGUUUAUUCCCCUGCCUCCUCUGUAUGAUUAAUCAAUUGCUGGUGAAGUAGUUGUCAAAUAUUUUAUUAGAUACUGAUGCGUAUUCAUCUCCAUGUGUUUUUGAAAUUAGCAUCAAAAAUGGGAAAAGGGUUUUUUUAUUUUUCUAUAUUCUUUGCUUGUUGAUCAUUGCGGGUUGGAAAAAUUGAGGAAUUUACUUGUUAGGGAAACUUUUUGUAUUUUUAGUAUGAAAAUGAAUAAUAUUUGUAUAUUGCAGGAGUGGAAAAAGCAAACUAAUAACAAAAAAGAUCAAGAAAACUUGGUGGAAUUGGACAGAUUUUCAACUGAAUGGAACUACUAAAUUGUUAAACUAGCUUAGCUCCUAUUAUUUAUGAUGGUUGAGUGAGAUAUUCCCUAGACAAUGCAAAGUAUUUUUUUCAUUUUGUAUUUUGUUAUUGCUGUUUCUGGGGGUUGUUGUACUCAAAUCUUUUAUAACUCCCUUCUCAUAUGGUUCAGUAAGCUGUUCAUUUUCUAUUCUUUUCUAAAUUGCCUUUUCCUUUACUUAUGUUUCAGGGGAUACCUACUGAUCAAGUUCUAAGGCAGUUGAAGUACAUAGAGAAGGUAUGGCAUUUUAUUUUUUUCAUAUCGCAUCUUUAUCUAUCUAGUCAGAACUCAGAAUUGUUGUUGGUUUAUAAAUGUCAGCAAUCACCCGAAUCUUCAAUAAGGCGACUUCUCUCUUUCCCUUCUUCCUGGUCUUUCAUUUUGUGAAAUGUGCUUUAUUUACUUCCAAGUCGUAAUCUAGCUCUCUAAGACGACCUGAGGACACACAUUGUUACCAAAUACAGAUAUUCCAACUUCAUAAGAGGUAAAGAAAAAGUGGAAAAAAAGGGUACCCCAUUUGCACAUUCGCAUUGGUCAAGGCAUCACCAUGAACCUCCCACUUCUUAAACUCAGUAGAGGCUAACAUAAAUGAACUUGCAUUCCGAUGGCCUCCACCACCGAAUUCCUGCAUGUGAUUCUAUGAUGUAUUAACUCUUAACUCUAGCUAUGCAUUUUCAUAACUGUAAGUAUAAUAGUUUUGGAAGAGCAUUUAGAUGUCCAGAGAGAGAGUUCAACAUUCAGGGAGGUAAUCGAAUAUAGAUUGGAUGCACAUAUAUAUAUUUUGGUAUUCUUUAUCAACUGAUCAUACAUACAUGUUCAUAUAAUUUUGAAAUGGUGCAACAAAUUUUUCAGUGUACUUCUGAUUUUGUUUUGAGUAGACUAUUGCUUGUGCAGUUUUCUAGGUGAGACUUGAAUGAUGCACUUAUCGCCUUUUCUAAAUUCAGCUGCUUUUGAAUCUUAUUCAUUAUUGGACCUGCUCAAUCAACUACAUAAAUUUUUUAUGUUGCCUAAUUCAAAAUAAAUUUCGUCUGCAUGCAAUUCCGUUUGGAUUGCAUUUUUCAGGUGGUUUUUUUAAUAUAUUCGGUUAAAUUGGUGCUGUGAAUCUUCUAUAGUAAAUUAUGGGUGGUCAUGGGAUUGUUGGAAACUCACGAGUUUGUGGCAUUGAUGAAUUUCAGAGGGGGGAAGGAAUGAUUACCAAAAGGUUAAUUUCAACAAGAGCAAAUUGAAUAUUGAUUUGAGUUUUGGCUCUUUUAAGUGUAGAAUUCUCCUUACUCAUUAAAGAGACUAACAUGCUCUCUACAAAAUAAUUGGUAUCUUUGAGGCAUAAAUAUCACUUCUGAAUCUUGAUGCCUUCUCUUACUGAAAGUUCAUUCGACAUUUAAGGCAAAUCAUUUUUUUCUAGUUUUGUUUGAAGACAGCAUAAGCAGAGAAUUGGAAUGUCCAGCCAUAGUCAUAGAACUUAAAAUACAAGAAUUCUGUUUACCUUUGAUGGACGUUUCCCUUUAUUUACUCUUCAAUGAUAUGAAAUCAAUGUCCAGCCCAACACGUUUUUAAGUUUAGAGAUCGAUUGCCUUUCAUGACUAGGUGCAUAUUUGCCUUUCAUUUUUAGUUCUAUAAUGCAGUAGCUAUUAAAUAUGUUCUUAAGAACAUGACAUUGUGAUGUUUUUCUGGUGCAUAUCUGCCUCAGAUAUGGCAUCUGAAGCAACAUCUCAGUCAAAAGGGAAAGGCAAAGGGUAUUUCACUUGGACUCCUGAAAUGGAUCGUGUAAUGGGCACCUGUUUUAUUGACCAAAUGAACCAAGGAAACAAAUUGGAUGGUAAAUGUGCAUGGAAGACAGCAGCCUACACCGCAGUAAUGAAUGCUUUAUUCGAUAAGCUCAAUAUAUCUGUGACAAAGGCUAAUAUUAUAUCUCGUUUCAAGACAUGGGAGAAACACUAUGACAUCCUAUACCCACUGCUCCGGUCAUGUAACUCUGGGUCUGCGAUAAUAUGGGACUACUCUAGAGGUAGAAUUGAUGUUCGUGAUGAGGAUGUAUGGAAUGCUCGAGUAAGUGAGAAUCCAAAAAUUCUUCCUUAUAGAAAAGAAAUUGUGGUUGAAAAUUGGGAGGAUAUAUGUACACUGUUUUCACAAGAUUGUGCAAAUGGAGAGGGUGCCCAAACUGUUUUUGAGGCUAAUGCUGAAACUGAAGUUGAAGAGUCUGCUAAUGUAGAGGAAUCAUUUGAGACUGAUUCACGAUCUUUAGAAGAUGAAGUUAUGAAUGCACUGCUAGCUUGACAACGGUCAAAAUCAAAAGCUUCAUCUUCAACAAAUGAUCGUGGCACAAAGAGAAAACUAACGAGCUCUCAAGUACUUUACAAGGUGUUGGGACGAAUGGCAGAUUCACUGGAUAAGUACUUAAAUUCAGAAUGUUCAAAAGUUACAACUAAAAUGGUGGAAGACGAGUUAUCUAAAAUUGAAUUGGAUAGAUUUCAAUUGUUGAAGGGUAUUGAUUUACUUAUGAAUGACAGGACAAAGUAUGACACUUUUUCUGGUCUUCAAGAUGACUUAAAAAAGGAUUGGCUAUUGAUGCACAUUGGUAAUUGAUUUUUUUUUUGGUAAUCUCCAGUUGAAGUUGUUUUUGUAGAAGAAGUUGAGCUAUUUUCUAUUUGUUUUUGGGAUGAUAAGAAUGGAACAUUGGAUCUUUUGUCUGAUGAACUAGCAUUUUUUAUAUUGAGAUUAACAUAGCUGCCUGGGUUGAUGCCCUGACUUGUCCUUGAGCUGCAUGAAGCUUUGCAUUCUUUCUCAAAGUUAAGGAGCUUUUGUAUAAGUGCUCUUCCUGUAUUCUGUUGGUUUUUAUCUCCCACAAGUCUGCACACUCACUAAAGAAUGGAUGGCGGAUAUUAUUCUAUUUAGCAAGUACUUGACUGUGUGUGAAUUGGUCAUUUGACAGUCUUAAGUUUUGUAUUUUCCAACAUCUCCUCCAAAGAAGCUGGUAAAUAUUAGUACAAAGGUUCGGUCAUGUAUUUGUCAUAUUGUGUUACAAAAACAAGAAGCCUCGGAACUUUGCCUUCAUGAUUGAGAUCUAUUCUACAUUUUUUCAUUUCGUGGUGCACAGUUCUUUAUUCGGUAGAGUCAUAAAUUUUACCCUACUUGAUUAUCACCAAAAAAGUCGAUUUGUAUAUUUUGUCUUCUUUUUCACUAUUUUCUUGGGUCAGGUAAUUUGUGAGUAAUUCACUGUCUGAUAUUCUACCAUGUUUUAAGAAAUAUGCUAGUGUCAUUGGGGAUUUACUUUUAAGGGCUUGAGGUCCAGUUUUGGUUGAAUGCCAAUAUCUAUACCAUACGUUGAACAAAAGAAAUUGACAUAAAAGUGGGAAAAAAUAAAUUAUUAAAGGCACAAAUUGGUUUUUACUUUUAAAUCUUUAAUAAAAAUUAGCUAAAUGUAAAGAAAAAAAUUAUUAUAUAGAAAAAAAAGAAAAAAAAGAAAAAUUUUAUGUAAGCAAAUGUUUCAUGAAAACAAUUCUAAUUCCUAAUGAAUUCUUUUCUCAUGCAAACAAAGGAUUUGGAAUUCCAAAUAAAUUCUGUAUCAAUUCUAUGCAUUUCCCAAAUGAAAGAAUUGGAAUGACUUGGAAUUCCAAUUCAUAGAAUUUCAAUUCUAUAGAAUUUCAAUUCUAAUUCAAUUCUAAUUCUAUAGAACCAAACGCACCCUAAAUGUAUUUAACCAUGGAUGAACUAGUCAAUUUAUUACUAUACACUUGUCUUACUAAGGAUGCAUUUCACUCAAACAAUUGAAACUAGCUUUUGCCAAUGAACCGAAUAUAGCGAACACUAUAGUUUCCCUACUUUCAUGGUAAAAUCACAAGUGAUGACUUAAUCAAUAUCAAGAAAUGGUAAGAACAUCUACAUAAGUGUACCAUUACUUUCGUGUGUCUACUCCUUAGAUUCCACCCAUUCUAUUUUCAUUAUUAUCCACUACUUUCAUAGAUUAAGAAUAACUAUCAUGGCUUGCAAAUGAUGACCAAGCAUUCACAAGUAUAAAGGUAAGAAUAAGUGAACUAGCAAAUACAAGAUAUAGCGACAAUCAACAACAUUUAACCAUAAUCAAAGCACAAAUAAUUUCAUCUAUCUCUAGAACAAGAAGAUUUAGUCAGACAUAAUAGAUGGAAUAAUCAAGCUCAAGUCUUUAAUGAAACUAAACAAGAUUCUAACAAUAAAAUGAGUAUGGAUGAAGAAAAUGCUCAUUCAAGUGAAGAAACAAAAUCUCCAAGUUUCAUUAUCUUCAUUGCCAUCAAAAUGUUGAAUUACACCAAGAGUUCUUCAAUGGUUCUUCAUGAAAUGCAGAACAAAACUAAGCCAAGAACUAGAGAGAAAAUUUGUUCAACUUCUAAACUACUACACUACUUAGAGAGAGCAAGAGAUUUCACUUUUAUAUUCCUUUUACUUUUUCUAUUUACAAGACAAAAGAAGGUCUUGUCCAUAAUGUGAACACAAGACCAAAGUUUCUACCAAAAGUCAACAAUUGUGACUAUAAUUGAAUCAAAGAAAAGUUGAAGUGACAAAAGAUGUUUCUUGUUGAUACUUAAACUCUCCUUCUAACCAUCAUAAUGUCUUGUAAACCCUUGAAGCAUAGGGAAUUCACAAGAAAUCAAGUUGCACAAUUUGUGCAAGUGGGUUAGAAAAUAUGGCUGGAUUAUUAGUCCUAGGACUAGUGAUAAGAGUUUAUUUUACGUAUUUUUAGUGUGUUUUAUUAGUUAAUUUUGGUUUGAUUAUUUAGUUUUAUAACUAAAAUAACUAAGGUUUUGGUAAAAAAACUACAUUUUAUGUUAAAAUGGCUAAACAUUGCAUUUUAUGGAUUUUUAUGGUAAAAACUUCAUAUUUUGUAGGUUUAAUGAUUCAAUCAUCAAAUGAAGUGCAUUGAGAAGAUAUUUGGAUGAUUGAAAAUGAAUUAAAGUGGUGAAAAUAAAAUAUGAAGUGUAAAAGGGAAAAAAUGCAAUUUGGAUCAAGAAAAGUCAGGUUUGACAACUCUGACACAUUUUUGUAUUUUGACUAUAUCAAGAGCUACAAUGAUCGGAUCAAGGUGAUCUUGGUACCAUUUUGAAGCUAAGAGAUAUAUCUAUAUUUGGUAUGAAGACAUCAAAGUCCAAUUCAGCCGUUUUCAUAGUCCAAAAGUUGAAAUACCGAAAUUCAACUCAGCUGUCCAAAGUGGAAAAUAGAGCUCUGACCAGUGUUUAGUAUUUUGAUCAUAUCUCCGUCUGCGGAUCUCCAAAUUAGAUGAUUCUUGAAGCAUUGGAACGCUAAUUCAAAGGGCUACAACUUUUGUGUUUUCCACAAAAGCCAGUUCGGCCUUUAUCAUGGAUAAAAAUUGCAGAUAAAGUAAGGCCAAAGUGAAUACGCGAGUACACAAAACGUGACUUGUAACCGCGUUUUGUGUAGGCGCGUUUUCUGGCCGCAAUUCUGAAAUUUGCUCAGUCAGUUCUCUUAUGUUCAAACUACUUUCCAGCUACAAUCUGCAAGAGAAUUCAGUGCACAUGCUUCAGAAGACAAUAUGGCAGACAAUAUGGCUUAUUUUCAAGUCAAAAACAAUGAUUUUUGACUAUCUUAACAAAAUGAGAUUUGAAGAAUCAUAACAGCAAAUUUGGACUGGGAGAAGAGGAACUUUUCAUGAGUUUAUAUGCAGAGACAGAGGAUUCAUUCAUUCAGAGAAGAUACGGGAGAAGCUAGAAGAGUGCAGAAAUGUAGUUCUUCCAUUUCCUUAGUGUAGAAUAGUAUAGGUAGAGUAGUUUAUCCAUCUUGUAUUUGUAGUUAGAUUUGGAUGAAGAUUGGAGGAGUAAAGAUGAAGAGAUUGAUCUCAUGUGACAAGGGUGAUAUCUAUUCUACUACUUUCUCUCUUGUAUUGGAUUUCAUGUUUAAUUAUAAUACAAGUUGGUUUUGUGUUUUUAUUAUGUUUAGUUAAAGUUUAUGCCUAGAGUUAUGGUUGAACUUGCUAUAUUUUGUUUGUGAGGUUUACUUGGCUAUUUGAUGAUAUUAUUUUGAGCACGUUAUUUAUCACUUUUGAUUAUAUAAUCAUGAUUAACUGGCCAUUAAUUAUGAUAAUCAUAAGGUGUUAAGUUUGCAAUGAAAAUUGGAAUUUAACACUAGUUCAAAGAAGUGAUAAGCCUAGGGAGUACACUCACGAAAGUAGAGGUGCACCUAUGUGGCUUAAGUGACUUGUUUCAUGUAAUUUCAUAGAAGAAAUGAACUUGUAGUUAAUUUCAUAACCACGAGAGUAGGUAUGGCUUAAUUACAAGUAUAGUUGAUUCACUACGAAAGUUGGUUUCACAUACAUUAGGAAGUUACGCCAUAACUAGUCAAGAUAAUAGAAUUCACUUAACCGGUAAUCUCAUUUGCAAGAGUAGUAAGGAAUUCCAUAUCUCUAGAAGCUUUCUAGUGUUAUUUUCAUAAAUUUUAUAUUUGUGAUAGUCUAAAUAAUAAAGGAGUUUGAAAACAUCGGUAAUUGCAUUCUUCCCUGUGGGAUCGACCCUUAAUACCCUAUACUCGCUCACGAUUCGUAUACUUGCGAUAAAUCGCGUGUGGGGUAUUUAGGAAUUUAUAAAUGUAAAACUUGAUUGGGAUGAGCUUAAUAUUAUAUGUAUACCCUGCGCACGUCAAGUUUUUGGCGCCGUUGCCGGGGAAUUGCGGAUCGCCUUUCAAGUCAAAAAUAUUGGUUUUUGACUAUGCUAACAAAGUGCAGAUUUGGGAAUCAAAGGUUAGAAUUUGACUUGGAAAAAUAGAGCCUUUGAGUAGUUUUUAUGCUAAGACAUUGAGAGAGGUCUGGGGGGCCAUUCGUAGCUUAGCUUCUUACAGAAAAACAUAUUCUCUCUAGCUAGGUACUUGCAAAGGGACAAUUGAGAUUUCAUCUUGUAAUCAUCUAAGUUCAAGACAAGGAGAUUUUUGGAAGGCUUCACCAUAUCUUGGCUAAGACUUUCUUUACUCUUUUUGUAUUUGUAAAUUCAUGAUGAUUUGCAUUAAUGAAGUUAUGAGUGUUUCAUCAUUCAUGAGUAGCUAAUUUCCUUUAUCUAGGGAGUAGAUGAAGCUUAUGGCCAAGUGAUAUGAAGUGAUUGCGAUUUAUACUUGUUAUAUCUUGUAUUAACUUAUCUACUUGUGUAUGCUUGAUUACUUGUUGUUGUUUGAUCACAAAUAACAGGUUUAUAGUUGUUUUUAUUCAUUAAGAAAUGGUAAAAAUAAUGGAAUGACACAAGUAGAACUUGAGUUGUAUAUUCAUGAGAAUAGAAAAUACAUUCAAGUGGAUGAAAUCUGCAUUUCAUGUGUAAAUAAGAACAGAUUUAGUAUUUACCAAGAGAUUAGGAAAAACUAAUCUGUUUUAACCCAUUAUUAUCAUGAGAAUGUGAUUUUGGUAUUUCUGGAAAUGAAUCCUUGGUUAAACAAGAUUAGUAACAAGUGUUGAAUUAAUUCAUUUUAGAUCUUUUGAGUCAUAAGUGGAAUCUACAUCCCUAGAUCUUAAUAUUUAGUGAAUUCUAUUCCUUUUGUGAAAUUGCAAUUUUCUAGUUAAGAAUUUUUGUAGUUGAAUUUAAUUCUAAAUUUUCUGCUUAAUUUUAUUGUGAGUCUAAAUAAUAGAGUAAAUUAGUAUCUAAUAAUUGUUUUAAAUUGUUCCUCGUGGGAUCGACCCGAUACACAUCUCGUACUACAAUUGUGACCUGUAUACUUGCAGUCCAACGGGUGUAAAUUCGGAAUUAAACUUGCAUUGAUACAAAUAUCCCGUCAAGUUUUUGGCGCCGCUGCCGGGGAGCGGCAAUAUUAGAGUCUAAUCAACUCUAUUAAUUUAGACAGAUUUAUUUUUAUUAGUUGAGCUGAUUAUAUUUAAUCUUAUAUUGUAAUCAGUUUUUGACAAUUGAAAUUGCAUAAUAUCUCUUAUUUCUGUUUGUAGUGUAUGCACCGGGCGUCUCGAGAAGUUACACCUUUCGAUCCAGAAAUUGAGAGGACACUACGUAGACAAAGGAGGCAUCCACUACAGCAAGAAGAACAAGAGAUUUGGCAACCUAUAGAGGAAAUCUCAAUAGAGCUACCAUUUGAGGAAGAGAUGGCCGAAAACGAAGCAAAUAGGCGAGUUCUACGAGAUUUUGCUCUACCGGAAACACAAGAAUCUCAAACAAGUAUAGUAAGGCCUACGGUAAAUGCUAACAAUUUUGAGAUUAAACCAUCACUUAUUCAAAUGGUUCAACAAUCUCAAUUUGGAGGUAAUGCAGUAGAAGAUCCUAAUACACACUUAGCUACAUUCUUGGAAAUAUGUGAUACAAUUAAAAUGAAUGGAGUUAGUGAUGAUGCUAUAAGGUUACGGUUGUUCCCAUUUUCAUUGAGAGAUAAGGCCAAACUUUGGCUACACUCUCAUGCUCCUAAUACUUUCACUGGAUGGGAUGAGUUAUCAAGAGCAUUCUUAAAUAAGUAUUUUUCACCAGGUAAGACUGCUAAGCUUAGAAUGGAUAUCACUAGUUUUAGCCAAUUGGAAGGUGAAUCAUUAUAUGAAGCAUGGGAAAGGUUUAGAGAUUUGCUUCGGAAAUGUCCACAUCAUGGACUGCCGGAGUGGUUAAUCAUACAAACCUUCUAUAAUGGUUUAGUUUUUUCUACUAAAACUAUAAUCGAUGCAGCUGCAGGUGGAGCUUUAAUGGGUAAAUCACCCCAAGAAGCUCAUAAUUUGAUAGAAGAAAUGGCAGCAAAUAACUACCAAUGGGUCAAUGAGAGAGGUAAUACAAGACGUCACGCAGGUAUGAUAGAAAUGGACACUCUCAAUAUGCUGAGUGCUCAAAUGAAUAAUGUGAUGAAAUUGCUAAAUAGACAAGGUGGAGUUAGUCCAAGUUCAUCUAAUGCACAUGCAGCAUGUUGUUCUAUAUGUGGAGGUGAACAUGAUACUAAUGAAUGUGUUGAUUCUGAGCAGGUACAAUUCGUCAAUAAUUACAAUCGUAAUGCUCAAAAUAACCCCUACUCGAAUACUUACAAUCUGGGGUGGAGAAAUCAUCCAAACUUUGGAUGGAAGGAUCAAGGGAAUCAACCAAGGCCAGCCAAUCCACCGGGAUUUCAAUCAAGGCAACAACAAGCUGAAACUAAACCUGGUUGGGAAAUGGCAGUGGAAAAACUCGCAAAAGUUACUUCAGACAGAUUUGAGCGAGUAGAAGGAAGAUUGGACCAACUCACUACAAUGUACAGGAAUGUAGAGGUCCAAAUUGGUCAAAUUGCUAGUUCUUUGAAUAAUCGUAAUCAAGGAGAAUUACCUAGCAAAACGGAGGUAAAUCCUAAGGAGCAUGUCAAAGCCAUUACUCUUCGUAGUGGUAAGCAAUUAGAAGAUCCUCCAAUGAUGGAAGUUGAGAAAGAUGAGAAUGAAAAACAAGAAGAAAAGCAGAGGAACCAAGAGGCGAUAGUGGAAGAAAAUAGCCGGGAGAAAUCAAGAGAAAAUCAACCAUCAUCUUCCGCUACCAUUCCAAUACCUCCUGCGGUUCCAUUUCCACAAAGAUUAAAGCAAAAUAAGUUUGAUAAAGAUUUUGAAAAAUUUGUUAAACUUUUCAAACAAUUGCACAUUAACAUUCCUUUUGCUGAUGCUAUUUUGCAGAUUCCGUCUUAUGCGAAAUUUCUCAAGGAAAUCAUGACUAGAAAAAGAAAGUUGGAAGACUGCGAAACAAUAGCAUUAACGAAGGAAUAUAGUGCAAUUAUUCAAAACAAGCUACCACCGAAGUUGAAGGAUCCGGGGAGUUUUUCUAUACCUUGCACCAUAGGUAACGUUGAUUUUUCUAAGGCAUUGUGUGACCUUGGUGCUAGUGUAUCAUUAAUACUUUUAACGGUGGCGAGACAAUUGGGUUUGCAUGAGCUUAAACGCACUAAUAUUACUUUGCAACUAGCAGAUCGGUCUAUUAGAUAUCCAUUGGGAGUGUUGGAGAAUGUAUUGAUAAAAGUUCAAAAAUUUAUCAUUCCAGUGAAUUUUGUGGUAUUAGAUAUGGAAGAAGAUGUAUCUAUGCCAAUUAUUCUUGGUAGACCAUUUUUAGCUACUGCAGGUACUAUUAUUGAUGUUAAAAAUGGCAAGUUGAAGUUUCAAGUAGGUGAAGAAGAGGUAGAGUUUAAUUUGCAUGAAAUGGGAAAAUACCCUUCUUUUACCGAUCAUGCUUAUUCUAUUGGCACAAUUGAUAAACUAACCCAAGAGAUGAGUCAAGUCAACUUGGACUUAGAUCCUCUUGAGUAUUGUUUAAUGAAUUUAGGUAAGCAAGAAGAUGUUUGUGAAGAAAUUGAAGAAUUGGCCAAGUACUUGGAUUUUCAAGCACCUUAUAAAAGGGGAAAUUUGUAUGAAAGUCUUGGCCAAAGAAAAGGGUUUUCACAACCUUCAGAAAUUGAACCUCCAAAGUUAGAGCUCAAGCCACUUCCGACUCAUCUAAGGUAUGAAUUUCUUGGAAAAAAUAAAACUUUACCUGUAAUUGUUAGUGCUGACCUUGAUGAUGAGCAGUGUGCAAAAUUGUUAAGAGUUCUAAGAAGGCGUAAGAAGGCAAUUGGAUGGACAAUUUCAGACAUUAAAGGUAUAAGUCCUUCUAUAUGCAUUCAUCGCAUUCUAUUGGAGGACGGUUGCAAACCAGUGGUGGAAACACAAAGAAGACUCAAUCCAAACAUGAAAGAGGUGGUAAGAAAUGAAAUUCUUAAAUGGCUUGACGCAGGUAUAGUUUUUCCUAUCUCCGAUAGUGUUUGGAUUAGUCCAAUUCAUGUGGUACCAAAGAAAGGUGGAAUGACUACAAUCGUGGGUAAAAAUGAUGAAUUAAUUCCAUCUAGACUUGUGGUAGGGUGGAGAGUGUGUAUUGAUUAUCGUAAGUUAAAUACGGUAACAAGAAAAGAUCACUUUCCCCUACCAUUUCUUGAUCAAUUAUUGGAGCGAAUAGCUGGAUAUGAAUUUUACUGUUUUUUUGAUGGUUUUUCAGGAUAUAAUCAAAUAGCUAUAGCUCCAGAGGAUCAAGAGAAGACUACAUUUACAUGUCCUUAUGGCACUUUUGCCUUUAGAAGAAUGCCAUUUGGUUUAUGCAAUGCUCCUGCAACUUUUCAACGAUGCAUGAUGGCUAUUUUUUCUGAUUAUAUUGAGAAAAUUAUGGAGAUAUUUAUGGAUGAUUUUUCUGUGUAUGGUUCAUCUUUUGACCAUUGUCUUCAUAAUUUGGAAUUAAUUUUGCAGAGAUGCGAGGAAACAAAUCUUGUGCUGAAUUGGGAGAAAUGUCAUUUUAUGGUAAAAGAAGGAAUUGUCUUAGGACACAAGAUUUCCUCCAAGGGAAUUGAGGUGGAUCAAGCCAAAAUAGAAGUUAUCGAAAAAUUGCCACCCCCAAACAAUGUCAAGGGGAUAAGGAGUUUUUUAGGACAUGCUGGCUUUUAUAGACGUUUUAUUAAAGAUUUUUCUAAAAUAGUAAAGCCAUUAUGUGACUUAUUAUGUAAAGAUACCCCUUUUCAAUUUGAUGACAAUUGUUUGGUUGCAUUUGAAAGGUUGAAGAAGGAAUUGAUUACGGCCCCAAUUAUAACUUCGCCCGAUUGGUCACUACCAUUUGAAUUGAUGUGUGAUGCAAGUGAUUAUGCGGUUGGAGCAGUUUUGGGACAAAAGAAGGAAGGACGGUUGCACGUCAUUUACUAUGCUAGCAAGUUGCUAAAUGAGGCACAACUCAAUUAUGCAACUACAGAAAAAGAGCUAUUGGCAGUGAUAUUUGCUUUGGAUAAAUUUAGAUCUUAUUUAGUAGGAUCUAAAGUUAUUAUAUAUACGGACCAUGCAGCUCUUAAAUAUUUGUUACAUAAAAAAGAUGCAAAACCAAGACUAAUUCGGUGGAUUCUUUUAUUGCAGGAAUUUGAUGUGGAGAUAAAAGACAAAAAGGGAACGGAGAAUCUAGUAGCGGAUCAUCUAUCACGCCUAGAAUAUAUUCCAAUCAAGGAUCAAGUUCCUAUUCAAGAGAAUUUCCCGGAUGAGUUUGUCUUAGCAAUUAUCAAUUCUCCAUGGUAUGCUGAUAUUGCUAAUUUUUUGGUAAGUGGAGAGAUUCCAAGGGGAAUUAAUUACCAUCAAAAGAAGAAAUUCUUACAUGAUGUCAAAAGUUACUUUUGGGAGGAACCAUUGCUGUAUAAGCAUUGUGCCGAUGGUAUGGUACGUAGAUGUAUUCCCGAAAAUGAAGUAUAUAAUAUUUUAUAUCAUUGUCAUAACCUUGAAACAGGUGGUCAUUUUAGCACUUCAAAAACUGUGGCAAAGGUAUGGCAAUCAGGGUUUUAUUGGCCAACUAUGUACCGAGAUGUUCGGGAAUAUGUUAAAAGUUGUGAUGCAUGCCAAAGAACUGGAAAUAUAUCUCGAAAGAAUGAAAUGCCCCUAACUACCUUCUUAGAAGUUGAAUUAUUUGAUAUAUGGGGUAUAGACUUUAUGGGACCAUUUCCUAGUUCUUUUAAUAAUAAGUACAUCUUAGUAGCAGUGGAUUAUGUUUCUAAAUGGAUAGAAGCAAUCGCUUCACCUACUAAUGACUCUAAGAUUGUACUUAGAUUCCUUAAAAAGAAUAUUUUCAGUAGAUUUGGUAUACCUAAGGGCAUAAUAAGUGAUGAAAGAAAACAUUUUUGUAACAAACAACUGGAUUCCUUAUUGUUUAAAUAUGGCUGUAGGCACAAGACAUCACUCCCGUACCAUCCUCAAGCCAAUGGACAAGCGGAGCUAGCUAAUCGUGAGAUAAAGCUCAUUUUGGAGAAAACUGUGAAUAAAUCACGCAAGGAUUGGGAUACAAAGCUAGAUGGCACACUAUGGGCUUACCGAACGGCAUUUAAGACUCCUUUAGGGAUGUCGUCCUAUCGUUUAGUCUAUGGAAAAUCUUGUCACUUACCUGUAGAGAUUGAAUAUAAAGCUUAUUGGGCUAUUAAAGCAAUUAAUAUGGAUUUUAAUCUUGCAGGUGGAAGGAGAUUACUUGAGUUGAGUGAAUUGGAGGAACACCGGUUACAUGCAUACGAAAAUGCCAAAAUUUAUAAAGAAAAGAUCAAAUAUUGGCAUGACAAGUACAUUAUUCCUAAACAAUUUCAAGUAGGGCAAAAAGUGCUUUUAUUCAAUUCACGCUUGAGGUUAUUUCCAGGAAAAUUGAAAUCAAGGUGGUCUGGACCAUUUGAAGUCACUCAAGUAUUUCCCUAUGGAGCGGUUGAAGUGGCAAAUUCAAGAAAUGAAAGGUUUAAGGUCAAUGGACAACGAUUAAAACCCUACUUGGCAGGUGAAAUCGUACCCAAGGGGCUUAUAUGUCUUUUGGGUGAACCCUCUUCAAUUUAAGAACCCUAAUAUGUGAGUCGAGCAAACGACUAUAAACAAAAGCGCUAAUUGGGAGGCAACCCAAUGUUUAUGUUAUUUGUGUUAAUUUUUUUGUGAUUUUUAGACUUAAAUAAGUGUUUUAGUUAAUUUGUUGUUUUUGUGUUAUAGGGUUGGCAAAUGGAAGCAAGAAUGACCAUUUGAGGUGAAAAGGGCAAACUUUGAUCAAGCAACUCAACCCCUCGAUUUGUGUUAAAAGUGUUUUUGAUUCAUUAUAAAGGGGUAAAAUGCAUGUUGUUAUCAUUUUACAUGUGCGCACAUUGAUAAGAUUUGGAAACAAAUGAUCCAUGAUGCAUUUUGAGUGAUUGGGGUACCAAUGGUAAUUUUUCAAAGUUCAUUUUCUGCAAAAAAAAUUGCAGAAGAAAACGCACCAAGCAUGAAAACGCGCUUAUGAAUCGCGUUUUCAUCAAAGCGCGUUUCAAAUUCUGCAACGAGACUGAAGAAAACGCGCUUAAAAAACGCGACACCAAGUCGCGUUUAUCAGCUAAAUCGCGUUUUCAAGCCUGGAUCAUAAUCCAAAAACGCGACUUAAAAUACGCGACUAAAAGUCGCGUUUUAUAACACAGCCGCGUUUUGUAUCCUGCAAGAUUUGUACAUAAAACGCGACUUUAGAAACGCGAGUUGAAGGCGCGUUUCUAGUCGCGUUUUCUGUGUCCCUAUAUAGGCUUCAGAAACGCGAUUUCAGCUUCAUUUCUGCCUCUGUUCUUAAUUUUCCAGGCGCGUUUUUCUUUUUCUCUUCUACCCAACUCACAAAUCUUCCAUUUUGUUGCAUAAUCUUGCUAGAAAACAUCCACCCAACACCUUUUGAGCUUCAUACAACCUUUGUAACUGAUUAAAAUCAAGAAAAACACCUCAAAUUCAGUUUUUGAAGGAUUGAAGGUUAGGGUUCUUCAACUCUAAUUUUUUCAAUUGGAGGUUGUUUCAUAGGACUUUUUGCAUUUUUAGCAUCACCAAACAUCCUUCUACGUGAUUGAGGUAAGUUUCUUCAUCGAAUCUUUUGAUUUUUGAAAGUCAUAUUUUUUAUCCUGAGCUAUCUGACAUCUUUUAAUGUCGACAAUUUGAUGAUGUAUUUGACUGUUUUUGAAUUUAUUCAUGCUUAUUGAGAUUGUUUAAGUAUGUUUAUGAGUUUAAAUGUAGCAAUUUGUUGGUCAUUAUUGCUUUAUAAAUUCAUAAUUGCUAUAUUUGAAGGAAAUCGGAAAAUGAAGUUAGGGUGUUUUUGAGCCAUUGGUGAUGUUUAAUUAUGGUUAAGAAUGGCUACUUGGUGAUGUUUGAGCAUGUGCAUUGUGUAUAGUGAAUAAUUUGGUUGAUUUGGUGAGUUAAUUGGUUUAAUUUUUGCUUAAACAUGAUUAUAGCUAUAAGUAUAUUUUUAUUGUUAAGUUUAAAUAGUUAUAAUCAUAAUUGUUGUUAAUUUCACUGAUUGGGUUAUAAUUAUUCAAUAUCUUGUUUCAAUUGGUGAUUUUGAGAAAUUUUUGGCAUAAAUUAUGGCUUCUUCUUGAUCCGGUCUUUUACAUUAGUUAUUGACGAAUUGUCACUUGUAAGGACACAUUAGAGAUUAUUUGGAUCAUUUUAGGAUAUUCAUUGCCAAAUUGUGCAUUGUGUCUAAAUACAUGUGGUUAAUUGCAAAAUUUUCUUUUAGGUACUAUGCCAAGGGGAAGAAGAGCGGUACUUUCAUCCUCUAGUAGUGAGGAGAGGGAGGUUAAUGAGGAGAUGGAGGUGACUGAGGAGGAGAAUUCACCUUCUCCUCCACCAGUUAACCGACAGCCUGGUGAGGGCACCUCCCGUGGAGCGGGUAGAGCGGUAUUUGACGGUGCUAGGUUCAAUAGUCGCAGGAAUCAAGAAUGGCAUGAGGAGCAUGCUAACUUGGAGUUCCUAUUUGAGAUGCAUGUCAACCCAACAGUUGAGAUGAUGUAUAACAUCUCAGAAGCUUUUGCUCAGUUGGGAUGGGCGCCGAUUCUCACCCUACCAAACCAUUACUACCCCGACUUGGUGCGCGAGUUUUACGCUAACAUUGAGAGUAAGGCGCGUCAUAGUGGAGAAAUGGUUGAGUCCUGGGUACGUGGAAGAAGAAUCAACUUGUCAUGUCAAGAUUUGGCCGCUAUUUUGGGGUGUAUGGAUGACGGUCGUCCAGUAGAUUUGAAGAAGGAGUUUGUUCCCCCGAAUAGGAGGUGGGAUCCCUCGCUGGCCAUGGCCAGGUUUGGUCUUGAGUACCAACCUUUUCGCUCUACAAGGAAGGAGACCAUUUUGGCGAAUGUCUUCGAACCUCGUCAUCGGCUUAUCAUUUACAUGAUGGCUCACAAUGUCAUCCCAAAGAAGACGGGGCAUACGGAGGUUCGCAAGAGCGAUAUUUACUUCCUUGAUUACAUGUUCCACAACCGAACUUCCCCGUAUGCUCGAAUUUCAUUGCCGAACAUCAUCAUCAGCCACAUUAGGUCUACGGCAAGGCGUAAGACAACUUCCUUCAAACUUUCAUUUCCUCGUCUACUGACUUUAAUCUUCACCCGUUUUGAGGUUCGAUUGGAAGGUAUGAGGCGGGAGAAUGUUCCUCCACGUGCUGAGAUGACUAUCACUACUCUUCGCCGCCUUGGUAUUGGCACGGGGAACGUUCCACGUCCUGUUCAGGAGCGGCGACAGAAGGCUAGACAUGGUCGCGAUGAAGCUGGAACAUCUACUUCAGCACCACCUCCUCCUCCGCCACAAACCAAUUGGCAGCGGCUUUUCGGUCGCUUGGACGACAUCGACCAUCAUUUAGCCCGACUGGAUACUCGCCUAGACCACAUUGAACAUCAUCUAGGCGUACAUCCACCUCCCGUCAAUGAUGAUGAAGAUGACGAUGAAGAGGAUGAUUGAGGCUGCCCUUUGGCUGGCUUUUCUUUUGUUUGCUUGUUUGCGUGUUAUUUUUAUCUUUUGUUUGAAAAAUGUUAACUUACAUUCCUUAUUUUGAAUAUUGGAACUUGUGGCAGUAACUAAUAGAUCGUUGACUGUAGAUGGUUGAGCGGUCGAUGGCUCAUCAUUCAAGGCUUCACUGGACCGCAGCCAUAUCACUUGGGGAGUCACUUGUUCCUUUCUUUUGUUUCUUUUCUUUUCUUUCCCUACACAUUGAGGACAAUGUGUAAUUUAAGUGUGGGGGAGAAAUAUGUGUGGUACUUGUGGAUUUAGUUGUGUUUGAUAUAAUUCUUGUGCUUAAAAUUGUGUUUCUUGUGGUUGCUGGCAGGGAGUUUAGUCCACUUUUAAGGGGAGACUCUGUCAAAAUUUUUCCAAAACCUUAUACAUAUAUAUAUGUUAUUAACCAUAAUAAAAUAAAUAAAAUUUUGUCACUUAUCCUUUUAAAAUAAGUAUAUGUGGUUUUGAAAUUUCUUUUCUCAUGGAAUUUGGAAAUGAUUUUUAUGUGAUUAUAAUUUUUACAUCUAUAGGAAAGUAUAUCUAGUAAAGUGGAGAAAAUUAUACCUACAUUUUGCAUAUUUGAUGAAAAUGCUUCUUUUUAUCUGAUUUUAUAAGAUAAGAAAUUAAUAUGGUCAAUAAGUGUCAUACUUUUCUCAUGAUUAUUCUUAGAGGAAAUUUUAUUAUAUAUAUAUAAAAAAAAAAGGGUUUAUUCUACUCCAAUGGUUUUUGUACUUAGUAACCGGGAGUCUUCAUUUACAAAUGUCGAUUUUCGCGUAAAACGGUACUUAAAUUAAGAGUAUGAAAAGUAACUUGAGUAUGUGAAAUGUUGAGUAACCGGGGAUUUUCAUCUAAAAAUGUUGAUUUUCGCGUCAAAAGACAUUUUUCACAACUUAAGUAAUAUUUAACCUUAAAAUAUAUACAAAAAAAAAAAGAGAUGAGUAAGUAAAAUAAAUCCCUCUUUAAAAGAAAAAUAAGAAGUUGAUCAUGAGAUUAGUUAGCAUCUUUAUUGACUAUAGGAGUUGCUUGCUUGCGAAAUUGGAUAAAAAUAAGAAAUUGAGUUGAAUUGAUAAAAAUUAUGGUAUAUUUAGCUCCUCUUUGCUUGAUAUGUUGAGUACUUGAGAUUAAUUAAAAGAUCACAUAAGGGUUAUUUACCUUGAUUUAAGGAAACGGAGUUGAAAUACUACAUAUGUUUAUUUUCAAAUUUUUGGAUCAUUGAUGGUUGGAAUUUUAUAUUGCUUGAGGACAAGCAAUGAUUCAAGUGUGGGGGUAUUUGAUAAGAGUUUAUUUUACGUAUUUUAGUGUGUUUUAUUAGUUAAUUUUGGUUUGAUUAUUUAGUUUUAGAACUAAAAUAACUAAGGUUUUGGUAAAAAAACUACAUUUUAUGUUAAAAUGGCUAAACAUUGCAUUUUAUGGAUUUUUAUGGUAAAAACUUCAUAUUUUGUAGGUUUAAUGAUUCAAUCAUCAAAUGAAAUGCAUUGAGAAGAUAUUUGGAUGAUUGAAAAUGAAUUAAAGUGGUGAAAAUAAAAUAUGAAGUGUAAAAGGAAAAAAAUGCAAUUUGGAUCAAGAAAAGUCAGGUUUGACAACUCUGACACAUUUUCGUAUUUUAACUAUAUCAAGAGCUACAAUGAUCGGAUCAAGGUGAUCUUGGUACCAUUUUGAAGCUAAGAGAUAUAUCUACAUUUGGUAUGAAGAUAUCAAAGUCCAAUUCAGCCGUUUUCAUAGUCCAAAAGUUGAAAUACCGAAAUUCAACUCAGCUGUCCAAAGUGGAAAACAGAGCUCUGACCAGUGUUUAGUAUUUUGAUCAUAUCUCCGUCUGCGGAUCUCCAAAUUAGAUGAUUCUUGAAGCAUUGGAACGCUAAUUCAAAGGGCUACAACUUUUGUGUUUUCCACAAAAGCCAGUUCGGCCUUUAUCAUGGAUAAAAAUCGCAGAUAAAGUAAGGCCAAAGUGAAUACGCGAGUACACAAAAUGUGACUUGUAACCGCGUUUUGUGUAGGCGCGUUUUCUGGCCGCAAUUCUGCAAUUUGCUCAGUCAAUUCUCUUAUGUUCAAACUACUUUCCAGCUACAAUCUGCAAGAGAAUUCGGUGCACAUGCUUCAGAAGACAAAAUGGCAGACAAUAUGGCUUAUUUUCAAGUAAAAAAUAAUGGUUUUUGACUAUCUUAACAAAAGGAGAUUUGAAGAAUCAUAGCAGCAAAUUUGGACUGGGAGAGAGGAGAUUUUCAUCAGCUUAUAUGCAGAGACGUUUGGAAAGAAAAGGAGAGAAACAUACGGGAGAGAGCUUGAAGUGCAGAAAUGUAGUUCUUCCAUUUCCUUUGUGUAGGAUAGUUUAGCUAGUGUAGUUCAUCCAUUCUUGUAUAUUGCUAGACUAGGAUUAAGAUGGAGAUGAAGAAGGCAAGGUGAUUAGCUCAAGUGACAUGGGUUACAUUCCUUUCCAACUCUUUAUCUUUUGUACUUGAUUCCAAAUUUAGUUAAUAUGCAAGUUCUGAAAUUUAUUUUUAUUAUGUUUAGUUAAAGUUUAUGCCUAGAGUUAUGGUUGAACUUGUUAUAUUUUGUUUGUGAGGUUUACUUGGCUAUUUGAUGAUAUUAUUUUGAGCAAGUUAUUUAUUACUUUUGGUUAUCUAAUCAUGAUUAAUUGGCCAUUAAUUGUGAUAAUCUUAAGGUGUUAAGUUUGCAAUGAAAAUUGGAAUUUAACACUAGUUCAAAGAAGUGAUAAGCCUAGGGAGUACACUCACGAAAGUAGAGGUGCACCAAUGUGGCUUAAGUGACUUGUUUCAUGUAAUUUCAUAAAAGAAAUGAACUUGUAGUUAAUUUCAUAACCACGAGAGUAGGUACGACUUAAUUACAAGUAUAGUUGAUUCACUACGAAAGUAGGUUUCACAUAUAUUAGGAAAUUACGCCAUAACUAAUCAAGAUAAUCGCAUUCAUUUAACCGGUAAUCUCAUUUGCAAGAGUAGUAAGGAAAUCCAUAUCUCUAGGAGCUUUCUAGUGUUAUUUUCAUAAAUUUUAUAUUUGUGGUAGUCUAAAUAAUAAAGGAGUUUGAAAACAUCGGUAAUUGCAUUCUUCCCUGUGGGAUCGACCCUUAAUACCCUAUACUCGCUCACGAUUCGUAUACUUGCGAUAAAUCGCGUGUGGGGUAUUUAGGAAUUUAUAAAUGUAAAACUUGAUUGGGAUGUGUCGCGCCCCAUUUUUUGAUAAAAUAAAUAAAUGGUUUGGAAAAAUGUAUUUUUUUGUGAUUGGAAAAUGAAUCGUGAUUUAAAAGAAAAAUGGGUCUAAAUGGGGGUUUGAAAAUGCGACGAUUUGACCCAAAAAAUAGUUCAAAAAGGGUUUUUUAUAUGAAAAAUGGAGUCGCCACUUGGUAUAGAGUUAGGGUGUACCAAGUCACCCAAAAAGUGAAUUUUUUAAAGCUUUUGUAACAAAACAAACCCAAACUGCUGCAUUUUUGGUUUCCAAGCUUGCGACAAUUUCUAGCAACAAUUACAUCCAUUUCAUCAUACAAACUAUCUCAUCAAGCCAGAGAUUAUUGACCCAACUCAAAACAUGACUUUUUGUUUGCAAGAUUAAGAUAGCCAAUCUGGUUUUGAUCAACAAAUGAAAGAAUGAGAAGAAGCUGCAGCAAGAUUUAAUUCCAAAAGAUAACUCUAAAGCCACACAAGACUGCUGCAUUUUACUUUCCCAAAAACCAGAAUCCGACUCCAAACGUACACUUUAGCCUAACAUUCAACUUCGAACUGAACAAACAAACCAUGACCUUGACAAUCAAACAAACAAGGAAAACAUAGCAGAAAUUAGUGCGAAAAAUCUGAACGAACAUUAGCGUGACAGUGACAUAGCAAACUGGAACUCAUUUUACACACUUCAAACUCUAAGUACACAAACUUAACAUCAAACUUUCCCCCAUUUCCUGGACAAAUGAACAUGAAGUCAAUGCAGCAAAGGAACGAGAAGAGACAGCUCACGGCUAGAUAAAAAAAAAUGCAACAAGGAAACAACAGAUGCAACUCACGGCUAAACGGAAAAUGCAACUACAUGAUAUGAACAUCCACCUUUAACUCAACGUUUUCAAGAAAAACAUGCAAAGGUUCAACCCAUUCAGCAAAAACAGAAUCUUUUAACAUAUUUCCACCCAUUUUAUCAUCAAAUGUGUAGAUUCGAAAAUCAAACUACCAAGUAGACAACCGAAAGCAACCAUUUACUUCACUUAACGUUGAAAUCCACGGACAAAAAUGGAGAAGUAAUAAUCCAGGAACCACAAAACAGACCUGUGGGCAGUUUUUAAAACAUUUCUGGAUUGACUUAUUCAAACAACACAAGAAGCAACCAUUGAACAUCAAACAAAAGAUUCAAAUCUCCAUCCUCUAAAUUCAGGCCAAAACCAGAUGUCAAAUGCCAGCCGAAAGGGCAAAAAUCAAUGGGAAAUCUAACGUAACUUCAUUCAAAAAUCACAGAAACUUAGUCAAGAAACAAUGAAGGAUCUUGCUUAACCCACACCCAUGAAUUAUAACCCUUCCUCCUUCCCUUGGACCCAAUCAAAUUCACAAAGCAGAGACAGGAAAUUCCUAUGCGUAGACUCCAAAUGAGGUUUGCAGUGUAUUGAACCGAACUAGAUGCAUCAUAGCCAGCAAAACAUUGAACUAAAAAACAACAUAGAAAGCAGAUUAAAAGAUACCAAAGAAUGAACCUUGGUUGAAAAAUGAAGAUCAGAAAGAUGGUCAGAGGCUGCGUCCGAAUUCAGUUUCCUUUUUUGCGUCUCGCCACCAACAGUCAAUUCAUCUGUAUAUUUGUCAGUCCUUGUUCCAAAGAGUGUAACCGUAUCCCGUGCGCGCCGUCUGUUCGCGCACUCUCCCGCCUCUCUCCACGUUGUCUCAGGGCCAGCACCGUCCAAGACCCUCACGCGUUCUGCUUCGCUGUGGCCAGGGCGCCCUAGGUCCAGAGCCCACUCCUCUCUCCUAAACGAUACUUAGCUUUCUUGCCUGCACGCAGUCGUCCACUCUUUCUGCUUUUUGUCCUUUCUUUUCGCGUCUCUCUCUGGCGCUCACCCCUACCUCACGCAGCCUCUGGGAUGUUCUUCUUCUUGAGCCUUGCGUCUGUUUCCCUUCUUGAGUUUCUGGCCGUCCAUUCCACUUCCCUCCUGUCUGGUUUUUUUCUUUUUCGCCGCGUCCACCGCGUGCCGUCAUCUGCUUUCUCACGUGGCCUGACGGCCGAGGCCUCGGGUACCUCGUCGCCUCGUGUGCGGUUGAGCCGGCGUCUGCUGUUUUUUUUCUUUAUGAGUGGGAGGCCCAACCAAACCUGUAAAAACGCGGCAACGCGCAGAGCAAUCCUCUCUGCUGUACUUUGCAGCCGAAGGGCUGCCGUGACACUUUCCUCGUGCAAGCUGCUAGCAGAAUGCAGCUUGCCGAGCGUGGUUGCGUUGCCCCGGGGCCUAUCCUCCCUUUUUUUUUUUUUUUUUUAAACAACUUGAUAAUUACAAAAUGAUAAAAUAAAAAAAAUAAAAAUAAAUUGACAAAAACCAGGUAAUAAUAAUAAUAAUGAAAAUAAUUUAAAAACUAAACAACUAGAAACAACAAAAAUGGCCAUUUUUCCAUCUUUUUUCUACAUUUUUCUUUUUCAUAGUUUUUUUUCAUUCUUCACCUUUUCUUUUUUUCUAAAUGAAUCAAACAACAAUAAAAGAUAAAUUAAAUAGAAAUGACUAAAAUAAAGCUAAAUAAAACAAAAUUGCUAUUUUUCUUUUCUUUUCCCUUUUUUUAUGAUUUUUCUUUUUUCCUCUUUUUUCAUGAUUUUUCCUUUUUCUCUUUUUUUCAUUUCAAGAAAUUCUAUGCUAAAAACUUACAAAUAAAAAUAAAACUAUAAACUAAAAACUAAAAAUCGAAUAAAACUAACACGACAAAUAAAAAACUAAAAAUAAACAGUAAAUGAAAUUACACCAAAAAUUUGGUGUCUACAGGAUGAGCUUAAUAUUAUAUGUAUACCCUGCGCCCGUCAAGUUUUUGGCGCCGCUGCCGGGGAAGAUUUGGCAAUAUCGGUGUGAAGAGCAACUUUAUUAAUUUAGACAAUUUUUCUUAUUUUUUGUUGUUUUUGCUGUAUCUUAUGUGUUUUAUGUCAUUUUUUUUUGAAUCAACUUUUAUUUUAUUUUAUUUUAUUUUUUAUUUUUUUGUUUUAGUCUUGGAAUCUAUCCUUCUUAACUAAUCUUACUUUUGAGAUUGUUUAAAAGUAAUUUCAGAUAAUGAGGAGGGUAGGUGAAUUGGGAGGACAAAGCUUGAGAAGUGGAAGAUUGGCAAUGGAUGGUUACCAAGUGCAAAAAUCCUUCAACAGAGGUAACCAAGAAUUUACUGAAUGUAUGUCUUUUGAAGAUGGUUUAAGAUGCUUAAAGGCUAAAUUUGAUGUUAUAAUGUUAAAAGUGCAAAUGGACACCAUGAUGCAUAAGAUUGAGGAAAAGAGGAAUGUUAAUGCUUUUAAUUCUAAUCAAAUGAUUUGUGACUUGUGUGGAGGUUAUCAUGCUAUUCAUACAUGUAGACAAGCACAAAAUGUGGAUUAUUAUGAUGAAUUAGAGCAUUACAAUCCUUGUUUUGAUCAAUAUGGUGCUAAUUGGGAUAAUUCUUCUGCUUAUGGUUGGAAUAAUCAAUGUACUUAUAGUGAUUCUGCAUGUUUUUAUGAUUAUCCACCCAAAUGUGUCCAAUAUGAAGCAAAACCAUCUUAGGAAUUGGUAAUAGAAAAACUAGCUAAUGCAUCUCUACCUUGGGAAUUAGAAAGUGAACCAUUAGCUAAUGAUUCUAAUGCAUCUUGGGAGUUAGCUGUAGAAAAUUCUUCUAAUCAAUUUGAUUUAGCCAUAGAAAAGCUAGCUAAUGCGACUUCCGAUCGUUUUGCUAGGAUUGAGAAAAGGUUAGAUGAAUUAACUUCUCACUUUGGUAGAAUACAAGCCCAAUUACAUGCAUUGUGUGAAGUUAUUUCUUCUAAUAAUAUACAAAAUGAUCCUAGCAUGAAUGGUGGGAAUGUUGUAUGUGAAAAUGGAUUGCAUUUUGAUGAAAAUGAUGAAUCUCAAUUGUGUUUCAGUGAGCAAAUGUCCAUUUCACAUGAUAAUAUCUUUGGAACUAAUUUUGAACCUCCAGAGGUGAGCUUUAAUGAUUCAUUUUUCACCCCUCUUGAGAAGUGUAUUGAAAGUAUAGGUUUGAAAGAUAUUAUUGCCCAAGAAACCCAUAUGACAUCUCCUUUGGAGAAUUCUCAAGUGGUGCAUAUUCAAGGUAAUAUCUAUGACUCACUUGAGAUAGGUAUGUUUCUUCCACCUCUCAUAUCAUUUGAACAUGUGGCUUUUGCUAUUAAGUCACCUUGUAAUGAUCCACCACGACCUAAAAUGGUGGAUUAUUCUUUAACCAAACCUCCUUGAAAAAUGAGGUUAAAUAGUCGAGCCAACGACUAUAAAUAAAAGCGCUUAUUGGGAGGCAACCCAAUGUUUUGGCUAUUUAUGUUAUUUUUGUGUGAUUUUAUGCUUAAAGUAUGUAUUUGAGUUAUUUUGUUAUUUUUCAUUUGUAGGUAUUGGAAAUGAAAGCAAAAGUGACCAAAUGAGGUGAAAAAGACGAAAUUUGAUCAAGGAACUUAACCCCUCGAUUUGAGUAAUUGUUGUUUUUGAUUUGUUAGAAGGGGUUAAAAUGCAUAUUUUGAUCAUUUUACAUGUGCAUGUAUUGAGUAUUUUAGCAAAGGAAUGAUCUAUGAUGCAUUUUGAGCAAUUAGGGUACCUUUUGUAAUUUUGCAAAAGUUGAAUUUCUGCUAAAAUUUGCAGCAGAAAACGUGUUUUUCAAGAAAACGUACCACAAAGUCGCGUAUUCAGCGAAUCGCGUUUUCAAUUCUGCACCUGCAGAACAGAAAACGCGCCAUUAAAACGCGACUUUAAGUCGCGUUUUGAAGGAAGUCGCGUUUUGUUGCCUGGAUCAAAGAUGAAAACGCGCCAGUGAAAACGCGACUUGAAGUCGCGUUUUCUCACAGAACCGCGUUUUCAGUACUGUAACUUUUGGGAAGAAACGCGCCUUCAAAACCGUGAGUUAAAGGCGCGUUUCUACUCACGUUUUCUGAGCAUUUUUUUUAAAAGAAAAAAAUGCAGGUUCCUUGGUUCUCUUUUUCUUCUUUUCAUCAGAUAUUUUCUUGUACCUUGAGUUGCUUAUUGUGUAUUUUCUAUAGGUACAUCACCACCACAAGGGCUUAGGAAUUGCGGAUCGCCGUUAUAUGUUUAUUAAGCCUUUGUUAUCACUUUUGUUUCUCAUUUUCCAUUUUUAGGUUUAUAUCACUAAUGGUUACCAAAUGGAACUCAUGAAGCGAUGAAGACAAGCGAACAACGUACCUUGAAGCUUCAUAUUCAAUCACAUCAUAGGGGAGUAUUACUUUCUUUAUCUUGAUUUUCCUUUUUUUAACACAUUGAGGACAAUGUGUAUGUUAAGUGUGGGGGGAGAAUUGAGAUUAUAUAUAUUGUAUGUGAUUGACUUAUUAGUUGCAAAUAUUGGACUUGUGUUAAAAUUCAAAAUUUUUCCAAAAUCUUGUCCAAAAUUGCAAACUUGCCUCAACAAUUUUUAAAUUUUUUCGAUUUUAUCCAAGGGGUAACAAGUUCCAUACCAUUAGUAGUUCAAAUUCCUUCUACAUUUGAGAUAAAUAUAUGUGGUUUAAGCACUUCUUUUCUCAUUUAACUUGGAAAUGACUAUUAUGUGAUUAUAAUUUUUGCAUUUGUAGGAAAGUAUAUCUUUUAAAGUGGAGAAAAUUAUGCCUAUAUAUAUUUUUUUUUUUGCAUAUUUGAUGAAAUUUCUUCUCUUUAUUGGAUUUUAUAAGUUAAGUGAUAAAUAUGGUCAAUAAUUGCAAUACUCUUCUCAUGAUUAUGCUUUCGAGGGAAUGUUAUUAUCUUUACUUAAAAAAAAAAAUGAAGAAACAAAAGAAAAAGACAAAAAUAUAAUAAGAUUUGUUCUACUCCAAUGAUUCUUGUACUUAGUAACCGGGAGUCUUCAUCUACAAAUGUCGACUUUCGCGUAAAACGGUACUUGAAUUAAGAGUAUGCAAAGCAACUUGAGUAUGUGAAGUGUUGAGUAACCGGUGAUCUUCAUCUAAAAAUGUCGAUCCUCGCGUCAAAAGGCAUUCUCACGUCUUAAGUAAUAUUUAGAUAUGUAAUAUUAAUAAAUAUCUUUUUAAACAGAAUUAAAAGAUGAUCAUGAGUUUAGGAAGCAUUAUUAUUGACCAUAUGAGUUACUUACUUGUAAGAUUGGGUAAGGAUGAAAAAUUGAUUUGAAUUUGUUAUAAUGACGGUAUAAUUGGCUCUCCUUUACUUGAUAUUAUGAGUACUUGAACUUAAUUGAAUAAUUGCAUAAUGGUUAUUUACUUUGUUUUGAGGAAAUGAAGUUGAAAUGCUACAUAUGUUUAUUUUCAAAUUUUGGAUCAUUGUUGGUUUGUAUUUUUAUUGCUUGAGGACAAGCAAUGGUUCAAGUGUGGGGGUAUUUGACAAGGGUUUAUUUUACGUAUUUUUUAGUGUGUUUUAUUAGUUAAUUUUGGUUUGAUUAUUUAGUUUAAUAACUAAAAUAACUAAGGUUUUGGUAAAAAACUACAUUUUAUGUUAAAAUGGCUAAACAUUGCAUUUUAUGGAUUUUUAUGGGAAAAACUUCAUAUUUUGUAAGUUUAAUAAUUCAAUCAUCAAAUGAAGUGUAUUGAGAAGAUAUUUGGAUGAUUGAAGAUGGAUUAAAAUGGUGAAAAUAAAAUAUGAAGUGUAAAAAGGAAAAAUGCAAUUUGAAUCAAGAAAAGUCAGGUUUUGACAACUCUGACACGUUUUGGUAUGUUGACUAUAUCUGGAGCUACACUGAUCGGAUCAAGGUGAUCUUGGUACCAUUUUGAAGCUAAGAGAUAUAUCUACAUUUGGUAUGAAGACAUCAAAGUCCAAUUCAGCCGUUUUCAUAGUCCAAAAGUUGAAAUACCGAAAUUCAACUCAGCUGUCCAAAGUGGAAAACAGAGCUCUGACCAGUGUUUAGUAUUUUGAUCAUAUCUCCGUCUGCGGAUCUCCAAAUUAGAUGAUUCUUGAAGCAUUGGAACGCUAAUUCAAAGGGAUACAACUUUUGUGUUUUCCACAAAAGCCAGUUCGGCCUUUAUCAUGGAUAAAAAUCGCAGAUAAAGUAAGGCCAAAGUGAAUAUGCGAGUACACAAAACGUGACUUGUAACCGCGUUUUGUGUAGGCGUGUUUUCUGGCCGCAAUUCUGCAAUUUGCUCGGUCAAUUCUCUUAUGUUCAAACUACUUUCCAGCUACAAUCUGCAAGAGAAUUCGGUGCACAUGCUUCAGAAGACAAAAUGGCAGACAAUAUGGCUUAUUUUCAAGUCAAAAACAAUGGUUUUUGACUAUCUUAACAAAAGGAGAUUUGAAGAAUCAUAGCAGCAAAUUUGGACUGGGAGAGAGGAGAUUUUCAUCAGUUUAUAUGCAGAGACAUUUGAGGAAACCAGAGAAGAUACGGGAGAAGCUAGAAGAGUGCAGAAAUGUAGUUCUUCCAUUUCCUUAGUGUAGAAUAGUAUAGGUAGAGUAGUUUAUCCAUCUUGUAUUUGUAGUUAGAUUUGGAUGAAGAUUGGAGGAGCAAAGAUGAAGAGAUUGAUCUCAUGUGACAAGGGUGAUAUCUAUUCUACUACUUUCUCUCUUGUAUUGGAUUUCAUGUUUAAUUAUAAUACAAGUUGGUUUUGUGUUUUUAUUAUGUUUAGUUAAAGUUUAUGCCUAGAGUUAUGGUUGAACUUGCUAUAUUUUGUUUGUGAUGUUUACUUGGCUAUUUGAUGAUAUUAUUUUGAGCACGUUAUUUAUCACUUUUGGUUAUAUAAUCAUGAUUAACUGGCCAUUAAUUAUGAUAAUCAUAAGGUGUUAAGUUUGCAAUGAAAAUUGGAAUUUAACACUAGUUCAAAGAAGUGAUAAGCCUAGGGAGUACACUCACGAAAGUAGAGGUGCACCUAUGUGGCUUAAGUGACUUGUUUCAUGUAAUUUCAUAGAAGAAAUGAACUUGUAGUUAAUUUCAUAACCACGAGAGUAGGUAUGGCUUAAUUACAAGUAUAGUUGAUUCACUACGAAAGUUGGUUUCACAUACAUUAGGAAAUUACGCCAUAACUAGUCAAGAUAAUAGAAUUCACUUAACCGGUAAUCUCAUUUGCAAGAGUAGUAAGGAAUUCCAUAUCUCUAGGAGCUUUCUAGUGUUAUUUUCAUAAAUUUUAUAUUUGUGGUAGUCUAAAUAAUAAAGGAGUUUGAAAACAUCGGUAAUUGCAUUCUUCCCUGUGGGAUCGACCCUUAAUACCCUAUACUCGCUCACGAUUCGUAUACUUGCGAUAAAUCGCGUGUGGGGUAUUUAGGAAUUUAUAAAUGUAAAACUUGAUUCGUAUACUUGUUAUAUGAAAGCUCCUUAGGUUGUGGUAUGUCUAACUACUCAUGCAAGUGCUAUUUUUGGAUCAUUGAGUACUACAUCUGAGCUAGUUAUGGUGUAAUUUCCUUAUGCAUUUGAAUCCUACUUUCGUAGUGAAUCAAUUAUACUCAUAACUAAUCCAUACCUAUUCUCAUGGUUAUGAAAUUAGCUACAAGUUUAUUUUUUCAAUGAAAUUACAUGAAAUUAAUCACCAAAACCCCAUAGGUGCACCUCUACUCUCGUGAGUGUACUCCCCAUGUUUAGCACUUAUUGAACUAAUGUUAAAUCUCAAUUUUCAUUGCAGAAAUAACACCUUAGAUAAUCACAAUUAAUGGUACCAGAUUAAUCAUGAUUUAAAGAGCCAAAGUGCUAAAUAACUUGCUCAAAUACUAGCAAUCAAAUAGCCAAAUAAUAAACACUAACAAUCAUAGGAAGUUCAACCAAACCCAAGGCAUAAACUUUAGAAACAAAUAAUAAACAUAAAUUCCAGAACUUGCAUUAUAACCAUAGUUAAGAAUCCAAUACAAAAGAUAAAGAAUUGGAGUAGAGAUAACCCAUGUCACUUGAGCUUCAACUCCUCCUUCUUCAUCUCCAUCUUCAUCCUAAUCUAGCUAUUAUACAAGAAUGGAUUAACUACACUUACUACACUAUCCUACACUAAGGAAAUGAAAGAACUACAUUUCUGCACUUCAAGUUCUCUCCCGUAUGAUGAAUGAAUGAAUGAAUCUCUGUCUCUGCAUAUAAACUGAUGAAAAUUUCCUCUUCUCCCAGUCCAAAUUUGCUGCUAUGAUUUUUCAAAUCUCCUUUUGUUAAGAUAGUCAAAAACCAUUGUUUUUGACUUGAAAAUAAGCCAUAUUGUCUACCAUUUUGUCUUCUGAAGCAUGUGCACCGAAUUCACUUGUAACUUAUAGCUGGAAAGUAGUCUGAACACAAGAGAAUUGACUGAACAAAUUGCAGAAUUUCGGCCAGAAAACGCGCCUACACAAAACGCGGUUACAAGUCACGUUUUGUGUACUCGCGUAUUCACUUUGGCCUUUUUUCAUCUGCGAUUUUCUCUAUCAUAAAGGCCGAACUGGCUUUUAUGUAAAACACAAAAGGUGUAGCCCUUUGAGUUAGCUUUCCAAUGCUUCAAGAAUCAUCCAAAUCUGAGCUUUGUAACCUGAGAUAUGAUCGAAAUACUAAACACUGGUCAGAGCUCUGUUUUCCACUUUGGACAGCUGAGUUGAAUUUCGGUAUUUCAACUUUUGGACUAUGAAAACGGCUGAAUUGGACUUUGAUGUCUUCAUACCAAAUGUAGAUAUAUCUCUUAGCUUCAAAAUGGUACCAAGAUCACCUUGAUCCGAUCAGUGUAGCUCCAGAUAUAGUCAAAAUACCAAAACAUGUCAGAGUUGUCAAACCUGACUUUUCUUGAUUCAAAUUGCAUUUUUCCUUUUUACACUUCAUAUUUUAUUUUCACCACUUUAAUCCAUCUUCAAUCAUCCAAAUAUCUUCUCAAUGCACUUCAUUUGAUGAUUGAAUCAUUAAACCUACAAAAUAUGAAGUUUUUACCAUAAAAAUACAUAAAAUGCAAUGUUUAGCCAUUUUAACAUAAAAUGUAGUUUUUUACCAAAACCUUAGUUAUUUUAGUUAUUAAACUAAAUAAUCAAACCAAAAUUAACUAAUAAAACACACUAAAAAUACGUAAAAUAUACUCUUAUCAAAUACCCCCACACUUGAACCAUUGCUUGUCCUCAAGCAAUAAGAAAUACAAACCGACAAUGAUCCAAAAUUUGAAAAUAAGCAUAUGUAGCAUUUCAACUUCAUUUCCUCAAAACAAAGUAAAUAACCAUUAUGCAAUUAUUCAAUUAAGUUCAAGUACUCAUAAUAUCAAGUAAAGGAGAGCCAAUUAUACCAUAAUUAUAACAAGUUUAAUUCCAUUUCUCAUCCUUUCCCAAUUUCACAAGCAAGUAAUUCAUAUGGUCAAUAAUAAUGCUUCCUAAACUCAUGAUCAUCUCUUUAUUCUACUUAAAAGGAUAUUUAUUCAUAUAACGUAGCUAAAUAUUACUUAAGAUGUGAGAAUGCCUUUUGACGCGAGAAUCGACAUUUUUAGAUGAAGAUCACCGGUUACUCAACACUUCACAUACUCAAGUUGCUUUGCAUACUCUUAAUUCAAGUACCGUUUUACGCGAAAGUCGACAUUUGUAGAUGAAGACUCCCGGUUACUAAGUACAAGAAUCAUUGGAGUAGAAUGAAUCUUUUUUUUUUCUAUUUUUUUUUGUUUUUCAUUUUCUAUUUUUUUUUUAACAUAAAUUCCUCAAAAGAAUAAUCAUGAGAAGAGUUUUGCACCUAUUGACCAUAUUUAUCACUUAACUUAUAAAAUCCAAGAAAGAGAAGAAAUUUCAUCAAAUAUGUAAAAAAAUAUAGGCAUAAUUUUCUCCACUUUAAAAGAUAUACUUUCCUACAAAUGCAAAAAUUAUAAUCACAUAAUAGUCAUUUCCAAGUUAAAUGAGAAAAGAAGUUUCCAAAUCAUAUAUAUUUAUCUCAAAUGUAGAAGGAAUUUGAACUACUAAUGGUAUGGAACUUGUUACCUCUUGGAUAAAAUAAAAAAAAUUUAAAAAUUGUUGAGGCAAGUUUGCAAUUUUGGACAAGAUUUUGGAAAAAUUUUGAAUUUUAACACAAGUCCAAUAUUUGCAACUAAUAAGUCAAUCACAUACAAUAUAUAUAAUCUCAAUUCUCCCCCCACACUUAACAUACACAUUGUCCUCAAUGUGUAAAAAGGAAAAUCAAGAUAAAGAAAGUAAUACUCCCCUAUGUAAUGAUUGAAUAUGAAGCUUCAAGGUACGUUGUUCGCUUGUCUUCAUCGCUUCAUGAGUUCCAUUUGGUAACCAUUAGUGAUAUAAACCUAAAAAUGGAAAAUGAGAAACAAAAGUGAUAACAAAGGCUUAAGAAAAUAAAAUGGGGAUUCGUAACUUCAAGCCUUUGUUUUGGUGAUGUACCUAUAAAAAAUACACAAUAAGAAACUGAAGGUACAAGAAAAUAUAUGAGGAAAACAAGAAAAAGAGAAUCAAGGAAACUGCAUUUUUUUUCUUCAGAAAACGUGACUCAUAAAAACGCGCCACCAAUCCGCGUUUUGUUAAGUCGCGUUUCUUCACAAAUCUUGCAGGAUUGAAAACGCGGUUAUGCUUAAAAACGCGACUUUAAGUCGCGUAUUUGAAGGCGCGUUUUUUGUUUCUGAACAGGCUGGAAAACGCGACUUGGUCGAAAACGCGACUUCAUCGCGCGUUUUGAAACGCGUUUUCUUCAGUGAGGGCGCAGAAUUAGAAACGCGCCUAUGAAAAACGCGAUUCUAAGGCGCGUUUUCAGCCCGAAUGCGUUUCCUUCUGCGAAAUUUUUGCAGAAAACCAACUUUGAAAAAUUACCAUUGGUACCCCAAUCACUCAAAAUGCAUCAUAGAUCAUUUGUUUGCUAAAAUUUUCAAUGCAUGCACAUGUAAAAUGAUCAAAAUAUGCAUUUUAACCCCUUGUAACGAAUCAAAAACAACAAUUACUCAAAUCGAGGGGUUGAGUUCCUUGAUCAAAUUUCGCCUUUUUCACCUCAUUUGGUCACUUUUGCUUCCAUUUCCAAUACCUACAAAUGAAAAAUAACAAAAUAACUCAAACACAUGCUUUAAACAUAAAAUCACCCCAAAAUAAUAUAAAUAACCAAAACAUUGGGUUGCCUCCCAAUAAGCACUUUUAUUUAUAGUCGUUGGCUCGACUAUUGAACCUCAUUUUUCAAGGAGGUUUAGUUAACGAAUAAUCCACCAUUUUAGGCCUUGGUGGAUCAUUGUAAGGUGACUUAAUAGAAAAAUUCACAUGAUCAAAUGAUAUGAGAGGUGGAAGAAACAUACCUAUCUCAAGUGAGUCAUAGAUAUUAUCUUGAAUAUGCACCACUUGAGAAUUCUCCAAAGGAGAUGUCAUAUGGGUUUCUUGGGCAAUAAUAUCUUUCAAACCUAUACUUUCAAUACACUUCUCAAGAGGGGUGAAAAAUGAAUCAUUAAAGCUCACCUCUAGAGGUUCAAAAUUAGUUCCAAAGAUAUUAUCAUGUGAAAUGGACAUUUGCUCACUGAAACACAAUUGAGAUCCAUCAUUUUCAUCAAAAUGCAAUCCAUAUUCACAUACAACAUUCCCACCAUUCAUGCUAGGAUCAUUUUGUAUAUUAUUAGAAGAAAUAACUUCACACAAUGCAUGUAAUUGGGCUUGUAUUCUAUCAAAGUGAGAAGUUAAUUCAUCUAACCUUUCCUCAAUCCUAGCAAAACGAUCGGAAGUCGCAUUAGCUAGCUUUUCUAUGGCUAAAUCAAAUUGAUUAGAAGAAUUUUCUACAGCUAACUCCCAAGAUGCAUUAGAAUCAUUAGCUAAUGGUUCACUUUCUAAUUCCCAAGGUAGAGAUGCAUUAGUUAGUUUUUCUAUUGCCAAUUCCCAAGAUGGUUUUGCUUCAUAUUGGACACAUUUGGGUGGAUAAUCAUAAAAACAUGCAGAAUCACUAUAAGUACAUUGAUUAUUCCAACCAUAAGUAGAAGAAUUAUCCCAAUUAGCACCAUAUUGAUCAAAACAAGGAUUGUAAUGCUCUAAUUCAUCAUAAUAAUCCACAUUUUGUGCUUGUCUAUAUGUAUGAAUAGCAUGAUAACCUCCACACAAGUCACAAAUCAUUUGAUUAGAAUUAAAAGCAUUAACAUUCCUCUUUUCCUCAAUCUUAUGCAUCAUGGUGUCCAUUUGCACUUUUAACAUUAUAACAUCAACUUUAGCCUUUAAACACACUAAACCAUCUUCGAAAGACAUACUUUCGGUAAUUUCUUGGUUACCUUUAUUGAAAGAAUUUUGCACUUGGUAACCAUCCAUUGCCGAUCUUCCACUUCUCAUGCAUUGUCUCCUCAUAUUUUCUACUCUCCUUGAUCCCCUAAACAUGUCUUUAAAAUAACUCAAAAACAAGUUAGUCAAGAAGAAUAGAUACCUCUAACAUAAAAAAAAAUAAUAAAAAAAAAACACAAAAACUCACAAAGACACUAAAAACAAAAAUUGAGACAACAGACAUAACAAACAUAAGAAAAAUAAGUAAAAAAUGUCUAAAUUAAUAAAGUUGCUCUUAGAACCCAUAUUGACAAAUCUUCCCCGGCAACGGCGCCAAAAACUUGACGUGCGCGGGGUAUACAUAUAACAUUAAGCUCAUCCCAAUCAAGUUUUACAUUUAUAAAUUCCUAAAUACCCCACACGCGAUUUAUCGCAAGUAUACGAAUCGUGAGCGAGUAUAGGGUAUUAAGGGUCGAUCCCACAGGGAAGAAUGCAAAUACCGAUGUUUUCAAACUCCUUUAUUAUUUAGACUACCACAAAUAUAAAAUUUAUGAAAAUAACACUAGAAAGCUCCUAGAGAUAUGGAAUUCCUUACUACUCUUGCAAAUGAGAUUAUCGGUUAAGUGAAUGCUAUUAUCUUGAUUAGUUAUGGCGUAAUUUCCUAAUGUAUGUGAAACCAACUUUCGUAGUGAAUCAACUAUACUUGUAAUUAAGCCAUACCUACUCUCGUGGUUAUGAAAUUAACUACAAGUUCAUUUCUUCUAUGAAAUUACAUGAAACAAGUCACUUAAGCCACAUAGGUGCACCUCUACUUUCGUGAGUGUACUCCCUAGGCUUAUCACUUCUUUGAACUAGUGUUAAAUUCCAAUUUUCAUUGCAAACUUAACACCUUAUGAUUAUCAUAAUUAAUGGCCAGUUAAUCAUGAUUAUAUAACCAAAAGUGAUAAAUAACGUGCUCAAAAUAAUAUCAUCAAAUAGCCAAGUAAACCUCACAAACAAAAUAUAGCAAGUUCAACCAUAACUCUAGGCAUAAACUUUAACUAAACAUAAUAAAAACACAAAACCAACUUGUAUUAUAAUUAAACAUGAAAUCCAAUACAAGAGAGAAAGUAGUAGAAUAGAUAUCACCCUUGUCACAUGAGAUCAAUCUCUUCAUCUUUGCUCCUCCAAUCUUCAUCCAAAUCUAACUACAAAUACAAGAUGGAUAAACUACUCUACCUAUACUAUUCUACACUAAGGAAAUGGAAGAACUACAUUUCUGCACUCUUCUAGCUUCUCCCGUAUCUUCUCUCGUUUCUUCCCAAAUGUCUCUGCAUAUAAGCUGAUGAAAAUCUCCUCUUAUUUGAUAAGAGUUUAUUUUAUGUAUUUUUAGUGUGUUUUAUUAGUUAAUUUUGGUUUGAUUAUUUAGUUUUAUAACUAAAAUAACUAAGAUUUUGGUAAAAAACUACAUUUUAGGUUAAAGUGGCUAAAUAUUGCAUUUUAUGGAUUUUUAUGGUAAAAACUUCAUAUUUUGUAGGUUUAAUGAUUCAAUCAUCAAAUGAAGUGCAUUGAGAAGAUAUUUGGAUGAUUGAAAAUGAAUUAAAAUGGUGAAAAUAAAAUAUGAAGUGUAAAAGGAAAAAAAUGCAAUUUGGAUCAAGAAAAGUCAGGUUUGACAACUCUGACACAUUUUCGUAUUUUGACUAUAUCAAGAGCUACAAUGAUUGGAUCAAGGUAAUCUUGGUACCAUUUUGAAGCUAAGAGAUAUAUCUACAUUUGGUAUGAAGACAUCAAAGUCCAAUUCAGCCGUUUUCAUAGUCCAAAAGUUGAAAUACCGAAAUUCAACUCAGCUGUCCAAAGUGGAAAACAGAGCUCUGACCAGUGUUUAGUAUUUUGAUCAUAUCUCCGUCUGCGGAUCUCCAAAUUAGAUGAUUCUUGAAGCAUUGGAACGCUAAUUCAAAGGGCUACAACUUUUGUGUUUUCCACAAAAGUCAGUUCGGCCUUUAUCAUGGAUAAAAAUCGCAGAUAAAGUAAGGCCAAAGUGAAUACGCGAGUACACAAAACGUGACUUGUAACCGCGUUUUGUGUAGGCGCGUUUUCUGGCCGCAAUUCUGCAAUUUGCUCAGUCAAUUCUCUUAUGUUCAAACUACUUUCCAGCUACAAUCUGCAAGAGAAUUCGGUGCACAUGCUUCAGAAGACAAAAUGGCAGACAAUAUGGCUUAUUUUCAAGUCAAAAACAAUGGUUUUUGACUAUCUUAACAAAAGGAGAUUUGAAGAAUCAUAGCAGCAAAUUUGGAUUGGGAGAGAGGAGAUUUUCAUCAGCUUAUAUGCAGAGACAUUUGGGAAGAAACAAAAAGGGAGAAACAUACGGGAGAGAGCUUGAAGUGCAGAAAUGUAGUUCUUCCAUUUCCUUUGUGUAGUAUAGUUUAGCUAGUGUAGUUCAUCCAUUCUUGUAUAUUGCUAGACUAGGAUUAAGAUGGAGAUGAAGAAGGCAAGGUGAUGAGCCCAAGAGACAUGGGUUACAUUCCUUUCCAACUCUUUAUCUUUUGUACUUGAUUCCAAAUUUAGUUAAUAUGCAAGUACUGGAUUUUAUGUUUAUUAUGUUUAGUUAAAGUUUAUGCCUAGAGUUAUGGUUGAACUUGCUAUAUUUUGUUUGUGAGGUUUACUUGGCUAUUUGAUGAUAUUAUUUUGAGUAAGUUAUUUAUUACUUUUGGUUAUCUAAUCAUGAUUAAUUGGCCAUUAAUUGUGAUAAUCUUAAGGUGUUAAGUUUGUAAUGAAAAUUGGAAUUUAACACUAGUUCAAAGAAGUGAUAAGCCUAGGGAGUACACUCACGAAAGUAGAGGUGCACCUAUGUGGCUUAAGUGACUUGUUUCAUGUAAUUUCAUAGAAGAAAUGAACUUGUAGUUAAUUUCAUAACCACGAGAGUAGGUAUGACUUAAUUACAAGUAUAGUUGAUUCACUACGAAAGUAGGUUUCACAUAUAUUAGGAAAUUACGCCAUAACUAAUCAAGAUAAUAGCAUUCACUUAAUCGAUAAUCUCAUUUGCAAGAGUAGUAAGGAAUUCCAUAGGCUUAUCACUUAACCGCCAAAAACUUGACGUGCGCGGGGUAUACAUAUAACAUUAAGCUCAUCCCAAUCAAGUUUUACAUUUAUAAAUUCCUAAAUACCCCACACGCGAUUUAUCGCAAGUAUACGAAUCGUGAGCGAGUAUAGGGUAUUAAGGGUCGAUCCCACAGGGAAGAAUGCAAUUACCGAUGUUUUCAAACUCCUUUAUUAUUUAGACUACCACAAAUAUAAGAUUUAAGAAAAUAACACUAGAAAGCUCCUAGAGAUAUGGAAUUCCUUACUACUCUUGCAAAUGAGAUUAUCGGUUAAGUGAAUGCUAUUAUCUUGAUUAGUUAUGGCGUAAUUUCCUAAUAUAUGUGAAACCUACUUUCGUAGUGAAUCAACUAUACUUGUAAUUAUGUCAUACCUACUCUCGUGGUUAUGAAAUUAACUACAAGUUCAUUUCUUCUAUGAAAUUACAUGAAACAAGUCACUUAAGCCACAUAGGUGCACCUCUACUUUCGUGAGUGUACUCCCUAGGCUUAUCACUUCUUUGAACUAGUGUUAAAUUCCAAUUUUCAUUGCAAACUUAACACCUUAAGAUUAUCACAAUUAAUGGCCAAUUAAUCAUGAUUAGAUAACCAAAAGUAAUAAAUAACUUGCUCAAAAUAAUAUCAUCAAAUAGCCAAGUAAACCUCACAAACAAAAUAUAGCAAGUUCAACCAUAACUCUAGGCAUAAACUUUAACUAAACAUAAUAAACAUAAAAUUCAGUACUUGCAUAUUAACUAAAUUUGGAAUCAAGUACAAAAGAUAAAGAGUUGGAAAGGAAUGUAACCCAUGUCACUUGAGCUCAUCACCUUGCCUUCUUCAUCUCCAUCUUAAUCCUAGUCUAGCAAUAUACAAGAAUGGAUGAACUACACUAGCUAAACUAUACUACACAAAGGAAAUGGAAGAACUACAUUUCUGCACUCCUCUAGCUCUCUCCCUAUGCUGAAUUGUGAGGGGUAUUUAUAGGUGUUUGGAUGAGUUUAAGACAAAACUUAAAUUAUCAUCCAUGACCUCAUUGCUUGAUUAUUGUCAAGAAUCUCCAAAAUCGCAGCUGCAAAUUCAACUAAAAUACACAAAAAGUUUUCAAGAAAAGUUGCACAUGUAUCAAAGUCAGGAUUUGCUGCUGGAAUUUCUUUUUGACAGAUUGCAUGAAUUAUUUCUCCAUGAAAACGGCAGAAUCUGCUCUUGUGCUAGUCUUGAAAGUUGUACCUCUUUGAAUUAUCUUUCCAUAUCAUCAAGAAUCAUCCCAUUUGGACUUUUGUAGGCUGAGAUAUGGUCAAAAUACCAUCCUCUGGUCAAACCCCUGUUUCAAUUUCCGACCACAGAAUGCAGCUUCUGUAUUUCGACUUUUUGACCAAGAAAACGGCUGAAUUGGACUUUGAUGUCUUCAUACCAAAUGUAGAUAUAUCUCUUAGCUUCAAAAUGGUAGCACGAUCACCUUGAUCCGAUCAUUGUAGCUCCUGAUAUAGUCAAAAUACGAAAAUGUGUUUGAGUUGUCAAAGCUGACUUUUCUUGAUUUUUGUCCUCAAAUUGCAUUUCUUCCUUUUACACUUCAUAUUUUAUUUUCACCACUUUAAUCCAUCAUCAAUCAUCCAAAUAUCUUCUCAAUAUACUUCAUUGAUGAUUGAAUCAUUAAACCUACAAAAUAUGAAGUUUUUACCAUAAAAAUCCAUAAAAUGCAAUGUUUAGCCACUUUAACACAAAAUGUAGUUUUUUACCAAAACCUUAGUUAUUUUAGUUAUAAAACUAAAUAAUCAAACCAAAAUUAACUAAUAAAACACACUAAAAAUACGUAAAAUAAACUCUUAUCAAAUACCCCCACACUUGAACCAUUGCUUGUCCUCAAGCAAUAAGAAAUACAAACCAACAAUGAUCCAAAAUUUGAAAAUAAACAUAUGUAGCAUUUCAAUUUCAUUUCCUCAAAACAAAGUAAAUAAUCAUUAUGCAAUUAUUUAAUUAAAUUCAAGUACUCAUAAUACCAAGUAAAGGAGAGCCAAUUAUACCGUCAUUAUAACAAAUUCAAAUCAGUUUUUCAUCCUUACCCAAUCUUACAAGUAAGUAACUCAUAUGGUCAAUAAUAUGCUUCCUAAACCCAUGAUCAUCUUCUUAUUUAACUUAAAGAGGGAUUUAUUUAUAUAAUAUAGCUAAAUAUUACUUAAGUUGUGAAAGUAUCUUUUUACGCGAGGAUCAACAUUUUUAGAUGAAGAUCACCGGUUACUCAAUACUUCACAUAUUCAAGUUGCUUUGCAUACUCUUAAUUCAAGUACCUUUUUACGCGAAUGUUGACAUUUGUAGAUGCCAACCCCCGGUUACUCGGUACGAGAAUCAUUGGAGUAGAACAAUUUUUAUUUAUUUUCUUUUCUCUUUUGUUUUUUUUUCUCUCUUUUUCUUCAUUUUUUUCAUUUUUCAUCAUUUUUCUAUUUUAUUUUAUUUUUUAGUAAAGAUAACAACAUUCCCUUGAGAGCAUAAUCAUGAGAAGAGUAUUGCAAUUAUUAACCAUAUUUAUCACUUAACUUAUAAAAUCAAAUAAAGCGAAGAAAUUUCAUCAAAUAUGCAAAAAAAAAUAUAGGCAUAAUUUUCUCCACUUUAAAAGAUAUACUUUCCUACAAAUGCAAAAAUUAUAAUCACAUAAUAGUCAUUUCCAAGUUAAAUGAGAAAAGAAGUUUCCAAAUCACAUAUAUUUAUCUCAAAUAUAGAAGAAAUUUGAACUACUAAUGGUAUGAAACUUGUUACCCCUUUGGAUAAAAUCAAAAAAAUUGAAACUUUUUGGGGCAAGUUUGCAAUUUUGGACAAGAUUGUAGAAAAAUUUGAAUUUUAACACAAGUCCAAUAUUUGCAACUAAUAAGUCAAUCACAUACAAUGUAUAUAAACUCAAUUCUUCCUCCCACACUUAACAUACACAUUGUCUUCAAUGUGUAAAAAGGAAAAUCAAGAUAAAGAAAGUAAUACUCCCCUAUGAUGUGAUUGAAUAUGAAGCUUCAAGGUACGUUGUUCGCCUGUCUUCAUCGCUUCAUGAGUUUCAUUUGGUAACCAUUAGUGAUAUAAACCUAAAAAUGGAAAAUGAGAAACCAAAGUGAUAACAAAGACUUAAGACAUCAAAACGGCUAUCCGUAACUUCAAGCCCUUGUUUUAGUGAUGUACCUAUAAAAAAUACACAAUAAGCAACUCAAGGUACAAGAAAAUAUAUGAGAAAAAGAAGAAAAAGAGAAUCAAGGAAACUGCAUUUUUUUUCUUCAGAAAACGUGACUCAUAAAAACGCGCCACCAAUCCGCGUUUUGUUAAGUCGCGUUUCUUCACAAAUCUUGCAGGAUUGAAAACGCGGUUAUGCUUAAAAACGCGACUUUAAGUCGCGUAUUUGAAGGCGCGUUUUUGGUUACUGAACAGGCUGGAAAACGCGACUUGGUCGAAAACGCGACUUCAUCGCGCGUUUUGAAAAGCGUUUUCUUCAGUGAGGGCGCAGAAUUAGAAACGCGCCUAUGAAAAACGCGAUUCUAAGGCGCGUUUUCAGCCCAAAUGCGUUUCCUUCUGCGAAAUUUUUGCAGAAAGCCAACUUUGAAAAAUUACCAUUGGUACCCCAAUCACUCAAAAUGCAUCAUAGAUCAUUUGUUUGCUAAAAUUUUCAAUGCAUGCACAUGUAAAAUGAUCAAAAUAUGCAUUUUAACCCCUUGUAACGAAUCAAAAACAACAAUUACUCAAAUCGAGGGGUUGAGUUCCUUGAUCAAAUUUCGCCUUUUUCACCUCAUUUGGUCACUUUUGCUUCCAUUUCCAAUACCUACAAAUGAAAAAUAACAAAAUAACUCAAACACAUGCUUUAAACAUAAAAUCACCCCAAAAUAAUAUAAAUAACCAAAACAUUGGGUUGCCUCCCAAUAAGCGCUUUUAUUUAUAGUCGUUGGCUCGACUAUUGAACCUCAUUUUUCAAGGAGGUUUAGUUAACGAAUAAUCCACCAUUUUAGGCCUUGGUGGAUCAUUGUAAGGUGACUUAAUAGAAAAAGCCAUAUGAUCAAAUGAUAUGAGAGGUGGAAGAAACAUACCUAUCUCAAGUGAGUCAUAGAUAUUACCUUGAAUAUGCACCACUUGAGAAUUCUCCAAAGGAGAUGUCAUAUGGGUUUCUUGGGCAAUAAUAUCUUUCAAACCUAUACUUUCAAUACACUUCUCAAGAGGGGUGAAAAAUGAAUCAUUAAAGCUCACCUCUGGAGGUUCAAAAUUAGUUCCAAAGAUAUUAUCAUGUGAAAUGGACAUUUGCUCACUGAAACACAAUUGAGAUCCAUCAUUUUCAUCAAAAUGCAAUCCAUAUUCACAUACAACAUUCCCACCAUUCAUGCUAGGAUCAUUUUGUAUAUUAUUAGAAGAAAUAACUUCACACAAUGCAUGUAAUUGGGCUUGUAUUCUACCAAAGUGAGAAGUUAAUUCAUCUAACCUUUCCUCAAUCCUAGCAAAACGAUCGGAAGUCGCAUUAGCUAGCUUUUCUAUGGCUAAAUCAAAUUGAUUAGAAGAAUUUUCUACAGCUAACUCCCAAGAUGCAUUAGAAUCAUUAGCUAAUGGUUCACUUUCUAAUUCCCAAGGUAGAGAUGCAUUAGCUAGUUUUUCUAUUGCCAAUUCCCAAGAUGGUUUUGCUUCAUAUUGGACACAUUUGGGUGGAUAAUCAUAAAAACAUGCAGAAUCACUAUAAGUACAUUGAUUAUUCCAACCAUAAGCAGAAGAAUUAUCCCAAUUAGCACCAUAUUGAUCAAAACAAAGAUUGUAAUGCUCUAAUUCAUCAUAAUAAUCCACAUUUUGUGCUUGUCUACAUGUAUGAAUAGCAUGAUAACCUCCACACAAGUCACAAAUCAUUUGAUUAGAAUUAAAAGCAUUAACAUUCCUCUUUUCCUCAAUCUUAUGCAUCAUGGUGUCCAUUUGCACUUUUAACAUUAUAACAUCAAAUUUAGCCUUUAAGCAUCUUAAACCAUCUUCAAAAGACAUACAUUCAGUAAAUUCUUGGUUACCUCUGUUGAUGGAUUUUUGCACUUGGUAACCAUCCAUUGCCGAUCUUCCAUUUCUCAUGCAUUGUCUCCUCAUAUUUUCUACUCUCCUUGAUCCCCUAAACAUGUCUUUAAAAUAACUCAAAAACAAGUUAGUCAAGAAGAAUAGAUACCUCUAACAUAAAAAAAAAUAAUAAAAAAAAACACAAAAACUCACAAAGACACUAAAAACAAAAAUUGAGACAACAGACAUAACAAACAUAAGAAAAACAAGUAAAAAAUGUCUAAAUUAAUAAAGUUGCUCUUAGAACCCAUAUUGACAAAUCUUCCCCGGCAACGGCGCCAAAAACUUGACGUGCGUGGGGUAUACAUAUAACAUUAAACUCAUCCCAAUCAAGUUUUACAUUUAUAAAUUCCUAAAUACCCCACACGCGAUUUAUCGCAAGUAUACGAAUCGUGAGCGAGUAUAGGGUAUUAAGGGUCGAUCCCACAGGGAAGAAUGCAAUUACCGAUGUUUUCAAACUCCUUUAUUAUUUAGACUACCACAAAUAUAAAAUUUAUGAAAAUAACACUAGAAAGCUCCUAGAGAUAUGGAAUUCCUUACUACUCUUGCAAAUGAGAUUAUCGGUUAAGUGAAUGCUAUUAUCUUGAUUAGUUAUGGCGUAAUUUCCUAAUGUAUGUGAAACCAACUUUCGUAGUGAAUCAACUAUACUUGUAAUUAAGUCAUACCUACUCUCGUGGUUAUGAAAUUAACUACAAGUUCAUUUCUUCUAUGAAAUUACAUGAAACAAGUCACUUAAGCCACAUAGGUGCACCUCUACUUUCGUGAGUGUACUCCCUAGGCUUAUCACUUCUUUGAACUAGUGUUAAAUUCCAAUUUUCAUUGCAAACUUAACACCUUAAGAUUAUCACAAUUAAUGGCAAUUAAUCAUGAUUAGAUAACCAAAAGUAAUAAAUAACUUGCUCAAAAUAAUAUCAUCAAAUAGCCAAGUAAACCUCACAAACAAAAUAUAGCAAGUUCAACUAUAACUCUAGGCAUAAAUUUUAACUAAACAUAAUAAACAUAAAAUCCAGUACUUGCAUAUUAACUAAAUUUGGAAUUAAGUACAAAAGAUAAAGAGUUGGAAAGAAAUGUAACCCAUGUCACUUGAGCUCAUCACCUUGCCUUCUUCAUCUCCAUCUUAAUCCUAGUCUAGCAAUAUACAAGAAUGGAUGAACUACACUAGCUAAACUAUACUACACAAAGGAAAUGGAAGAACUACAUUUCUGCACUCCUCUAGCUCUCUCCCGUAUGCUGAAUUGUGAGGGGUAUUUAUAGGUGUUUGGAUGAGUUUAAGACAAAACUUAAAUUAUCAUCCAUGACCUCAUUGCUUGAUUAUUGUCAAGAAUCUCCAAAAUCGUAGCUGCAAAUUCAACUAAAAUACACAAAAAGUUUUCAAGAAAAGUUGCACAUGUAUCAAAGUCAGGAUUUGCUGCUGGAAUUUCUUUUUGACAGAUUGCAUGAAUUAUUUCUCCAUGAAAACGGCAGAAUCUACUCUUGUGCUAGUCUUGAAAGUUGUACCUCUUUGAAUUAUCUUUCCAUAUCAUCAAGAAUCAUCCCAUUUGGACUUUUGUAGGCUGAGAUAUGGUCAAAAUACCAUCCUCUGGUCAAACCCCUGUUUCAAUUUCCGACCACAGAAUGCAGCUUCUGUAUUUCGACUUUUUGACCAAGAAAAUGGCUGAAUUGGACUUUGAUGUCUUCAUACCAAAUGUAGAUAUAUCUCUUAGCUUCAAAAUGGUAGCAAGAUCACCUUGAUCCGAUCAUUGUAGCUCCUGAUAUAGUCAAAAUACGAAAAUGUGUUUGAGUUUAAAUCAUGAUUAAUCUGGUACCAUUAAUUGUGAUUAUCUAAGGUGUUAUUUCUGCAAUGAAAAUUGAGAUUUAACAUUAGUUCAAUAAGUGCUAAACAUGGGGAGUACACUCACGAGAGUAGAGGUGCACCUAUGGGGUUUUGGUGAUUAAUUUCAUGUAAUUUCAUUGAAAAAAUAAACUUGUAGCUAAUUUCAUAACCAUGAGAAUAGGUAUGGAUUAGUUAUGAGUAUAAUUGAUUCACUACGAAAGUAGGAUUCAAAUGCAUAAGGAAAUUACACUAUAACUGGCUCAGAUGUAGUACUCAAUGAUCCAAAAAUAGCACUUGCAUGAGUAGUUAGGGAUACCACAACCUAAGGAGCUUUCAUUUGUUAUUUUCUUGCAUAAGUUCAGUAGGUUUUACUUGUUAUAAUUUAUUGAUAGUCUAAAUAAUAGAGAAGCUUUAGUAAUACCGGUAAUUGUUCACUCUUCCCUGUGGGAUCGACCCGAUAUAUACCCUAAACUACUAGUUGACCUGUAUACUUGCAGUGAACGGGUGUAAUUCGGUAUUUUUUAGCUUGACGUGCGCAGGGUAUACAUAUAAUAUUAAACUCAUCCCAAUCAAGUUUUACAUUUAUAAAUUCCUAAAUACCCCAUACGCGAUUUAUCGCAAGUAUACGAAUCGUGAGCGAGUAUAGGGUAUUAAGGGUCGAUCCCACAGGGAAGAAUGCAAUUACCGAUGUUUUCAAACUCCUUUAUUAUUUAGACUAUCACAAAUAUAAAAUUUAUGAAAAUAACACUAGAAAGCUUCUAGAGAUAUAGAAUUCCUUACUACUCUUGCAAAUGAGAUUACCGGUUAAGUGAAUUCUAUUAUCUUGACUAGUUAUGGCGUAACUUCCUAAUGUAUGUGAAACCAACUUUCGUAGUGAAUCAACUAUACUUGUAAUUAAGCCAAACCUACUCUCGUGGUUAUGAAAUUAACUACAAGUUCAUUUCUUCUAUGAAAUUACAUGAAACAAGUCACUUAAGCCACAUAGGUGCACCUCUACUUUCGUGAGUGUACUCCCUAGGCUUAUCACUUCUUUGAACUAGUGUUAAAUUCCAAUUUUCAUUGCAAACUUAACACCUUAUGAUUAUCAUAAUUAAUGGCCAGUUAAUCAUGAUUAUAUAACCAAAAGUGAUAAAUAACGUGCUCAAAAUAAUAUCAUCAAAUAGCCAAGUAAACCUCACAAACAAAAUAUAGCAAGUUCAACCAUAACUCUAGGCAUAAACUUUAACUAAACAUAAUAAAAACACAAAACCAACUUGUAUUAUAAUUAAACAUGAAAUCCAAUACAAGAGAGAAAGUAGUAGAAUAGAUAUCACCCUUGUCACAUGAGAUCAAUCUCUUCAUCUUUGCUCCUCCAAUCUUCAUCCAAAUCUAACUACAAAUACAAGAUGGAUAAACUACUCUACCUAUACUAUUCUACACUAAAGAAAUGGAAGAACUACAUUUCUGCACUCUUCUAGCUUCUCCCGUAUCUUCUCUGAAUGAAUGAAUCCUCUGUCUCUGCAUAUAAACUCAUGAAAAGUUCCUCUUCUCCCAGUCCAAAUUUGCUGCUAUGAUUCUUCAAAUCUCAUUUUGUUAAGAUAGUAAAAAACCAUUGUUUUUGACUUGAAAAUAAGCCAUAUUGUCUGCCAUUUUGUCUUCUGAAGCAUGUGCACCGAAUUCUCUUGCAGAUUGUAGCUGGAAAGUAGUUUGAACAUAAGAGAACUGACUGAGCAAAUUUCAGAAUUGCGGCCAGAAAACGCGCCUACACAAAACGCGGUUACAAGUCACGUUCUGUGUACUGUACUCGCGUAUUCACUUUGGCCUUACUUUAUCUGCGAUUUUUAUCCAUGAUAAAGGCCGAACUGGCUUUUGUGGAAAACACAAAAGUUGUAGCCCUUUGAAUUAGCGUUCCAAUGCUUCAAGAAUCAUCUAAGUUGGAGAUCCGCAGACGGAGAUAUGAUCAAAAUACUAAACACUGGUCAGAGCUCUGUUUUCCACUUUGGACAGCUGAGUUGAAUUUCGGUAUUUCAACUUUUGGACUAUGAAAACGGCUGAAUUGGACUUUGAUGUCUUCAUACCAAAUGUAGAUAUAUCUCUUAGCUUCAAAAUGGUACCAAGAUCACCUUGAUCCAAUCAUUGUAGCUCUUGAUAUAGUCAAAAUACGAAAAUGUGUCAGAGUUGUCAAACCUGACUUUUCUUGAUCCAAAUUGCAUUUUUUUCCUUUUACACUUCAUAUUUUAUUUUCACCACUUUAAUUCAUUUUCAAUCAUCCAAAUAUCUUCUCAAUGCACUUCAUUUGAUGAUUGAAUCAUUAAACCUACAAAAUAUGAAGUUUUUACCAUAAAAAUCCAUAAAAUGCAAUGUUUAGCCAUUUUAACAUAAAAUGUAGUUUUUUUUACCAAAACCUUAGUUAUUUUAGUUAUAAAACUAAAUAAUCAAACCAAAAUUAACUAAUAAAACACACUAAAAAUACGUAAAAUAAACUCUUAUCAAAUACCCCCGCACUUGAAUCAUUGCUUGUCCUCAAGCAAUAAGAAAUACAAACCAACAAUGAUCCAAAAGUUGAAAAUAAACAUAUGUAGCAUUUCAACUUCAUUUCCUCAAAACAAAGUAAAUAACCAUUAUGCAAUUAUUCAAUUAAAUUCAAGUACUCAUAAUAUCAAGUAAAGGAGAGCCAAUUAUGCCAUAAUUAUAACAAGUUUAAUUCCAUUUCUCAUCCUUUCCCAAUUUCACAAGCAAGUAAUUCAUAUGGUCAAUAAUAAUGCUUCCUAAACUCAUGAUCAUCUCUUUAUUCUACUUAAAAGGAUAUUUAUUCAUAUAACGUAGCUAAAUAUUACUUAAGAUGUGAGAAUGCCUUUUGACGCGAGAAUCGACAUUUUUAGAUGAAGAUCACCGGUUACUCAACACUUCACAUACUCAAGUUGCUUUGCAUACUCUUAAUUCAAGUACCGUUUUACGCGAAAGUCGACAUUUGUAGAUGAAGACUCCCGUACAAGAAUCAUUUGGAGUAGAAUGAAUCUUUUUUUUUUCUAUUUUUUUUUGUUUUUUCAUUUUCUAUUUUUUUUUUAACAUAAAUUCCUCAAAAGAAUAAUCAUGAGAAGAGUUUUGCACCUAUUGACCAUAUUUAUCACUUAACUUAUAAAAUCCAAGAAAGAGAAGAAAUUUCAUCAAAUAUGUAAAAAAAUAUAGGCAUAAUUUUCUCCACUUUAAAAGAUAUACUUUCCUACAAAUGCAAAAAUUAUAAUCACAUAAUAGUCAUUUCCAAGUUAAAUGAGAAAAGAAGUUUCCAAAUCAUAUAUAUUUAUCUCAAAUGUAGAAGGAAUUUGAACUACUAAUGGUAUGGAACUUGUUACCUCUUGGAUAAAAUAAAAAAAAUUUAAAAAUUGUUGAGGCAAGUUUGCAAUUUUGGACAAGAUUUUGGAAAAAUUUUGAAUUUUAACACAAGUCCAAUAUUUGCAACUAAUAAGUCAAUCACAUACAAUAUAUAUAAUCUCAAUUCUCCCCCCACACUUAACAUACACAUUGUCCUCAAUGUGUAAAAAGGAAAAUCAAGAUAAAGAAAGUAAUACUCCCCUAUGUAAUGAUUGAAUAUGAAGCUUCAAGGUACGUUGUUCGCUUGUCUUCAUCGCUUCAUGAGUUCCAUUUGGUAACCAUUAGUGAUAUAAACCUAAAAAUGGAAAAUGAGAAACAAAAGUGAUAACAAAGGCUUAAUAAACAUAUAACGGCGAUCCGCAAUUCCUAAGCCCUUGUGGUGGUGAUGUACCUAUAGAAAAUACACAAUAAGUAACUCAAGGUACAAGAAAAUAUUUGAGGAAAAGAAGAAAAAGAGAACCAAGGAACCUGCAUUUUUUUCUUUUAAAAAAAAUGCUCAGAAAACGUGAGUAGAAACGCGCCUUUAACUCACGGUUUUGAAGGCGCGUUUCUUCCCAAAAGUUGCAGUACUGAAAACGCGGUUCUGUGAGAAAACGCGACUUCAAGUCGCGUUUUCACUGGCGCGUUUUCAUCUUUGAUCCAGGCAACAAAACGCGACUUCCUUCAAAACGCGACUUAAAGUCGCGUUUUAAUGGCGCGUUUUCUGUUCUGCAGGUGCAGAAUUGAAAACGCGAUUCGCUGAAUACGCGACUUUGUGGUGCGUUUUAUUGAAAAACACGUUUUCUGCUGCAAAUUUUAGCAGAUAUUCAACUUUUGCAAAAUUACAAAAGGUACCCUAAUUGCUCAAAAUGCAUCAUAGAUCAUUCCUUUGCUAAAAUACUCAAUACAUGCACAUGUAAAAUGAUCAAAAUAUGCAUUUUAACCCCUUCUAACAAAUCAAAAACAACAAUUACUCAAAUCGAGGGGUUAAGUUCCUUGAUCAAAUUUCGUCUUUUUCACCUCAUUUGGUCACUUUUGCUUUCAUUUCCAAUACCUACAAAUGAAAAAUAACAAAAUAACUCAAAUACAUACUUUAAGCAUAAAAUCACACAAAAAUAACAUAAAUAGCCAAAACAUUGGGUUGCCUUCCAAUAAGCGCUUUUAUUUAUAGUCGUUAGCUCGACUAUUUAACCUCAUUUUUCAAGGAGGUUUGGUUAAAGAAUAAUCCACCAUUUUAGGUCGUGGUGGAUCAUUAAAAGGUGACUUAAUAGCAAAAGCCACAUGUUCAAAUGAUAUGAGAGGUGGAAGAAACAUACCUAUCUCAAGUGAGUCAUAGAUAUUACCUUGAAUAUGCACCACUUGAGAAUUCUCCAAAGGAGAUGUCAUAUGGGUUUCUUGGGCAAUAAUAUCUUUCAAACCUAUACUUUCAAUACACUUCUCAAGAGGGGUGAAAAAUGAAUCAUUAAAGCUCACCUCUGGAGGUUCAAAAUUAGUUCCAAAGAUAUUAUCAUGUGAAAUGGACAUUUGCUCACUGAAACACAAUUGAGAUUCAUCAUUUUCACAUACAACAUUCCCACCAUUCAUGCUAGGAUCAUUUUGUAUAUUAUUAGAAGAAAUAACUUCACACAAUGCAUGUAAUUGGGCUUGUAUUCUACCAAAGUGAGAAGUUAAUUCAUCUAACCUUUCCUCAAUCCUAGCAAAACGAUCGGAAGUCGCAUUAGCUAGCUUUUCUAUGGCUAAAUCAAAUUGAUUAGAAGAAUUUUCUACAGCUAACUCCCAAGAUGCAUUAGAAUCAUUAGCUAAUGGUUCACUUUCUAAUUCCCAAGGUAGAGAUGCAUUAGCUAGUUUUUCUAUUGCCAAUUCCCAAGAUGGUUUUGCUUCAUAUUGGACACAUUUGGGUGGAUAAUCAUAAAAACAUGCAGAAUCACUAUAAGUACAUUGAUUAUUCCAACCAUAAGCAGAAGAAUUAUCCCAAUUAGCACCAUAUUGAUCAAAACAAAGAUUGUAAUGCUCUAAUUCAUCAUAAUAAUCCACAUUUUGUGCUUGUCUACAUGUAUGAAUAGCAUGAUAACCUCCACACAAGUCACAAAUCAUUUGAUUAGAAUUAAAAGCAUUAACAUUCCUCUUUUCCUCAAUCUUAUGCAUCAUGGUGUCCAUUUGCACUUUUAACAUUAUAACAUCAAAUUUAGCCUUUAAGCAUCUUAAACCAUCUUCAAAAGACAUACAUUCAGUAAAUUCUUGGUUACCUCUGUUGAUGGAUUUUUGCACUUGGUAACCAUCCAUUGCCAAUCUUCCACUUCUCAAGCUUUGUCCUCCCAAUUCACCUACCCUCCUCAUUAUCUGAAAUUACUUUUAAACAAUCUCAAAAGUAAGAUUAGUUAAGAAGGAUAGAUUCCAAGACUAAAACAAAAAAAUAAAAAAUAAAAUAAAAUAAAAUAAAAGUUGAUUAAAAAAAAAAUGACAUAAAACACAUAAGAUACAGCAAAAACAACAAAAAAUAAGAAAAAUUGUCUAAAUUAAUAAAGUUGCUCUUCACACCGAUAUUGCCAAAUCUUCCCCGGCAGCGGCGCCAAAAACUUGACGGGUAUUUUACAUACGUGCAAGCUAAAAAAUACCGAAUUACACCCGUUCACUGCAAGUAUACAGAUCAACUAGUAGUUUAGGGUAUAUAUCGGGUCGAUCCCACAAGGAAGAGUGAACAAUUACCGGUAUUACUAAAGCUUCUCUAUUAUUUAGACUAUCAAUAAAUUAUAACAAAUUUAACCUACUGAAAUUAUACAAAAUAACAAAUAAAAGCUCCUUAGGUUGUGGUAUCCCUAGCUACUCAUGCAAGUGCUAUUUUUGGAUCAUUGAGUACUACAUCUAAGCUAGUUAUGGUGUAAUUUCCUUAUGCAUUUGAAUCCUACUUUCGUAGUGAAUCAAUUAUACUAAUAACCAAUCCAUACCUAUUCUCAUGGUUAUGAAAUUAGCUACAAGUUCAUUUCUUCAAUGAAAUUACAUGAAAUUAAUCACCAAAACCCCAUAGGUGCACCUCUACUCUCGUGAGUGUACUCCCCAUGUUUAGCACUUAUUGAACUAAUGUUAAAUCUCAAUUUUCAUUGUAGAAAUAACACCUUAGAUAAUCACAAUUAAUGGUACCAGAUUAAUCAUGAUUUAAAGAGUUAAAGUGCUAAAUAACUUGCUCAAAUCAUAGCAGUUAAAUAGCCAAAUAAUAAACACUAACAAUCAUAGAAAGUUCAACCAAACCCAAGGUAUAAACUUUAAAGACACAUAUCAAAUAUAAAAUCCAAAACUUGCAUAUUAACUAAAUUUGGAAUCAAGUACAAAAGAUAAAGAGUUGGAAAGGAAUGUAACCCAUGUCACUUGAGCUCAUCACCUUGCCUUCUUCAUCUCCAUCUUAAUCCUAGUCUAGCAAUAUACAAGAAUGGAUGAACUACACUAGCUAAACUAUACUACACAAAGGAAAUGGAAGAACUACAUUUCUGCACUCCUCUAGCUCUCUCCCUAUGCUGAAUUGUGAGGGGUAUUUAUAGGUGUUUGGAUGAGUUUAAGACAAAACUUAAAUUAUCAUCCAUGACCUCAUUGCUUGAUUAUUGUCAAGAAUCUCCAAAAUCGCAGCUGCAAAUUCAACUAAAAUACACAAAAAGUUUUCAAGAAAAGUUGCACAUGUAUCAAAGUCAGGAUUUGCUGCUGGAAUUUCUUUUUGACAGAUUGCAUGAAUUAUUUCUCCAUGAAAACGGCAGAAUCUGCUCUUGUGCUAGUCUUGAAAGUUGUACCUCUUUGAAUUAUCUUUCCAUAUCAUCAAGAAUCAUCCCAUUUGGACUUUUGUAGGCUGAGAUAUGGUCAAAAUACCAUCCUCUGGUCAAACCCCUGUUUCAAUUUCCGACCACAGAAUGCAGCUUCUGUAUUUCGACUUUUUGACCAAGAAAACGGCUGAAUUGGACUUUGAUGUCUUCAUACCAAAUGUAGAUAUAUCUCUUAGCUUCAAAAUGGUAGCAAGAUCACCUUGAUCCGAUCAUUGUAGCUCCUGAUAUAGUCAAAAUACGAAAAUGUGUUUGAGUUGUCAAAGCUGACUUUUCUUGAUUUUUGUUCUCAAAUUGCAUUUCUUCCUUUUACACUUCAUAUUUUAUUUUCACCACUUUAAUCCAUCAUCAAUCAUCCAAAUAUCUUCUCAAUAUACUUCAUUGAUGAUUGAAUCAUUAAACCUACAAAAUAUGAAGUUUUUACCAUAAAAAUCCAUAAAAUGCAAUGUUUAGCCACUUUAACACAAAAUGUAGUUUUUUACCAAAACCUUAGUUAUUUUAGUUAUAAAACUAAAUAAUCAAACCAAAAUUAACUAAUAAAACACACUAAAAAUACGUAAAAUAAACUCUUAUCAACUAGCUCAAACUGUUAAGGUUACAGGGCUGGUUAUCUUGCCCUGUUUCACGAUAAUUGUUUGCCAGCUUUUUGCCUUGUAAUCGGUCUAGUAACCAGUCCUGCUUCCUGAGAUUACUGGGCCGGUUACAUUCCCCUACAUCUUUGACAAUUUUCUCGUUUCUUUGCUCAACUUCGCAACCAAUAUUCGUUCAAGUCUUUUGCUCUUUUCCUUACAAAAUAACCAAACUUAACAAGUAAAAGAAGAACAAAAGUUUGAUCAUUAAUCAACAAUACUAACGCAUCAAUUUUUACUAUCUACAAACACUUCCCUUCUUGAUUUCGGUAAAAAGAGCUUGAAAGUCCAUAAAAUAACCACAAACUAAACUAUAUAUUAGGCACUUAUCACACGCAAAAGAACAUAAGAAUCAGUUCAUCCCUAUCAAGUGUCUACACCUUCUCUCGCUCUUGUAUUGCAUUUUCCAGCAGAACUUUCAGCUAAGUUUUUAGGUUUCUCAUGCUAAAAGCAUUACAGAACAAGACAUGAAAAAAAAAAUCUAUCAUAACAUACACAGUCAAAAGGGAUAAAAAAAAAGUAGCAAUCAAAUUAAGACACUAGGAUCAAAACACAAAAAUGAUAAAAAAAAAAAGUACUAAUCAAAUUAAGAUACUAGGCUUCAGAACAUUCCAUUUUGUCGGGAUAAAAUAAAAUAAGUACCUAUGCUAUUAUGACCACAAUGAUUCGGUUUUAAACAUGACCUCCAAAAGAAAAUGUCCACAAAUAAGCAAUACACAAUUAAAGAUAGACAAGAAGGAAGAGUGAUGGAUUUACUUAUACAAUAUUUACAGAGCAUCGAUGGCAUAGCUACAUAGCUACGCACCAGUUUUCGUCCUCUGGUUGUGAGUAACUUCUUGAAUUGGAGAAUGACUAGUUGAUUGACCUUGAAUGCCUCCCUCUAAUAGUCAAUAAAAGAGGAACAAUCAGUAGAAUGUGGAGAUCUAGAUGCCUUGCUUUGUCCUCGCAAAGGUUAAUACUUCACACCUUGAAAUUUAUGAGAUGGAGAAAGGUAAGAUGGAGGCAAGAAGAGGUAGCUAUGGUGGAUUUCAGGUGGCCGAGAGCCGGAAGUCAGGGAGAUGAGAGAAGUCAGAGGCAAGUGAGGGACUUAGGCUAGUUAGGGUUUCUUUUUGAUCAACUUUUUGGUUCUAAAAUAUUAAAAAUGAAAUUCGGAUUUUUAGGAAGUCAACCGGUUAAAAGAAAAAUUGGCCAAAAGGAAAAUGAAAAAUAUCAGUUUUUAUUCAGUUCUAGAGAUUCUAGUCGAACCCAAUUUUUGAUCGGAUUUGACUGAUUUUUUAACAUCCGAGUUUUCUAGUUGACUUAGACCGAAUGUCUAACCAAUUUCCGAUUCAAUCAAUCCAGUCCGAUUUUAAGAAUAUAUGUUGUUUCUAUCCUUGAGUCACUAGUUUUUCUUUACUAUAACAAUAAAGGGCUAUAACUCAAGUCAAGGAAUCUAGGUCUCACAAAAAAUCUAAACACAUUGAGUAGCACUUUCAUUUGAUUUAAGAAAUCAUUGGAAAAGAAGAUGUUAGCAUUUGAAUGUUGUAUUAGAUAAUGUAGCUGACCCAUUUACUAAAGCACUUACCUAGCAACAACUAGAUCAUCAUCUUGAGAAGAUGUAUAUGGGCGAUUGUCUUUUAAUGCAAGUGAGAGACUAUUAGAUGUACACCCUAAAGCCAAUCGUGUGAUGAUAUUUUUGAGAUACUUGUAAUUGCACAAAGUUUGUUGCUUGUCAUAUUUAAUUAUUCCUAUGAUAAAUCCUUAGAAUUAGACUUGGGAGUAUCUGUCCUCAACAGUUGAGAUAUGGGAUUCUAUCUACUCUGCAAUGGCGCUAAUCGUAGGAUUAUUAAUUGGGCAUUAAUAACUCAAUAAGAUUGGUUCGUUUUUUUUAAUCUUCCCAAUUGAGAAGAUGAAGAAUUUCAAUCAUUCGUUUAGAGACAGUAAGAUAAAAAUGUGGGUGCUUAUUAGAGAACAAUUUCACUAAAUAUGAUCCAACGAAAGAACACAAAAUGGAAUUAUGACUAAUCUGGCAAUUGGUUGUGCUUAGUUAUAGUUGUACAUGUAAUCAUUAGAUUUGAGACAUCAUGGUUGUCUUUAUAUAUAAUUCAUCUAUUCUAGUAGUACAAUGUACUUAUAUUCUAACCAAGUAACAUAAGUACAUAUUAUUAGGUAUAUCGAAUUAUAUAAAGAGACACGUGAAUAGUUAAUAUAGAAUCUAUCACCGACGGUAAAAGGGAAAAUAUCCUAUGUCAAAAGAUAUAACUCGGAAAUUCUUGGCUAAGGCGAAUGAGAAAUUAGAAAAGAGUUAUAAUUUGAUAAAGUUUAUUUUGUAGAUUGGACACAUAUGAUUAAGUCUAAGGGUUUGGCAGUUAUUGUUUGCUCUAAUAGAGUAAUCAUGAUAUUGUAUAUUCGAGGGAUUGAAUUGCAUGCCCAACAUCUCUAAAGAGUUAAAGCAUAGGCUAGGGAUACUUCGUAUUCCUAGAUUAUUGCGUGUGGAUAUCUCUUGGAAGGUGGACGCAUGUGCAGCUUUUGUGAUAAUUUUGUAAAAUGCGCAACAAGGGUAACUACUCUAAUAUUCUUGUAGUUAAUUCAUGAUUUUUUUAUUAUCACAGAUUAUAUUCUCGUUAAAAGGAUUGAAAACUUUUUAUUUUUCAGCUACAUACAAAUUGUUGUUUGCUGUUUUCGCAUCAAUUCCUUUCAUCUUGUACAUAUAAUAUUUGUAUUCAGUAACACAAAUUGUUAGUCCGUUUAGAUACUAUUGUUUAAUUAGACAAGUUUUGUACCAUAACACGUCUUACAUAUAAUGUGAUGUUUAUCAAAUGAAAAUAUAAAGAGGCAAUCAACAAGCACGUUUAAGGAAAAAACAUUCAGAAGUUUUUCUUUUUCCAAAUAAUGCUAUAUGCAAAGAUAUUUCAUGUCUGUAAUUGUACAUCAAAUACUAUAAAAAAUAUACAACUUUACUAGUCUAAGUUCAUAACCAAAAAAUAAAAAUAUUUUAGUAAACCGAGACAAAAGAUAUCCUGUAUUACAAUCAGAGAUCAUAUAUGCUUCACUUUUUCAUGGAACUAUUGUUUAUAUAGUAUCUUAAAAUGGACUGCAUAGUGGAAAUGCUGAUCAUUUGAAGUUUUAGAAAUUACUCAAGAACUUGGCCAAAGCCUCUUAGCAUUUAUGAGUAAUUAGUUCUUGCCUUGCGUCUCCAGUUUGGAAAGGGGGCCUUACAAGUUUUCCAUCAAUUUCAGAACAGUUAAUACAAUUCUUACAUCUUUUAGUAUAAACUUGAACUAUUUGGAUGUAAAUGUGAAUUUGUCAACUCAUAAAACUAAAUUGGUUUAUAAUUCAUGAUUACACUAAAAGAAUAUGAGUUUAAAAUAAAUAUAAUAAGAAUUAUAAGAACUAGUUUGAACUAGACAAAAUUUAACUUGUGAAACCAUGAAUAUAAGGAGUGGAGCACUUCCAUUUAGAUAAUGGGCUACAAGACAUAGCUUUCACUACAUGAAGACGACUACAUAAAGCUAGAAUUAGCAAAGCAUGCAAGGAAACUAAUUAAGAAAAUUCAAGAGCAAUCAUUUUCCAAUACAGCUGCAAAUCCUACAUGCUGCUUUCCACAUUAGCAAGCCAAACAAGAUCAAUUUUGUAAACCAAUGGCAUGCCUCAGCUUGUCCAGGAGAGGCUUUAAGAAUCUUGAAG
rnacentral:lncRNA from 1 species